rnacentral:lncRNA from 1 species
UUUCCAUGACAACCUAUUUUUUUAAAAUAUAAUGAACCAUUAGUACCAAAUAAAAAAUCGAAUAUAGAAAGUUCAAUUGUAGAUAGGUACCAGCCCGUUAUGAAGACCUCCUUUCUCGUAAGCAUCGCUUCUUAAAGUAGCCAUCAUUUCGUCCCAUCGUGCGAUCAAUGGAGGGGGUCUAGAAGCAUACAUUAAUCGGCCACUACGCACGUGCUCCCAGUACCAAUACUACACAAUAAAUUAGUUCAUCACCAUACAGAUAUGCAACAGAACAAUAAUUAAAGGACAUUAAGUAGUGAUCUAUCACUAACCUAGAGCAGAAUUAGAUUUCAUUGUAGAUUUACGUGAUCUCGAUUUCUAAACUUGUGAACGGACUUGAAGAAGUGAUUAAGUGUGAAACAUCCCCAGUUAAAUUUCCGAAGGUUUUCAAGAUCUGUAACGAGGUUGAGAAAUUUCGAGUCCACAUAAUGUUGUGCUGUUGGUGCUAGAACAGUACCAAUUGCGUACAGAAUGAACCGCCUCAGGAAAUCGCCGUCUGGGGCUUUGGAAGCUCGGAUCAUUGUUUCAAGGUCAGAAAUCAAAAUUUGCCCAUUGUUUGCAUAGGCGGUAAACAAUUCUGUGUCGGUUUGCAUUUCCAGAUGUGGCUCUAUAUCCUCCCCUUCUAUCGGAAUGCCAAAUAUACCUUGCACGUCCUCUUUUGUUAUAGGAAUUGGCGUUUUACCGAUGGUAAUGGAUUGCGUGUCCAUAUCUAUGCUCUUGGCUAGUCUAACCAACAUUAUGCGCCGUAGAGUCACUUCAUGCAUCUGGGUCAGACCGCCAAGACUGGUUUCUGAUAUGAUGUACUUUCUGUGGUCUUAUGAAAACAGUUUCAUGGUUUUUCCGAACCUUGUCUGUGAGCAUACUAACUUCAUAUGACCAUGCUUUUCGGCGAGUUCCUGUUACAUGCCAUUAAAUAUUACUGAGUACACAUGAAUUAUGUGUACGAAACGAUUGUACACAAACAGUAAAUUACUUACCACAUCGGUAAUUUCGGAGAUGGGCUUUUCUCCAUUAUUAAGGUUCGUAUCUGAAACUGACAUUGCUGCCUCGUAUGCAAUGAUAAAAUCAGGCUCAAUUAAUCUGAACAAAAUUGGAAAAUCUAUAACAAAAUUAGCAGAGAAUUAAUUUUAACAAAAUUAACUGGGUCAUUUAACAUAUGAUCCACUUAUGGGUUUAAGCACAGAACCUACUUGGGUGCAAAACCUAUGAGGGUUCAACAACUAAAGCAUCGGCGAACAACGAUUAUAAAGAGUUACAAUCAGCUAAGACCUUACCUCGGAGAUGGUGCCACCGAGUAGAUGGCGGCGGUUAGUGCGUCGGAAACUAUAAGUGCCGGUAUAGCGCGGUCGACGGCGCAAAGGAAAAACGGCACGUUCACGCGAGGAGGAGGCGGCGAGAAGAACACUGACGUCCGAGCCCUUAGAUCACGUUGGCGGUGGGCGGCGAGUGGUGGUCGCCGACUCCUGUAUUCCAUGGGCGACCGGCGUCUCCGAUCUGAUCUUGCAGCGGUCGUGGGAGGUGCAGACGACCCGGGUGGUUAGAAUGCGGAGCUGUAAUCGCGGGAUUUAGGGAGGGGUGGGCCGCGUGAGUUAUGUGAGAUUUGGAUAAAUGAUAUAAAGAAAUAAGAAAAUCUUGUGAACUCGGUGUGGGGUUUAUGGGCUUUAGGGUUUAGGGGUUUAGGGUUAUUAGGGUUUAGGGAUUUAGGGGUUUAGGGUUAUCAGGGGUUAGGGUUAUCAGGGUUUAGGGUUGAGUGUUUACAUGCAAGCCCGGAAAUGCGCGUGUCAGAGAACAUACUUGCAUGUGUAUGUACUAAUGAUCCCAAACUUUCUUAAUGGCAUCCCAUGACCACAUAGAGAAUGAAUGCAUAAUGGUUUCCAUGUUGGGCAAAAUUUUGAAUGUUUUUACGGUUUAGUGGGGGGGGUGGGGUUAGGGUUAUCAGGGUUUAGGGUUUAAGGGUUCUAGGGUUGACGGAACUAUGUUUGUCUUACGGUGGACGUAGCACACACACCGGACAUUGGUGGAGCGUUGGUCUACAAUGGAUUCCCUCUGGUAGCAUCGAUCCGAUCCAUUGAAUGGCUCGGCCAACAAACUUCGUGCCACAUAGAGCAUGCAUCCAUCCACUGGACCGGAUCAAUGUUGGGUUGGUUUCAUACAGGUGAGGAAAGCAGCUAGUGCUUUCGGGGUGUUGACAUGCUAGGCCGGAAAUGCGCGUGUCAGAGAUCGUACUUGCAUGUAUAACCCCAAACUUUUUUCAUGGCAUCCCAUGACCCCAUAGAGAAUGCAUGCAUAAUGGUUUCCAUGUGGGGCAAAAAUUUGAAUGUUUUUACGGUUUAGUGGGGGGUGGUGGUUAGGGUUAUCAGGGUUUAGGUUUUAAGGGUUUUAGGGUUAACGGAACUAUGUUUUUCUUACGGUGGACUUAGCACACACACCGGACAUUGAUGGAGCGUUGGUCUACAAUGAAUUCCCUCCGGUACCAUCGAUCCGGUCCGUUGACUGGCUCGGCCGACAAACUUCGUGCCACAUAGAGCAUGCAUCCAUCCACUGGACCGGAUCGAUGUUUGCUUGGUUUCAUACAGGUGAGGAACCCAGCUAGUGCUUUCGGGGUGUUGACAUGCUAGGCUGGAAAUGUGCGUGUCAGAGAUCAUACUUGCGUGUAUAAUCCCAAAAAUCUUUCAUGGCAUCCCAUGACCACAUAGAGAAAUUUUGAAUGUUUUUACGGUUUAGUGGGGGGGAGGGGGUGGGGUUAGGGUUAUCAGGGUUUAGGGUUUACGGGCUCUAGGGUUGACGGAACUAUGUUUGUCUUACGGUGGACGUAGCACACACACCGGACAUUGGUGGAGCGUUGGUCUACAAUGGAUUCCCUCUGGUAGCAUCGAUCCGAUCCGUUGAAUGGCUCGGCCGACAAACUUCGUGCCACAUAGAGCAUGCAUCCAUCCACUGGACAGAAUCAAUGUUGGGUUGGUUUCAUACAGGUGAGGAAAGUAGCUAGUGCUUUCGGGGUGUUGACAUGCUAGGCCGGAAAUGUGCGUGUCAGAGAUCGUACUUGCAUGUAUAAUCCCAAACUUUUUUCAUGGCAUCCCAUGACCCCAUAGAGAAUGCAUGCAUAAUGCUUUCCAUGUGGGGCAAAAAUUUGAAUGUUUUUAUGGUUUAGUGGGGGGGGGGUGGUUAGGGUUAUCAGGGUUUAGGUUUUAAGGGUUUUAGGGUUAACGGAACUAUGUUUGUCUUACGGUGGACUUAGCACACACACCGGACAUUGAUGGAGCGUUGGUCUACAAUGGAUUCCCUCUGGUAGCAUCGAUCCGAUCCGUUGAAUGGCUCGGCCGACAAACUUCGUGCCACAUAGAGCAUGCAUCCAUCCACUGGACCGGAUCGAUGUUUGGUUGGUUUCAUACAUGUGAGGAACCCAGCUAGUGCUUUCGGGGUGUUGACAUGCUAGGCCGGAAAUGUGCGUGUUAGAGAUCGUACUUGUGUGUAUAAUCCCCAAAAAUCUUUCAUGGCAUCCCAUGACCACAUAGAGAAUGCAUGCAUAAUGGUUUCCAUGUGGGGCAAAAAUUUGAAUGUUUUUACGGUUUAGUGNNNNNNNNNNNNNNNNNNNNNNNNNNNNNNNNNNNNNNNNNNNNNNNNNNNNNNNNNNNNNNNNNNNNNNNNNNNNNNNNNNNNNNNNNNNNNNNNNNNNNNNNNNNNNNNNNNNNNNNNNNNNNNNNNNNNNNNNNNNNNNNNNNGGUUUUAGGGUUGACGGAGCACACACAUCGGACAUUGAUGGAGCGUUGGUCUACAAUGGAGUCCCUCCUGUAGCAUCGAUCUGGUCCGUCGACUGGCUCGGCCGACAUACUUUGUGCCACAUAGAGCAUGCAUGCAUCCACUGAACCGGAUCAAUGUUGGGUUGGUUUACAUGUACAUGUACAGGGACCCGAAAUGCGCGUGUUAGAGAUCGUACUUGCGUGUACAUGUACCAUCCUUCCAUCCACUGGCUGGGCCGACAACCUUCGUGCCACAUUGUUCACAUUGUCCAAUUAACACUUUGUAUAGAUUUUUUUCAUAAAAAAUGAACGAAAUAAUGCAACUAAUCUGAACGUAACGUUUGGCAUGUAUCAAACCAAGUUGCCACUAUUCCUCAAAAAAAGAACCCAGUUAGCCACUAAUUGCGCCAAACAUAUCUCGUAAUUACGAACGAAAAUGGGUUGACAAUUAUAUCUGGAAAUUCUUGGACUGAAUUUAUUGCUCUUCGUUUUUUAGAGAACAAUAAGUUAGAAUGGUGGGCGGCGGGUUGGCAUGGGCACGACCAUGGCUCGGGCUUGUGUCAUAUGUGGUUCGACCCGCGGUCAGUGCACAUGUUUUCGAAGCCCCGAAAAGAUCGUGCUCGUUAAAAAAAAAACUUGCAUCGACGCGCAUUACUUCAAAAUAACUAAUUAACCCUACAAUCACGGAUAUAGACCUUCCCAUUCUACCGCAUAUCUACCCUAUCCUAACCACCCCCAUCUACCUUGUUUCUCCUCACAUAGCCAUCGCCGGGAUCGCGCCAUCACUUCUCAAGCGACCACGCCGACGCCGGAUUACAAAAGGUCUCUUCCACGGCUUCUCUCAUCUUCGAUUGCAGUGAUGAUUAUUUUUUCCAUUGAUUCGACCAACAAGUAAUUUCCGAAGAGAUUAGAAAAUCCAGCUUUUACUAUGGUUGAGUAGUUCUGUUGUGAUUCGAGUACAGGAUGUCAUGCAAGAGCUUUUUGAUUGAUAGUUUGUACUAGUUGAUCGUGUGAACUUAUUAUGAAUAUUUUUUCACAGUCGUAUUGUUUCGAAUUAGUUGGAUGAGGGUGUGGAUACAGUUUUCAUACUAUGGGUAUAUGUGUUGCUGUAGGGACCAUGGUCUCAGAGGCGCAUAACAACCGUGCGGAGUACGACAAGUCUUUGCAUGAAGCGCGUCGGGAGAUCGACUUGAAGGUGCAAAAGGAUCGCGCUGAGGUAGAUAAGAAACAGAAAAAAGAACGUUCAUACGUGGACAGGAUGAUAAAGGAGGAGCGUGAGGAGUUUUCCCUUAAGAUGGCGAAGAUGCGUCUUGAGAUUGAAGAAAAGUAUAAGAGGGACUGUGAGCACAUGGAAAAAAAGUUUGUCUUAGGCUACAAGGAAAUGCAUCAAAUGUUGCAGAAGGACCGGAAGCUUGUGGACAGUAUUAUACAGACAGAGCGAGUCAGGAUGGAUGCCUAUGUGUUGCAGGCAUGUGCGGAUAUGGACAGUAAGCUGCUACAGGAGCGGUCGGACAUGGAUUAUAAGGCCAUGCUGGAGAAGGUCCGCUUGGAAGGACAUAUGUUAGAAGACCGUGCGAUCUCACGGCCACCCCGACAACAUGUCUUCAAUUAUUCUCCCCCUGUCAGUAUCUCGCACCGAUUCUAUAUAUUAAGGACCUACGUAUUCUAUGAUAUAAACAUCUUCAAUUUGUGGCAACCUUAUGUCGGCGAUUGUAUGUAGGCUAAGCAUCAUGACACGACACAGUCGCCAUUCACUCGACACAUUGCGAUAGAGUCACCCGUUCAAUGCCACAUCAGUCCACCCCAACAACAUAUCGUCAAUUCUCCCCUUGUAAGUACCCCGCAACAAUGCAUACCCAAUAUAUGGUAUGACCUUUCAAAACUUGUGUGUAAACCCACUAUCGACGUUUCAUACGCAGGAUAAGAAACCUGUGAUGGCAGAGUCCCCAGUCACACCACAUGAAGGAUACAUUCCACAUAAUAAGGUGAGAAGGUUUGAGAUGGCACAACCCCCAGUCACUCCACAUGAAGGAUACAUUCCACAAAAGCAGGUAACAACGCCGCAAUGUUGCUAUGCACAUAAAAAAUUAUGUUUGCCCCUUUACUCAUUGAAUGUAUUAACUCCGAUGUGAGAUACUAGGUGCUGGUCAUGGAAUUUUUUGUUAGUAGGGAUCAUGAGAUGUCACAUGUCCCGAGAGCAUACUUUGAUGAACACCCGGCAGAAGUCAGAAUUUUUGAACCCGCCAAAGUUACCUACGAUCUCAUUAUGAGUGAAAUGAGAGAUACUUUUGGUUGCAAACUGGGAGCAGAACUGUACUACUUCUUACCCGGGUCUGCGUGGAAGCUGCCAGAAGGAAUGUUCUUGAUUGCAGGACCAGAUGAUGUACAAAAAAUGCUUUCUGAUCUGAAUGGCAGCAAGACAUGUCACCUGUACAUUGUGUACAAUAGAACUACGGGUUGUUUUCCCGAGGAUGACGUUGAUUCCGAGGUUCAAAUUUUACAUGUUACAUGCAUCUAGUUUAUGGCUACGUCUUUUUUGAGUUCUUCCUAAUACAAUUCCUAUGGUUUUCUACAGGAAGUGAGAAUCCAAGAAAUGGAGUGUCUUGCUAGAGAGUUGGCAGAGAAAGACCAAGAACAACUUAAGUUGUAUGGUUACAUUGAUGUUAAAGAGAAAAAGAUUGAAGCACGUGGGUCGUCGCCAAGCCCGACGCAAUCUCCAACGACGCAACGCAAGAGGUCACUGGAUUUUGGUAGUGCAGAAGACAAUAUGGAGUAGGCUCAAUUGUUUUUCAACCAGUUAAAGCUUCAAACCAGGAUUAUUUAGUUGCAAACAAACAUUUUGUUUUCUGUUUCACACUAUGUUCGCAAUUAUGGUACAAUUUAUUCAUGAGACAUUUCGUUGAACAACAAUGCAUGUGUUUUAUGAUCAAUCAUACAGUUGUUUCUGAGUUGUUUUUGAGAUGGCAUUGUGUCUAAAGAAGUUUCCAUCUAUAAAACUUGCCACGCAGUCGCAUCGGAAUCGCGUAUCACGCGAGAGGCGUGCGUCGCACGGGAGAGCGUCGCACGCGAGCUUGUUUUCGGGUAGAAAUCAUAACAUAUUUCGGAUAGAUAAAGUUCACGUCCUCCACCCGCGCAUGCAAACCCACGUCGCCGCCAUUCCCAUGCACGCAUGCCUCAGGCGCAGACAACGAGACGGCCCAUCCGAAUUAGGCCCAUCCGAAGUAGGACAUUAGAACCCUCCCCCCACUCCACCUAUUCCCCUCGCACUGUGGCCUCCCUCCCUCCAUCGCCAGAUCCCCCACUCGUCCCCCUCUGUCCGCCGCCCCUGCAUGCCGUCAGCGACUUCACCUCCGCCGCCCCCGCACCCCCCGAACGAGAUCGGCCAGAUCCAUCUCCUCAACCAUCGCAGGACAACGCAGGUACCCCAGUUUCUGUUGACGUCUCAAUGGUAUCCAUGCUGAUAAUGCUAGGUAGAUCGACUGAGUGUAGCAAUUUUGUGCCACCAUCUGAAACUUGUGAUGCUUCCUACUGUACAAUAUAGGACUUUUCAAAGUUCUGUUAUGAUGGCACUUUUUGACACAUACAGUAGAGCUGCGUUUUUAGUUGUUAUACUUUCAGUUACCAUCACUGCUUGGGAAAGGACGAAUUGGAUGCAUUCAGGUCUGCAGUUGAUAGUGUAUCAUCAUAAUAUAGGUGCUGUGUUGUGUGAUUCUUCAUGCUGAGAACUUCAGCUUUUUCAGUUAUAGUGAAAGGCUUCUGUAUAAAAAAAACUACUAAAUGAUCACAAAAACUUCUAGACAACAUUUUGUAUGAUCUGACCAAAACUUGAACUAAAUGAUCACCAAAAGUUGAAGGAUUUUGCAUCACAUCACAACCAUAAGUCUUCUGCACCAGCAUCAUAACAAUCACAUAACUACAUAACAAAAGCAAACUUGUUCAUCAUUACAAAAGAAAACUUGUUCAACAUAAGAAAAGCUAACUUGUUCAGCAUUACAAAAGCAAACUUGUUCAACAUAACAAAAGCUAACUUGUUCAGCAUUACAAACGCAAACUUGUUCAACCACAUAACUGCAAACUGAGACACAUAAUACCACAAACAACUCAAUAUCCCAGUAGUAGGGGUCAUCCCAAUGAUCCUCCACCUCUUGCCAGUACUCCAAACCUUCUUUGACGAUAUCGAUUUUCUUCCAUGCCUCGUAGGUGACGUACGCAUCUUUCGCUGCGUACUCGAUGAGGUUGUUUGGCAGUGGGCUGUCCCCCCAUAGUUUGUGGUCCAAUUCCUUGUUGAUCUUCUUCUUCAUUUCCUUGUACGAUGGGUGGAUGAGGCUGGCUGCAAACUCAGCCAAAGCCUGCCACUUCUUUCCAUUCCUUGGAACUCUCCAUUUGCGCUGCAUGUCGACGUACUUGUCGGGGUUGAUCUCCAAACCAGACAAUUUCAGCUUCUCCUUGUCACCUCCAAUGGAGAAGCCAACAAAGGUGUAGAGCUUCUUCUCCUGCAGGAGUGGGCGGAGUUCCUUAGGCCUGCAUCAAAUUAAUCUGGUGCAUCAAAUUCAUCCACUUCAAAAACUUCAGAAACUACUAAUUAGACAUAAAAUUCAGAACUAGUAUUGCAUCUACUCCAGAACUUCAGAACUAGUAUUGCAUCUACUUCAGAACUUCAGAACUAUUGCAUCUACUUGAGAAACUUCUGAAACUUCAGAACUAUUGCAUCUACUUGAGAAACUUCAGAAACUACUAAUUAGACAGAAACUUCAGAACUUCAGAACUAGUAUUGCAUCUACUUCAGAACUUCAGAACUAUUGCAUCUACUUCAGAAACUACAGAAACUACUAAUUAGACAGAAAGUUCAGAACUUCAGAACUAGUAUUGCAUCUACUUCAGAACUACAGAACUAUUGCGUCUACUUCAGAAACUUCAGAAAUUACUAAUUAGACAGAAACGUCAGAACUUCAGAAACUUCAGAACUGGAUGUUUUUACCAUUUGGUUGCCGCGGUGAUGUGGUAUACCAGGACGAGAUCCUCCACGCAUAACUGUAGAACUGCAGCCUUUUGCGGAGGUUCAUCUUCCCUCGUAUACUCGACAUCAACGCCGAUCGACUGAGGAAACAUGCCGCCGAGCCUCCUCCUGAUCUCGCGGAUCCUCUUGUCGGCUUCGUAUGGAUUGCUGGUGCAUACGACAUCCAGCUUCUCCUUCAGGUGGAUAUCAACCAUGAGCUUCACGGUGUAGUCCUGCUUCUGCCCAGGGAUCGGAACGUCGUCGUCGACCACCAGCGGCUCCUUGCCAGACGCCUCACCUUGGUGAUGCUUGCCAGAUGGAGGGGAGUUGCUCCACGAUGCCUCCGCCAUUCUCUUGGCAGACGGAGGGGAGUUGCUCCACGAUUCCUCCGCCAUUGCCCUCCUGGCCAGCGAUGGUGGAGGCAGAGGGGAGUUGCUUGAUGGUGGAGGCAGAGGGAGGAAGAUGGAGCGGCAAUGGAAUAAGGAGGGAGGCAGAGGGAGGCAGAUUGAGCGGCAAUGGAAUAGGAGGGGAGUUCCCUGCGUCGUGGGGAGUUGCCAGUGGAGGGGAGUCGUGGGGAGUUGCCAGUGGAAGGGAGGCGUGGGGAGUUGCCUCGAAAACUCAAACGUCCUGCCCUUUGGCCCUCGAAAAAUCUGGAGGGGAGACGUGGGCUCUUUGGUUUGUCCCGUUUCUGAAACAAAAAAAAAAUAACAGCCAUAUUUUGCUCUCACUGCAACCAUAUUAAGAGAUGAAAAAUGGCACCAAAAAGUCACUGCAGCCAUCCUCAAUGGCACGAAAACAGCACCAAAACAACAUCAGCCAAAACAACAAAAAAUGCAUCCAUUGAUCGUUCUUUAUUUCUUCUAACAUUCCGUGUUCUGUGCAGUGAGAUAGACACAACACUACAAAUGCAGGCUGACAACGCCCGCGAUUUCAUGACCAUCAGGACAGACGGCGGCUUCAUCCACGCUCCGGUCCCAUGAGUCGAGUCGAAAGUAGUGAUGCUAUGUGUAGUUCUGAAACAUUGAUUGGCUCAUGUUGUAAUUAAACUUUAAUGAAUUGUAUGUCUCUUUGGUUUGGACAGUCGUUAAACUUAGAUGUACUCGAUGCUAUUUAUUACUAGGACCAUGAAUUGUGCUAUUAAUGUCUUGCUUUUCUCUUCCGAUCCUUUUGUUGCAUACUUAUUUAUUGCUUAUGUAUUGUCUGUUGUUUGGCUUGUGCAUAGAGAUGCCGUCGUAUGUCGUGUACAAGGUAAGGUUCCCGGAGUCUACGAUGACUGGGAGGAGUGUCGGAGACAGGUUCACCGUUUCAGCGGUAACAGUUACAAAGGGUACACCACUAGGGUGGAGGCGGAAUCUAGAUAUGCCCGCUAUCUAGCGGGAGAGAGGAGGGAGCGUUGGAGGAAACGGAUGAAGACCAAUUUCAUCGCGAUGAUGCUCAUCGUGAUGACCGCAACUCUCUUCUAUGUGAUGGUAGUUUAGAUGAUCGAUAUCGACUUGUAAUGUGAAGACAAACUCGCUACUCGCGGUCUCGAGACUUGUAAUGUUCUAUCUUUGUUCGGUCUUGUGAAUUCAGAGACUAAUAUGAUGAAUUGUAUUCGGAGAGCUAUCUUCUAUUGUAUUGGAUGAAUGUGCUGUUGCUGUGUGGUGUUGUCUAUAUUCUCUCCAAUAAUAUAUUUUGUAACCUGUGAAAAUAUCAGAAAUGUGCAUUUUUUCGACCACCUCCAAAUCACCUCAGUUUUGGAACACAUGAUCUCUUCCACAAACAAAACUAGGUUUCCAAGUUUUUGUAUUUUUUUAAAUUUUUUUGAAUUUAUAAUGCCCUCUAGACUGACUGCUGAAAACAUCGGUCUAUGCCUCAAGGGGGCAUUGUAAAAUAUUUUUUUUAAAAUUUUCUUGCAUACACAUGUUUUGCACAUGUGGGUCACCAUGUACAAGAAAAUUUGGGUGAUUUGGAGGUGGUGGAAAAAUUCACAUUUUUUCAAAAACUGACUUAAGUUAAGACCAAAUGGUCCCUCCGGGAAUGCGGGCAUUUUUUCGACCACCUCCAAAUCACCUCAGUUUUGGCACACAUGAUCUCUUCCACAAACAAAACUAGGUUUCCAAGUUUUUGUAUUUUUUUAAUUUUUUUUGAAUUUAUAAUGCCCUCUAGACUGACUCCUGAAAACAUCGGUCUAUGCCUCAAGGGGGCAUUGUAAAAUAAAUUUUUUCAAAAUUUUCUUGCAUACACAUGUUUUGCACAUGUGGGUCACCAUGUAUAAGAAAUUUUGGGUGAUUUGGAGGUGGUGGAAAAAUUCAUGCAAGACUCGGGGACCUGCAUGCAAGACUCGGGGACCUGCAUGCAAGAGUCGGGGACCUGCAUGUGAAUAGUGAUUCAUCAAGGCCAUGACAGCUAUUGGCACAGCGGCUGCCGCCCGAUUUGUAUGCAGCGAAGAUGAACGUGCAUGGAGGUUUUUCAAAGAUUUCCAAGCACACCCCAGUGGGCCCCGCUUAUUUAAAAAAGACGUCAGUCAUUAUUGCUCUGUAAAUGAAGAAUAUGCAUGAUGAUUAUGAAUACGCAUGACAACCAUAGUAAGGGUGAAGAAUCAUAGUGCCCAAUUUGUCGAAAUACAUCAUCAUUCUUAAAGUUGGACAUCAAAUGAUACACACAGAAAAUGGAAACGAAAGAUGUCGAACUAAUAUAGUAACAUGCCAGUACAACUGCACUUCACUAAAUUACUGUCACGAUGAAAUAGAAUGUAAAGACCACGUCACACAAACAUGAAUGACACACGACUUUCUCUGGCUCAUCGUCGGUUCAUGCUGUAUGUAGAUAUCACAGUUCAGCCUCGAUAUCCUACACAGAAGAAUAGAAUAAAUCACAUGGACAUCAAUUAUGAGUAAAACACAUGCAAAAAAAAUAUGAAAAUAUUUUGUACCUCUAGCAAUUUAGCGCAUUUACGUCGAUUGUGACCUGGUUUCUUGCAAUAGCCACAGAUAUUCUGUGAUGUUGACUUCUUUGUCUUUGCCUGCAGCCUUUUCUUCGGUGCACCUCGUCCUGGCACAUGCACGGGAUCCAGAACCUUAUCAACUUUCUGUGAGUGUGGCAUCAACGGGCCAAACCUAAUGCUGUUAUGCUGAGCAUUAGUUGACUCCUUGCUGUCAGCUUGUUCAAAACUUGAUUGCUUGCCAUGAUGUUGUGCUUGCAAAAGCAUCUUUAGACGGUGAUAGUCCUCAUCAGAGUGGCAUGCCUGGAAACUUGCGGCGUGACUACAAUUCCGCAACUCGCGGUACCUCUGCAGGCUUAGCGAAUAGUCAUACAUCUGGUUUUUUCUGGUAGGUGCGUAUGCACAUUUUGCAUUCAUAGUCCACCUAGUGGGAACGCAACAACCGGGCAGAAUUGUUUGUUUUAAAAUCCCCAAUAUGUAAAAAAAUGUGGGAACAUGGUGUGCCUGCGCAUUCCAGCUUAUGGCAAGAACAACUCACCCUGUGCAAAAGACCUCCUUGCUCUUCAAUGCGCACUCCAAACUUUUUAUCCAUUCUUUCCUGCUUGGACACAACAUAAGUGGAAUCUUCUGAUCCAUCUAGUAUCUCUCUAAUCUGACAUUUGCUGACAGAAUCUAUGCUCCAUAAGACCAUCUUAAAGACACUAGGUGUGAAAACUGUUGCGGCGUGUUUCUCAAGCGGCGAAGCAUUUUCCUCUGUAAAUGGAACGGACUGCAAGGCUUCAACGUCAUGGAGAGCUUCGUUAAUCCGUCGCGACGCAAGGCAACGCUCAUAGUGCUCUAGCCUUUCAAACAACGACAUCUUACCCUCAAGAUGCGUAUGUAGCACAGAGUUCAAGCUCUCACUCCUCUGAUUACUGCUCAAUCCUAGGAAACAACGCCCCUCAAGAUAUGGAGCACACCACAACUUUCUCAUCUGAUACAUCUGAUGCAGCCAAGACUCCUCACUGGUUACUUUAUUCCGUUGUAAGAAUUGUAUUCAUUUUAUCUCAUGCUCUUCAAUGGAAGAAGUAUCAUAAAUGAAAGAUCUGAAUUCCUCCUUUACGUCGUCAUCAUGCAGAUGGCGUACAAUGUUCUGCUGAAUGUGCCAUAUACAUAGUCUAUGGUUUGAGUCUGGCCAGACCACCCUUAUUGCUCUCUGCAUUGCAAGGUCCCCAUCUGUGAUCACAGAUAUCGGAUGCUUCUGUGCCAUGCAAUCAGAAAAGGUCCGCAACAUCCACUCGUAUGCCUGGCUUGUUUCAUGAGAAAUUAAUUAUACCACAGCCAAAUAUAACAGUGCUGCGGUGGUGAUUCAACCCGACAAAAGGCACGAAUGGCAGAUUGUAUUUUUUGGUUCUGUAUGUGCUAUCGAAAACAAUGACGUCUCCGAAAGCCUCGUAGUCAAGUCGCGAUUGACUGUCAGCCCAGAACAGUCCCUUCAGAUGGCCAUGCUCGUCUACCAAGUACUUGAAGAAAAAAAUCCACAUCUCGCUCUCGCCUCGCCAUCAUAUGCAUGAUCACCGUUUUAGCAUCACCGGCACUGAUUGUCUCUUGCUUAUUAGCAUGGCAGAAAUUAUAAACGUCCCUCUUUAUGCAUCCAACCUUAUCAAAUCCACCGUAUUGGAAGCACAAAAUAUCCAUAAUACGGUAUUUGUGGAUCCCACAUUUUCCAUGUCCGCAAUGUCCGCUUUCUGCUCAUCGCUAAUUCGUCUGUGCAAACGCAACAGACAAGAAAGAUCCCAUGGGGCUAGAGGAUGGUUGUGCUCAUCGAUGAAAUCCUUGACAAACCACCGACCGGUUUCCUCUUGUCUCGUAAUGACCAAUUUAGCAUUACAUCCAACACGAGUUAAACUUUGUGGCCUCCUUUUUCUAUCUUCCAUCUUUCUUUUCAUGUGCUUAUCUUCGCGAAACCCUUGACGACUACACACAAUUUUCCUUAAAAUUAUGUAUUUGUUGGAUCCAUCCCACUCAACGUAGCUUUUCCUCACACUAAAACCUUUUUCAAGAGCAUAUUUGUUGUAGAAUUCAUAGCCUUCAGCCUCACUAUCAAACAUCUUGCUGACAACAUUUACAUACUCGAACAUACUCUCAUCACUUGCAUACGCCAUGUCUUCCUGCAUAUGACAUGUGAGGGAAACCAAUCAUCAACAUCUUUCUGUUUAUCAAUGUUGCAGGUGUAAAAUAGCUCAUAGGCAAAGACAAGUGCAUGGAAAAGACUUUGCUGGUUUGACAUGUGAGGGAAACCAAUCAUCAACGUCCAACAAGUACUAUCCUAGCAUGGAUGAUGACUCUAAUAAACUGGAUUCAUACCUGGUACGCGCGAAGAGAUGGGAUCGCCCGCCGCCGUCGCCGCCUAUUCCGUCGGCACAGAUCCGGCCUUCUUCUUCUUCGGUGACAGCGUGGGGGGCUGGGGUUGGUUGGGUGGAGGACGAGGACGAUGAAUUUAUUCCUCUCACCAGGCAGGUCGAGGACGGAGAAGGUCAGGAGCGGCGACGAAUAGAUCGGAGGAGGUUUCUGAUCUGGAUCGAGUAUACAUGGAUCUGGUCUUCGGGUGAUCGGUUCAAGAAAAGAUUUUUGUCCCUGGACCAUUAUGCCCUUAUCGCUUAAAUUUAAUCAAGUUUAAUUCCCUGCAAGAUCGGUUUUCUAAUAAUAAUCAGACGUCACCAGACAUGUAAGUACUGCUAAGUACUCCGAGUACUAACCUAAUCACCGUAAAACUGCUCCCAAAUAGGAUGACCGCUUUAGAGAAAGCAAUAAGGGAAUUCAUGGACAAUCAAACUGAGAAUGUAAUUGUAUUUGUACCGAUGAUGGGAACGAGUUCACAGAUUCUCUGACUUAGCCGAGACUAUGGCAGAGGGAUGUCAAAUUCAUAUAACUGUUCAUGCACCAUCCGACGGCAGCAAGCAAAGCCCAUGGACACACAGCAUUAUCGACCUAGAAGGGUGAUGCUGCCCAGUCCAACGCAUAGGCGAAGCAGGAAAAACGGUGCGAGGCAGCCGAAGUAUGAAUGAAGGAACCGAUCACCAAGCUGCCGAAGGAUGAGCUGCUCUGCUCUUGUGAGAGAUGUUAAAUUUUGUAGUGUUCAUUUUACCAUUCUGUAAUGUGCACUUAUGUUGCUGCUCAAUUCAGUUCCCUUCUCCCACUUGCAUUUCACAGUCAUGUCCAGUUCAGUGAGCAAAGUCUCUAAAAUUCAGCUCAUUCAAUUAUAGCAUUCAUUCACAACAACCACACUGAGAGAUCUCAACCCCUUCUGCCACUGAGUGAUCUCAACCCCUUUUGCCAUACUCAAUUCUGUUAUCAAUUUUACAACAUCAAGUGAUAUGCUCACAAAUUGACAAUGUCAAUGACCUGCUCUUAAUUUACAACAUCAUUGAUAUGCUAAAAAAUGAUAAUGUCAAUGAUCUGCUCUCAAAGUACUUCCUCUGUCCCAUAAUAUAAGAGCGUUUUUGACACUGUCUGAAACUCUCUUGUUGUUUUGUGUAAAUCAGUUUACAAUCUGAAACUCAACUGAUGUUUGCUUGUAAAUCAGUUAAUAAUGUGCUCUCAAUUUCCAGGCUAGCUUCGCCGGCGCCUGCUCGACGGAGUGGUGCAUCGAUGGCAGCCACGGCCGUCCUCCUCUUGCGAUGGUGCGGGGUCAGCGAUAUGGUGCUUGCUUAGUGCCUCCAGCAACAGCGGCGCGACCUCGCGGCGUGAUACAACCAUGACUUGUAGCCAAGGCAGCGGCAGUCGUCCUCCCAGGGCGAUCGCGAGCAAUGGCGACGGUGAGCGAUGGGUUGUUUAUGGGCUGCACAGCAUUGUUGUUAUUCUUAUUUGUUUUCACCUUGCUGCUGUCGAAUGACGCAUGUGAUUUGGAUUAGACGUCCGUCUAGCGUAAAAAUAAUACUCGAUGCUAUACAGCCCAGGUCGGGAAUCUCGAAGUGAGUUCACGAUGGAGAUAGCGAGAGUAUCUGAGCUCGUGCUCAGAACAUCACUUUCCUUAGGAAAGGGGGAACCAGGAUCGAUUCCUGGUCUCAAAGGUGACAGCGGGUGCUGCUACCAGUCCGAUCAAGUUCCGUUCGUGAUAAGUUGUAGGUGCGCGUCGUACUUGAGCCGAUUCAAGCCGGUUUUCUUUGAGUUUUUUUCCUUCUUCAUUUUUUUCAUUCUUUUUUGCACUCGUUUCUUCAUUUUUUUUCAUUUUUUUCUUUUGUUUAUUUUCUUUGUUCUUUUGGUUAUUAUUGUGCAUUUUUUGUAUACGUCAACAAUAUUUUUUUAAUACACGUCUAACAUUUUUCAAAUACAAAUCAACAAUUUUUGCAAUACAUGGCCUACAUUUUUGUAUACACAUUUUUUAAAUGCUUGAUUAUCAUUUUUCAAAUACAAUAUUAACAAUUUUAAUACAUGGUUAACAUUUUUUUAUCAUUUUUACAAAAAAAUAUAUUAAAUGCUUGAUUAACAUUUUCUUAAUAGAUGGUCAACCUUUUUUUCAUACACAUUUAACAUUUUUUCCAAACGCUUGAUUAACUUUUUCAGACCCUUGUUCGACAUUUCUUUCAAAUGCUGGAUUACAUUUCUAUAUACUUAAUCAAAUAUUUCUAUCAUUUUUAAUACAUGGUCAACAUUAUUAACAUACACAUUUAACAAUUUCCCAAUUCUUGAUUAAUAUUUUUUAAAUACUCGUUUAACAUUUCCCAAUUUUAGCUAGUUAUGGUGCAAACUAAGUGUUGUGCCUCGUCUUAAUCUAUCUAUAUAUCCUAUCUUCUAUUCGGCGACGUGGUUGCGCCCGUGGCGGAUGUGGUCGCCGCCAUGACUUGGUCGAUCUCCCUCUUCUGUAUUCGAGAAAAAAAGAUCUCCGUCUUCUCUUUAGAUGAGAUGGGGAGGAGAUGGUGAGAGAUGAGGUCAACGGCAUUGGGGAGAGGAUAAGGGUAGACGCCAGUGGUGAGGCGGCGUGAGGAAGACGAGGUGGUUGGCGGCUAGGACGCAUGAGGGGAGGGGAAGGGUGGGGAGUGGUGCGUGGAGGGAAGUGGGUGUGCGGCGUGCCCAAUUCACGAGAGAGGAGAGAGGUCGGCAAGGGAGCGACCCAUGGGAGUUUUUUUUCUUCUGAGUGAGCCUAGUUGGGCUAUCUGCUGCGUCCAAGGCCCAAUGCACCACAUGUCUUCAAAUUGGCCACCAGUAGCAGCCCUUAGAACAGACAUGGCCAUUUUGCAAAUUUAAAGACAUAAGUUUUUUGCACGCAUGAAAAACAUAACACGUAUCUUUUCACACAUAAUGAACUAUAGGUACUACCCAAAAAAACAUAAUGAACUAUAGGUUGUCACAAGAACUCAUGCCAUCCCACAACCUCCCUCUGACCCUGCCAACAUUGUUGCAACUGCACUCGCAAGUGUUAUCGUAGAUGAUCAUUUGCAUGAUUUCCCGUAAAACAAAAUAAGAUCUACAAACGAAUAGAAGCUACACAUACCUUGGCAUGCACACACAUUGCAAGCCAUACUAAGCAGAUAAGUGUUAAAAACUUGUACUCCCUCAUCUCAGUUUACAAGUCUUCCACGUGUAUCUAGGUCGUCAAUUUAAUUAUAUAAAAUAAAUUGUUUGACAUAAAUUAUAUCAUUAGAAAAUAGAAAUAUAUAUUUUGUAAUGUAUGCCUCUUAUUAAGUUGGUCAAAUUAACAAUCUAGGUACACAUGCAAGACUUUUAAACUAAGAUGGAGGGAGUACAACAUAUACAACACUUACGACAAGUAAAAGCAAUUUGAUGAGUCAUGGUCUAUCAAAGCAAGCUACAUUACUAAUCUAAUCUAUGUUAACAUGUCACACAUGAUUACAAUCUUUUUUGUGUGCAAGUCAAGCCUAUCUAGUCUACAUGUAACAACUUGUAGAACAUUACAAAAUUGAUGUUUGCUAAUAACUUUUAGAACACUACAACACUUGACAUGUAAAAAGAGUUUGAUGAGUCAUGACCUACUAAAGCAAGUUACAUUACUAGUCUCAUCUAUCUUAACAGGUCACACAAGAUUAAAAACUAAGUUCUGUGCAAGCAAUGCUUAUCUAUUUUACACAUAACAACUUGCAUAACAUUACAAACUUAGUUUUAGAAAAUUAGGCAACCUAGAUUAGUGUUUAGUUGUAAAGUGAAUAAGAUGAGUCAUGUGUGUUAUCACACCUUUUUAUGGUGGAAUGAUAGUGCCACCAAACACAACAUACCAAAAUAUGAUUUUGGGAAGCAUCCAAGCACUUUCCAGACAAGCAAAUGCCAAUUGUGAAAGAGAUAAUGCCAUGGCAGCUAUAAAUAGGCCUGUUGCAUGAUGAUCAUCCUUCCUCAUUCAUCAUUCUCAUAAGUAGAGUGCAUCAUUCAAGCCAAGCAAGCACUGGUCAAUACAAAUCCAUCAUGAAGACAUUUCUCAUCAUUUCCCUCCUUGCUAUCGUGGCGACCACCGCCACAACUGCAGUUAGAGUUCCAGUGCCACAAUUGCAGCCGCAAAAUCCAUCUCUGCAACAACCACAAGAGCAAGUUCCAUUGGUGCAACAACAACAAUUUCCAGGGCAGCAACAAACAUUUCCACCACAACAACCAUAUCCGCAGCCGCAACCAUUUCCAGGACAACAACCAUAUCCGCAGCCGCAACUAUUUCCACAGCCGCAACCUUUUCCGCCACAACUUCCAUAUCCGCAGCCGCAACCAUUUCCCCCACAACAACCAUAUCCACAACCGCAAACACAUCAUCUGCAACCACAACAACCAAUUUCGCAGCAACAAGUACAACAACAACAACAACAACAACAACAACAACAACAACAACAACAACAACAACAACAACAACAACAACAACUACUACUACAACAACAAAUCCUUCAACAAAUUCUGCAACAACAACAACUGAUUCCAUGCAGGGAUGUCAUCGUCUUGCAACAACACAACAUAGCGCAUGAAAGCUCACAAGUAUUGCAGCAAAGUAGUUACCAAGUGUUGCAACAAUUAUGUUGUCAGCAGCUGCGGCUGAUCCCCGAGCAGUCGCGGUGCCAAGCCAUCCACAAUGUCGUUCAUGCUAUUAUUCUACAUCAACAACAACAACAACAACAACAACAACAACAACAAGGACAACAUCAACCGUCGAGCCAGGUCUCCUACCAGCAGCCUCAGCAACAAUAUCCAUCAGGCCAGGGCUCCUUCCAGCCAUCUCAGCAAAAUCCACAGGCCCAGGGCUUUGUCCAACCUCAACAUCUGCCCCAACUCGAGGAAAUAAGUAACCUAGCGCUGCAGACGCUACCAGCAAUGUGCAAUGUCUACAUCCCUCCAUAUUGCUCGACCACCAUUGCGCCAUUUGGCAUCUUCGGUACUAACUGAGAAGAGAAGAACUCUAGUACUAGAUAUAUGAAACACCGUGUUCUUAGUCCAUGGUUUGGUCGUUGUACCGUUGAAAAUAUAAGGUGACAUGCACUAUCAUGUAAGAACCCGAACUAUACUAGUUCAAACAUGGGAAUAAAAGACAAACACAUGUCUUGUCUGCAUAUGAUUGUUUAUUUGAGUUCCAUUCCUAUGCCCAUUCACAAGUUCACCCGUAAUUAUAUAUAUUACACAUUAAGUAGAUAUUUAUGUUGCAUUAAUAUGAAGAUAACAAAAUGAGUCUGAAACUUGAAUUAAAUUGAAGUAUUUUCUUGGACUUUCAAAUUGUGUAUUAUUAAAGUAGUAAGGAUUAUCCACAUCCUUGGCUUGCCCUUCAUCAAUUAUUCCCAGAGAAGCUUUCAGUUCAUAAAUCAAUUACAUUGAUUUUUGUGAAUGGUACAUCUCCUCAUCACGAGUAUCAUUACGGCUACUCCAAAUCGCUCACAUAACCGAAGCAUUAAUAGCGCCCUUCUUGCAUCCGGAAAUAUGGAUCGAAGAUAUCACUUGACCAUGUUUCCAGGUGCAACCUUGGGAUUUUUAUGUCAAAAUAUUCUCAAGCAAAAUCCAAGAAUAAACUUGCAUGCUCACGUGUGAUGAGGGCAGAUGAAGUAACAUUUCCUCCCCAUGGCCACACAUAGGGCACACACAUAACCCCAUCACAUGCCUUUUUAGUUAUGCAUAUGAAAGGUAGGAUGUUUUUAAUUACUCUCUACCAAAAUACUCUUAACUUGGCUUGUACCCUAAUAUUUCGUUGCCUUUUCAAUUGUUCUUCCCCAUUAGACAAAGUAGACAGUCCAUCUACCACACCGUACCUUGUGUCCAUCAUUGCUCUGUACAACAAUUGAACAGAACAAAUGUCAUUUCUUUACGAUACCCACGACCAAAUGUCCUUUGCUGGAUUGUUUGGUCGUGGCAUAUUAAGGAUGGCCACCUCAUCUCAUGGGGUAAACACCUAAUGAAUGAAAGGAUUGUUCUAGUCGCCCGUGUUUUUCAUCGAUAAGAUCAUCUACAAGUUGGACCGAAGUUUCUCACAUGCAUCAUAGUGGUUUCAUUAGCGGCGUGCCCUGCACCCAUUUAUCACGUCGUAUCUCUGUAGUAUGUGCAUUCCCAAUUUGUCACAGCAUACCCUCCUUCAAACCUUCUUUCCCUUUCAGAUUAGCACGCCAAGUUAGCUAUGCACUAUGCGGGAACCAGCAUUUGAAAAAAAAGAAUCUCAUUUCAUGGUAUCUUCCAUGAAGGACCCUCGUACAUUAGCUAUCUAGGUAGAAAUAGCCAUGUAUGUUUGGCAAACUUUGCAUAAGUGAAUAGAUCAAGGUCGUGGAACCCCAAGCCUCCAAUUACACACGGCCUCUCUACCAAUAAGAUCUCCAAAGACAUCAAGGAUACAGACAGCCAAAAAAGAAAAUAAAAAGAAAAAAAAUAAAAAAUACCCUGCCAUGGUGAUCAAUCACAAGCAUCAGCAGCACUCUAACCACCACCAAAGACAAUGCCCAGAUUACAAAAAAAAAUUAUCCAAAAACAAUGCCCCCAAGAAGGAAACAAUACACAAGCGUUGUCGUUGCCCGAUCGAAGAUCGUGGGUUUUCACCCUGGAAAAUUUUUGAGUUCACCCAAAAACAAUGCCUUCAACAAGGCCAUUGCCAAGUACAACAAAUAUGGUCGAGACCUUGGGUUUUCACCCUAGGAAUUGAGACUCGAUGCUCGAGGAGUACCAGCAAAAAUGCAGUCCACUAGUGUUGCCGCCCCCACUUGGCAAGGCCACUGUUGCAAGUCACCAAACACCUGGCAUAUAGUUGUCAUCGCAUCCAAUACACCCUUCGGCCGAAGCUUCAAGACCUUGAUCCGUCUCCAGCGUAUCUAUAAUUUUUGAUUGUUCCAUGCUAUUAUAUUAUCUGUUUUGGAUGUUUUAUAUGAUUAUUAUGGUAUUUUAUAUGAUUUUUGGGACUAACCUAUUAAACUAGAGCCCAGUGUCAGUUCCUGUUUUUUCCUUGUUUUAGAGUUUCGUAGAAAAGGAGUACCAAACGGAGUCCAAACGGAAUUAAACUUUUGCGAUGAUUUUUCUUAGACCAGAAGACAUCUAGAGGACUUGGAGUGCAUGUUAGGAAAGCCACGAGGCUGCCACAACGACAGAGGUGCGCCCCCACCCUUGUGGGCCCCUCGUGACUCUACCGACAUAUUUCUUCCGCCUAUAUAUUCUCAAAUAUUCCAAAACAUACUAGGAGAGCCACAAAAACACUUUUCCACCGCCGCAACCUUCUGUACCCGUGAGAUCCAAUGUAGGGGCCUUUCCCGGCAUCCUGUCGGCGGGGGAUUCGAUCACUUAGGGCUUCUACAUCAACACCAUUGCCUCUCCGAUGAAGCGUGAGUAGUUUACCACAGACCUAUGGGUCCAUAGCUAGUAUCUAGAUGGCUUCUUCUCUCUCUUUGAUUCUCAAUACCAUGUUCUCCUCGAUGUUCUUGGAGAUCUAUUCGAUGUAAUACUCUUUUUGCGGUGUGUUUGCCAAGAUCCAAUGAAUUGUGGAUUUAUGAUCAGGUUAUCUAUGAGUAUUAUUUGAAUCUCCUAUGAAUUCUUAUAUGCAUGAUUUGAUAUCUUUGCAAGUCUCUUCGAACUAUCGAUUUGGUUUGGCCAACUAGAUUGGUUUUUCUUGCAAUGGGAGAAGUGCUUAACUUUGGGUUCAAUCUUGCGGUGCUCGAUCCCAGUGACAGAAGGGGAUGAUACGUCCCCAACGUAUCUAUAAUUUUUGAUUGUUCCAUGCUAUUAUAUUAUCAACCUUGGAUGUUUUAUAUGCAUUUAUAUGCUAUUUUAUAUGAUUUUUGGGACUAACCUAUUAACCCAGAGCCCAGUGCUAGUGCCAGUUUCUGUUUUUUCCUUGUUUUAGGGUUUCGAAGAAAAGGAAUAUCAAAUGGAGUCCAAACGGAAUGAAACCUUCAGAAAAUUUAUUUUUGGAAAGAAAGUAAUACGGGAGACUUGGAGUGCACGUCCGGGGAUCAACGAGGAAGCCACGAGGCAGGGGGCGCGCCCACCCCUCUUGGGCGCGCCCUCCACCCUCGUGGGCCCCUCGUGGCUCCCCAAAUGUAUUUCUUCCGCCUAUAUAUAUCCAUAUACCCCAAAACGACCGGGGAGCACAAUAGAUCGGGAGUUUCUCCGCCAGAAGCCUCCGUAGCCACCGAAAGCUAAUCUAGACCCGUUCCGGCACCCUGCCGGAGGGGGAAUCCCUCUCCGGUGGCCAUCUUCAUCAUCCCGGUGCUCUCGAUGACGAGGAGGGAGUAGUUCUCCCUCGGGGCUAAGGGUAUGUACCAGUAGCUAUGUGUUUGAUCUCUCUCUCUCUCUCUCUCUCUCUCUCUCGUGUUCUUGAGGUGAUACGAUCUUGAUGUAUCGCGAGCUUUGCUAUUAGAGUUGGAUCUUAUGUUGCUUCUCCCCCUCUACUCUCUUGUAAUGGAUUGAGUUUCCCCUUCGAAGUUAUCUUAUCGGAUUGAGUCUUUAAAAAUUUGAGAACACUUGAUGUAUGUCUUGCCGCGUGUAUCUGUGGUGACAAUGGGAUAUCACGUGAUUCACUUGAUGUAUGUUUUCGUGAUCAACUUGCGGGUUCCGCCCAUGAACCUAUGCAUAGGGGUUGGCACACGUUUUCGUCGUGAUUCUUUGGUAGAAACUUUGGUGCACUCUUUGAGGUUCUAUGUGUUGGUUGAAUAGAUGAACUUGAGAUUGUGUGAUCCAUAUCAUAUAAUCAUACCCACGGAUACUUCAGGUGACAAUGGAGUAUCUAGGUGACAUUAGGGUUUUGGUUGAUUUGUGUCUUAAGGUGUUAUUCUAGUACGAACUCUAGGGCUGUUUGUGACACUUAUAGGAAUAGCCCAACGGAUUGAUUGGAAAGAAUAACUUUGAGGUGGUUUCGUACCCUACCAUAAUCUCUUCGUUCGUUCUCUGCUAUUAGUGACUUUGGAGUGACUCUUUGUUGCAUGUUGAGGGAUAAUUAUGUGAUCCAAAUAUGUUAUUAUUGUCGAGAGAACUUGCACUAGUGAAAGUAUGAACCCUAGGCCUUGUUUCGACGCAUUGCAAUACCGUUUACGCUCACUUUUAUCAUUAGUUACCUUGCUGUUUUUAUAUUUUCAAAUUACAAAAACCUUUAUCUACCAUCCAUAUACCACUUGUAUCACCAUCUCUUCACCUAUACAAUUUACCAUUGUAUUGGGUGUGUUGGGGACACAAGAGACUCUUUGUUAUUUGGUUGCAGGGUUGCUUGAGAGAGACCAUCUUCAUCCUACGCCUCCUACGGAUUGAUAAACCUUAGGUCAUCCACUUGAGGGAAAUUUGCUACUGUCCUACAAACCUCUGUACUUGGAGGCCCAACAACGUCUACAAGAAGAAGGUUGUGUAGUAGACAUCAAGCUCUUUUCUGGCGCAGUUGCCGGGAAGGUGAGUGCUUGAAGUUAUAUCUUUAGAUCUUGCAAUCGAAUCUUUUUGUUUCUUGUUUUAGCACUAGUUUAGUUUAUAAAAGAAAACUACAAAAAAACGGAAUUGAGUUUACCUCACACGCUUCAUCUUUUUAAUAUCUUUCGUGAGUAUGAUGGAAAGAAAAAUUGUGCCAAAGUGUUAGAAGAAGAAUGCAUUAAACUGUUUGGCAUUAAAUAUUUGAAUGAUGAGCAUUAUUGCAAUGUUGUUAGUAUGAAUUCCUUGAAUAUCCAUAGUACUAAUGAUGAUUGCACUAGUUAUGAUGAAAAUGUCUCAUGUAAACAUGUCAAUUUUUGUGGAGUGCAUUGGGUUUGCAAGUACACACCAAUUAGGGAAGAUAGAUUUUGCAAGAGGCAUAAGUACUUAGAAACUAAAUUGUUGCAAGAAAGGCUAGAUGAAUGUGCUGAAAAUUUAAAUUUUCUUGGCCAUACUUGUGAGCUUUGCAAUGAACAUGGUUAUUUAACCAUCCGAUGCAAAUUGUUUCAUGAUCUAAUCGUUUCCAAAAAUUGUGAUGACUUGAUUUCCCUUGCACAUCAUAAUGAACUUAGUUUGCUUAUGGGUUAUGAGGAAAUGAAAUGUAUAACUAACUAUCUUCCAGUAUUUUCCCAUGAUAAACUUCUUGGAUUUGACCUAGAGGAAAUUUAUAUGUAUUGUGCGGUGAAUUGCAUUGAAAACCCCUAUAUUGUCAAUUACAUAAAGAAAAGAAAACAAAUAGAGGAUGAACAGAAUACUAAUGAAAGGGAAGAGACCUCCCAAUAUCCUCCUAUUAUUUCUUAUGAUGAACCAGGUAACGAGGAGGAGCCUCCUAUUCAACCAAUCUCAUUAAUAAGGAGCUCCAAAAAGAGGAUUGAACCCACACACGAUGUAGUGAAGAAGAAGAAAAGAAAGAGGAAGAGAGGUAAAAAGAUAUCUCUCCCAAAUAAUGCUGCUCCUAUUACUAUUGUGCCUCAUGAAAAUAUAAUUGUGGAAAAUAAUGAUACUUCUUAUGAUCUUGAAAAUCCUUUUGUCACUUGCUUGGAAGAAUAUGAUAAUUGCUAUACUAUUGGUGCUAUCCAUACUAUUAAUGAUGAGAGUGAUUAUGCUUAUGAUAUGAAAAGGCCCAAGCUUUGGGAUGCUAUGUUUGAUGAAGAUGAUGUUUUUGAGAAUAUAUUUGCUACAAUUAAUGUUUGUCCCAAGCUUGGGGAUGCUAUGUUUAAUCAAGAUGAUAUUUUUAGUCUCCCAAGUUUUGAUAUGCAAAUUUAUAAUGAUGAUAGCAUGCCUCCUACUUAUGAUGAUUAUUGUGAUGAUACUUAUGCUAUAAAAAGUAAUGAUUAUAUUUAUAAAACUUGUCAUGAUUAUGGUUACCCCUUUUCUGAACAUUACUCUUUUAAUGUGGAAACAAUUUAUAGUAUUCGAGUUUCUUAUGAUACUCCCACUAUUCCGAAUGAGAAGAAUUUUGCUUGUGUAGAGAGUAAUAAAAUUUCUAUGCUUGUAGAUCAUGAAAAGAAUGCUUUAGGUGCUGGUUAUAUUUUUGAAUUCAUUCAUGAUGCUACUGAAAAUUAUUAUGAGGGAGGAACAUAUGCUUGUAGGAAUUGCAAUAAUAUCAAGUUUCCUCUCUAUGUGCUUAAAGUUUUGAAGUUAUGCUUGUUUUGCCCUCCUAUGCUAGUUGAUUAUUGUUCCCAUAAGUUGUUUGCUCACAAAAUUCCUACACAUAGGAAGUGGGUUAGACUUACAUGUUCUAGUCAUAUGCUUCAUGAUGCUCUCUUUAUGUUUCAAUUCUUAUCUUUUAUGUGAGCAUCAUUGAAAUCGUCAUGCCUAGCUAGGGGCGUUAAACGAUAGCGCUUGUUGAGAGGAAACCCAACUUUAUUUUUGUUCCUUGAUUUUUGCUCCUGUCUAGCAAUAAAUAAUUUAUCUAGCAUCUGUUAUGAUUGAGUUUUUAUGUUAGAACCGUUGGGAAGACUUGGGGAAAGUCUUGGCGAUCAUGCUGUAAAAAAACAGAAACUUUAGCGCUCACGAGAAUUGCUGACAUUUUUUAUUGGAGAGUGCUAUUUGGUUAAUUAUUUUUGCAGAUGAUUAAUAGAUAAAUUCCUCACGUCCAGCAAUUUAUUUUAGAAUUUUUGAGGCUCCAGAAGUUUGCGUUAGUUACAGAUUACUACAGACUGUUCUGUUUUUGACAGAUUCUGUUUUUCGUGUGUUGUUUGCUUAUUUUGAUGAAUCUAUGGCUAGUAAAAUAGUUUAUAAACCAUAGAGAAGUUUUAAUACAGUAGGUUUAACACCAAUAUAAAUAAAUAAUGAGUUCAUUACAGUACCUUUAAGUGGUGUUUUAUUUUCUUUCGCUAACGGAGCUCACGAGUUUUCCAUUUUAAGUUUUGUGUUGUGAAGUUUUCAAGUUUUGGGUAAAGAUUUGAUGGAUUAUGGAAUAAGGAGUGGCAAGAGAAUAAGCUUGGGGAUGCCGAAGGCACCCCAAGGUAAUAUUCAAGGACAACCAAAAGCCUAAGCUUGGGGAUGCCCCGGAAGGCAUCCCCUCUUUCGUCUUCGUUCAUCGGUAACUUUACUUGGAGCUAUAUUUUUAUUCACCACAUGUUACGUGUUUUGCUUGGAGCGUCAUUUUAUUUCAUUUUUUUGCUUGCUGUUUGAAUAAAGUAUCAAGAUAUGAAAUUAUUAAGUGGGAGAGUCUUCACAUAGUUGCAUAAGUAUUCGACUACUCAUUGAUCUUCACUUACAUCUUUCAGAGUAGUUUGUCAUUUUCUCUAGUGCUUCACUUAUAUCUUUUGAGAGCACGGUGGUGGUUUUAUUUUGUAGAAAUAGAUGAACUCUCGUGCUUCACUAAUAUUAUUUUGAGAGUCCUCAGAACAGCAUGGUAAUUUGCUUUGGUUAUGAAUUUAGUCCUAAUAAGAUGGGCAUCCAAGAGGGAUAUAAUAAAAACUUUCAUAUAAGUGCAUUGAAUACUAAGAGAAGUUUGAUACUUGAUGAUUGUUUUGAGAUAUGGAGAUAGUGAUAUUAAAGUUGUGCUAUUUGACACUACUAGGAAAAGGCCUACUAAUGGCGCACCAGUUUUGCCUACUAAUGGCGCAUCACUGGUGCGCCAUUACUAGCACGCCAUUAGUAAUUUUUAGUAAUGGCGCACCACUGGUGCGCCAUUAGUAUCGGCCACGGUGCGCCAUUCGUAUAGGCCACUGGUGCGCCAUUAGUAUAGGCCACGGUGCGCCAUUAGUAUUUUUGGAUUUUGAAGGCGGGAAAAUAGUAGUGGCGCACCGUCUAACCCCCACCGUGCGCCAUUACUAUUUUUGAAUUUUGAAUUUGGAUCUGGAUCGUGAUUUUUUUGCCCAUUUUUUGCUCGUUUUUUUGCUCGUUUUUUGGCACAAUAUUAUUUCAAAUUUUGUUCUUGUUUUUGGAUCUUGUACGUUCUUUUGCCGUGUUCUUUUGCCGGAGAGGAGUUCGCCGGAGAGGAGGAGGAGGAGGUCACCGGAGAGGCGCUCGCCUACAUCGCCGGAGAGGAGGAGGAGGUCGCCGGAGAGGAGUUCACCGAAGCAUCGGAGAGGAGGAAGGAGAAACCAUGAGGGAAUGGGAGGAGAGGAGGGAGGAGAAACCAUGAGGGGAGGGGAGGAGAGGAGGGAGNNNNNNNNNNNNNNNNNNNNNNNNNNNNNNNNNNNNNNNNNNNNNNNNNNNNNNNNNNNNNNNNNNNNNNNNNNNNNNNNNNNNNNNNNNNNNNNNNNNNNNNNNNNNNNNNNNNNNNNNNNNNNNNNNNNNNNNNNNNNNNNNNNNNNNNNNNNNNNNNNNNNNNNNNNNNNNNNNNNNNNNNNNNNNNNNNNNNNNNNNNNNNNNNNNNNNNNNNNNNNNNNNNNNNNNNNNNNNNNNNNNNNNNNNNNNNNNNNNNNNNNNNGGAGAGGAGAAGGAGGUCGCCGGAGAGGAGGAGAUGGAGUGGAGGAGAGGAGGAGAUGGAGUGGAGGAGAGGAGAGGAGGAGAUGGAAUGGAGGAGAGGUGGAGUGGAGGAGGUGCGCCCAGCCAUGUAUACGACAUAGUAAUGGCGCACCGUGGGCAGGUGCGCCAUUACUAACUUUUUUUAUUUUUUGAUUUAUUUUGAAUUUUGAAGGCGGGAAGAUACUAAUGGCGCACCGUGGGCAGGUGCGCCAUUAGUAACUUUUUUUUUAUUUUUGACUAAUUUUGAAUUUUGAAGGCGGGAAGAUACUAAUGGCGCACCGUGGGCAGGUGCGCCAUUAGUAACUUUUUUUGACUAAUUUUGAAUUUUGAAGGUGGGAAGAUACUAAUGGCGCACCACGGGGUGGUGCGCCAUUAGUAACUUUUUUUUAUUUUGUUGACUUAUUUUGAAUUUUGAAGGCGGGAAGAUACUAAUGGCGCACCAUGGGCAGGUGCGCCAUUAGUAAGUUUGAAUUAUUUUUAAUUUUUUUGCCUCUCCAGAUCUUAAAAGCCCCAUAUAUUUUUUUCUGUUAGGUUUUUGAGGAUUUUAAAAAUGUUUAACGGAUUCCCCGGUUAAAUUUGGAUGUAACUUUUCGAGUAGAUGAUUUUUCAUAUAAAAAACUUUUUCAUCCGAGUUAGUAUGCAAAAGUUAUGCCCAUUUUUACAAAUUNNNNNNNNNNNNNNNNNNNNNNNNNNNNNNNNNNNNNNNNNNNNNNNNNNNNNNNNNNNNNNNNNNNNNNNNNNNNNNNNNNNNNNNNNNNNNNNNNNNNNNNNNNNNNNNNNNNNNNNNNNNNNNNNNNNNNNNNNNNNNNNNNNNNNNNNNNNNNNNNNNNNNNNNNNNNNNNNNNNNNNNNNNNNNNNNNNNNNNNNNNNNNNNNNNNNNNNNNNNNNNNNNNNNNNNNNNNNNNNNNNNNNNNNNNNNNNNNNNNNNNNNNNNNNNNNNNNNNNNNNNNNNNNNNNNNNNNNNNNNNNNNNNNNNNNNNNNNNNNNNNNNNNNNNNNNNNNNNNNNNNNNNNNNNNNNNNNNNNNNNNNNNNNNNNNNNNNNNNNNNNNNNNNNNNNNNNNNNNNNNNNNNNNNNNNNNNNNNNNNNNNNNNNNNNNNNNNNNNNNNNNNNNNNNNNNNNNNNNNNNNNNNNNNNNNNNNNNNNNNNNNNNNNNNNNNNNNNNNNNNNNNNNNNNNNNNNNNNNNNNNNNNNNNNNNNNNNNNNNNNNNNNNNNNNNNNNNNNNNNNNNNNNNNNNNNNNNNNNNNNNNNNNNNNNNNNNNNNNNNNNNNNNNNNNNNNNNNNNNNNNNNNNNNNNNNNNNNNNNNNNNNNNNNNNNNNNNNNNNNNNNNNNNNNNNNNNNNAAUUUUUUUACUAAUGGCGCACCGUGGAUGUGGUGCGCCAUUACUAGUUCAACUAGUAAUGGCGCACCACCCCCACGGUGCGCCAUUAGUAGUUUUGAAAAAAAUUAAAUUUUUUUACCAAUGGCGCACCGUGGAUGUGGUGCGCCAUUAGUAUUUGGACACUAAUGGCGUACCAACACAUGGUGCGCCAUUAGUAUAUAGUAAUGGCGCACCACAUGUCUGGUGCGCCAUUAGUGUCAAUUCCAUCUAUAGCCCUUUUCCUAGUAGUGUGAGUAGUUGUGAAUUUGAGAAAUACUUGUGUUGAAGUUUGCAAGUCCCGUAGCAUGCACGUAUGGUAAACGUUAUGUAACAAAUUUGAAACAUGAGGUGUUCUUUGAUUGUCCUCCUUAUGAAUGGCGGUCGGGGACGAGCGAUGGUCUUUUCCUACCAAUCUAUCCCCCUAGGAGCAUGCGUGUAGUGCUUGGUUUUUGAUGACUUGUAGAUUUUUGCAAUAAGUAUAUGAGUUCUUUAUGACUAAUAUUGAGUCCAUGGAUUAUAUGCAUUCUCACCCUUCCAUCAUUGCUAGCCUCUUCGGUACCGUGCAUUGCCCUUUCUCACAUUGAGAGUUGGUGCAAACUUCGCUGGUGCAUCCAAACCCCGUGAUAUGAUACACUCUUUCACACAUAAACCUCCUUAUAUCUUCCUCAAAACAGCCACCAUACCUACCUAUUAUGGCAUUUCCGUAGCCAUUCUGAGAUAUAUUGCCAUGCAACUUUCCACCAUUCUGUUUGUCAUGACACAUUCAUCAUUGUCAUAUUGCUUAGCAUGAUCAUGUAGUUGACAUAGUAUUUGUGGCAAAGCCACCGUUCAUAAUUAUUUCAUACAUGUCACUCUUGGUUCAUUGCAUAUCCCGGUACACCGCCGGAGGCAUUCAUAUAGAGUCAUAUCUUGUUCUAGUAUCGAGUUGUAAAUAAAUAGAAGUGUGAUGAUCAUCAUUAAUAGAGCAUUGUCCCAAAAAAAGGAAGAGAACGACCAAAUAAAAAAGGGAAGCCCCCCACCCAAAAAAGAAAAGAAAGGCCAGAUAAAAAAUAAAAAAAAUAAAAAAAAUAAAAGGGACAAUGCUACUAUCCUUUUUCCACACUUGUGCUUCAAAGUAGCACCAUGAUCUUUAUGAUAGAGAGUCUCUUGUUUUGUCACUUUCAUAUACUAGUGGGAAUUUUUUAUUAUAGAACUUGGCUUGUAUAUUCCAACAAUGGGCCUCCUCAAGUGCCCUAGGUCUUUGUGAGCAAGCAAGUUGGAUGCACACCCACUUAGUUUCUUUUGUUGAGCUUUCAUACAUUUAUGGCUCUAGUGCAUCCGUUGCAUGGCAAUCCCUAAUCCUUGCAUUGACAUCAAUUGAUGGGCAUCUCCCUAGCCCAUUGAUUAGCCGCGUCGAUGUGAGACUUUCGCCUUUUGGUCUUCUCCACAUAACCCCCUCAUUAUAUUCUAUUCCACCCAUAGUGCUAUAUCCAUGGCUCACGCUCAUGUAUUGCGUGAAAGUUGAAAAAAGUUUGAGAUUACUAAAGUAUGAAACAAUUACUUGGCUUGUCAUCGGGGUUGUGCACAAUGAGAGCAUUCUUGUGUGACGAAAAUGGAGCAUGGCCAAACUAUAUGAUUUUGUAGGGAUGAACUUUCUUUGGCCAUGUUAUUUUGAGAAGACAUGAUUGCUUAGUUAGUAUACUUGAAGUAUUAUUAUUUUUAUGUCACUAUUAAACUUUUGUCUUGAAUCUUAUGGAUCUGAAUAUUCUUGCCACAAUAAAGAGAACUACAUGGAUAAAUAUGUUAGGUGGCAUUCUACAUCAAAAAUUCUGUUUUUAUCUUUUAGCUACUCCAGGACGAGCAGGAAUUAAGCUUGGGGAUGCUGAUACGCCUCCAACGUAUCUAUAAUUUUUAUUGUUCCAUGCUAUUAUAUUAUCAACCUUGGAUGUUUUAUAUGCAUCUUUAUGCUAUUUUAUAUCAUUUUUGGGACUAACCUAUUAACCUAGAGCCCAGUGCCAGUUUCUGUUUUUUCCUUGUUCUAGGGUUUCGAAGAAAAGGAAUAUCAAAUGGAGUCCAAACGGAAUGAAACCUUCGGAAAAGUUGUUUUUGGAAAGAAAGCAAUACAGGAGACUUGGAGUGCACGUCAGCGGAUCAACGAGGAAGCCACGAGGCAGGGGGCGCGCCCACCCCCUGGGCGCGCCCUCCACCCUCGUAGGCCCCUCGUGGCUCCCCUAAUGUAUUUCUUCCGCCUGUAUGUACCAAUAUACCCUAAAACGAUCGGGGAGCACAAUAGAUUGGGAGUUCCGCCGCCAGAAGCCUCUGUAGCCACUAAAAGUGAAUCUAGACCCGUUCCGGCACCCUGCCGGAGGGUGAAUCCCUCUCCGGUGGCCAUCUUCAUCAUCCCGGUGCUCUCCAUGACGAGGAGGGAGUAGUUCUCCCUUGGGGCUGAGGGUAUGUACCAGUAGCUAUGUGUUUAAUCUCUCUCUCUCUCUCUCUCGUGUUCUUGAGGUGAUACGAUCUUGAUGUAUCGCGAGCUUUGCUAUUAUAGUUGUAUCUUAUGUUUCUUCUCCUCCUCUACUCUCUUGUAAUGGAUUGAGUUUCCCCUUCGAAGUUAUCUUAUCGGAUUGAGUCUUUAAAGAUUUGAGAACACUUGAUGUAUGUCUUGCCGCGUGUAUCUGUGGUGACAAUGGGAUAUCACGUGAUUCACUUGAUGUAUGUUUUCGUGAUCAACUUGCGGGUUCCGCCCAUGAACCUAUGCAUAGGGGUUGGCACACGUUUUCGUCGUGAUUCUUUGGUAGAAACUUUGGUGCACUCUUUGAGGUUCUAUGUGUUGGUUGAAUAGAUGAACUUGAGAUUGUGUGAUGCAUAUCGUAUAAUCAUACCCACAGAUACUUGAGGUGACAAUGGUUUGCUCACAAAAUCCCUAUGCAUAGGAAGUGGGUUAGACUUAAAUGUUCUAGUCAUAUGCUUCAUGAUGCUCUCUUUAUGUUUCAGUUCUUAUCUUUUAUGUGAGCAUCAUUGAAAUCAUCAUGCCUAGCUAGGGGCGUUAAACGAUAGCGCUUGUUGGGAGGAAACCCAACUUUAUUCUUGUUCCUUGCUUUUUGCUCCUGUUUAGCAAUAAAUAACUUAUCUAGCCUCUGUUAUGAUUGAGUUUUUAUGUUUUAAUUAGUGUUUGUGCCAAGUAGAACCGUUGGGAAGACUUGGGGAAAGUCUUUGCGAUCAUACUGUAAAAAACAGAAACUUCAGCGCUCACGAGAAUUGAUGGGCAUCUCCUUAACCCAUUGAUUAGCCGCGUCGAUGUGAGACUUUCUCCUUUUUGUCUUCUCCACAUAACCCCCUCAUUAUAUUCUAUUCCACCCAUAGUGCUAUAUCCAUGGCUCACGCUCAUGUAUUGCGUGAAAGUUGAAAAAAGUUUGAGAUUACUAAAGUAUGAAACAAUUGUUUGGCUUGUCAUCGGGGUUGUGCAUGAUGAGAGCAUUCUUGUGUGACGAAAAUGGAGCAUGACCAAACUAUAUGAUUUUGUAGGGAUGAACUUUCUUUGGCCAUGUUAUUUUGAGAAGACAUGAUUGCUUAGUUAGUAUGCUUGAAGUAUUAUUAUUUUUAUGUCAAUAUUAAACUUUUUUCUUGAAUCUUAUGUAUUUGAAUAUUCUUGCCGGAAUAAAGAGAACUACAUGGAUAAAUAUGUUAGGUAGCAUUCCACAUCAAAAAUUCGGUUUCAUUAGCGGCGUGCCCUGCACCCAUUUAUCACGUCGUAUCUCUGUAGUAUGCGCAUUCCCAAUUUGUCACGGCAUACCCUCCUUCAAACCUUCUUGCCCUUUCAGAUUAGCACGCCAAGCUAGCUAUGCACUAUGCGGGAACCUGCAUUUGAAAAAAAAGAAUCUCAUUUCAUGGUAUCUUCCAUGAAGGACCCUCGUACAUGAGCUAUCUAGAUAGAAAUAGCCAUGUAUGUUUAGCAAACUUUGCAUAAGUGAAUAGAUCAAGGUCGUGGAACCCCAAGCCUCCAAUUACACACGGCCUCUCUACCAAUAAGAUCUCCAAAGACAUCAAGGAUACAGACAGCCAAAAAAGAAAAUAAAAAGGAAAAAAAUAAAAAAUACCCCACCAUGGUGAUCAAUCACAAGCAUCAGCAGCACUCUAACCACCACCUAAGACAACGCCCAGAUUACAAAAAAAAUUCUCCAAAAGCAAUGCCCCCAAGAAGGAAACAAUACACAAGCGUUGUCGUUGCCCGAUCGAAGAUCGUGGGUUUUCACACUGGAAAAUUUUUGAGUUCACCCAAAAACAAUGCCUUCAACAAGGCCAUUGCCAAGUACAACAAAUAUGGCUGAGACCUUGGGUUUUCACCCUAGGAAUUGAGAGUCGAUGCUCGAGGAGUACCACCAAAAAUGCAGUCCACUAGUGUUGCCGCCCCCACUUGGCGAGGCCGCUGUUGCAAGUCACCAAACACCUGGCAUAUAGUUGUCAUCGCAUCCAAUACACCCUUCGGCCGAAGCUUCAAGACCUUGAUCCGUCUCCAACGUAUCUAUAAUUUUUGAUUGUUCCAUGCUAUUAUAUUAUCUGUUUUGGAUGUUUUAUAUGAGUAGGGCGUUUUGGUGCCCAGGCUCAUCUGCACCCGGUUAGAAAAAAUUCAUAAAAAAUUUAAACAAAUUCAAAAAAUUCCAAAUAAAAUUUGUAUGGUAGACAAUUUGAUGCGUGAGGCCCGCCUCAAAUUUCAAGUCAUUUGGAUAUAUGAGAAGCUCUCAGCAAAAAAGACAAAUCGGACUAAAACAGUACAUGAACAGUAAACAUUUUUACAGACCCUCAAUUUGUCUUUUUUGCUGAGAGCUGCUCAUAUGUUCAAAUGACUUGAAAUUUGGAGCGUGCCUCACGCAUCAAAAUUUCUAUCACACAAAUUUUAUUUGGAAUUUUUCGAAUUUUUCUAGUAUUUGUUUUGAUUUUUUUCGUCGGCACAGGUGCAGAUGAGCUCAGGUGCAGAAAUGGAUUUUCGGUUUUAUUUGCACUAUUAUGCUAUUUUAUAUGAUUUUUGCGACUAACCUAUUAAACUAGAGCCCAGUGCCAGUUCCUGUUUUUUCCUUGUUUUAGAGUUUCACAGAAAAGGAAUACCAAACGGAGUCCAAACGGAAUGAAACUUUUGCGAUGAUGUUUCUUAGACCAGAAGACAUCUAGAGGACUUGGAGUGCACGUUAGGAAAGCCAUGAGGUGGCCACAAUGACGGAGGGCACGCCCCCACCCUUGUGGGCUCCUCGUGACUCUACCGACCUAUUUCGUCCGCAUAUAUAUUCUCAAAUAUUCCAAAACCUACUAGGAGAGCCACAAAAAAACUUUUCCACCGUCGCAACCUUCUGUACCCAUGAGUUCCCAUCUAGGGGCCUUUUCCGGCAUCCCGUCGGAGGGGGAUUCGAUCACGGAGGGCUUCUACAUCAACACCAUUGCCUCUCCGAUGAAGCGUGAGUAGUUUACCACAGACCUAUGAGUCCAUAGCUAGUAUCUAAACGGCUUCUUCUCUCUCUUUGAUUCUCAAUACCAUGUUCUCUUCGAUGUUCUUGGAGAUCUAUUCGUUGUAAUACUCUUUUUGCGGUGUGUUUGCCGAGAUCCGGUGAAUUGUGGAUAUAUGAUCAGGUUAUCUAUGAAUAUUAUUUGAAUCUCCUAUGAAUUCUUAUAUGCAUGAUUUGAUAUAUUUGCAAGUCUCUUCGAACUAUCGAUUUGGUUUGGCCAACUAGAUUGGUUUUUCUUGCAAUGGGAGAAGUGCUUAACUUUGGGUUCAAUCUUGCGGUGCUCGAUCCCAGUGACAGAAGGGGAUGAUACGUCUCCAACGUAUCUAUAAUUUUUGAUUGUUCCAUGCUAUUAUAUUAUCAACCUUGGAUGUUUUAUAUGCAUUUAUAUGCUAUUUUAUAUGAUUUUUGGGACUAACCUAUUAACCUAGAGCCCAGUGCCAGUGCCAGUUUCUGUUUUUUCCUUGUUUUAGGGUUUCAAAGAAAAGGAAUAUCAAACAGAGUCCAAACGGAAUGAAACCUUCGGAAAAGUUAUUUUUGGAAAGAAAGCAAUACGAGAGACUUGGAGUGCACGUCAGGGGAUCAACGAGGAAGCCACGAGGCAGGGGCACGCCCUCCACCCUCGUGGCUCCCCUAAUGUAUUUCUUCCGCCUAUAUAUAUCCAUAUACCCUAAAAUGAUCGGGGAGCACAAUAGAUCGGGAGUUCCGCCACCAGAAGCCUCCGUAGCCACCGAAAGCCAAUCUAGACCCGUUCCGGCACCCUGCCGGAGGAGGAAUCCCUCUUCGGUGUCCAUCUUCAUCAUCCCGGUGCUCUCCAUGACGAGGAGGGAGUAGUUCUCCCUCAGGGCUGAGGGUAUGUACCAGUAGCUAUGUGUUUGAUCUCUCUCUCUCUCUCUCUCUCUCUCUCUCGUGUUCUUGAGGUGAUACGAUCUUGAUGUAUCGCGAGCUUUGCUAUUAGAGUUGGAUCUUAUGUUUCUUCUCCCCCUCUACUCUCUUGUAAUGGAUUGAGUUUCCCCUUCGAAGUUAUCUUAUCGGAUUGAGUCUUUAAAGAUUUGAGAACACAUGAUGUAUGUCUUGCCGUGCGUAUCUGUGGUGACAAUGGGAUAUCACGUGAUUCAUUUGAUGUAUGUUUUGGUGAUCAAGUUGCGGGUUCCACCCAUGAACCUAUGCAUAGGGGUUGGCACACAUUUUCGUCAUGAUUCUCCGGCAGAAACUUUGGGGCACUCUUUGAGGUUCUAUGUGUUGGUUGAAUAGAUGAAUCUGAGAUUGUGUGAUGCAUAUCGGAUAAUCAUACCCACGGAUACUUGAGGUGACAAUGGAGUAUCUAGGUGACAUUAGGGUUUUGGUUGAUUUGUGUCUUAAGGUGUUAUUCUAGUACGAACUCUAGGGCUGUUUGUGACACUUAUAGGAAUAGCCCAAUGGAUUGAUUGGAAAGAAUAACUUGGAGGUGGUUUCGUACCCUACCAUAAUCUCUUCGUUCGUUCUCCGCUAUUAGUGACUUUGGAGUGAUUCUUUGUUGCAUGUUGAGGGAUAGUUAUGUGAUCCAAUUAUGUUAUUAUUGUUGAGAGAACUUGCACUAGUGAAAGUAUGAACCCUAGGUCUUGUUUCAACGCAUUGCAAUACCGUUUACGCUCACUUUUAUCAUUAGUUACCUUGCUGUUUUUAUAUUUUCAGAUUACAAAAACCUUUAUCUACCAUCCAUAUACCACUUGUAUCACCAUCUCUUCGCCGAACUAGUGCACCGAUACAAUUUACCAUUGUAUUGGGUGUGUUGGGGACACAAGAGACUCUUUGUUAUUUGGUUGCAGGGUUGGUUGAGAGAGACCAUCUUCAUCCUACGCCUCCUACAGAUUGAUAAACCUUGGGUCAUCCACUUGAGGAAAAUUUGCUACUGUCCUACAAACCUUUGCACUUGGAGGCCCAACAACGUCUACAAGAAGAAGGUUGUGUAGUAGACAUCAGGGGAACCGACACAUAUUGUAGUGUUUCCAUCGAGGAUAACAAGAUGGGGUUUUCGUCAUAUUGCUUGAGUUUAUCCCGCUACAUCAAGUCAUCUUACUUAAUGCGUUAUCCUGUUCUUAUGAACUUAGUACUCUAGGUGCAGGCAGGAGUCAGUGGACGUGUGGAGUAAUAGUAGUAGAUGCAAGCAGGAGUCCGUCUACUUGAUACAAACAUGAUGCUUAUGUUCAUGAUCAUUGCCUUAGAUAUCGUCAUAAGUUUGCACUUUUCUAUCAAUUGCUCAGCAGUAAUUUGUUCACCCACCGUAAGAUUUUCUAUCUUGAGAGAAGCCUCUAGUGAAACCUAUGGCCCCGGGGUCUACUUUCCAUCAUAUAAGUUUCUGAUCUACAAUUGUGUUGGUUGAAUAGAUGAAUCUGAGAUUGUGUGAUGCAUAUCGUAUAAUCAUACCCACGGAUACUUGAGGUGACAAUGGAGUACCUAGGUGACAUUAGUGUUUUGGUUGAUUUGUGUCUUAAGGUGUUAUUCUAGUACGAACUCUAGGGCUGUUUGUGACACUUAUAGGAAUAGCCCAACGGAUUGAUUGGAAAGAAUAACUUUGAGGUGGUUUCGUACCCUACCAUAAUCUCUUCGUUCGUUCUCCGCUAUUAAUGACUUUGGAGUGACUCUUUGUUGCAUGUUGAGGGAUAGUUAUGUGAUCCAAUUAUGUUAUUAUUGUUGAGAGAACUUGCACUAGUGAAAGUAUGAACCCUAGGCCUUGUUUCAACGCAUUACAAUACCGUUUACGCUCAGUUUUAUCAUUAGUUACCUUGCUGUUUUUAUAUUUUCAGAUUACAAAAACCUUUAUCUACCAUCCAUAUACCACUUGUAUCACCAUCUCUUCGCUGAACUAGUGCACCUAUACAAUUUACCAUUGUAUUGGGUGUGUUGGGGACACAAGAGACUCUUUGUUAUUUGGUUGCAGGGUUGCUUGAGAGAGACCAUCUUCAUCCUACACCUCCUACGGAUUGAUAAACCUUAGGUCAUCCACUUGAGGGAAAUUUGCUACUGUCCUACAAACCUCUGCACUUGGAGGCCCAACAACGUCUACAAGAAGAAGGUUGUGUAGUAGACAUCAGGGGAACCGACACAUAUUGUAUUGUUUCCAUCGAGGAUAACAAGAUGGGGUUUUCGUCAUAUUGCUUGAGUUUACCCCGCUACAUCAAGUCAUCUUACUUAAUGCGUUAUCCUGUUCUUAUGAACUUAAUACUCUAGAUGUAGGCAGGAGUCGGUGGACGUGUGGAGUAAUAGUAGUAGAUGCAAGCAGGAGUCAGUCUAGUUGAUACAAACGUGAUGCUUAUGUUCAUGAUCAUUGCCUUAGAUAUCGUCAUAACUUUGCGCUUUUAUAUCAAUUGCUCAACAGUAAUUUGUACACCCACUGUAAGAUUUUCUAUCUUGAGAGAAGCCUCUAGUGAAACUAUGGCCCCGGGGUCUACUUUCCAUCAUAUAAGUUUCCGAUCUACAAUUUUAGUUUCCUAUCACUUCCUUUGCAAUCUUUUACUUUCCAUUCCAUAAACCAAAAAUACCAAAAAUAUUACUUUACCGAUUAUCCAUCUCUAUCAGAUCUCACCUUGCAAAUAACCAUGAAGGAUUGACAACCCCUUUGUCGCAUUAGGUGUAAGUUGCUAUUUGUUUGAGCAUGUAUUCAGUGACUUGUGCAUUGUCUCCUACUGGAUUGAUACCUUGGUUCUCAAAACUGAGGGAAAUACUUACUCUACUUUGCUGCAUCACCCUUUCCACUUCAAGGGAAAAACCAACGCAAGCUCAAGAGGAAGUAGGAAGAAUUUCUGGCACCGUUGCCGGGGACAUCUACGCCAAGUCAAGACAUACCAAGUACCCAUCAUAAACUCUCAUCUCUUGCAUUAUAUUAUUUGCCAUUCGCCUCUCGUUUUCCUCUCCCCCACUUCUAAAAUGAUUUGCCUUUUCUUCGCCCUCUUCCAUUCAUCUUCUUCGCUUGCUUUUUGUGUGCUCAUGUGUUGGAUUGCUUGCUUUGUCACGAUGUCUCAAGAGAAUACCAAAUUGUGUGACUUUUCCAAUACCAACAACAAUGAUUUUAUUAGUACCCCGAUUGCUCCCGCUACUAAUGCGGAAUCUUGUGAAAUUAAUGCUGCUUUGCUGAGUCUUGUUAUGAAAGAUCAAUUUUCCGGCCUUCCCAAUGAAGAUGCCGCAUCCCAUCUAAACAAUUUCGUUGAUUUGUGUGAUAUGAAAAAGAAAAAAGAUAUGGAUAAUGAUAUUGUUAAAUUGAAGCUAUUUCCGUUGUCACUUCGAGAUCGUGCUAAAACUAGGUUUUCAUCUUUGCCUAAAAAUAGCGAGUGUCAUUUUUUAAUGCGAGUGAUUAGUUUUUAAAGAAUGAUUGGCAUUCUUUCUUAAUUGCUCAUCUACUAAUCGUUUGGCGUGUUUUCUUAUCUUGUCAAAAUCAUAUCCCCUGGCUGUAAAUAUCAAAGAAUAAUUUCAUUUGUUGGGCUUGGACUGUACUGUCCGAGAGUCAGAGUAUAAAUACCAUACGAUUUCAAGAGCAAUAGCAACGGGGCAACCAUUAGUCCAUACUCUACACCAUAUGGCUAGAAAUUUUAUAUUAUAUAUAACAAAGUUGUGACAAAUUGGAAAUGGAAAGCAAUAAAAUGAAUAUGUUGCUAUAGGUUAUUAUUAUUACACAUGCACGUGUACCUUGAUCCUUGCUUGGACAUAGGGUCCGAGGAAGUUACAUUGCUUUGACUACUGAUAUUGUUUGUGUUAAAGUGUGCCACAAUGGCAUAAAUAUUGUCGUUGCAUAAUGGGAAACCACGUCAUAUUUAUCGAUGAUAUGUGGAAAUAGGGAUAAGCUACUUUAUGAAGAUAUAUAAGGAUGUAUGGGUUACGUUGGUGGAAAAUGUUGUUAUGAACACAAAUGCAGUUGCAUUUAUCAUGCAUUCGCGGUGAAGUGCGCUAUUGUGGCAUAUAUCUUCCUUUUUGCCACAGAAGCAUGGUAGAAUUAUAAAGAGAGUAUGUUUCUAUAGACAUUUCAAAAAAGAGAUUUGUGUAUACUCUCAUUAUACUGUAAUCACCAUAGAUUAUUCAGAUUAGAAGUUGUUGUCUCUACCACAUAUUUAGAUUUUCUAUACAUACUAAUAUCUAUAUCGCAUAGAAAAUCAUGUAUUUAUAUGAGAUCUUUGUGGUGCAUGAUAAAGCAAGAUUCCUUUUGUUAUUGCAGCAAUUUAUAAGUAUUUAAAUAUAUACUAAUAGCUAGUUUCUUCUGUGUUAUAAGGACAAAAUAAGACAUGCAUAGACAUGCAAAUACGUAUUAGAAAUCUGCUACUCCAAAUGUAUCAUGUUAAUCCAUGUAAGCCACGAAUCGCGUGCAUAUCAGGCAAAGCAGUUUUUUUUGUAAAAACAAUACAUAAUACUAAUCGAUGGUAUAGACGAUUCAAUACAUAUGCAUCAAGACACCGCUACCUUGCACAUAGUGAUAUAGGAUGGAAUUGAAUCUGAUCCGCUCCUUUCCAACUUAAUCGAGUAAUGUGUACUUCUCAUAAAUAGGCAUGUAUAUAGUAAUUGUUCUUUUGACCAAACGCUUGGUAUAUUAAUGAUCACAUUAUACAUUUAUGUAACAUUUCUUACUUGCGAAAUCUUUUACAAAUUGGAAUAUGGGAAUUUUAUUAAUACCUAGAAGAAAUACUACUAUUUAGAACAUAUAAUAACUGGUACUAUACUUUUUCUUAAUAUUGGUACUAUACUUAAUUGGACCAAAAGUUGCACAUAUUUUUGAUUAGUUCAUUUUUUUCUACAGAUUUAUCGGCGCCAUUAUUUCUCUAUGGUUGACAUGUAUAUGAACUACUGUCUGUAUAUAUUGAUCUGCAUUUAGACAAAUAUCAGGGACAAACACACAUACUGUUUAGCAUGUGUAGUUGUAAAGGUAGAAUACUGAUUUGUAGUAUUAAGAAAAUAUAUUUAUAAGAUCUUACUACAAUGUAUAUGGAUUGAGAAUCAGAGAAAUAACCAAGUGUUGUGCAAGGAUCAUUCUGACUAUCCAGUGGCAGAAUAAAAAUAGGAUGCUAAGCGCGGGGAGAAUACUUAUGUCCUAUAAACCUGCAAAUAAGAAGCAUGCAUUCACCAUAUAUUAGAAUUCCAAAUUUUAUAGUUCCUUUGCAUGUUGGAAAUAAGCUUUGCCCCUUGUGAUAUGGAUUAUCACGUAGAAUGGAAAGAGGAGAAAAAAAUUAUGGCUUAGCAGAAUCAAUGAGGAAAAGCACUACAUGUGAAGUAUCAAAACGUUGUGAUAGCACGAACCCCACCAGAUUUGAACUCGUGCUCUUAGUAUGACAUGAAAAGAGGGGCUACUCUCCAAUCGAAGUGAAAAUAGUAGAACUUUGAACUUAUAUAUAUAUACGCUUAAAAAUUCUAAAAGCAAAUGGUCAAAAACUCAGAAUAGCUUGAGCGGGCACUACUUGCUAACUCAAGCACAUGGCAACACAGUAUUAAGUCAAGAUUUUGCAACCGAGAGGGAAAGUCAAAUAAAUAAAUAAAUAAAUAAGGAUUCUCAUCAAACCUGUGAAUCCAAGCUAGUAUCUAACUAUUGUAUUGCUCAUAGUUUUGCAUACACCAUGGAACGUACGAUACAUAGCAUGUUGAAAAAUUAUAACCAAUUAAAUAGAAGAUAAAGGCAUAGUGCUAGGAGAUCAUCUCUCAGAGCAAUCAUCGCUGACAUAAACCUUCGGUUAAAUCACAUGUCUAAUUAGAACCUAGAGGUCUUUUACUUUUCCUUUAUAUGGAACCUUUAUUUUGACCUUUGGGGACUAUAGCCGCCUCAAAUAUGCAACUUUUUUUCGAAAUUUUAGUAUAGUGUAGUUGGAGCUUUUCCUGGUGUUCCAUAAAAAUAGCAAAGGGCAUAUUUCCUUUAGCCUACUUAUAUAUAAAAAAACGGCGUUCCUUAAUUAUUAUUCAAACUGAAAACACAUGCUAUCUUUAAAAGCAAAGAUGUACCUUAUGUGAGAAUCAUGCAUGUGUUAUUUCUAAUUAGUUAGGCAAUAAAAUAAUAGCAUCGUAUCAUUAGAUAAAUUAUUUUUCAACUGAAUCAGACAUGUGGGGUUUGACAAAAUUGAAAGUAUAUGCGAAGAUGUUAAGGAGAAAAUGUCAAUAUAAAAAAACUGUUUCUAUAGGCAGAUGUGAAUUACGUACAAAAAUAGGUCUGUUCGCUUUACAAAAGUUCUGGUGAAACCAAACUCCUGAGUUACUACAUGUAGAGCUCAAAAAUACCAGAUAUAGAGUAUAAAAUGAGAAUGGAAUACUAAGUGCAUCUUACAGAAAUUAUAAGAUCUUUUUAAUAGCUUCCUCAAUAUUACAUAGCAUACACAACAAUGAGGCAUCAAAUGAAUCAGUAUUCUAAAUAUGUAAAGAAGAAUAAGAAACACAAAGUAGCUGCUGCUCGAGCAACUACUACAUGCAAAUACAAUGCUUGAGAAUUUUCAAGCGUUCUGUUCGCUUUUUACCCUGAUUCAGCAUGGAUUAAAAAACCACAGUACUUAAUUCCGUGUAUCCUAAAUUCAAGCGUCAUGUUCGACGAAUUUCACCAUAGAUUUACAUGCCUGUGGACUUGUAGAACCAACAGCGCACUCUACAACAUCCGACAGAUAAAUCGAUCUGCUUUCCGUUCGCUGUAGGUUGUUCAUUGGGAAGCAGCACGAUCCACUUUAGACCACCAUCAGUAGACCUGAUCCUACGCUGCAUCGCAUUGUUAUAUUGCAGUCAGCUCGGAACUUAUGUCAAGGAGAAUAGUUAGACGAUGGAUUUGAUAUUUGGCCUUUUUGAGAUCUGAAACGUGUGUGUACUUCGUAGCUGUCAGCAGGUGGAAGGCCGUCCUGACAAAGAGGCAUAUUGCAUCCUAAAUUCAAGCACCAUGUUCGAAAAAAAAUCAGUAUGGGUUUACUUGCCUGUGGACUUGUAGAACCAACAUCAAACCCGACAAAAUCGGACAGAUAAAUCGAUCUGCUUUCCGUUCGUAGUAGGUUCUCCAAUGGGCAGCAGCACGAUCCACUUUAGACCACCUGAUCCUACGCUGCAUCUUGCAGUCAGCUCCGAACUUAACCCAGAAGAAUAGUUAGACGAUGGAUUUGAUAGUUGGCCUUUUUUUAGAUCAGAAUUGUAGGUGCAGGGUGGCUCGGCGAUCCUGACAAAGAUGAGAUUGAUCGGGGUCGCUAAUAAUCCCUUGUAGCACCUGCCGGGAUCCUUUGUGGUUCGCCGAGUGCACUUGAUGGCGAUGGGAUCAAGGGAAGAGAAGAAUUGAAGGAGGUGGGGUCGAGGGACAUGUUUUUCCUAUUUUAGGGGGAGAUAUCUUUCCUUUCUGUUUUUGCGUGAUUGUUUUCGUUUUUCAAUCGGCCGAAGAUUUUAUUGACAGAUCUAUUUUCUUUUUCUUUUCAUCACGGGAUUUUACAUGAAAGGAGGCUAUCUUUUUUUAGCAUGGAAGGAAGAUAUCUUUUUUAAAGGAACCGAUGGAUGCUUUGUUUGUUUGUUAAGCCAAUCUUGACGGUGUCGCGUUCCUUUAUUUUUUACGGGGCCAUAUAUGCUACCAUUGAUUGCAAUUAGUUUUUUUCUCUUGGAGAUGGAUUAUUUGUUUGUUGAACGUGUCUGCCUUAAUUAUGGAUGGACCAUCUGUGUAACGCAUGUUUACUUUUUAUCUUGGACGUUAAUUCUAUAAUCUAUCGGUGUAAUUAAUUUUGAUGAUGUGGAUUAAUGAGAAGGCCUUAAAAGGUGCCUCCAAUUAGUAAAUAUAUAAGAUAUAAGAUAUUGAUUCAUGGAAUAAGUUUAAGGAUGAAUUUAUUUCCAAGUAUUUUCCUCCCGCUAAGAUCAUCUCUCUUAGGAACGACAUUAUGAAUUUUAACCAACUUGAUCAUGAACAUGUUGCACAAUCUCCGUAGAGGAUGAAAUUGAUGAUAUGAAAUUGCCCUACACAUGGUUUGAAUAUGUGGAUGAUUAUACAAUUUUUUAUGCCGGAUUGAAUUUUGCUUCUAGAAAUCUUUUAGAUUCGGCCGUGGGAGGUACUUUUAUGGAAAUUACUUUAGGAGAAGCUACUAAACUCCUAGAUAAUAUUACGGUUAAUUAUUCUCAAUGGUAUACUGAAAGAUCUUCCACUAGUAAAAAAGUGCAUGCGAUUGAUGAGUUUAAUGUUUUGAGUGGAAAGAUGGAUGACCUUAUGAAAUUAUAUGCUAGCAAGAGUGCUUCUGUUGAUCCUAAUGAUAUGCCUUUGUCUACUUUGAUUGAGAAUAAUAAUGAAUCUAUGUAUGUGAAUUUUGUUGGUAGGAACAAUUUUGGUAAUAACGCUUAUGGAGGUAAUUUUAAUCCUAGACUGCUUCCUAAUAAUUCCCCUAAUAAUUAUGGCAAUUCCUACAACAAUUCUUCACUGGUAGAAAAAGGGCCUGUAGUCCCGGUUCGUAAGGGCCUUUAGUCCCGGUUCCUGAACCGGGACUAAAGUGUCGGUACUAAUACCUCCCACCUUUAGUCCCGGUUCAAUCCAGAACCGGGACUAAAGCCCAUCCACGUGGGCAGUGUGCAGAGCCCAGUCAGGAGACCCUUUGGUCCCGGUUGGUGGCACCAACCGGGACCAAUAGGCAUCCACGCGUCAGCAUUUCUGUGNNNNNNNNNNNNNNNNNNNNNNNNNNNNNNNNNNNNNNNNNNNNNNNNNNNNNNNNNNNNNNNNNNNNNNNNNNNNNNNNNNNNNNNNNNNNNNNNNNNNNNNNNNNNNNNNNNNNNNNNNNNNNNNNNNNNNNNNNNNNNNNNNNNNNNNNNCCGGUUCAAUCCAGAACCGGGACUAAAGCCCAUCCACGUGGGCAGUGCGCAGAGCCCAGUCAGGAGACCCUUUGGUCCCGGUUGGUGGCACCAACCGGGACCAAUAGGCAUCCACGCGUCAGCAUUUCUGUGGCUAGGGUUUUUAUUUUUAUUUUUUGAAAGGGGGGGGGGGUUGGGGGUUUUGGGGGGUUAAUUUAGGUGUUUCAUAUAUUGUGUUAGCUAGCUAUAAUUAAUAUAGAGAAGUGUCCUCUCUUAUGUCCGUGCUUGGUCGACGCUACGUACUAUACAUACGUAUAGAGAGGACUAGACACGCUGGCUAGCUAGUAAAGCAAACGAAGGAAACAGAAGAUCGUCAUGAACAUAUAUGCAUACAGAGAGAAGUGAUAUCGACCACCUCUCCUUCUCCGAGAGAUUGGUCGAACAACAAGUUCUCGUAUAUCUAUCUGACAGUACCGGCUACAUAUAUACAGUAAUUAUCUCUUACAAAUAUAAUCAUACGGACUCAGGUUUAACAUAGAAUUCUCCGUCUUCAGGGAUCACGUGGUCAAAAAAGAAUGCCGCCAAUUCCUCUUGAAUUGCUCGCAUGCGAGCUGGUGCUAGGAGUUCAUCCCGCUUCCGAAACAUCUAAUUUGAAGAAGGGGGUCAAUACAUAUAUAUAUAUAUAUGAAUGAAUGAAACUCAACACAAAUGAUGGUAAUAAAAUAAAAUUGUGAAUAUUGUUAUUUACGUACUUCAUAUUGUUCGUUAGAGUACCCGCCCCGCUCACACGUCGUGUGACGGAUGGACUCGCAGAUGUAGUAUCCACAGAAAUCAUUCCCUUGUUCCUGCCACAACCACUUUACAAGAAAUAGAGGUCAAUCAAACUGAUAAGCAAGAAUGCUAAAUGGUAUUGAUGAAACUAGCGCUUGAAUCACUAGGAGAUGCGCGGAACAUGCUACUAUAGUACUUACUUUCGGGUGUCUAAAUUCUAGCUCCUUCGGCAGUCCCGGAACUUUUUUGGUGAAUUUUCUCCAAACCAUGCCGGACAAAGAAAACAAUUACUUGAUAUCAGGAAAUGAACAAAGUUGCUGAUAUGGUGGAUAAUGAUCGAUUUAACUUACUUCUUGAGGAUUUCAGUCAUGUCUGCAUAGUCCUGCGGAUCUUUUCGUUUUGAGUCUAAGAAGGUUACUAGUCCCUGCUCAAGCUUAAUCUCUAGGAGAAUAUAGUGGAAACUGCACACGCAUGCAUAACUUAUGAAUUACAUUACUAUAACCUUGAGUAAUAUAUAAGGGAAACCGAAUACGCACAAGACAGUAGCACUCACUUGAAGUUGUAAGGAAAGAGUAUUAUAUCUUUGUUUUGAUUUAUUACGAACGAUUGUAGAAAGUUGGCCUCGGUAGCUGUGACAUGAAGUUUAACCUGAAUUGCAUCUAUGAGAUAUGUGUUAAUGAACCCAAUAUCACCGACUUGUCUUUUCUUCAAUUCGACGAUCUUCAAUCUGCAUAAUAUAGUGAGGAUGAUUAUAAAUACAUGCAAUGAAAGAGCUAAGCUAUAUAGAGAAACUUAAUGACAGAAGUAGUACUACUUACAGACAGUAGCAGGCGACCGUUGUUUUAUCGAGGGCCAAUUGAUUGAAAAACUGAUAGAACUCCUCAAAUGGAACAGGCAACAGAUCAAUUCCAACGAGGUCAUGCUCCUUUUUAACUCUCACAUACAAAGUACUCCUCCCCCAGAGUCUCUGCAGAUUUUCAAGUACCAAUCAUGCAAUCUUCGCAUCAUCGUUGAUAGAGAUCUUUCAUCUUUGACGAGAGGCUUCCCGUACUCGUAUCUUUGCAUCUGCAUGUCCAUGGGUUCAUAAUGUACUUCGUCGGGUAGGUAAUCUGCAAGAUUAUUAUAACCGGGCACCAUCCUCGGAUCAUUAGCGACUUUGUGGCUAGGCACCUUGAGCGAGGGGCAUGAUUGCUUCGCUUGUUUGCCGAGCUGGGCAAUUUGUUUCCCAGCUCGUCGUUUUUUCAGCCUUUCAUCACUGACAGUAGUUCCCGACCGCUCCGCUUCGGCAAAUUCCUUUCCAAUAAUGCGGUCAUAGUUUCCUUUCGGCGGAUCAGACUUUGGUGGUUUUGUCAGGGCAGCCAGAGUGCGCUUCACUUUCACCCCAUCUACCUUCUCCUCUGGAGGUGGAUGUUUCUUUGCUUUCACCCCUUCAAAGAAUUUCCUCACUUCUUCUCACGCGAUCUCGGCGUUCUCCUCCUGGGUCCUCUCGUAUGGUAACUUCUCUGGAGUCUUCAGAGAAGGACCGAAUCUGUAUGUCCUCCCGCCUCUGGUUGUACUGCUAGACGCCGACCGAGCAAACGAAGCGGUUGUCUUCUUUACUUGCUUAAGAGGCGGAGGAGAAGGACUACGACCCGCCGGAGCAGCUGGAGCGGCGGCAGGUCUCUUCUGCCCUUGCUGACGAGGCGGAGAAGGAGGAGGUUGGCUGCUCGGGCGCGUCGGCGCAGGCGGAGACGGAGGCGGAGUGCCGCCACGCGCCGGAGAAGGAGCCGGCCGAGGGCCCUGAUCCUCACUCGCCGGAGGAGGAGGUGGUGGAGGAGGCGGAGUGCCCUGACUCGCCGGAGGAGGAGGAGGAGGCGGAGGCGUCCAGUUCGGAAGGUUGAUGAGGUCCUUCCGCCAUAGGCAUGGAGUCUUCAGAGCAGACCCCAGCCGAGUCUCCCCUUCACCGGUAGGGUGGUCAAGCUGGAGGUCCUCAAAUCCCUCCGUUAUCUCAUCCACCAUCACCCUAGCAUAUCCUUCUGGAAUCGGCAUGCAGUGAAAAGUUGCGCCGGGUUCAGUAGGAUAAACAGAGCCAACAGCCGCCUUGACCUUCAAAUUCAUCCAUUGCGUCAUAAGGUGGCAAUUUUGAGACUCCGUUAUAGCAUCCACAGGAUAGCUGGCAGGAGCCGUCAAGGCAUGCUGCAGCUGAAGCUGCUCGGUGGAAGCCACGCUGCUUCUGCGCUGAGAUGGCGGGGUAGCUUCGGGGGAGGCUUCGGCAGUACGUUUGUUGCGAUUUGCUUCUCGUUCCUCUAUCGCUUGUACCCUUGCGUGCAGCGCCUGCAGUUCGGUCUGCUGCACUUUUUUCCUCCUCUCAUGGGAUUUGUAACCGCCUGCGUCCGGAAACCCAACCUUCCACGGAACGGAGCCUGGCGUGCCUCGUGUCCGUCCAGGGUGCUCAGGAUUCCCGAGGGCCAUUGUGAGCUCGUUGUGCUCUCUGUCUGGAAAGAACGUCCCUUCCUGCGCUGCGUCGAUAUAGUGCUUAAGCUUACUGACUGGUAUGUCCAUUUGUUCGUUCGUCCAAAUGCAGUUCCCUAUUUCAGGGUCCAAGGUUCCGCCACCCCCGAAGAACCAAGUCCGGCAACGGUCUGGCCAGUUAUUUGUCUCUGGUCCGAUCCCUUUAUGAACCAGAUCAUUCUCAACCAUGGACCACUUAGGCCGGGCUACGAGGUAGCCACCUGACCCCGUGCGAUGGUGAAGCUUCUUCUUCGCGGCAUUCUGCUUGUUUGUCGCCGACAUCUUCUUACUCUUUUCCGAUGUCUUGUAGGCCACAAAUGCGGGCCAGUGAUCUCUGAUCUUCUCAUAUCUUCCCUUGAAUUCUGGUGUCUCUUUUUUAUCGACAAACCUAUUCAGCUCUUUCUUCCACCUCCUGAAUAGAUCUGCCAUCCUCUUCAGAGAAAAAGACUUGAUUAAUUUCUCUUUAAUUGGGUUCUCUGGAUUAUCCUCUGGCGGUAGGGUGAAAUUUGACUUCAGCUCAGUCCAAAGAUCAUUUUUCUGCAUAUCAUUGACAUAAGACACCUCAGGGUCUUCUGUAGCCGGCUUAAACCAUUGCUGGAUGCUUAUCGGGAUCUUGUCCCUAACCAGAACCCCGCACUGAGCAACAAAUGCCCUCUUUGUCCGGAGGGGUUCAAUAGGUUGGCCGUCGGGCGCGAUUGCUGUGAUCUCAAGCUUUUCAUCCGAGCUCAACUUUUUCUUCGGGCCUCGUCUCUUUACCGAAGUUGUGCUCGAUCCGGAGGGCUAGAAAAAAGAACAAAGACUUAAUUAAUAUGUGUACAUACCAAAACAAUGAAUGCAUCAAUCAGCUAGUCAGCAUAGGCUUAACUAAUAUAUAUACCUGGCCGGACUCGGUUCGGUCACCGGAGCCGUCAUCACGGUCUCCUUCUUGCACCGGCAUUGGGUCACCGGCGCCGUCCUCAUGUUCUUCUUCUUGCACCGGCAUUAGGUCACCGUAGCCAGCUUGUUCACCCUCUCCUUCCGGACCAUCGAUGAUAUCGUUGAGAUAGUACGAGACGGCAUCACUUCCUUGUGCGAUUAUCUCCCUCAACAACGCUUCUUUUGUUGCUUCGUCUAGGGCGGUGUCCAUAGUUUCUACAAAUAUUUACAACAUGGCAAUUAUUAUUCAAACAUGACAGAUGGAUAUAUUAGUGCCAAACGUAGAACUACCUACCUAAUCAUAGUAAGCUAUCGGGAGGGGGUAUAUAUCGACAACGACGACACUACAUCUAUAUAUGUCCCUCGAUGACCCUCGUUCCUGAUAAAAAAAGAGGAAGAAGAAGAAAAAAAAGAGGAGAAGAAAGAAUAGAGGAGAAGAACUCCUCUAUUCUUUCUUCUCCUCUUUUUUCUUCUUCUUCCUCUUCUUUUUUUAUCCUCUUCUUCCUCUCAUGUUCGAGAGGAUCGCCUUGGGGUCGGGAGGUUGCCUAGUGUCAAAGGAUUCAACAAAACCAUGUCUUCAUCAUUAGGCGAAAGUAACAUGUGCAUGAUGGUAGGAAGCUCUUCAAAGUUGUUCUGGAACGGAGUCCCAGAUAGGAUAAUUCGCUUUUUGGUACAAAGUUCAGCAAGAGCCUUCCGAAUAUCGCUAUUUGGAAGGCCUUUGCUGAAUUCGUACCAAAAGGCGGAUUAUUCUAUCCGGGACUCCAUUCCAGAACAACUUUGCAGAACUUCAUACCAACAUGCCCUGGUUACUUCCGGCUAAUGAUGAAGGCAUGGAUUUCUUCAAUACUUUGACACUAGGAAACCUCUCUCGACCCCUCGGCGAUUCUUGACCCCUCGAACCCUCAACGACCCUGAAACCCUCGACGCUUGACCCCUUAACGACCCUCGACCCUCUACCCUAGUUCCCGACCCUCGACCAAUAGAGGAGAAGAAGAAAGGAAUAGCUAGAGGAGAAGAUCGAAGAAAAAAAAGAAGAAACAAAAGAGGAGAAGAAGAAAGGAAUAGUGGAGAAGAAGAGAAAAUAGAAUAUAUAUUCUAUUUUCUCUUCUUCUCCACUAUUCCUUUCUUCUUCUCCUCUUCUUUUUCUUCUGUUUUCUUCUUCUUAUUUAUUUCUCCUCUUCUUUUCGGUAGAGGAAACCCUAAAUAGCUAGCAAGUAUCGUGGGUGUGAGAUACAUGUGGCCUUCGGUGUCGGACACUACAUCCACGUCCCACAAGUGACGUGGGCGUCGAAACCCGCGCCACUUGUGGGAUGUGGAUGUAGUGUCCGACACCGACGGUACAUGUAUCUCACACCGACGAUACUUUCUAUUUAGGGUUUCUCCUCUACCACUCGGCGGCCCUCUCGACGACCCUCGUUCCCGAUAAUAUAAAGAGGAAGAAGAAGAAGAAAAAAGAAGAGAAGAAAGAAUAGAGGAGACGAACCCUCGAACCCUCGAACCCUAGACGACCCUCUUCUUCCUCUCAUGUUCGAGAGGAUCGCCGAGGGGUCGGGAGGUUGCCUAGUGUCAAAGGAAACCCUAAAUAGCUAGCAAGUGUCAUGGGUGUGAGAUACAUGUGGCCUUCGGUGUCGGACACUACAUCCACGUCCCACAAGUGACGUGGGCGUCGAAGCCCGCGCCACUUGUGGGAUGUGGAUGUAAUGUCCGACACCGACGGUACAUGUAUCUCACACCGACGAUACUUUCUAUUUAGGGUUUCUCCUCUACCACUCGGCGGCCCUCUCGACGACCCUCGUUCCCGAUAAAAUAAAGAGGAAGAAGAAGAAGAAAAAAGAAGAGAAGAAAGAAUAGAGGAGAAGUCUCCUCUAUUCUUUCCUCGCCUCUCUCAUGAAUGUCCGGCGUUCUCGACCCCCCCCCCUCCCCACGUGUCGAAGAAAAAAAAGAAGAAAAAAAAGAGGAGAAGAAGAAAGGAAUAGAGGAGAAAAGAGAAAAAUAGAAUAUUCNNNNNNNNNNNNNNNNNNNNNNNNNNNNNNNNNNNNNNNNNNNNNNNNNNNNNNNNNNNNNNNNNNNNNNNNNNNNNNNNNNNNNNNNNNNNNNNNNNNNNNNNNNNNNNNNNNNNNNNNNNNNNNNNNNNNNNNNNNNNNNNNNNNNNNNNNNNNNNNNNNNNNNNNNNNNNNNNNNNNNNNNNNNNNNNNNNNNNNNNNNNNNNNNNNNNNNNNNNNNNNNNNNNNNNNNNNNNNNNNNNNNNNNNNNNNNNNNNNNNNNNNNNNNNNNNNNNNNNNNNNNNNNNNNNNNNNNNNNNNNNNNNNNNNNNNNNNNNNNNNNNNNNNNNNNNNNNNNNNNNNNNNNNNNNNNNNNNNNNNNNNNNNNNNNNNNNNNNNNNNNNNNNNNNNNNNNNNNNNNNNNNNNNNNNNNNNNNNNNNNNNNNNNNNNNNNNNNNNNNNNNNNNNNNNNNNNNNNNNNNNNNNNNNNNNNNNNNNNNNNNNNNNNNNNNNNNNNNNNNNNNNNNNNNNNNNNNNNNNNNNNNNNNNNNNNNNNNNNNNNNNNNNNNNNNNNNNNNNNNNNNNNNNNNNNNNNNNNNNNNNNNNNNNNNNNNNNNNNNNNNNNNNNNNNNNNNNNNNNNNNNNNNNNNNNNNNNNNNNNNNNNNNNNNNNNNNNNNNNNNNNNNNNNNNNNNNNNNNNNNNNNNNNNNNNNNNNNNGGGACUAAAGGGGGGCAAUGGUCACGGUUGGUGCCACGAACCGUGACCAAUGCCACCUUUAGUCCCGGUUGGUGCCACCAACCGGGACCAAUGCCCUUGUGCGCCCCGCGCCCAGAAGUUUAGUCCCACAUCGCUAGCUGAAGGGCGCCGAUACUGGUUUAUAAGCGCUGCUCUGCCUCCCCUUUCGAGCUCCUCUCAAAUGCAGGCUUUCGGGCCUAAACUGCUACUGCCUGUGGGCCUAUUGGGCCUCUGCGGGCCUGAAUCCUGGCCCAUGUAGGGUUUCUAGUCGUAUUCAGGCCGUGGAGGCCCAGUAGGAGGCAUUUUUUUUGGUUUUUUCUUUUUUGUUUCUAUAUUUUUUUGGUUUUUUAUUUUUUUUAUUUCUACUUACAACUAAAUACUUACAGUUUUUUAGUGAUUUCUUUUUGCUUUUAGGUCACAAAAAUUAUAAACUUUCUAUUAGUGCCAUUAGUUUUAAAUUUUAAAUAGUUUAAAUUUGAAUUUUUAAAAAUUUGUGUGAAUCACUAGUUUAUGAAUAACUUUACUAUAAAGUUAGAAUUUGUUUUCUAUUUAUUUUUUAUUUCUACUUACAACUAAAUACUUACAGUUUUUUAGUGAUUUGUUUUUGCUUUUAGGUCACAAAAAUUAUAAACUUUCUGUUAGUGCCUUUAGUUUUAAAUUUUAAAUAGUUUAAAUUUGAAUUUUUAAAAAUUUGUGUGAAUCACUAGUUUAUGAAUUUUUUUCUUCUUUGCUAUUUAUUUUUGAUUUAUACUUACAAUUAAAUACUUAUAGUUUGCUUUUAGGUCACACAAAUUAUAUUCUUUUUGCUAUUGAAGAAUAUUAUAGUUUUAUUUUAGUUGAUCAUAACAUAAUAUUUUAAUUGAUUGUUUUUAUUUUCAUAAAAGUUUUGUAGUUCAUUCUGUUUGCUAUUAAUUCAUUCUUUGAGCUAAAUGACUCUGAAAUUGGAAAGCAUUUCAAAAUGAACUCUGAAAAGGUUGAAAGUUGGCAUGGUAUCAUCAUUUCACCCACAUAGCAUGUUCCAAAAAGUAGAGAGGGUUACGACAAAAACUUGAUGCACUUCGUGUACAAAAUGGACAAUCACUUUCGAAGUAUCAAAGUUUCAAACCAUAAGACAUGAAAGCAUUUCGAAUGAACUCUGAAAAAGUUGAAAGUUGGGAUGCAUGGUAUCAUAAUUUCACCCACAUAGCAUUUUCUUAUUGCGGGAGAAAGUCUUCACUUUUUCUUCGCUUGUGUCAUUUGCUUAUUGCGCCGUAACCAUGGAUAAUCUUCAUUGUUUUUAAGGAUGCUUGGGUCAGCCUUGACAUUGAAGGGAGGAAUUUCAUGAAACUUUUCAUAAUCUUCAGACAUGUCUGUCUUGCCGUCCACUCCCAGGAUGUCCCUUUUUCCUGAAAGAACUAUGUGGCGCUUUGGCUCAUCGUAUGAUGUAUUCGCUUCCUUAUCUUUUCUUUUUCUCGGUUUAGUAGACAUGUCCUUCACAUAGAUAACCUGUGCCACAUCAUUGGCUAGGACGAACGGUUCGUCAGUGUACCCAAGAUUUUUCAGAUCCACUGUUGUCAUUCCGUACUGUGGGUCUACUUGUACCCCACCGCCAAACAGAAUGACCCAUUUGCACUUAAACAAAGGGACCUUAAAAUCAGGUCCGUAGUCAAGUUCCCAUAUGUCCACUAUGUAACCAUAAUAUGUGUCCUUUCCUCUCUCGGUUGCUGCAUCAAAGCGGACACCGCUGUUUUGGUUGGUGCUCUUUUGAUCUUGGGCGAUCGUGUAAAAUGUAUUCCCAUUUAUCUCGUAUCCUUUGUAAGUCAAUACAGUCAAAGAUGGUCCCCUGGACAACAAGUACAACUCAUCACAAACAGUGUUGUCACCUCUGAGACGUGUUUCCAACCAACUCCUGAAAGUCCUGAUGUGUUCACAUGUAAUCCAGUCGUCGCAUUGCUCCGGGUGUUUGGAGCGCAGACUGUUCUUGUGUUCAUCGACAUACGGGGUCCCCAAGGUAGAGUUCUGUAGAACUGUGUAGUGUGCUUGAGACCAAGAAUAUCCGUCCCUGCAUAUUAUUGAGUCUCUUCCAAGAGUGCCUUUUCCAGUCAGUCUCCCCUCAUACCGCGAUUUAGGGAGACCUAUCUUGUUAAGGCCAGGAAUGAAGUCAACACAAAACCCGAUAACAUCCUCUGUUUGAUGGCCCAUGGAGAUGCUUCCUUCUGGCCUAGCGCGGUUACGGACAUAUUUCUUUAGGACUCCCAUGAACCUCUCAAAGGGGAACAUAUUGUGUAGAAAUACGGGCCCCAGGAUGACAAUCUCGUCGACUAGAUGAACUAGGACGUGCGUCAUGAUAUUGAAGAAGGAUUGUGGGAACACCAGCUCGAAACUGACAAGACAUUGCGCCACAUCACUCCUUAGCCUUGGUACCAUUUCUGGAUCGAUCACCUUCUAAGAGAUUGCAUUGAGGAAUGCACAUAGCUUCACAAUGGCUAAUCGGACGUUUUCCGGUAAAAGCCCCCUCAAUGCAACCAGAAGCAGUUGCGUCAUAAUCACGUGGCAGUCAUGAGACUUUAGGUUCUGAAACUUUUUCUCUGGCAUAUUUAUUAUUCCCUUUAUAUUCGAUGAGAAGCCAGUCAUGACCUUCAUACUAAGCAGGCAUUCAAAGAAGAUUUCUUUCUCUUCUUUCGUAAGAGUGUAGCUGGCAGGACCUUUAUACUGCUUCGGAGGCAUGUCAUCUUUUUUGUGCAAACGUUGCAGGUCCUCCCAUGCCUCCGGCGUAUCUUUUGUCUUCCCAUACACGCCCAAGAAGCCUAGCAGGUUCACGCAAAGGUUCUUCGUCACGUGCAUCACGUUGAUUGAGGAGCGGACCUCUAGGUCUUUCCAGUAGGGUAGGUCCCAAAAUAUAGAUUUCUUCUUCCACAUGGGUGUGUGUCCCUCAGCGUCAUUCGGAACAGCUAGUCCACCGGGACCCUUUCCAAAGAUGACGUAGGGUAAAUCAUUGACCAUAGCAAGCACGUGAUCACCGGUGCGCAUGGCGGGCUUCUUUCGGUGAUCUGCCUCGCCUUUGAAAUGCUUGCCUUUCUUUCGACAUUGAUGGUUGGUCGGAAGAAAUCGACGAUGGCCCAGGUGCACAUUCUUCCUGCAUUUGUCCAGGUAUAUACUUUCAGUGUCAUCUAAACAGUGCGUGCAUGCGUGGUAUCCUUUGUUUGUCUGUCCUGAAAGGUUACUGAGAGCGGGCCAAUCGUUGAUGGUCACGAACAGCAACGCCUUAAGGUUAAAUUCCUCCUGUCUGUGCUCAUCCCACGUACGUACACCAUUUUCAUUCCACAGCUGUAAAAGUUCUUCAACUAAUGGACUUAGGUACACAUCAAUUUCGUUGCCGGGUUGCUUAGGGCCUUGGAUGAGAACUGGCAUCAUAAUGAACUUCCGCUUCAUGCACAUCCAAGGAGGAAGGUUAUACAUACAUAGAGUCGCGGGCCAGGUGCUGUGAUUACUGCUCUGCUCCCCGAAAGGAUUAAUGCCAUCCGCGCUUAAAGCAAACCAUACAUUCCUAGGGUCCUUUGCAAACUCAUCCCAGUACUUUCUCUCGAUUUUUCUCCACUGCGACCCGUCAGCGGGUGCUCUCAACUUCCCAUCUUUCUUUCGUUUCUCACUGUGCCAUCGCAUCAACUUGGCAUGCUCUUCGUUUCUGAACAGACGUUUCAACCGUGGUAUUAUAGGAGCAUACCACAUCACCUUUGCAGGGACCCUCUUCCUGAGGGGCUCGCCGUCAACAUCACCGGGGUCAUCUCGUCUGAUCUUAUACCGCAACGCACCGCAUACCGGGCAUGCGUUCAGAUCCUUGUAUGCACCGCGGUAGAGGAUGCAGUCAUUAGGGCAUGCAUGUAUCUUCUCCACCUCCAAUCCUAGAGGGCAUACGACCUUCUUUGCUGCGUAUGUACUGUCGGGCAAUUCGUUAUCCUUUGGAAGCUUCUUCUUCAAUAUUUUCAGUAGCUUCUCAAAUCCUUUGUCAGCCACAGCAUUCUCUGCCUUCCACUGCAGCAAUUCUAGUACGGUACUGAGCUUUGUGUUGCCAUCUUCGCAAUUGGGGUAUAACCCUUUUUUGUGAUCCUCUAACAUGCGAUCGAACUUCAGCUUCUCCUUUUGACUAAUGCAUUGCGUCCUUGCAUCGACAAUGACCCGGCGGAGAUCAUCAUCAUCGGGCACAUCGUCUGGUUCCUCUUGAUCUUCAGCAGCUUCACCUGUGGCAGCAUCAUUGGGCACAUCAUCAUCUGGUUCCUCUUGAUCUUCACCAGCUCCCCCCGUUGCAGCAUCACCGUAUUCAGGGGGCACAUAGUUGUCAUCGUACUCUUCUUCUUCGCCGUCUUCCAUCAUAACCCCUAUUUCUCCGUGCCUCGUCCAAACAUUAUAGUGUGGCAUGAAACCCUUGUAAAGCAGGUGGGAGUGAAGGAUUUUCCGGUUAGAGUAAGACCUCGUAUUCCCACAUUCAGUGCAUGGACAACACAUAAAACCAUUCUGCUUGUUUUCCUCAGCCGCAUCGAGAAACUCAUGCACACCCUUAAUGUACUCGCGGGUGUGUCUGUCACCGUACAUCCAUUGCCGGUUCAUCUGCGUGCAUUAUAUAUAAUUAAGUGUCCAAAUUAAUAGAAGUUCAUCAUCACAUUAAAACCAAAGUGCAUACAUAGUUCUCAUCUAACAACAUAUAGCUCUCCAGAGCAUCUAAUUAAUUAAACCAUACAUUGAAACUAUGUAAAACAUUUCAAUGCGAAAACAAAUGCGAUCAUAAUCGCAACCAAGGUAACAAUUGAUCCAACGGCAUAAUGAUACCAAGCCUCGGUAUGAAUGGCAUAUUUUCUAAUCUUUCUAAUCUUCAAGCGCAUUGCAUCCAUCUUGAUCUUGUGAUCAUCGACGACAUCCGCAACAUGCAACUCCAAUAUCAUCUUCUCCUCCUCAAUUUUUUUUAUUUUUUCCUUCAACAAAUUGUUUUCUUCUUCAACUAAAUUUAACCUCUCGACAAUAGGGUCGGUUGGCAUUUCCGAUUCACAUACAUCCUAGAUAAAUAAAAUCUAUGUCACGUUGGUCAGCAUAAUUUUCAUAAACAAUAAAUGAACCAAUAGUUAUAAAGAUAAUAUACAUACCACAUCCGAAUCAUAGACAGGACGAGGGCCGACGGGGGCGGAUACCAAAACCAUCGCACUAUAUAAGAUGCAAUAAUAAAUGUAAGAAAAUGAUACAAGUAUCUAUCUAAACAUACAAGUAAGAAUAUUUUUCCUUUCAGAAAGAAGAUAAGAACAAGAGGCUCACCACGGUGGUGUCGGUGAUGAGAUCGGCGCGGGUGAUCGACGGCAGUGAAGACGGGGACGGGGCGUGACGGACCGCUAAAUCUAGACAAAUCUCGAGGAAAAUGGAGCUUGGAGGUCGAGCUUCGAGAGGAGAAAGCUUAAGUAGUGUGGCUCGGGCAUUCCAUCGAACACCUCAUGUGCAUAGGAGGUGAGCUAGAGCACCACAAAGCCCUCUCCCCCUCGGCCAGAGAAAACAGAGCACUGGGGUGCUCUGCUCACGAGCGAGGGGUAUAUAUAGGCACCUCAUUGGUCCCGGUUGGUGGCAUGAGCCGGGACUAAAGGGAAGCCUUUGGUCCCGGUUCGGGCCACCAACCGGGACCAAUGAUGGUGGGCCAGGAGGGAGGCCCAUUGGUCCCGGUUCGUCCCACCAACCGGGACCAAAAGGUCCAUACGAACCAGGACCAAUGGCCCACGUGGCCCGGCCGGCCCCCUGGGCUCACGAACCGGGACCAAUUCCCACAUUGGUCCCGGUUCAAGACUGAACCGGGACUAAUGGGCUGAGGCGGCCUGGACCAUAGCCCCUUUUUCUACUAGUGCUUAUGGAAAUUAUAAUAAGAUGCCCUCUAAUUUUGAGAAUAGUGUUAAAUAAUUUAUGAGUUCGCAAAAGAAUUUCAAUGCUUUGAUUGAAGAAAAAUUGCUUAAGAUUGGUGAUUUGGCUAGGAACGUGGAUAGAACUACCCUUGAUGUCGAUUCUUUGAAACUUAGAUCUAUUUCACAUAAGCAUGAUAUCAAUGAGUCUCUCAAGGCUAUGAGAAUUCCCAUUGAUGAGUGCAAGGAAAGAACCGCUAAGAUGCGUGCUAAAAAAGAUUGGUUUAUAAAAGCGUGUUCUUCUAGCUAGUUUCCGUGAAAAUAAUGAUGAAGAUCUUAAAGUGAUUGAUGUGACUCCUAUUGAAUUUUUGUUUUCCAAUAUAAAUCUUGAGAAAGAUGGGACUGGAUAUGAGUCAACUUUAGUUAGAAGGCGUCCCAAUGAUUCGGAGUUUUUAGAUAUUAAUGCAAAAAUUGAUAAAAGUGGGAUUGGAGAGGUUAAAACUUUAGGUAGUAAUGAACCCACUCUUUUGGAUUUCAAGGAAUUUAAUUAUAAUAAUUUCUCUUUAAUAGAUUGUAUUUCCUUGUUGCAAUCCAUGUUGAAUUUUCCUCAUGCUUAUAAUCAAAACAAAGCUUUUACUAAACAUAUCAUUGAUGCUAUGAUGCAAUCCUUUGAAGAAAAGCUUGAAUUGGAAGUUUCUAUUCCUACACUAGUAGACAAAGGGUCAAACAUGAAGCACAUUAGUGCCGGUUUGAAUUUGAGCCGGCACUAAUGUGUGCAUUAGUGCCGGUUCCAACGGCUAGCCGGCCGCUCUCAUUAGUACCGGUUCAUGGCGAACCUUUAGCACCGGUUCGUGCCACGAACCGGUACUAAAGUGAGUGGUGGCAGGAUGUUGUCACUCCGGGGCCCCUCCAGCACCUUUAGUACCGGGUCGUAUCACGAACCGGUCCUAAAGGCCGUCCUACAUAGACCCUUCGUCCACCCGAGCUCGCUCUGUUCUUCCCCUUUCCCCUCUCCUCUUUGUACUUUUCCCUCUUCCUCUCAAUCUCAUCACACAUUUUGCCCAAAAUUUGUCAAGAUUUGAAGGCCCCCAUCCAUUCAAAUGAUCACAAAGGUUAGCAACUUUUUCCUUUCAUCUCUCAUUGCUAGAUUAGCUCGUGCAAUGCUUUAUAUAGUGAUUGAUUUUUGAGUUUAGUAAUUUGGGAGGAAUUAUAUAUAUGUGCUAGUAUUUGAUUUAUAUGCAAUUUUAGGUCAAAAAUAACACUUAGUUUGCAUAUGUAGGUGUGGUUUACGUAGUACCUUCUAAAUCUCCGUCGUAACCACCGUCGAUCGCUCGCAACGUCCCGUCACCAGCACCACCUUUUGGUGAGCCUCUUGUUCAUGAAGUUUUAUAUAAAAAAUUGAUGUUUGUGUGAUUUGGAUAUAUAGUUACUCGUAUAAUUAUCUUACCCAUACGUUGUUUGUUAUACAUAGUGCCAUGGUUUUGAUAUCCGUCCCCGUUGGCCCUCGUCCGGGUUAUGAUUCGGAUGUGGUAUAUUCUAUUUUAAAACUAUUCAUUGCAUUUCGUGUUUAUGACAAAUUAUGCCCAUCAAGUUGACAUAGAUAUUUGUAUGUAGGAGGUAGUUGAAACGGAAAUUCCAACCGACCCUAUUGUCGAGAGGUUAAAUUUAGUUGAAAGAGAAAACGAGGAUUUGAAGGAAAAAUUGAAAAGAAUUGAGGGGGAGAAGAUGGAAUUGGAGUUGCAUGUUGCCGAUGUCGUCGAUGAUCACAAGAUUAAGAUGGAGAAAAUGCGCUUGAAGAUUAGAAAGAUUAGAAAAUAUGCCAUUCAUAGUGAGGCUUGGUAGCAUUAUGCUGUUGGAUCAAUUGUUACCUUAGUUGCGAUCUUGAUCGCAUUUGUUGUUGCAUUUAAAUUCUUUAGCUAGGGACUUAUUUGUUUGUUGCAUUUAAGUGUUGUAUGAUCUUUAUGUAUGAACCUUAUGUAUUGUAUUAAUUUGAUGUUUUCGGUGUUGUGUAUUGAAGAUGAGCCGGCAAUGGAUGUACGAUGACUGAUGCUCUCCCAAGUUCAUUAAUGGCGUGCGUACUUUUCUGCUUGCGGCUGAGGCAAACAAGCGAGCGGAUGGUUGUAUGCCUUGUCCAUGUGCUGGCUGUAAGAAUGGUCACAGUUACUCUACGUCAAGAACCAUUCACGUCCACCUGUUUGAGUCUGGUUUCAUGCCCCACUAUAAUGUUUGGACCAAGCAUGGAGAAAGAGGGGUUAUGAUGGAAGACAAUGAAGAAGAAGAGGACGACGAAAGCUAUCCUGGCCAUGGGUUCCCUGAAUACGGUGAUACAACAAUGAGGGAAGAAGCUGAGCCGGUAAUGCGGGAAGAAGCUGAGCCGGCAAUGCGGGAAGAAGCUGAACAAGAGGCACGGAUGAGCCCGUUGAUGAUCUAGGUCGGGCCAUUGCCGAUGCAAAGAGAAACCGCGCUAGUGAUUUGGAGAAGAAGAAGUUGCAGCGCAUGUUAGAGGAUCACAAAAAUUGUUGUACCCGAAUUGCGUAGGUGACAAGAAAAAGCUAGGCACCACACUGGAAUUGCUGCAAUGGAAGGCAAAGAAUGGUGUAUCUGACAUGGGAUUUGGAAAGUUGCUGGUAAUGAUAAAGGAUAUGCUUCCAAAGGACAACAAAUUGCUCGAGAGUACGUACGAAGCAAAGAAGAUUGUCUGCCCUCUAGGGUUAGAGGUGCAGAUGAUACAUGCAUGCCCUAAUGAUUGCAUCCCCUACCACGGUGAGUAUGAGGAUUUGAAAGCUUGCCCGGUAUGAGGUGCAUUGCGCUAUAAGAUCAGCCACGAUGACCAUGGUGAUGUCGAGGGCGAGCGCCCCAGGAAGAAGAUACCUGCCAAGGUGAUGUGGUAUGCUCCUAUAAUACCAUGGCUGAAACGUUUGUUCCAAAACAAUGAGCAUGCCAAGGCGAUGUGAUGGCACAGAGAAGACCGUAAGAAAGACGGAAAGUUGAGAGUACCCGCUGACGGGUCGCAGUGGAGAAAAAUCGAAAGAAAGUACGGGAAGGAGUUUGCAGAUGACGCAAGGAACGUAUGGUUUGGUCUAAGCGCAGAUGGCAUUAAUCCUUUUGGGGAGCAGAGCAGCAACCAUAGCACCUGGCCUGUGACUCUAUGUUUGUAUAACCUUCCUCCUUGGUUGUGCAUGAAGCGGAAGUUCAUUAUGAUGCCAGUGCUCAUCCAAGGCCCUAAGUGUCAGGACCCCGAUUCCAAGUCACAUCGUUCUAGCCGGUAACACCUCAUAUCACUUUGCGGCCUCAUGCACGGUAUCCCACAGGUGUCGCCUUACCAUGGCCCGGGACCGUUUGCGCCUUUUGGCUCACGUAUAUGAUAGUGUCGCUAGCAUCCAUAUGACAGAGAACCCGGGCCGACAUGGCUAGUCGUGAACCCAAAGCGGCACAGACCUAUGGAGACAGGCAUACAUGAAUCACAUCAAGCAUGUCAGUCAUCAGUGAGUGAAUCCGGGCUGUAGCACUGGGCUAACAGGACUCCGGGGAACCCGGGCUGUAGCAGGCUAGGCAGGACUCCGGAUGUCACCGCGUGACAUUUCCCCGAAGGGACAGACAUAGGAACGACGUGAAACACAUGCCGGCCAGUCAAGUGUCCUGAGCAGUAGUGCUGGGCUAGCAGGACUCCGGUGAACCGGGCUGUAGCGGACUACUAUGGCUCGAGGAACACUAGACUACGUUUCCCCAUAAGAAAGGCUGCCAAGGAUAAACAACUAGAUUGUCGGAUCCCACUCAUACCAAGCAUUUCAAUCAUACACACAAUAUGCCCGAUAUGAGUACAUACAACAUGGCAUCACAAGAAAACUCUACAACUCAAAUACUUUAUUUAAAGGCUCCAGAGAGCCAUACAUAACAUGUUCAUACAGAUAGGGGUCACAUGACCCGACACUCAAGUCAUACAAUCAUACAAGCACAAGCGGAAGCAACUAGUCUGAGUACAGACACUAGAAAGAAAGAAGGCUUCUCGAAGCCUGUCUAUCUACAUAGGUCUCUCCAUGGCCAGGAUCACCACCUGGGUGGCUAGUCACUCGUCGACGUCAAGGUCUACGUAGAACCCAUCGGAGGGGCGGUGUUGUCAUCUGAAAACCGUAAUUAAGCAAACAUGAGUACAAAGGUACUCAGCAAGUCUUACAACAUAACCUACUAUAAAUGCUCAUUCUCAAGAAGGUGGUGGGGUUAUUGCAGCAAGCCAGCUUUGACUCUUGGCUAAGCUAUCCUACGGAACUCCACUAGUAAAAUAGUUUUCGCACACGAGUCCACUACUCACCAACAUAAUACUCCACCGGGGAUCCUCUCUCGUCAUCCUACGAGAGGGCCAUCCUCGGUACUCACACUUAUCUUGAGUCUUUUAGUAAUAACCAUUAACUUGUCUAUGAACUGUAUAGGCAACCAGGUAGUCCUUUACCGCGGACGCGGCUAUUCGAAUAGUUUUAUACCCUGCAGGGGUGUACUUCCUCAUACACGCUUUCACCACUUACCGCCGUUUACACGACAUGUACUCGGCAACCUUCAAGCCUUGGCCCAACGAGGGUGUCGGCCACGGCCUACCUAAACACUCAAAUCUCUAGUCCAGGUGCAUCGCCUAUCCAAGUUCCAUCCGCAGGGAGUCCGGCCGAGGUUUCCACAUACGGCCCCGAACGAUGUGAACAGGGUUCCCGAGACACCAAACAGGUGACUCGGUACACCGUGCCACGGUGUAUCUACCGCAACAUAGCCCACCCCUAGGGUCAGUGCUACGCACGGCCGCCAACACAUAACCUACAAACACCAGAAACUAUUUGCAACUCCUGGACAGAGUACUAGGGUAUUUAAGAAGCCGAGAGGGUCAAUUAAGGAUCCCAAUGCAUGGUAGUAGCUGAAUCUUAAAAUCACACAUACAGAUCUCAGUUCUUAGGGACGGCCUCAAUAAAACAACCCACCAUGUACUCCUACAUGGCCUCUCAUCGAUACCUUUACCAAAUCAUGUUCAUCACAUCCCUCACAUUACCGAUAUAACCAUUUCACUCUAGCCCAUCACCCAGAUGGACCAGACCUGACACAACUCUAAGCAUAGCAGGCAUAGCAAGGUAGGAAACACAUACCUGGCUCAAUCAACUCCUACACAUGCUAGUGGGUUUCAUCUAGUUACUGUGGCAAUGACAGGUCAUGCAGAGGAAAAGGGUUCAACUACCGUAGCACACAACAAUUUGAAUCGCGUUGUCUUAAUGCAGUAAACAAGAGCAGAAGCGAGAACAUGGGUUUGUAUCAGAAUGAUCAAUGGUUGUUUGCCUGUUGUAGUGGUAGUAGGGUACUGCCCUUCAGACGGAUACUCGGGGUUAUCCUCGGAGGCAGAACCUACCACGAAAGAUACACCGAACAUAAUCAACACAUGACAAUAUGCAACGGUAUGAUGCAUGCUAUGACAUGGCAAAAUGAAUGUGUCUUGGCCUAAUGCAAGCUGAAACAGGAUGGAAUGAACUCAUUUGAAUCAAAGAUUCAAAUGUUAGCUCAUUUAACAUGGCCUUAUUAGUGCAUUAUCUUAUUCUGCUUAAAUAGCAAGGUUAACUUGUUUUGUCAUGCAUGAAACCAUUACAGAUGGACAGAUUGAAUUUUUUUGAUCAUUUUUCAUAUAUAAAUCUUUGCAUUUGGAGCUAUGGUUGAUUUUCUAAGAUUUUUAGAAGUUUUGGCUAUUUACUGGAAUUUCCUAUUAAAGAAUAAAUCCAGUAAUUGAAUUAAUGCGUCAGCAUGACAUAGGUGUGAUGUCAGCGGGUCAACUGGGUUGGCCAGGUCAAACCUGACUGGCGGGCCCUGUCUGUCAGUGACUCAGCUAAUUAACAGAGUUAAAUUAACUCUAAUUAACUAAAAGUGGGGCCUGGGCCCACAUGUCAGUGACUGAACUAAUUAAAUUUAGUUAAAACAAAUCCUAAACUAAUCAGCAGGCCGGCCCCACCUGUCAUAGACUAACCUGGGCCCACACGGGGGUCAAACAGGGUAAACUCGCCGGCGUCUAGCCGCCGGCGAGGCCAGACGCGGCGGAGCAGUGCGGGAUUUGCACUCUGGCGACCAAAUGGGCGGCGGAGACUAUCUACGUGAUGCGGGGAGGAAGCCGCCUUUGGAAAUAUGCCCUAGAGGCAAUAAUAAAUUGAUUAUUACUAUAUUUCCUUGUUCAUGAUAAUCGUUUAUUAUCCAUGCUAGAAUUGUAUUGAUAGGAAACUCAGAUACAUGUGUGGAUACAUAGACAACACCAUGUCCCUAGUAAGCCUCUAGUUGACUAGCUCGUUGAUCAAUAGAUGGUUACAGUUUCCUGACCAUGGACAUUGGAUGUCAUUGAUAACGGGAUCACAUCAUUAGGAGAAUGAUGUGAUGGACAAGAACCAAUCCUAAGCCUAGCACAAGAUCAUGUAGUUCGUAUGCUAAAGCUUUUCUAAUGUCAAGUAUCAUUUCCUUAGACCAUGAGAUUGUGCAACUCCCGGAUACCGUGGGAGUGCUUUGAGUGUGCGAAACGUCACAACGUAACUGGGUGGCUAUAAAGGUACACUACAGGUAUCUCCAAAAGUGUCUAUUGGGUUGGCACGAAUCGAGACUGGGAUUUGUCACUCCGUGUAAACGGAGAGGUAUCUCUGGGCCCACUCGGUAGGACAUCAUCAUAAUGUGCACAAUGUGACCAAGGAGUUGAUCACGGGAUGAUGUGUUACGGAACGAGUAAAGAGACUUGCCGGUAACAAGAUUGAACAAGGUAUCGGCAUACCGACGAUCGAAUCUCGGGCAAGUAUCGUACCGAUGGACAAAGGGAAUUGCAUACGGGGUUGAUUAAGUCCUUGACAUCGUGGUUCAUCCGAUGAGAUCAUCGUGGAACAUGUGGGAGCCAACAUGGGUAUCCAGAUCCCGCUGUUGGUUAUUGAUCGGAGAGUCAUCUCGGUCAUGUCUGCAUGUCUCCUGAACCCGUAGGGUCUACACACUUAAGGUUCGAUGACGCUAGGGUUAUAAAGGAAGUUUGUAUGUGGUUACCGAAUGUUGUUCGGAGUCCCGGAUGAGAUCCCGAACGUCAUGAAGAGUUCCGGAAUGGUCCGGAGGUAAAGAUUUAUAUAUGGGAAGUCCUGUUUUGGUCACCGGAAAAGUUUCGGGUUUUAUCGGUAACGUACCGGGACCACCGGGAGGGUCCCGGGGGUCCACCAAGUGGGGCCACAAGCCCCGGAGGGCUGCAUGGGCCAAGUGUGGGAGGGGACCAGCCCCAGGUGGGCUGGUGCGGCCCCCCACCAAGGCCCAAGGCGCAAGGAAGAGGGGAAGGGGGCAAACCCUAGGGCAGAUGGGCCCUAAGGCCCACCCUGGUGCGCCUCCCCCUCUCCCCUCCCCUUGGCCGCCCCUAGAUGGGAUCUAGGGGGCUGCCGCCACCCCUAGGGAGGGAACCCUAGGUGGGGGCGCAACCCAUCCCCUCCCCCUAUAUAUAGUUGAGGUUUGGGCUGCCCAAUACACAUGAGUUCCUCUCUUUCUUGGCACAGCCCUAUCCCUCUCUUUCUCCUCAUAUCUCGCAGUGCUUGGUGAAGCCCUGCUGGAUCACCAUGCUCCGCCAUCACUACCACGCCGUUGUGCUGCUGUUGGAUGGAGUCUUCCUCAACCUCUCCCUCUCUCCUUGCUGGAUCAAGGCAUGGGAGACAUCGUCGGGCUGUACGUGUGUUGAACGCGGAGGUGCCGUCCGUUCGGCACUAGGAUCUCCGGUGAUUUGGAUCACAACGAGUACGACUCCUUCAACCCCGUUCUCUUGAACGCUUCCACUUAGCGAUCUACAAGGGUAUGUAGAUGCACUCUCCUUCCCCUCGUUGCUGGUUUCUCCAUAGAUAGAUCUUGGUGACACGUAGGAAACUUUUGAAUUUCUGCUACGUUCCCCAAUAGUGGCAUCAUGAGCUAGGUCUAUUGCGUAGAUUCUAUGCACGAGUAGAACACAAAGUAGUUGUGGGCGUUGAUUUUGUUCAAUAUGCUUACCGUUACUAGUCCAAUCUUGUUUCGACGGUAUUGUGGGAUGAAGCGGCCCGGACCGACCUUACACGUACUCUUACGUGAGACAGGUUCCACCGACUGACAUGCACUAGUUGCAUAAGGUGACUAGCGGGUGCCAGUCUCUCCCACUUUAGUCAGAACGGAUUCGAUGAAAAGGGUCGUUAUGAAGGGUAAAUAGCAAUUGGCAUAUCACGUUGUAUUUUUGCGUAGGUAAGAAACGUUCUUGCUAGAAACCCAUAGCAGCCACGUAAAACAUGCAAACAACAAUUAGAGGACGUCUAACUUGUUUUUGCAGGGUAUGCUAUGUGAUGUGAUAUGGCCAAGAAGAAUGUGAUGAAUGAUAUGUGAUGUAUGAGAUUGACCAUGUUCUUGUAAUAGGAAUCAUGACUUGCAUGUCGAUGAGUAUGACAACCGGCAGGAGCCAUAGGAGUUGUCUUUAUUUAUUGUAUGACCUACGUGUCAUUGAACAACGCCAUGUAAUUACUUUACUUUAUUGCUAACUGGUAGCCAUAGUGGUAGAAGUAAUAAGUUGGCGAGACAACUUCAUGGAGACACAAUGAUGGAGAUCAUGGUGUCAUGCCGGUGACGAUGAUGAUCAUGGAGCCCCGAAGAUGGAGAUCAAAAGGAGCAAUAUGAUAUUGGCCAUAUCAUGUCACUAUUUGAUUGCAUGUGAUGUUUAUAAUGUUUAUACAUCUUAUUUGCUUAGAAUGACGGUAGUAAAUAAGAUGAUCCCUCAUUAAAAUUUCAAGAAAGUGUUCCCCCUAACUGUGCACCGUUGCGAAAGUUCGUCCUUUUGAAGCACCACGUGAUGAUCGGGUGUGAUAGAUUCUUACGUUCGAAUACAACGGGUGUUGACGAGCCUAGCAUGUACAGACAUGGCCUCGGAACACAUGCAAAACACUUAGGUUGACUUGACGAGCCUAGCAUGUACAGACAUGGCCUCGGAACACAAGAGACCGAAAGGUCGAGCAUGAGUCGUAUGGUAGAUACGAUCAACAUGAAGAUGUUCACCGAUGUUGACUAGUCCGUCUCACGUGAUGAUCGGACACGGCCUAGUUGACUCGGAUCAUGUAAUCACUUAGAUGACUAGAGGGAUGUCUAUCUGAGUGGGAGUUCAUAAGAUGAACUUAAUUAUCCUGAACAUAGUCAAAAGGACUUUGCAAAUUAUGUCGUAGCUCACGCUAUAGUUCUACUGUUUAGAUAUGUUCCUAGAGAAAAUUUAGUUGAAAGUUGAUAGUAGCAAUUAUGCGGACUAGGUCCGUAAACUGAGGAUUGUCCUCAUUGCUUCAUAGAAGGUUUAUGUCCUUAAUGCACCGCUCAGUGUGCUGAACCUCGAACGUCGUCUGUGGAUGUUGCGAACAUCUGACAUACACAUUUUGAUAACUACGUGAUAGUUCAGUUAAACGGUUUAGAGUUGAGGCACCGAAGACGUUUUGAAACGUCACGAAACAUAUGAGAUGUUUCGAGGGCUGAAAUUGGGAUUUCAGGAUCGUGCCCACAUCAAGAGGUAUAAGACCUCCGACGAUUUUUCUUAGCCUGCAAACUAAGGGAGAAAAGCUCAACUGUUGAGCUUGUGCUCAGAUUGUCUGAGUACAACAAUCAUUUGAAUCGAGUGGGAGUUGAUCUUCCAGAUGAGAUAGUGAUGUUUCUCCGAAGUCAUUACCACCAAGCUGCUAGAGCUUCGUGAUGAACUAUAAUAUAUCAGGGACAUAUAUGAUGAUCCUUGAGAUAUUCGCGAUGUUUGACACCACAAAAGUAGAAAUCAAGAAGGAGCAUCAAUUGUUGAUGGUUGGUGAAACCACUAGUUUCAAGAAGGGCAAGGGCAAGAAGGGAUACUUCAUGAAAUGGCAAUUCAGCUGCUGCUCUAGUGAAGAAACCCAAGGUUGAACCCAAACCCGAGACUAAGUGCUUCUGUAAUAAGGGAAACAACCACUGGAGCAGAAUUACCCUAGAUACUUGGUAGAUGAGAAGGCUGGCAAAGUCGAUAGAAGUAUAUUGGAUAUACAUUGUGUUAAUGUGUACUUUACUAGUACUCCUAGUAGCACCAUGGUAUUAGAUACCGGUUCGGAUGCUAAAUGUUAGUAAACUCGAAAUAAAAGGCUGCAGAGUAAACGGAGACUAGCCAAAGGUGAGCUGGCAAAAUGUGUUGGAAGUUUUUCCAAGCUUGAUGUCAUCAAGCAUCGCACGCUCCCUCUACCAUCGAGAUCGGUGUUUGCGUUGAGCAUAGACAUGAUUGGAUUAUGUCUAUCGCAAUACGGUUAUUCAUUUAAGGAGAAUAAUGGUUACUCUGUUUAUUUGAAUAAUACCUUCAAUGGUCUUGCACCUAAAAUGAAUGGUUUAUUGAAUCUCGAUCGUAGUGAUACACAUGUUCAUGCCAGAAGAUAUAAGAUAGUAAUGAUAGUACCACCUACUUGUGGCACUGCCAUGUAAGUCAUAUCGGUAUAAAACGCAUGAAGAAGCUCCAUGUUGAUGGAUCUUUGGGCUCACUCGUUUUUGAAAAGUUUGAGACAUGCGAACCAUGUCUAUUGGUGUAUAUGCAUGAAGAAACUCCAUGCAAAUGGACCGUUUGGACUCACUCGAUUUUGAAUCACUUGAGACAUGCAAAUCAUACCACAUGGGCAAGAUGACUGAAAGCCUCGUUUUCAGUAAAAUGGAACUAGAAAGAAACUUGUUGGAAGUAAUACAUUUUGAUGUGUGCAGUCCAAUGAGUGCUGAGGCAUGUAGUGGAUUUCAUUAUGUUCUUACUUCACAGAUGAUUUGAGUAGAUACUGAGUAUAUUUACUUGAUGAAACAUAAGUCUGAAUUAUUGAAAGGUUCAAGUAAUUUCAGAGUGAAGUUGAACAUCGUCGUGACAAGAGGAUAAAAUGUCUAUGAUAUGAUCGUAGAGAUGAAUAUCUGAAUUACGAGUUUGGCACAAAAUUAAGACAUUAUGGAAAUUGUUUCACAACUAAUACAGUCUGGAACACCACAGUGUGAUGGUGUGUCCGAAUAUCAUAACUGCACCCUAUUGGAUAUGAUGCAUACCAUGAUGUCUCUUAUCAAAUUACCACGAUAGUUUAUGGGUUAGGCAUUAGAGACAACCACAUUCACUUUAAAUAGGGCACCACGUAAUUCCGAUGAGAUGACACCGUAUGAACUAUGGUUUAGAGAAACCUAAGCUGUCAUUUCUUAAAAGUUUGGGGCUGCGACGCUUAUGUGAAAAAGUUUUAGGCUGAUAAGCUCGAACCCAAAGCGGAUAAAUGCAUCUUCAUAGGACACCCAAAAUAGUUGGGUAUACCUCCUGUCUCAGAUCCGAAAGCAAUAAGGGAUUGUUUCUAGAAUCGAGUCCUUUCUCGAGGAAAGGUUUCUCUCGAAAGAAUUGAGUGUGAUGAUGGUGGAGAUUUGAUGAGGUUAUUGAACUGUCUCUUCAACUAGUGUGUGGCAGGGCACAGGGAGUUGUUCCUGUGGCACCUACACCAAUUGAAGUGGAAGCUUAUGAUAGUGAUCAUGAAACUUCAGAUCAAGUCACUACCAAACCUCGUGGGAUGACAAGGAUGCGUACUACUUCAGAGUGGUACGUAAUCCUAUCUUGGAAGUCAUGUUGCUAGACAACAAUGAACCUACAAGCUAUGGAGAAGCAAUGGUGGGCCUGGAUUCCAAAAUGGCUCGAAGCCAUAUAAUCCGAGAGAGGAUCCAUCUAUGAAAACAAAGUGUAGACUUUGGAAGAACUACUUGAUGGUCGUAAGGCUGUUAGGUACAUAGGGAUUUUAAAAGGAAGACGGACAAUGAUAGUAAGUAUCACCAUUAAGAAAGCUUGACUUGUCGUUAAGAUGUUUUCCGACAAGUUCAAGGAGUUGACUACGAUGAGACUUUCUCACUCGUAGCGAUGCUAAGAGUCUGUUGGAAUUAUAUUAGCGAUUACUGCAUUAUUUAUGAAAUCUUGCAGAUAGGAUAUCAAAACAUUGUUUCCUCGAUGUUUUUUUGAGGAAAGGUUGUAUGUGAUACAACCAGAAGGUUUUGUCAAUCCUGAAAGAUGCUAACAAGUAUGCAAAGCUCCAGCAAUCCUUCUAAGGACUGGAGUAAGCAUCUCGGAGUUGGAAUGUAUGCUUUGAUGAGAUGAUCAAAGUUUUGGGUGUAUACAAAGUUUAUGAGAAACUUGUAUUUCCAAAGAAGUGAGUGGGAGCACUAUAGAAUUUCUGAUGAGUAUAUGUUGUUAACAUAUUGUUGAUCGGAAAUGAUGUAGAAUUUCUGGAAAGCAUGCAGAGUUAUUUGAAAAGUGUUUUUCAAUGGAAAGCCUGGAUUAAGCUACUUGAACAUUGAGCAUGAAGAUCUAUAAGGAUAGAUCAAAACGCUUAAUGGUAAUUUCAAAUGAGCACAUACCUUGACAUGAUCUUGAAGGUGUUCAAGAUGGAUCAGUCAAAGAAGGAGUUCUUGCCUGAGUUGUAAGGUAUGAAGUUAAGACUUAAAGCUCGACCACGGAAGAAGAAAGAGGAAGGACGAAGGUCGUCCCCUAUGCUUUUGUCAUAGGCUCUCUACAGUAUGCUAUGUUGUGUGCCGCACUUGAAGUGUGCCUUGCCAUGAGUCAGUCAAGGGGUACAAGAGUGAUCCAAGAAUGGAUCACAAGACAACGGUCAAAGUUAUCCUUAGUAACUAGUGGACUAAGGAAUUUUCUCGAUUAUGGAGGUGGUAAAAGAGUUCGUCGUAAAGGGUUACGCCGAUGCAAACUUUGACACUAAUCUAGAUUAUUCUGAGUAGUAGACUGGAUUCGUAUAGUAGAACAGUUAUUUGGAAUAGCUCCAAAUAGAACGUGGUAGCUGCAUCUAGGAGAUGACAUAGAGAUUUGUAAAGCACACACGGAUCUGAAAGAUUCAGACCCGUUGACUAUAACAUCUCUCACAAGCAUAACAUGAUCAAACCCAGAACUCAUCGAGUGUUAAUCACAUGGUAAUGUGAACUAGAUUAUUGACUCUAGUAAACUCUUUGGGUGUUAGUCACAUGGGGAUGUGACCUUGAGUGUUUAUCACAUAUCGAUGUGAACUGGAUUAUUGACUCUAGUGCAAGUGGGAGACUGUUGGAAAUAUGCCCUAGAGGAAAUAAUAAAUUUAUUAUUAUUAUAUUUCCUUGUUCAUGAUAAUCGUUUAUUAUCCAUGCUAGAAUUGUAUUGAUAGGAAACUCAGAUACAUGUGUGGAUACAUAGACAACACCAUGUCCCUAGUAAGCCUCUAGUUGACUAGCUCGUUGAUCAAUAGAUGGUUACAGUUUCCUAACCAUGGACAUUGGAUGUCAUUGAUAACGGGAUCACAUCAUUAGGAGAAUGAUGUGAUGGACAAGACCCAAUCCUAAGCCUAGCACAAGAUCAUGUAGUUCGUAUGCUAAAGCUUUUCUAAUGUCAAGUAUCAUUUCCUUAGACCAUGAGAUUGUGCAACUCUCGGAUACCGUAGGAGUGCUUUGGGUGUGCCAAAUGUCACAACGUAACUGGGUGGCUAUGAAGGUACACUACAAGUAUCUCCAAAAGUGUCUGUUGGGUUGGCACGAAUCGAGACUGGGAUUUGUCACUCCGUGUAAACGGAGAGGUAUCUCUGGGCCCACUCGAUAGGACAUCAUCAUAAUGUGCACAAUGUGACCAAGGAGUUGAUCACGGGAUGAUGUGUUACGGAACGAGUAAAGAGACUUGCCGGUAACGAGAUUGAACAAGGUAUCGGCAUACCGACGAUCGAAUCUCGGGCAAGUAUCGUACCGAUGGACAAAGGGAAUUGCAUACGGGAUUAAUUAAGUCCUUGACAUCGUGGUUCAUCCGAUGAGAUCAUCGUGGAACAUGUGGGAGCCAACAUGGGUAUCCAGAUCCCGCUGUUGGUUAUUGACCGGAGAGUCAUCUCGGUCAUGUUUGCAUGUCUCCCGAACCCGUAGGGUCUACACACUUAAGGUUCGAUGACGCUAGGGUUAUAAAGGAAGUUUGUAUGUGGUUACCGAAUGUUGUUCGGAGUCCCGGAUGAGAUCCCGGACGUCAUGAGGAGUUCCGGAAUGGUCCGGAGGUAAAGAUUUAUAUAUAGGAAGUCCUGUUUUGGUCACCGGAAAAGUUUCGGGUUUUAUUGGUAACGUACCGGGACCACCGACAGGGUCCCGGGGGUCCACCAAGUGGGGCCACAAGCCCCGGAGGGCUGCAUGGGCCAAGUGUGGGAGGGGACCAGCCCCAGGUGGGCUGGUGCGCCCCCCCACCAAGGCCCAAGGCGCAAGGAAGAGGGGAAGGGGGCAAACCCUAGGGCAGAUGGGCCCUAAGGCCCACCCUAGUGCGCCUCCCCCUCUCCCCUCCCCUUGGCCGCCCCUAGAUGGGAUCUAGGGGGCUGCCGCCACCCCUAGGGAGGGAACCCUAGGUGGGGGCGCAGCCCCUCCCCUCCCCCUAUAUAUAGUUGAGGUUUGGGCUGCCCAAUACACAUGAGUUCCUCUCUUUCUUGGCGCAGCCCUAUCCCUCUCUUUCUCCUCAUAUCUCGUAGUGCUUGGCGAAGCCCUGCUGGAUCACCAUGCUCCUCCAUCACCACCACGCCAUUGUGCUACUGCUGGAUGGAGUCUUCCUCAACCUCUCCCUCUCUCCUUGCUGGAUCAAGGCAUGGGAGACGUCAUCGGGCUGUACGUGUGUUGAACGCGGAGGUGCCGUCCGUUCGGCACUAGGAUCUCCGGUGAUUUGGAUCACGAUGAGUACGACUCCUUCAACCCCGCACUACUAGGAAAAGGCCUACUAAUGGCGCACCAGUUUUGCCUACUAAUGGCGCAUCACUGGUGCGCCAUUACUAGCACGCCAUUAGUAAUUUUUACUAAUGGCGCACCACUGGUGCGCCAUUAGUAUCUGGUAUACUAAUGGCGCACCACUGGUGCGCCAUUAGUAUAGGCCACAGGUGCACCAUUAGUAUACCAGAUACUAAUGGCGCACCGCGUGGUGCGCCAUUAGUAUACCAUUCGGUGCUCCACUGGUAUUCCCUCCAGGUGCGCCACUAAUAACCUUAUAGGUGCGCCACUAGUAAUAAAGGAAGGUGCGCCACUAAUAAGGGCUUAAAUGCGCCACUACUAAUGUAUUUGGAAAACAAAAAAAAAUCUAAAUUUACAGAAAAAAACCUAUAAGGAAAAAUAAUUUAAAAACAAAAAAUGAAAUAGAAUCAUAAUUUUUAUUAUAGUAAGAAUAUUACAAUGUCUUUACAAGUUUCCAAUAAAAGGGAAAUUGCAAGGAAAUAAAAAAAAUCCUAAAGCUAAUCUUCUAGUAAUCUUCUCUUCUUUUUCUUCACUUUAUCCCUGCAAAAUGUAACAAAAUAAACACAAACACAAACAAACUAUUUAUAACAUGUCAAUACUGUCAUUUUUUCAGACCAAGUAACUAACAACUUCAGUGAGACAGGCACAGUGCAGUGUGAAUUUCAAUUGGCUAAAUCAUAUAUAGAAAUCAGUAUCUUCUCUAUGAACCUGAAACUGAGAUGACUGGACUAAUUUUGCACAUUUGAUUUAUGAAUUUAUUCUUCUUCGACAACCAACUAAACUUCGGAUCACCUACUAAGCAUCUGUACAUACUACAUAGGCUGAUUAAUCCAACAGCCACAAUGCAAAUAUUGACUAUUUCCAUUCAACUUCUUCACUUACUCAUUAUUAUCUAAUGAAACCAUUCGUAACUAAUGAAGCAGAUUGGCUAAAGUUAUUAUCAAGUCCUAAGUCCUAAUUGAAGCAGAUCUGCUAGGGUUCUUCUCGCUAGCCCCUCAUGGCCAACCGUUUCGGAACAGGCAGGCAGAGCUGCUUGGCCGGUGGCUAGGGAGUCGCUGGUGAUGUUGGGCAUCUCACACGAGCACCUGGCUAUUUGAGGAAACCGAAAUAGUAGCAUAAACAAGAUUGAUUCCGAGGAAAUGAUAGAACCUAUUCUAUCAAAGUGCUACUCCCCCCGUUCCAUAAUUCCAGUCGUGGUUUUUUAACUAAAACCAUGAAGAGAACUAUGGAAUGGAGGGAGUAGAAAACAAUAGCAUGCUUAAAAUUCUACCAUACACAGCAGCAACAGACAUUACACAAGCAUUUAUUUAUUUAUUGCAUUUGGCACAAGUUAAAAAUUCUCACAAGCAGAGGCGGUCCUAUCAGACAAAAAGAACAUGGACCGCUCAUUACAAAGCACUUCUACUGCAGUAUCAUGGAGUAGGAAAAGGGGCUUAAGCAGCAAAGAAGUAUAAUAAGAGAAAAAAACACUAUGGCGGCUGGAACUAGAAGAGCACCAUCACAGGUUCGAAACAUCACCAUGGAGUCGAUGGCCGGCAUAGCCCAUGGCAGGGCUGGAUGGGCAGCAUAAUAACACAAUAAAAGUUUGAUGUAUACUUAUUCGUUUGAAAAGAUGCAAGCUUAUUUACACCCUAGGACUGUUGAUUAGGGUCUGGAUGGUAUUUUUGUUCCUUGCGUAAGUAAGAGAAGGACUAGCAUCCAUAGUAGAAAGAAGGGUAAACAUACAUAAAGGAAAGUUUUUAUAGCGUCACGACCGAAAGAGGCUACGUGCGGCUGGGUGAAAUGGACAAGGUUUCAUGUAUGCAAUAUAUUAUAGAAAAAUAAGUGUUGACAGAAAAUGAAAGAUUUCCUGUCAAACAAACAGAGCUUCAUUUUGUAACAUUUCUGACCCACAUGAUAAUUGUACAACAUAGUAGAGGAGACCACUGUACAUACAUGUGUUGAAUGAAGCAGACUAAGAAAUAUUGGGUGGGUAUAAAGAAUACAAUAGUACGGUAGCUGAUGUAAACAAGUGCAGAGUUGCAUCCACAGAAUAGGUAACAAAUUAAAUAGCCCUGGUGCCAACAGUAGAGUUCGUGUAUCCAAUCCAUCCUUUGUUUAACACAGCAGCUCCAACUCUUGUGUAACAAAUUAAGUUUGGCAUGGGCACACAUAAAGCACUGACAUUUUCAUGGCUCGAUGGCCGUGGGCUAAGGGAGCAGAGGAGGAGGUGCGGCUCACCUCACAUGGCGGCGGAACCGAGGGAUGAAGGUGCGGCGCACCGGAGCAGGCAGAGGUGCCUUGUGUUGGCCAAACACGUGGCCAGCAGCAGAGAAGCGCUUCUCUUGCUCGACGGAUGUUGGGUGUGUGUGAGGCGUGCUCCUGCCUGCCUGCCUGCGUGAGGAACGGGAGGACCAUUAGAGAAGAGAAGGGAAGGGAAGAAGAGCAGGUAGAGGAUGGCAAGGGGAGAGGAGGGAAUCAAAAUCAAAGAUGAGAAGAUGACCUUGAGGAGGAGCAGGGGAAGAGCGGAGCAGCAGAAACAGAGGCCUUCCUCUCCCGGUGGUGAGGACCGAGGCGACCUCCGUCACGGCCUAGCCAGGUCGACGACUCUGGCGACCGUGGCUGCCAGAUCCGGUGUCACCAUGGCCGGCCUCCUCCUGUGGUGCCUGCUAGGUCGCCAUGGCCGCGGGCUCCUUGUCCGUGGCGGCUGGAUCUGGGGCCUUGGGGUGGCGGGGAGCUCCUCCUCCUGCAGCUCGGCGGCCUCCACACCCCGGAGCAACGCCGUCGCCGGAGGACGUGGUCACCUGCUCUCCUCUGGAUCCGGUGAGGAGGGUUGGGGAAGGAGCUCACCACGGCUCCAUGCCCUGGAUCUGGUGUGAGGGAGGGGGAAGGGAGCUCGCCGUGGUCAGGAGGGAGAGGAAGAGGCGGGCGGCCGGGGCUUCCCGAUCUAAAUCAAAGUCGAGGGAGGUGGGUGGGUGUGUCAGGAGGAAGGUGAGGGGGAGAGAACGUGACAAGAUGGAGGGGAUAAGGGGUGAUAGCAAUGGCGCACUGGUAGGGGUGCGCCAUACGUAUAGAUAGCAAUGGCGCAUCUCUUACUGGUGCGCCAUUACUAGUUUAAACUAGUAAUGGUGCACGGUGGAACAGUGCGCUAUUAGUAGUUUUGCAAAAAAAAGUAAUAAAAAUAUAAUAAAAAAACAACAUUAGUGGCGCACUUUUCGACAGGUGCGCCAUUACUAGUUACAACUAGUAAUGGCGCACUGUGUCUGGAUGCGCCAUUAGUAUGUUUGGACAGGCGCACUAGUUCAAAAAAAAUUGAUACUAAUGGCGCACCCUGGGCCAGGUGCGCCAUUAGUAGUUUCAACUCUAAUGGCGUAUCAGAAGGUGGUGCGCCAUUAGUAUAUACCCUUGUAGAGGACUUAGGACUUGAUAAUAACUUUAGCCAAUCUGCUUCAUUAGUUACGAAUGGUUUCAUUAGAUAAUAAUGAGUAAGUGAAGAAGUUGAAUGGAAAUAGUCAAUAUUUGCAUUGUGGCUGUUGGAUUAAUCAGCCUAUGUAGUAUGUACAGAUGCUUAGAAGGUGAUCCGAAGUUGGAGAGGUCGGGGAUGAGCUGAUGCGGCGGGGGUGGUGAAGGGGAUCUCUGGUGGCCGGAGUUGAGGACGAGCUCGGUGCAGCGUCUCCGAGGCGAGCAAGCGCUCGGGCGCGGCCUACUCGAUGUAGUCGAUGGCGGCGGAGCUCGUGGACACGAUGGCGCGGCGCGAGGACGACGGAAGGCACGGCUACGACGACGGUGCGGCGACAGAAGUGUCGGCCAUGGUGGGGAACGGCGAAGGGAUAGAGACAGGGGGGAAAUGGCGUGUCCAGGGGCUUCGGGGUGCGACGUGGAGGCGUCCAGGCGUCUAGGGGCGCGGGCGGCAAGCAGGUGACGCCGUGGUGAGCUCGGGCACGCCGGAGUCACCUCCCUGCCUGCGUGGCGGGGAAGAAGCAGCUGGCUGGCGCGAGCCAGCACAGUGCUGGGCCGCCUGGUGGGCCGGCGGGUGAGAUAGCUGGGCCGCGCCAGGUAAGCUUCUCUCUCUCUCUCUCUUUCUUAUUUGUUUUCUUUUUCUAUUUUUCUGCAACUGUUGGGCUUUAUUAAAAAUACCUAGACAUCUUUAAAAAUCCUGAAAAUAAUCAGGGGCUCUGUUUAGAUUAUUCCCAACAGCCCACACUUAUUUCUAGAAUUAUUUGAGCAUUUAAAUUAUUUUAUAGCAUUUAAAUGCCCAAAUUCAAAUACUUAUGAUUUAAUUCAAGAAAAUCCAGAAUGUCCUAGAAAAGAGUGCACCAUUUUUGCCAGGGGUUUUAGCCCAAUCCAGAAAUGAUGAACAUUUUGUGAAAGGCAUUUUGGGUUCAUUGAAAAUAAUUUUAGUAAACCCUAGUUGUUUCCAGGGGGUGCUGGGGGUUCUGUCAUCCCCAUUUCAAAUUUAAAAGGAAUUUAAACAUGAUGCACACUCUAAUGCUUGAACUAGCUAGGGUGUGACACUAAGCAACCCGGCAACGACAUAGAUGUGUACCUAAGGCCAUUAGUUGAAGAACUCUUACAACUGUGGAAUGGAACAGGUGUACGUGCGUGGGAUGAGCACAUGGGGAAAGAAUUUGACCUAAAGGCGUUGUUGUUCGUGACCAUCAAUGAUUGGCCUGCUCUCACUAACCUUUUAGGACAGACAAACAAGGGAUACCGCGCAUGCACGCACUGUUUGGACGAUGCCGACAGUAUAUAUUUGGCUAAAUGUAAGAAGAAUGUGUACCUGGGACAUCAUCGAUUUCUUCCGAGCAGGCAUCCCGUAAGAAAGAAAGGCAAGCAUUUCAAAGGUGAGGCGGAUCACCGGACGAAGCCUCGCCACCGUACUGGUGCUGAUGUACAUGAUAUGGUCAACGAUUUGAAGGUGGUCUUUGGAAAGGGUCCUGGUGGACAACCUAUUCCGAAUGACGCUGACGGACGCGCACCCAUGUGGAAGAAGAAAUCUAUAUUUUGGGACCUGCCCUAUUGGAAAGACCUAGAGGUCCGCUCCGCAAUCGACGUGAUGCACGUGACGAAAAUCUUUGUGUGACCCUGCUUGGCUUCUUGGGCGUGUAUGGGAAGACAAAAGAUACACCUGAGGCACGGGAGGACCAACAAUGUAUGCACGGAAAAGAUGGCAUACAUCAGGGUCAUGCAAGCUACGCUCUUACCAAAGAAGAGAAGGAAAUCUUCUUUGAAUGCCUGCUCAGUAUUAAGGUACCGUCUGGCUUCUCGUCUAAUAUAAAGGGAAUAAUAAACAUGGCAGACAAAAGUUCCAGAACCUAAAGUCUCAUGACUGCCACGUGAUUAUGGCGCAACUGCUUCCGGUUGCAUUGAGGGGGCUUCUACCAGAAAACGUUCGAUUAGCCAUUGUGAAGCUAUGUGCAUUUCUCAAUGCAAUCUCUCAGAAGGUAAUCGAUCCAGAAAUAAUACCAAGGUUAGAGAAUUAUUUGGUGCAAUGUCUUGUCAGUUUCGAGUUGGUGUUCCCACCAUCCUUCUUCAACAUCAUGACGCACGUCCUAGUUCACCUAUGCGAAGAGAUUAACGUUUUGGGUCAUGUAUUUCUACACAAUAUGUUCCCCUUUGAGAGGUUCAUGGGAGUCUUAAAGAAAUAUGUUCAUAACCGUGCUAGGCCAGAAGGAAGCAUCUCCAAGGCCAUGAAAAUGAGGAGGUCAUUGAGUUUUGUAUUGACUUUAUUCCUGACCUUAAGCCGAUUGGUGUUCCUGAAUCGCGGCAUAAGGGCAGACUGGAUGGAAAAGGCACGCUAGGAGGGGAACAAAUAAUAUGUAUGUACGGACAUUCUCUCACUGAAGCACACUACACAGUUCUACAGAAUUCCGCCUUGGUGGCUCCAUAUAUGGAUGAACACAAGAAUUUGCUACGCUCCAAACACCCGGAGCGGUCUGAUGACUGGAUUACACGUGAACAAACCAGAAGUUUCGCCAGCUGGUUGCAGACACGUACCAUGCAUGACACCUCUAUUGAAGAUGACCUGUACUUGCUGUCCCAGUUACCAUCUUCGAAUAUAAUGACUUUCAAAGGGUACCAGAUAAAUGGUAAUACAUUUUACACGAUCGCCCAAGAUAAGAAGAGCACCAACCAAAACAGUGGUGUCUACUUUGAUGCAGAAACCAAGACGGGAAAGGAAACAUAUUAUGGUUAUAUACCGGACAUAUGGGAACUUGACUAUCGACGUGGUUUAAAGGUCCCUUUGUUUCGGUGCAAAUGGGUCAAUAUGACACGAGGCGGGGUAACGGAAGACCCGCAGUACGGAAUGACAACAGUGGAUCUCAACAAUCUUGCGUAUGCAGACGAACCAUUCGUCCUAGCCAAUGAUGUGGCACAGGUUUUCUAUGUGAAGGACAUGUCUACCAAGCCAAGAAAAAGAAAAGAUAAGGAAGCGAAUGCAUCGUACGAUGAGCCAAAGCGGCACAUAGUUCUUUCUAGGAAGAGAAACAUCGUGGGAGUGGAUGACAAGACAGACAUGUCAGAAGAUUAUGAAAAGUUUGAUGAAAUUGCUCCAUUCACAGUGAAUAUUGACCCGAGCAUCCCGUUAAAUGAUGAAGAUUUUCCAUGGUUACGGCGCAAAGGGACGCACGCGAAGAAAAAGUUUCACACCCAAAGAUCUGGGAUGUGAUCGGCUUCACUAUCAUCACUUUCUUCUGUGUUUCACACCCAGGAGGGAAUCUCUGUAAUAGUUAGGGUAGUUAUGUGUUUUGGCAUUUGAAACGCGAAGAAAUUUUAUGUGCAAACAAAUUCUUUCAUGCCUUUACUGAUUUUUAAAGUUAAGUUAUUCACAAACUAGUGAUUCACACUAAUUUCAAAUAAUUCAAAAUUUAAACUAUUCAAAUUUGAAAACUACAGGCACUAACAGAAAGUUUGUAAUUUUUUGUACCUAAAGCAAAAAUUGAAGGAAAUAUGCCCUAGAGGCAAUAAUAAAGUUAUUAUUUAUUUCCUUAUAUCAUGAUAAAUGUUUAUUAUUCAUGCUAGAAUUGUAUUAACCGGAAACAUAAUACAUGUGUGAAUACAUAGACAAACAGAGUGUCACUAGUAUGCCUCUACUUGACUAGCUCGUUAAUCAAAGAUGGUUAUGUUUCCUAACCAUGGACAAAGAGUUGUUAUUUGAUUAACGGGAUCACAUCAUUAGGUGAAUGAUCUGAUUGACAUGACCCAUUCCAUUAGCUUAGCACCCGAUCGUUUAGUAUGUUGCUAUUGCUUUCUUCAUGACUUAUACAUGUUCCUAUGACUAUGAGAUUAUGCAACUCCCGUUUGCCGGAGGAACACUUUGUGUGCUACCAAACGUCACAACAUAACUGGGUGAUUAUAAAGGUGCUCUACAGGUGUCUCCAAAGGUACAUGUUGGGUUGGCGUAUUUCGAGAUUAGGAUUUGUCACUCCGAUCGUCGGAGAGGUAUCUCUGGGCCCUCUAAUGCACAUCACUUAAGCCUUGCAAGCAUUGCAGCUAAUGAGUUAGUUGCGGGAUGAUGUAUUACGGAACGAGUAAAGAGACUUGCCGGUAAUGAGAUUGAACUAGGUAUUGGAUACCGACGAUCGAAUCUCGGGCAAGUAACAUACCGAUGACAAAGGGAACAACGUAUGUUGUUAUGCGGUCUGACCGAUAAAAGAUCUUCGUAGAAUAUGUAGGAACCAAUAUGGGCAUCAAGGUCCCGCUAUUGGUUAUUGACCGGAGACGUGUCUCGGUCAUGUCUACAUUGUUCUCGAACCCGUAGGGUCCGCACGCUUAAGGUUUCGAUGACAGUUAUAUUAUGAGUUUAUGAGUUUUGAUGUACCAAAGGAGUUCGGAGUCCCGGCUGAGAUUGGGGACAUGACGAGGAGUCUCGAAAUGGUCGAGACGUAAAAAUCGAUAUAUUGGACGACUAUAUUCGGACAUCGGAAAGGUUCCGAGUGAUUCGAGUAUUUUUCGGAGUACCGGAGAGUUACGGGAAUUCGCCGGGAGAAGUAUUGGGCCUUAUUGGGCCAUACGGGAAAGAGAGAGGGGCUGCCUAGGGUAGGCCGCGCGCCCCCCAAGGCCUAGUCCGAAUUGGACUAGGGGGAGGGGCUGCGCCCCUUCCUUGUUUCCUACUCCUACUACAUGGAAGGACUCCUACUUGGACUAGGAAAGGGGGAAUCCUACUCCCGGUGAGAGUAGGACUUCUCUAGGCGCGCCAUAGAGAGGGCCGGCCCUCCCCUCCUGCACUCCUUGAUAUACGGGGGCAGGGGGCACCCCAUAGACACACAAGUUGAUCCACGUGAUCAUAUUCUUAGCCGUGUGCGGUGCCCCCUUCCACUAUAGUCCUCGAUAAUAUUGUAGCAGUGCUUAGGCGAAGCCCUGCGACAGUAGUACAUCAAGAUCGUCACCACGCCGUCGUGCUGACGGAACUCUUGCCCGACACUUUGCUGGAUCGGAGUCCGGGGAUCGUCAUCGAGCUGAACGUGUGCUAGAACUCGGAGGUGCCGUAGUUUCAGUGCUUGAUCGUCGGGCCGUGAAGACGUACGACUACAUCAACCGCGUUGUCAUAACGCUUUUGCUAUCGGUCUACAAGGGUACGUAGAUCACACUCUCCCCUCUCGUUGCUAUGCAUCACCAUGAUCUUGCGUGUGCGUAGGAAAUUUUUUGAAAUUACUACGUUCCCCAACAGUGGCAUCCGAGCCUAGGUUUUAUGCGUUGAUGUAAUAUGCACGAGUAGAACACAAGUGAGUUGUGGGCGAUAUAAGUCAUACUGCUUACCAGCAUGUCACAGUUUGGUUCGGCGGUAUUGUUGGAUGAAGCGGCCCGGACCGACAUUACGCGUACGCUUAUGCGAGACUGGUUCUACCGACGUGCUUUGCACACAGGUGGCUGGCGGGUGUCAGUUUCUCCAACUUUAGUUGAACCGAGUGUGGCUACGCCCGGUCCUUGCGAAGGUUAAAACAACACCAACUUGACAAACUAUCGUUGUGGUUUUUGAUGCGUAGGUAAGAACGGUUCUUGCUAAGCCCGUAGCAGCCACGUAAAACUUGCAACAACAAAGUAGAGGAUGUCUAACUUGUUUUUGCAGGGCAUGUUGUGAUGUGAUCUGGUCAAGACAUGAUGCUAAAUUUUAUUGUAUGAGAUGAUCAUCUUUUGUAACCGAGUUAUCGGCAACUGGCAGGAGCCAUAUAGUUAUCGCUUUAUUGUAUGCAAUGCAAUCGCACUGUAAUGCUUUACUUUAUCACUAAGAGGUAGCGAUAGUCGUGGAAGCAUAAAAGUGGCGAGACGACAACGAUGCUGCGAUGGAGAUCAAGGUGUCACGCCGGUGACGAUGGUGAUCAUGACGGUGCUUCGGAGAUGGAGAUCACAGGCACAAGAUGAUGAUGGCCAUAUCAUAUCACUUAUAUUGAUUGCAUGUGAUGUUUAUCUUCUAUGCAUCUUAUCUUGCUUUGAUUGACGGUAGCAUUAUAAGAUGAUCUCUCACUGAAUUAUCCAGAAGUGUUCUCCCUGAGUAUGCACCGUUGCGAAAGUUCUUCGUGCCGAGACACCACAUGAUGAUCGGGUGUGAUAGGCUCUACGUUCAAAUACAACAGGUGCAAAACAGUUGCACACGCGGAAUACUCAGGUUAUACUUGACGAGCCAAGCAUAUGCAGAUAUGGCCUCGGAACACGGAGACCGAAAGGUCGAGCGUGAAUCAUAUAGUAGAUAUGAUCAACAUAGUGAUGUUCACCAAUGAAACUACAUCUCACGUGAUGAUCGGACAUGGUUUAGUUGAUUGGGAUCAUGUGAUCGCUUAGAGGAUUAGAGGGAUGUCUAUCUAAGUGGGAGUUCUUAAGUAAUAUGAUUAAUUGAACUUAAAUUUAUCAUGAACUUAGUCCUUAUAGUAUUUUGCAAAUUAUGUUGUAGAUUAAUAGCUCGUGUUGUUGCUUCCUUGUGUUUUUUAUAUGUUCCUAGAGAAAAUUGUGUUGAAAGAUGUUAGUAGCAAUGAUGCGGAUUGGAUCCGUCAUCUGAGGUUUAUCCUCAUUGCUGCACAGAGGAAUUAUGUCCUUGAUGCACCGCUAGGUGACAGACCUAUUGCAGGAUCAGAUACUAACGUUAUGAACGUUUGGCUAGCUAAAUAUGAUGACUACUUGAUAGUUUAGUGCACCAUGCUUAACGGCUUAGAAUCGGGACUUCAAAGACGUUUUGAACGUCAUGGACCAUAUGAGAUGUUCCAGGAGUUGAAGUUAAUAUUUCAAGCAAAUACCCGAGUUGAGAGAUAUGAAGUCUCCAACAAGUUCUAUAGCUAAAAGAUGGAGGAGAAUCGCUCAACUAGUGAGCAUGUGCCCAAAUUGUCUGAGUACUACAAUCACUUGAAUCAAGUGGGAGUUAAUCUUCUAGAUAAGAUAGUGAUUGACAGAAUUCUCUAGUCACCAUCACCAAGUUAGUAGAACUUCGUGAUGAACUAUGAUAUGCAAGGGAUAACGGAAACGAUUCCCAUGCUCUUCGUAAUGCGGAAAUUGAUGAAGGUAGAAAUCGAGAAAAACAUCAAGUGUUGAUGGUAGACAAGACCACUACUUUCAAGAAAAAGGAAGAGGGAAGAAGGGGAACUUCAAGAAAAACAGCAAGCAAGUUGCUGCUCAUGUGAAGAAGCCCAAGUCUGGUCCUAAGCCUAUGACUAAGUGCUUCUACUGCAAAGGGACUAGUCACUGGAAGCGGAACUACCCCAAGUGAUUGGCGGAUAAGAAGGAUGGCAAAGUGAACAUAAGUAUAUUUGAUAUACAUGUUAUUGAUGUGUACUUUACUAGUGUUUAUAGCAACCCCUCAGUAUUUGAUGCUAGUUCAGUUGCUAAGAGUAGUAACUCGAAACGGGAGUUGCAGAAUGAACAGAGACUAGUUAAGGGUGAAGUGACGAUGUGUUUUGGAAGUGGUUCCAAGAUUGAUAUGAUCAUCAUCGCACACUCCCUAUACUUUCGGGAUUAGUGUUGAACCUAAAUAAGUGUUAUUUGGUGUUUGCGUUGAGCAUGAAUAUGAUUUGAUCAUGUUUAUUGUAAUACGGUUAUUCAUUUAAGUAAAAGAAUAAAUUGUUGUUCUGUUUACAUGAAUAAAACCUUAUUUGGUUACACACCCAAUGAAAAUAGUUCAUUGGAUGUCGAUCGUAGUGAUACACAUAUUCAUAAUAUUGAAACCAAAAGAUGCGAAGUUAAUAAUGAUAGUGCAACUUAUUUGUGGCACUGCCAUUUAGGUCAUAUUGGUGUAAAGCUCAUGAAGAAACUCCAUGCUGAUGGGAUUUUGGAAUCACUUGGUGCUUGCGAACCAUGCCUUAUGGAUAAAAUGACUAAAGACUCCGUUCUCCGGAACAAUGGAGCGAGCAACUGACUUAUUGGAAAUAAUACAUACUGAUGUAUGCGAUCUGAUGAGUGUUGAAGCUCGCGGCGGGUAUCGUUAUUUUCUGACCUUCACAUAUGAUUUGAGCAGAUAUGGUAUAUCUGCUUGAUGAAACAUAAGUCUGAAACAUUUGAAAAGUUCAAAGAAUUUCAGAGUGAAAUGGAAAAUCAUCGUAACAAGAAAAAUAAGGUUUCUACGAUCUGAUCGCGGAGACAAAUAUUUGAGUUACGAGUUUGGUCUUCAAUUAAAACUAUGUGGAAUAGUUUCACAAAUUCAUGCCACCUGGAACACCACAGCAUAAUAGUGUGUUCGAACAUCAUAACCGUACUUUAUUGGAUAUAGUGCAAUCUAUGAUGUUUCUUACCGAUUUACCACUAUAGUUUUGGGGUUAUGCAUUAGAGACAGCUGCAUUCACGUUAAAAGGGCACCAUCUAAAUCUGUUGAGACGACACCGUAUGAACUGUGGUUUGGCAAGAAACCAAAGUUGUCGUUUCUCAAAGUUUGGGGUUGCAAUGCUUAUGUGAAAAAGUUUCAUCCUGAUAAGCUCAAACCCAAAUCGGAAAAGUGUGUCUUCAUAGGAUACCCAAAAAGUUACUGUUGGGUACACCUUCUAUCACAGAUCCGAAGGCAAGACUUUUGUUGCUAAAUUCAGAAACUUUCUGGAGAAGGAGUUUCUCUCGAAAGAAGUGAGUGGGAGGAAAGUAGAACUUGAUGAGGUAACUGUACCUACUCCCUUAUUGGAAAGUAGUACAUCACAGAAAACUGUUUCUGCGACACCUACCCCAAUUAGUGAGGAAGCUAAUGAUACUGAUCAUGAAACUUCAGGACAAGAUACUAUUGAACCUCAUAGAUCAACCAGAGUGAGAUCCGCGCCAUAGUGGUACGGUAAUCCUAUUCUGGAAAUCAUGCUGCUAGAUCAUGAUGAACCUACGAACUAUGAGGAAGCGAUGAUGAGCCCAGAUUCCGAUAAAUGGCUUGAGGCCAUGAAAUCUGAGAUAGGAUCCAUGUAUGAGAACAAAGUGUGGACUUUGGUGGACUUGCCCGAGGAUCGGCAAGCCAUUGAUAAUAAAUGGAUCUUCAAGAGGAAGACGGACACGGAUAGUAGUGUUACUAUCUACAAAGCUAGAAUUUUCGCAAAAGGUUUUCGACAAGUUCAAGGUGUUGACUACGAUGAGAUUUUCUCACUCGUAUCUAUGCUUAAGUCUGUCCGAAUCAUGUUAGCAAUUGCCGCAUUUUAUGAAAUCUGGCAAAUGGAUAAACAAAACUGCAUUCCUUAAUGGAUUUAUUAAAGAAGAGUUGUAUAUGAUGCAACCAGAAGGUUUUGUCAAUCCUAAAGGUACUAACAAAAUAUGCAAGCUCCAACGAUCCAUCUAUGGACUGGUGCAAACAUCUCGGAGUUGGAAUACACGCUUUGAUAAGUUGAUCAAAGCAUAUAGUUUUAUACAGACUUGUGGUGAAGCCUGUAUUUACAAGAAAGUGAGUGGGAGCACUACAACAUUUCUGAUAAGUAUAUGUGAAAGACAUAUUAUUGAUCGGAGAUAAUGUAGUAUUAUUCUGCAAAUCAUAAAGGAAUAUUUGAAAGGAGUUUUUCAAAGAAAGACCUCGGUGAAGCUGCUUACAUAUUGAGCAUCAAUAUCUAUAGAGAUAGAUCAAGACGCUUGAUAAGUUUUUCAAUGAGGAUAUACCUUGACAAGAUUUUGAAGUAGUUCAAAAUGGAAUAGUCAAAGAAGGAGUCCUUGCCUGUGUUACAUAGGUGUGAAGUUGAGUAAGACUCAAAACCCGACCACGGCAGAAGAUAGAGAGAGAAUGAAAGUCAUUCCCUAUGCCUCAGCCAUAGGUUCUAUAAAGUAUGCCAUGCUGUGUACCAGACCUAUUGUAUACCCUGCCCUGAGUUUGGCAAGGGAGUACAAUAGUGAUCUAGGAGUAGAUCACUGGACAUUGUUCAAAAUUAUCCUUAGUGGAAUAAGGAUAUGUUUCUCGAUUAUGGAGGUGACAAAAGGUUCGUCGUAAAGGGUUACGUCGAUGCAAGUUUUGACACUGAUCCAGAUGACUCUAAGUCUCAAUCUGGAUACAUAUUGAAAGUGUGAGCAAUUAGCUAGAGUAGCUCCAUGCAGAGCAUUGUUGACAUAGAAAUUUGCAAAAUACUUACAGAUCUGAAUGUGGCAGACCCGUUGACUAAACUUCUCUCACAAGAAAAACAUGAUCACACCUCAGUACUCUUUGGGUGUUAAUCACAUAGCGAUGUGAACUAGAUUAUUGACUCUAGUAAACCCUUUGGGUGUUGGUCACAAGUUGAUGUGAACUAUGGGUGUUAAUCACAUGGUGAUGUGAACUAUUGAUGUUAAAUCACAUGGCGAUGUGAACUAGAUUAUUGACUCUAGUGCAAGUGGGAAACUAAAGGAAAUAUGCCCUAGAGGCAAUAAUAAAGUUAUUAUUUAUUUCCUUAUACCAUGAUAAAUGUUUAUUAUUCAUGCUAGAAUUGUAUUAACCGGAAACAUUAUACCUGUGUGAAUACAUAGACAAACAGAGUGUCACUAGUAUGCCUCUACUUGACUAGCUCGUUAAUCAAAGAUGGUUAUGUUUCCUAACCAUGGACAAAGAGUUGUUAUUUGAUUAACGGGAUCACAUCAUUAGGUGAAUGAUCUGAUUGACAUGACCCAUUCCAUUAGCUUAGCACCAGAUCGUUUAGUAUGUUGCUAUUGCUUUCUUCAUGACUUAUACAUGUUCCUAUGACUAUGAGAUUAUGCAACUCCCGUUUGCCGGAGGAACACUUUGUGUGCUACCAAACGUCACAACGUAACUGGGUGAUUAUAAAGGAGCUCUACAGGUGUCUCCAAAGGUACAUGUUGGGUUGGCGUAUUUCGAGAUUAGGAUUUGUCACUUCGAUCAUCGGAGAGGUAUCUCUGGGCCCUCUCGGUAAUGCACAUCACUUAAGCCUUGCAAGCAUUGCAGCUAAUGAGUUAGUUGCGGGAUGAUGUAUUACGGAACGAGUAAAGAGACUUGCCGGUAACGAGAUUGAACUAGGUAUUGGAUACCGACGAUCGAAUCUCGGGCAAGUAACAUACCGAUGACAAAGGGAACAACGUAUGUUGUUAUGCGGUCUGACCGAUAAAAGAUCUUUGUAGAAUAUGUAGGAACCAAUAUGGGCAUCCAGGUCCCGCUAUUGGUUAUUGACCGGAGACGUGUCUCGGUCAUGUCUACAUUGUUCUCGAACCCGUAGGGUCUGCACGCUUAAGGUUUCGAUGACAGUUAUAUUAUGAGUUUAUGAGUUUUAAUGUACCGAAGGAGUUCAGAGUCCCGGAUGAGAUCGGGGACAUGACGAGGAGUCUCAAAAUGGCCGAGACAUAAAAAUCGAUAUAUUGGACGACUAUAUUCGGACAUCGGAAAGGUUCCGAGUGAUUCGAGUAUUUUUCGGAGUACCGGAGAGUUACGGGAAUUCGCCGAGAGAAGUAUUGGGCCUUAUUGGGCCAUACGGGAAAGAGAGAGGGGCUGCCUAGGGCAGGCCGCGCGCCCCCAAGGCUUAGUCCGAAUUGGACUAGGGGGAGGGGCUGCGCCCCUUCCUUGUUUCCUACUCCUACUACAUGGAAGGACUCCUACUUGGACUAGGAAAGGGGGAAUCCUACUCCCGGUGAGAGUAGGACUUCUCUAGGCGCGCCAUAGAGAGGGCCGGCCCUCCCCUCCUGCACUCCUUGAUAUACGGGGGCAGGGGGCACCCCAUAGACACACAAGUUGAUCCACGUGAUUAUAUUCUUAGCCGUGUGCGGUGCCCCCUUCCACCAUAGUCCUCGAUAAUAUUGUAGUAGUGCUUAGGCGAAGCCCUGCGACAGUAGUACAUCAAGAUCGUCACCACGCCGUCGUGCUGACGGAACUCUUCCCCGACACUUUGCUGGAUCGGAGUCCGGGGAUCGUCAUCGAGCUGAACGUGUGCUAGAACUCGGAGGUGCCGUAGUUUCGGUACUUGAUCGAUCGGGCCGUGAAGACGUACGACUACAUCAACCGCGUUGUCAUAACGCUUCCGCUAUCAGUCUACAAGGAUACGUACAUCACACUCUCCUCUCUCGUUGCUAUGCAUCAUCAUGAUCUUGCGUGUGCGUAGGAAAUUUUUUGAAAUUACUAUGUUCCCCAACAAAAAUAUUCACAAAGAAACUCUAAAUACACAAAAAAAACAACUCAAAAAUAAAUAAAGCAAAAAAAAUAAAAAAAGCCCGCCUACUGGGCCAGAGCGGCCUGCAUACGACUAGAAACUCAACCUGUUGUUGGGCCAGGAUGCAGGCCCGCAAAGGUCGAGUAGGCCCACAGGGCAGCACAGAACAUGUAGGCCCAGUAGGCCUGCUUUGGAGAGGAGCUCGAGACAGCUACCGCACGGGGGGUUAUAAACCAGUGCAGACGCCCUUCGGCUAGCGAGGUGGGACUAAACUUGCUGCACCGCACCUGCGCCAAUGCACCCCCUUUAGUACCGGGUGGUGGCACCAACCGGUACUAAAGGCGGGGGUGCCUUUAGUACCGGUUGGAGCCACCACCCGGUACUAAAGGGGGUGCGCUUCCCGCCGCUUGGACUGGCCAAAACAGGCCUUUAGUACCGGUUGGUGGCUCCAACCGGUACUAAAGGUCCAUCCUAUAUAUCCAAACACUUCAAAAAUUUCAGUUUUUCAUCUGCUUCUUCUCCUCUGCCCCGUCGCCCGCCGCCCCCGUCUCCAUAUCCCUCGUCGCCGCCCCCGUCGCCGCCCCGUCCCCGUCGUCGNNNNNNNNNNNNNNNNNNNNNNNNNNNNNNNNNNNNNNNNNNNNNNNNNNNNNNNNNNNNNNNNNNNNNNNNNNNNNNNNNNNNNNNNNNNNNNNNNNNNNNNNNNNNNNNNNNNNNNNNNNNNNNNNNNNNNNNNNNNNNNNNNNNNNNNNNNNNNNNNNNNNNNNNNNNNNNNNNNNNNNNNNNNNNNNNNNNNNNNNNNNNNNNNNNNNNNNNNNNNNNNNNNNNNNNNNNNNNNNNNNNNNNNNNNNNNNNNNNNNNNNNNNNNNNNNNNNNNNNNNNNNNNNNNNNNNNNNNNNNNNNNNNNNNNNNNNNNNNNNNNNNNNNNNNNNNNNNNNNNNNNNNNNNNNNNNNNNNNNNNNNNNNNNNNCUCGCCGAUGAGCACACACGCACAUACAUUUUUUUAGUUUUUUAGUUAUAGAAAUAGUUAUAAAAAUGUUAGAAAAUUUUCUUUUCUUAGUUAUAGAAAUAGUUACUUAUAUAUCAUUAUUAGAAAUGUUAGAAUUGUUAGAAAUUUUUUCUGUUUUUUAGUUAUAGAAAUAGUUAUAAAAAAGUUAGAAUUGUUAGAAAUUUUUCUGUUUUUUAGUUAUAGAAAUAGUUAUAAAAAAGUUAGAAAUUUUUCUUUUUUUAGUUAUAGAAAUAUUAGAAAUGUUAUACAAAUGUUAGUUAUACAGAUAGAAAUGUUAUAAUUUUUUUUGUUUUUUAGUUAUAGAAAUAUUAGAAAUGUUAUAGAAAUGUUAGUUAUAUAGCAUUGUUAGAAAUGUUAUAGGAAUGUUAGUUAUAUAGAAAUGUUAGAACUUUGAGUUAUCAAAAUCCAAUUAUUAAAAAAAUGUUACUUUUUGCGGGCAUAUAGCUAGUACUUGUUCUCGACGAUGCCCGGCCCGCAUCCUCGCCGUCGACCCGUCCGCGACGACGUCCGGCUGACCCAUGUCCGAGACUGGGCUCCGCCGGGCUGGCACUGGGGGGGCGCGCCGCUUGAUGAGGAACAUGGCCCCGGGUCCCGUCGUCGACCCUGAUCUAGUUUGGAGGCGUUCGCGUCGGCCAGUUUCGGUGCGGAGGGAGCCGGCCCCGCCGGAGGUGGUACGUCGCCGUGUUAGGGAGGAGGACGAGCACGUCCAUCGCUACAUGGUUGCGUUAGAGGGCGGCAGGUUCUCCAAUACCUGGCAGUUUCUUCAGGGAUCUCACUUCAGCUAUGAUCCUGUGAGGGUUCCUUCUCUUUGGGUGUCCACCGCCCGCGCCGCAGGAACUGCGAGUGUCCUAGAUUCUUCUGUAGUCAGUGAUGUAUUCGAUAUAUAAUAUUCGAGACGAUGUAUUCGAGAUUAUAUAUUAUUCGAGACGAUGUAUUCGAGAUUAUAUCUAUUAUUCGAGACGAUGUAUUCGAGAUUAUAUCUAUUAUUCAAGACGAUGUAUUCGAGAUUAUAUCUAUUAUUUGAGACGAUGUAUUCGAGAUUAUAUCUAUUAUUCGAGACGACGUAUUCGAGAUUAUAUUUGAUGAUGCUUAUAUGUACUAUGAUUGAUUCAGUUUUUCCUUAUUAAUUGAUUGCAUCCAUGCAUUGUAAUUUGAAUAUAUUUCUUUUGGAUUAGUUAAACAAAACCUAUGGCGGACAAUACCGGUAGAGAGGGAGAAGAGGCCCUGUUCAAUAUCAUAUGCAAUCCUCGCGGGCCAGAUGAUGAUCAGAAUGAAGAAGAUUAUGACGGCUCCGAAUAUGUAAACAACACCGGGGAGGGUGAUAUGAUAUUCGAUCGCGACGACUGAAUUGAUGAAGUCAUGAACUAUGAACAUGACAAAGAAAAUGUUGAUCUUGAAACAACAAAGACCGGCGAGGUAUAUAUAUUUAUAUAAGCAGGCAUCUGGUGAUCAUCACAUGUUUUAAAUGACUCGAAGAUAUAUUAACGAAUCGAUCUUUCUUCUUUCAGCUAUCUGGAUCGAGCAAAUCUUCAGGCAACAGGAUGAAAUGAGGCCCAAACAAAAAGUUGAAGGAGGGCGUAAAGUACAAUAUCGAGGCAAUCAGACCUAAUGGCGAACCAUUAGCGCCUAAGAAGAUUGCGGACAAGUUCGUUCGUCAGUGCGGAGUUCUUGUGAAGGACCUACUCCCGAUCUCCCUUCAAGAAUGGAGAGAGCCAGCAAACCAACGUCCAGAUCUUACUUUUGUCGAUGACAGACAAAAAGGUCUGCUUUGGGAUACUCUCAUGGAACAUUUCACCCUACCAGAUCAUUUCACAGAAGCAGAUGUGCAGAAAGUAAAGGACGCUGCUCUUAGGAAGAUGGCGGUUGCAUUCAAGAACCAUAAGAAUCAUGAAUGGGACAAGUACAUCAAGGGAGGAAGGAAGACUCCAGUAUUCGAGGGAACACUAGAGAAGCAAAGUGCUCAUUGGGACGAUUGCGUGAAAUUCAAGGAUUCGGAAUUAGCUAAGGAGCGGUCGAGAAUAAACAAGAAGAAUGUCGAAAAAAGGAUAAGUUCCAUAAGCUGGGGCCAGGUGGCUACGCGAUGGCAAUGCCUAAGUGGGAUAAGUUUGAGAAAGAGAUGGAGGAUGCAAGUGUCACUCCGGUUACUAGGAGCUGGCCCCCCAGGUGCAGGACUUGGUUCUAUGCGCAUGGGGGGAGUUGGACCCGAAGACAGGCAAAGUUUCGACGAAGGCAUGUCUGAACGGAGCCAACGAUGCGCUAAUUGUUGCAAUAGAAGAGGCUCGAACGGGGGUAUUCCAGCCCAACAGAGAGAACGACGAGCUUACGCGUGCCCUGGGAAAUCCUGAACACCCGGGAAUAACACGAGGCAAGGGCGCUAUUCCGUGGUAUGAGUGGUUUUCGGACUGGAACCGACUACAGAAACCGUGUGAGAAGGAAGAUUGCGGAGGAGAAGAAGAGGAAGAUGGAGGAGGAGCAGAGGAAGUUGGACUAUGAACGCCUUCAAGGCCUAGAAUCAAAGCACGCAGACUUGGCAGUCAAAUUCCAGCGGCAGCAGGAGCAGAUCGACUCACUUAGCCAGCAAAGGGGGUCUCAGCAGCUGCAGCGGCAAGCGGAUGAUCCAGCAUUGGAUAGCACCGCCCUAUCCAUGCCGAGAAGCAGCGUGGGUUCCGCCCCGGGCGACGCAAUGCUGGAUAGAUACCCCGUGGAUGACGUCACGGAGAACACUAACUGCGAGCUACACUUCAAAAUGAAGAACAUAUCCAUGAAGGUGGCGGAUGCCGUUGCUUUUACAAAUCCCCCCGAGGCAACCUUCCAUUGCAACCCGAUUCCAGCAGGCUAUGCUCGUGUCUUGGUUGAUGAGGUGGUGGACCCAUAUUCGGGGCUACAUCUUGACAUUCCUGGAGGUGAUGACGAGCACACAUUGGGAGAGGCCAUACAUCGUGUCAUCCUAUGGAGAAAGGAUUGCAUCGUCUUUCGAAGGCCACCGGCACCGCGUCACCCGACUCCUCGUCGAAGUCCGCCACCGAGUCAGCAAACUCCUGCUCCUCCAAGUCCACCAAUGUGUGAGGCCAUUACUCCUCCUCCAAGUCUGGCAAAGUGUCAGGCCACUCCUCCUCCAAGUCCGACACAGCGUCAGACGUCCACUCCUCCUCCAUGUCCGGCACAACUUCAGGCCACUCCUCCUCCAAGUCCGGCACAGCUUCAGGCCACUCCUCCUCAUCCAACUCAGCCCCGUCAGCCUUCUCCGCCGCCUCAGCAAUCGCAGAAGAGACACCCCGCAGCUAUGGUGCAUAGCGGUACGAGUCGAGGUAGUACAGGAAGUACAGGCGGAGGCAAGCUAUAUAAAUAUGGUCCAAGCCUCACUACUCCUCUUCCUCAGAGGGCUUAUGACAUGACCGAGGAGCAAACCAAUGCCAUAGAGCAGGCAGAAGUGGACGCCCAUUUUGGACCGAAACCGCCACCGCCGCCAAGGGAGAAACUGCCUGUGGAAAAGAUUGACCACUUCAUUCGUAUGGCCCAACCACCAGCUCCCAAGCCCGAUGACACAGACUAUGAGCGCCACAUCAGGAAGUUAAAUCGAGCACGUCUACAGAAGGAGGCGAGCUCGAGCUCGAGCAAACAACAAGCAGCUGUCAAAAAAUGCAGGAAAACCGUUCCCCAGCAGGGAGAACAGGCGACGCAAUCGAUCCCCUCGCUUGUUGUGCCAACAACACGUGAUAGUACGCGCGCCCAAUAUUAUUGUGGCCAAACAGUUUAUGUUCCCGAGGUGGGCAAUGUGGUAAUAACCGAGGAGCAUAUAAUGCAGGCUAAAAUUCUCAACAUCACUGUUGGACAACUCCUCAAGAUCGAGCCCAUGCCUGUGCUUACAGAGGAGGAAAUAAAAUGGAAAUAUGUCCGGGGCGAACCUUUGGUCAAGCCAGACGAGGUCAAGAAGCUCCUAACGCGAAUGUAUGAAUUGCAUCAAUGGUACAUGGACAUUACCAAGAGUUCCAAUCGAGAGUCCCUCAUGGUGGAAGUCAAGAAGGAUCAUUACUACCAUCAGAAAGCUGUGGCCGUUGAGUAUAAUGAACUGUUUGAGUUAUACAAUCAAGAUGCACUCGACAAAUCUAUCGUCAGUUGCUAUUGUCUGUAAGUGAUUUCUUUCUGUAAUUUAAGUCUCAAGCUAGCUGUAGUGAUCCUUUUGAUCAAUCAUUACCUGUAAUUAUCCUCACUAUAUUCUUUUCUGUGGUAUUAUGCAUGAUGAAGAUGUAUGUAAUGAAAAAAAGUGGACGCUACGGCAUUGGGUUCAUUGACCCAAACACCGUUAAUGAAUACACAUGGAAAAUAGAUCCAUAUCAUGAAAAGCAUGUAGAGGACAGCAUGCUAGAGUUCUUGAAGCGCCUCAAAUACAAUGAAGAUAUACUACUUCCUUACAACUUCCAGUGAGUCACACUGUCUUGUACUAUACAAAUUCUCUGUUUUUGCCUACUAGCUAGCUACAUGUUUUUGCUUAUGUAUGCCCGCUUAAUUAAGACAUGCAAACGUGUGUGCAUGCAGAUUUCACUGGAUCUUGUGUAUCAUUAAAGUUGACGCUGGAACAAUUGAAAUACUGGACUCACUACUCAAAGCAAAUAGUGACUAUAACAUCUUGUUUGGGAUAGUCAACAGGUAAUUUCAAUCAUUAUUAACUAUAUAUCUCGACCUAUUUAGUUCGUCAUUUCAUGAUAUGAACUAUUUAAUAACCCAUUUAUUCAUUUUCUUUGUCAGCGGGCAGGGCUUGGGCAAGGUUCAUCAGCGUCACUCCAGGCGAAUGGAAACAAAAGCUGAAAUGGUUUCGACCCAAGGUAAGUAAUUAAGUAGUACUAGCUAGCUAGCUAGCUGCCAUCUCUUUAAUUAUCAUGCUUGCUUAAUUAUUAUCUGAUCAACUUCCAUUCUCGUAAAGGCCCUGAAGGAGGCGCAGGGGACUGAUCUGUGUGCAUACUGCGUUUGCGAGAACAUUCACAUGAUGGCAUCCGAAAGGAGCAGAUCUCAAAGACAGGAAUGGCACUAGUAGAAAAAGGGUCCAAUCGUGAAGCACAUUAGUGCCGGUUUGAAUUUGAGCUGGCACUAAUGUGUGCAUUAGUGCCGGUUCCAACGGCUAGCCGGCCGCUCUCAUUAGUACCGGUCCGUGGUGAACCUUUAGCACCGGUUCGUGCCAUGAACCGGUACUAAAGUGAGUGGUGGCAGGAUGUUGUCAGUCCGGGGCCCCUCCAGCACCUUUAGUACCGGGUCGUUUCAUGAACCGGUACUAAAGGUCGUCCUACAUAGACCCUUCGUCCACCCGAGCUCGCUUUGUUCUUCCCCUUUCCCCUCUCCUCUCUGUUCUUUUCCCUCUUCCUCUCAAGCUCAUCACACAUUUUGCCCAAAAUUUGUCAAGAUUUGAAGGCCCCCAUCCAUUCAAAUGAUCACAAAGGUUAACAACUUUUUCCUUUCAUCUCUCAUUGCUAGAUUAGCUUGUGCAAUGCUUUAUAUAGUGAUUGAUUUUUGAGUUUAGUAAUUUGGGAGGAAUUAUAUAGAUGUGCUAGUAUUUGAUUUAUAUGCAAUUUGAGGUCAAAAAUAACACUUAGUUUGCAUAUGUAGGUGUGGUUUACGUAGUACCUUCUAAAUCUCCGUCGUAACCACCGUCGAUCGCUCGCAACGUCCCGUCGCCAGCACCACCUUGUGGUGAGCCUCUUGUUCUUGAACUUUUAUAUAAAAAAUUGAUGUUUGUGUGAUUUGGAUAUAUAGUUACUCGUAUAAUUAUCUUACCCAUACGUUGUUUGUUAUACAUAGUGCCAUGGUUUUGAUAUCCGUCCCCGUUGGCCCUCGUCCGGGUUAUGAUUCGGAUGUGGUAUAUUCUCUUUUAAAACUAUUCAUUGCAUUUCGUGUUUAUGACAAAUUAUGCCCAUCAAGUUGACAUAGAUAUUUGUAUGUAGGAGGUAGUUGAACCGGAAAUUCCAACCGACCCUAUUGUCGAGAGGUUAAAUUUAGUUGAAAGAGAAAACGAGGAUUUGAAGGAAAAAUUGAAAAGAAUUGAGGGGGAGAAGAUGGAAUUGGAGUUGCAUGUUGCCGAUGUCGUCGAUAAUCACAAGAUUAAGAUGGAGAAAAUGCGCUUGAAGAUUAGAAAGAUUAGAAAAUAUGCUAUUCAUAGUGAGGCUUGGUAUCAUUAUGCUGUUGGAUCAAUUGUUACCUUAGUUGCGAUCUUGAUCGCAUUUGUUGUUGCAUUUAAAUUCUUUAGCUAGAGAGUUAUUUGUUUGUUGCAUUUAAGUGUUGUAUGAUCUUUAUGUAUGAACUUUAUGUAUUGUAUUAAUUUGACGUUUUCGGUGCUGUCUAUUGAAGAUGAGCCGGCAAUGGAUGUACGAUGACCGAUGCUCUCCCGAAUUCAUUAAUGGUGUGCGUACUUUUCUGCUUGCGGCUGAGGCAAACAAGCGAGCGGAUGGUUUUAUGCCUUGUCCAUGUGCUGGCUGUAAGAAUGGUCACAAUUACUCUACGUCAAGAACCAUUCACGUCCACCUGUUUGAGUCCGGUUUCAUGCCCCACUAUAAUGUUUGGACCAAGCAUGGAGAAAGAGGGGUUAUGAUGGAAGACAAUGAAGAAGAAGAGGACGACGACAGCUAUCCUGGCCAUGGGUUCCCUGAAUACGAUGAUACAACAAUGAGGGAAGAAGCUGAGCCGGUAAUGCGGGAAGAAGCUAAAGAAGAGGCAUCGGAUGAGCCCGUUGAUGAUCUAGGUCAGGCCAUUGCCGAUGCAAAGAGAAACUGCGCAAGUGAUUUGGAGAAGAAGAAGUUGCAGCGCAUGUUAGAGGAUCACAAAAAAUUGUUGUACCCGAAUUGCGUAGGUGACAAGAAAAAGCUGGGCACCACACUGGAAUUGCUGCAAUGGAAGGCAGAGAAUGGUGUAUCUGACAAGGGAUUUGGAAAGUUGCUGGUAAUGAUAAAGGAUAUGCUUCCACAGGACAACGAAUUGCCCGAGAGUACGUACGAAGCAAAGAAGGUUGUCUGCCCUCUAGGGUUAGAGGUGCAGAAGAUACAUGCAUGCCCUAAUGGUUGCAUCCUCUACCGCGAUGAGUACGAGGAUUUGAACGCUUGCCUGGUAUGCGGUGCAUUGCGCUAUAAGAUCAGCCGCGAUGACCCUGGUGAUGUUGAGGGCGAGCGCCCCAGGAAGAAGAUUCCUGCCAAGGUGAUGUGGUAUGCUCCUAUAAUACCCCGGUUGAAACGUUUGUUCCAAAACAAAGAGCAUGCCAAUGCGAUGCGAUGGCACAGAGAAGACCGUAAGAAAGACGGAAAGUUGAGAGUACCCGCUGAUGGGUCGCAGUGGAGAAAAAUCGAAAGAAAGUACGGAAAGGAGUUUGUAGAUGACGCAAGGAACGUAUGGUUUGGUCUAAGCGCAGAUGGCAUUAAUCCUUUUGGGGAGCAGAGCAGCAACCAUAGAACCUGGCAUGUGACUCUAUGUUUGUAUAAUCUUCCUCAUUGGUUGUGCAUGAAGCGGAAGUUCAUUAUGAUGACAGUGCUCAUCCAAGGCCCUAAGCAACCCGGCAACGACAUUGAUGUGUACCUAAGGCCAUUAGUUGAAGAACUCUUACAACUGUGGAAUGGAACAGGUGUACGUGCGUGGGAUGAGCACAUGGGGAAGAAUUUGACCUAAAGGCGUUGCUGUUCGUGACCAUCAAUGAAUGGCUGUUCUCAGUAACCUUUCAGGACAGACAAACAAGGGAUACCGCGCAUGAACGCACUGUUUGGAUGAUACGGACAGUAUAUAUUUGGCUAAUUGUAAGAAGAAUGUGUACCUGGGACAUCGUCGAUUUCUUCCGAGCAGGCAUCCCGUAAGAAAGAAAGGCAAGCAUUUCAAAGGUGAGGCGGAUCACCGGACGAAGCCUCGCCACUGUACUGGUGUUGAUGUACAUGAUAUGGUCAAGGAUUUGAAGGUGGUCUUUGGAAAGGGUCCUGGUGGACAACCUGUUCCGAAUGACGCUGACGGACGCGCACCCAUGUGGAAGAAGAAAUCUAUAUUUUGGGACCUGCCCUAUUGGAAAGACCUAGAGGUCUGCUCCGCAAUCGACGUGAUGCAUGUGACGAAGAAUCUUUGUGUGACCCUGCUUGGCUUCUUGGGCGUGUAUGGGAAGACAAAAGAUACACCUGAGGCACGGGAGGACCAGCAAUGUAUGCACGGAAAAGACGGCAUACAUUAGGGUCAUGCAAGCUAUGCUCUUACAAAAGAAGAGAAGGAAAUCUUCUUUGAAUGCAUGCUCAGUAUUAAGGUACCGUCUGGCUUCUCGACGAAUAUAAAGGGAAUAAUAAACAUGGCAGAGAAAAAGUUCCAGAACCUAAAGUCUCAUGACUGCCACAUGAUUAUGACGCAACUUCUUCCGGUUGCAUUGAGGGUGCUUCUACCAGAAAAUGUUCGAUUAGCCAUUGUGAAGCUAUGUGCAUUUCUCAAUGUAAUCCCUCAGAAGGUAAUCGAUCCAGAAAUCAUACCAAGGUUAGAGAAUGAUUUGGUGCAAUGGCUUGUCAGUUUCGAGUUGGUGUUCCCACCAUCCUUCUUCAACAUCAUGACGCACGUCCUAGUUCACUUAUGCGAAGAGAUUAACGUUUUUGGUCCUGUAUUUCUACACAAUAUGUUCCCCUUUGAGAGGUUCAUGGGAGUCUUAAAGAAAUAUGUUCAUAACCAUGCUAGGCCAGAAGGAAGCAUCUCCAAGGGCCAUGAAAAUGAGGAGGUCAUUGAGUUUUGUAUUGACUUUAUUCCUGACCUUAAGCCGAUUGGUGUUCCUAAAUCGCGGCAUAAGGGCAGACUGGAUGGAAAAGGCAUGCUAGGAGGGGAACAAAUAAUAUGUAUGGACGAACAUUCUCUCACUGAAGCACACUACACAGUUUUACAGAAUUCCGCCUUGGUGGCUCCGUAUAUGUAUGAACACAAGAAUUUGCUACGCUCCAAACACCCGAGCGGUCUGAUGACUGGAUUACACGUGAACUAACUAGGAGUUUCGCCAGCUGGUUGCAGACACGUACCAUGCAUGACACCUCUAUUGAAGAUGACAUGUACUUGCUGUCCCAGUUACCAUCUUCGAAUAUAAUGACUUUCAAAGGGGACGAGAUAAAUGGUAAUACAUUUUACACGAUCGCCCAAGAUAAGAAGAGCACCAACCAAAACAGUGGUGUCUGCUUUGAUGCAGAAACCAAGACGGGAAAGGAAACAUAUUAUGGUUAUAUACAGGACAUAUGGGAACUUGACUAUCGACGUGGUUUGAAGGUCCCUUUGUUUCGGUGCAAAUGGGUCAAUAUGACACGAGGCGGGGUAACGGAAGACCCGCAGUACGGAAUGACAACAGUGGAUCUCAACAAUCUUGCGUAUGCAGACGAACCAUUCGUCCUAGACAAUGAUGUGGCACAGGUUUUCUAUGUGAAAGACAUGUCUACCAAGCCAAGAAAAAGAAAAGAUAAGGAAGCGAAUGCAUUGUACGAUGAGCCAAAGCGGCACAUAGUUCUUUCUGGGAAGAGAAACAUCGUGGGAGUGGAUGACAAGACAGACAUGUCAGAAGAUUAUGAAAAGUUUGAUGAAAUUGCUCCAUUCACGGUGAAUAUUGACCCGAGCAUCCCGUUAAAUGAUGAAGAUUUUCCAUGGUUACGGCGCAAAGGGACACACGCGAAGAAAAAGUUUCACACCCAAAGAUCUGGGAUGUGAUCGGCUUCACUAUCAUCACUUUGUUCUGUGUUUCACACCCAGGAGGGAAUCUCUCUAAUAGUUAGGGUAGUUAUGUGUUUUGGCAUUUGAAAUGCGCAGAAAUUUUAUGUGCAAACAAAUUCUUUCAUGCCUUUACUGAUUUUUAAAGUUAAGUUAUUCACAAACUAGUGAUUCACACUAAUUUCAAAUAAUUCAAAAUUUAAACUAUUAAAAUUUGAAAACUACGGGCACUAAAGAAAGUUUGUAAUUUUUUGUACCUAAAGAAAAAUAUUCACAAAGAAACUCUAAAUACACAAAAAAACAACUCAAAAAUAAAUAAAGCAAAAAAAAUAAAAAUAAAGCCCGCCUACUGGUCCAGAGCGGCCUGCAUACGACUAGAAACCCAACAUGUUGUUGGGCCAGGAUGCAGGCCCGCAAAGGCACAGUAGGCCCACAGGGCAGCACAAAACAUGUAGGCCCAGUAGGCCUGCUUUGGAGAGGAGCUCGAGAGAGCUACCGCACGGGGGGAUAUAAACCAGUGCGGACGCCCCUCGGCUAGCGAGGUGGGACUAAACUUGCCACACCGCACAUGCGCCAGCGCACCCCCUUUAGUACCGGGUGGUGGCACCAACCGGUACUAAAGGGGGGCCUUUAGUACCGGUUGGAGCCACCACCCGGUACUAAAGGGGGUGCGCUUCCCGCCGCUUGGCCUGGCCAAAACAAGCCUUUAGUACCGGUUGGUGGCUCCAACCGGUACUAAAGGUCCAUCCUAUAUAACUAAACACUUCAAAAAUUUCAGUUUCUCAUCUGCUUCUUCUCCUCUGCCCCGUCGCCCGUCGCCCCCGUCUCCAUAUCCCUCGUCGANNNNNNNNNNNNNNNNNNNNNNNNNNNNNNNNNNNNNNNNNNNNNNNNNNNNNNNNNNNNNNNNNNNNNNNNNNNNNNNNNNNNNNNNNNUUUUUCUGUUUUUCAGAAAUAGUUAGAAAUGUUAGAAUUGUUAAAAUAGUUAGAAAUGUUAGAAUUGUUAGAAUUGUUAGAAAUGUUAGAAUUGUAAGAAAUUUUUCUGUUUUUUAGUUAUAGAAAUAGUUAUAAAAAAGUUAGAAUUGUUAGAAAUUUUUCUGUCUUUUAGUUAUAGAAAUAGUUAUAAAAAUGUUAGUUAUAUAUAUAGUAAUGUUAUAAUUUUUUCUGUUUUUUAUUUAUAGAAAUAUUAGAAAUGUUAUAGAAAUGUUAGUUAUAUAUAGCAUUGUUAGAAAUGUUAUAGAAAUGUUAGUUAUAUAGAAAUGUUAGAAAUUUUAGUUAUCAAAAUCCAAUCAUUAAAAAAAUGUUACUUUUUGCGGGCAUAUAGCUAGUAUUUGUUCUCGACGAUGCCCGACCCGCAUCCUCGNNNNNNNNNNNNNNNNNNNNNNNNNNNNNNNNNNNNNNNNNNNNNNNNNNNNNNNNNNNNNNNNNNNNNNNNNNNNNNNNNNNNNNNNNNNNNNNNNNNNNNNNNNNNNNNNNNNNNNNNNNNNNNNNNNNNNNNNNNNNNNNNNNNNNNNNNNNNNNNNNNNNNNNNNNNNNNNNNNNNNNNNNNNNNNNNNNNNNNNNNNNNNNNNNNNNNNNNNNNNNNNNNNNNNNNNNNNNNNNNNNNNNNNNNNNNNNNNNNNNNNNNNNNNNNNNNNNNNNNNNNNNNNNNNNNNNNNNNNNNNNNNNNNNNNNNNNNNNNNNNNNNNUAUAUUAGAAAUGUUAUAGAAAUGUUAGUUAUAUAGCAUUGUUAGAAAUGUUAUAGGAAUGUUAGUUAUAUAGAAAUGAUAGAAAUUUUAGUUAUCAAAAUCCAAUCAUUAAAAAAAUGUUACUUUUUGCGGGCAUAUAGCUAGUAUUUGUUCUCGACGAUGCCCGGCCCGCAUCCUCGCCGUCGACCCGUCCGCGACGACGUCCGACUGACCCAUGUCCGGGACUGGGCUCCACCGGGCUGGCACUGGGAGGUGCUGCCUAGAGGGACGCACCGCUUGAUGAGGAACCCGGCCCCGGGUCACGUCGUCGACCCUGAUCUCGUUUGGUGGCGUUCGCGUGGGCCAGUUUCGGUGUGGAGGGAGCCGGCCCCGCCGGAGGUGGUACGUCGCCGUGUCAGGGAGGAGGACGAGCACGUCCAUUGCUACAUGGUUGCGUUAGAGGGCGGCAGGUUCUCCAAUACCUGGCAGUUUCUUCAGGGAUCUCACUUCAGCUAUGAUCCUGUGAGGGUUCCUUCUCUUUGGGUGUCCACCGCCCGCGUCGCAGGAACUGCGAGUGUCCUAGAUUCUUCGGUAGUCAGUGAUGUAUUCGAUAUAUAAUAUUCGAGACGAUGUAUUCGGAUUAUAUAUUAUUCGAGAUGAUGUAUUCGAGAUUAUAUCUAUUAUUCGAGACAAUGUAUUCGAGAUUAUAUCUAUUAUUCAAGACGAUGUAUUCGAGAUUAUAUCUAUUAUUCGAGACGAUGUAUUCGAGAUUAUAUCUAUUAUUCAAGACGACGUAUUUGAGAUUAUAUUCGAUGAUGCUUAUUAUGUACUAUGAUUGAUUCAGUUUUUCCUUAUUAAUUGAUUGCAUCCAUGCAUUGUAAUUUGAAUAUAUUUCUUUUGGAUUAGUUAAACAAAACCUAUGGCGGACAAUACCGGCAGAGAGGGAGAAGAGGCCCUGUUCAAUAUCAUACGCAAUCCUCGCGGGCCAGAUGAUGAUCAGAAUGAAGAAGAUUAUGACGGCUCCGAAUAUGUAAACAACACCGGGGAGGGUGAUAUGAUAUUCGAUCGCGACGACCGAAUUGAUGAAGUCAUGAACUAUGAACAUGACGAAGAAAAUGUUGAUCUUGAAACAACAAAGACCGGUGAGGUAUAUAUAUUUAUAUAAGCAGGCAUCUGGUGAUCAUCACAUGUUUUAAAUGACUUGAAGAUAUAUUAACGAAACGAUCUUUCUUCUUUCAGCCAUCCAGAUCGAGCAAAUCUUCAGGCAACAGGAUGAAACGAGGCCCAAACAAAAAGUUGAAGGAGGGCAUAAAGUACAAUAUCGAGGCAAUCAGACCUAAUGGCGAACCAUUAGCGCCUAAGAAGAUUGCGGACAAGUUCGUUCGUCAGUGCGGAGUUCUUGUGAAGGACCUACUCCCGAUCUCCCUUCAAGAAUGGAGAGAGCCAGCAAAGCCACGUCCAGGUCUUACUUUUGCCGACGACAGACAAAAAGGUCUGCUUUGGGAUACUCUCAUGGAACAUUUCACCCUACCAGAUCAUUUCACAGAAGCAGAUGUGCAGAAAGUCAAGGACGCUGCUCUUAGGAAGAUGGCGGUUGCAUUCAAGAACCACAAGAAUCAUGAAUGGGACAAGUACGUCAAGGAAGGAAGGAAGACUCCUGUAUUCGAGGGAACACUAGAGAAGCGAAUUGCUCAUUGGGACGAUUUCGUGAAAUUCAAGGAUUCGGAAUUAGCUAAGGAACGGUCGAGAAUAAACAAGAAGAAUGUCGAAAAAAGGAUAAGUUCCAUAAGCUGGGGCCAGGUGGCUAAGCGGUGGCAAUGCCUAAGUGGGAUAAGUUUGAGAAAGAGAUGGAUGAUGCAGGUAUCAUUCCGGUUACUAGGAGCUGGCCCACCAGGUGCAGGACUUGGUUCUAUGCGCAUGGGGGGAGUUGGACCCGAAGACAGGCAAAGUUUUGACGAAGGCAUGUCUGAACGGAGCCGACGAUGCGCUAAUUGUUGCAAUAGAAGAGGCUCGAAUGGGGGUAUUCUAGCCCAACAGAGAGAACGACAAGCUUACGUGUGCCCUAGGAAAUCCUGAACACCUGGGAAGAACACGAGGCAAGGGCGCUAUUCCGUGGUAUGAGGGGUUUUCGGACUGGAACGCCGACUACAGAACCCGUGCGAGAAGGAAGCUUGCGGAGGAGAAGAAGAGGAAGAUGGAGGGGGAGCAGAGGAAGCUGGACUAUGAACGCCUUCAAGGCCUAGAAUCAAAGCACGCGGACUUGGCAGUCAAAUUCUAGCGGCAGCAGGAGCAGAUCGACUCACUUAGCCAGCAAAGGGGGUCUCAGCAGCUGCAGCGGCAAGCGGAUGAUCCCGCAUUGGAUAGCACCACCCCAUCCAUGCCGAGAAGCAGCGUGGGUUCCGCCCCGGGCGACGCAAUGCUGGAUAGAUACCCCAUGGAUGACGUCACGGAGAACACUAACUGUGAGCUACACUUCAAAAUGAAGAACAUAUCCAUGAAGGUGGCGGACGCCGUUGCUUUUACAAAUCCCCCCGAGGCAACCUUCCAUUGCAACCCGAUUCCAGCAGGCUAUGCUCGUGUCUUGGUUGAUGAGGUGGUGGACCCAUAUUCGGGGCUACAUCUUGACAUUCCUGGAGGUGACGACGAGCACACAUUGGGAGAGGCCAUACAUCGUGUCAUCCUAUAGAGAAAGGAUUGCAUCGUCUUUCGAAGGCCACCGGCACCGCGUCACCCGACUCCUCGUCGAAGUCCGCCACCGAGUCAGCAGACUCCCGCUCCUCCAAGUCCACCAAUGCGUGAGGCCACUCCUCCUCCUCCAAGUCCGGCAAAGUGUCAGGCCACUCCUCCUCCAAGUCCGACACAGCGUCAGACGUCCACUCCUCCUCCAAGUCCGGCACAAGUUCAGGCCACUCCUCCUCCAAGUCCGGCACAGCUUCAGGCCACUCCUCCUCGUCCAACUCAGCCCCGUCAGUCGUCUCCGCCGCCUCAGCAAUCGCAGAAGAGACACCCCGCAGCUAUGGUGCGUAGCGGUACGAGUCGAGGUAGUACAGGAAGUACAGGCGGAGGCAAGCGAUAUAAAUAUGGUCCAAGCCUCACUACUCCUCUUCCUCAGAGGGCUUACGAUAGGACCGAGGAGCAAACCAAUGACAUAGUGCGGGCAGAAGUGGACGCCCAUUUUGGACCGAAACCGCCACCGCCGCCAAGGGAGAAAGUGCCUGCGGAAAAGAUUGACCACUUCAUUCGUAUGGCUCAACCACCAGCUCCCAAGCCUGUUGACACAGACUAUGAGCGCCACAUCAGGAAGUUAAAUCGAGCACGUCUACAGAAGGAGGCGAGCUCGAGCAAACAAUAAGCAGCUGCCAAAAAUGCAGGAAAACCGUUCCCCAGCUGGGAGAACAGGCGGCGCAAUCGAUCCCCUCGCUUGUUGUGCCAACAACACGUGACAAUACGCGCGCCCAAUAUUAUUGUGGGCAAACUGUUUACGUUCCCGAGGUGGGCAAUGUGGUAAUAACCGAGGAGCAUAUAAUGCAGGCUGAAAUUCUCAACAUCACUGUUGGACAACUCCUCAAGAUCGAGCCCAUGCCUGUGCUUACAGAGGAGGAAAUAAAACGGAAAUAUGUCCGGGGCGAACCUUUGGUCAAGCCAGACGAGGUCAAGAAGCUCCCAACGAGAAUGUAUGAAUUGCAUCAAUGGUACAUGGACAUUACCAAGAGUUCCAAUCUAGAGUCCCUCAUGGUGGAAGUCAAGAAGUAUCAUUACUACCAUCAGAAAGCUGUGGCCGUUGAGUAUAAUGAACUGUUUCAGUUAUACAAUCAAGACGCACUCGACAAAUCUAUCGUUAGUUGCUAUUGUUUGUAAGUGAUUUCUUUCUGUAAUUUGAGUCUCAAGCUAGCUGUAGUGAUCCUUUUGAUCAAUCAUUACCUGUAAUUAUCCUCACUAUAUUCUUUUCUGUGGUAUUAUGCGGGAUGAAGAUGUAUGAAAUGAAAAAAGGUGGACGCUAUGGCAUUGGGUUCAUUGACCCAAACACCGUUAAUGAAUGCACAUGGAAAAUAGAUCCAUAUCAUGAAAAUCAUGUAGAGGACAGCAUGCUAGAGUUCUUGAAGCGCCUCAAAUACAAUGAAGAUAUACUACUUCCUUACAACUUCCAGUGAGUCACACUGUCUUGUACUAUACAAAUUCUCUAUUUUUGCCUACUAGCUAGCUACAUGUUUUUGCUUACGUAUGCCCAUUUAAUUAAGACAUGCAAAUGUGUGUGCAUGUAGAUUUCACUAGAUCUUGUGUAUCAUUAAAGUUGACGCCGGAACAGUUGAAAUACUGGACUCACUACUCAAAGCAAAUAAUGACUAUAACAUCUUGUUUGGGAUAGUCAACAGGUAAUUUCAAUCAUUAUUAACUAUAUAUCUCGGCCUAUUUAGUUCGUCAUUUCAUGAUAUGAACUAUUUAAUAACCCCUUUAUUCAUUUUCUUUGUUGGCGGGUAGGGCUUGGGCAAGGUUCAUCAGCGUCUCUCCAGGCGAAUGGAAACAAAAGCUGAAAUGGUUUCGACCCAAGGUAAGUAAUUAAGUAGUACUAGCUAGCUAGCUAGCUGCCAUCUCUUUAAUUAUCAUGCUUGAUUAAUUAUUAUCUGACCAAAUUCCAUUCUCGUAAAGGCCCUGAAGCAGGCGUAGGGGACUGAUAUGUGUGCAUACUGCGUUUGCGAGAACAUUUGCAUGAUGGCGUCCGAAAGGAGCAGAUCUCAAAGACAGGAAUGGCACUAGUAGAAAAAGGGUCAAACGUGAAGCACAUUAGUGCCGGUUUGAAUUUGAGCCGGCACUAAUGUGUGCAUUAGUGCCGGUUCCAACGGCUAGCCGGCCGCUCUCAUUAGUACCGGUUCGUGGAGAACCUUUAGCACCGGUUCGUGCCACGAACCGGUACUAAAGUGAGUGGUGGCAGGAUGUUGUCAGUCCGGGGCCCCUCCAGCACCUUUAGUACCGGGUCGUAUCACGAACCGGUCCUAAAGGUCGUCCUACAUAGACCCUUCGUCCACCCGAGCUCGCUCUGUUCUUCCCCUUUCCCCUCUCCUCUUUGUACUUUUCCCUCUUCCUCUCAAUCUCAUCACACAUUUUGCCCAAAAUUUGUUAAGAUUUGAAGGCCCCCAUCCAUUCAAAUGAUCACAAAGGUUAGCAACUUUUUCCUUUCAUCUCUCAUUGCUAGAUUAGCUCGUGCAAUGCUUUAUAUAGUGAUUGAUUUUUGAGUUUAGUAAUUUGGGAGGAAUUAUAUAUAUGUGCUACUAUUUGAUUUAUAUGCAAUUUGAGGUCAAAAAUAACACUUAGAACCAUUCACGUCCACCUGUUUGAGUCCGGUUUCAUGCCCCACUAUAAUGUUUGGACCAAGCAUGGAGAAAGAGGGGUUAUUGUGGAAGACAAUGAAGAAGAAGAGGACGACGACAGCUAUCCUGGCCAGGGGUUCCCUGAAUACGAUGAUACAACAAUGAGGGAAGAAGCUGAGCCGGUAAUGCGGAAAGAAGCUGAGCCGGCAAUGCAGGAAGAAGCUGAAGAAGAGGCAUCGGAUGAGCCGUUGAUGAUCUAGGUCGGGCCAUUGCCGAUGCAAAGAGAAACUGCGCUAGUGAUUUGGAGAAGAAGAAGUUGCAGCGCAUGUUAGAGGAUCACAAAAAAAUGUUGUACCCGAAUUGCGUAGGUGACAAGAAAAAGCUGGGCACCACACUGGAAUUGCUGCAAUGGAAGGCAGAGAAUGGUGUAUCUGACAAGGGAUUUGGAAAGUUGCUGGUAAUGAUAAAGGAUAUGCUUCCAAAGGACAACGAAUUGCCCGAGAGUACGUACGAAGCAAAGAAGGCUGUCUGCCCUCUAGGGUUAGAGGUGCAGAAGAUACAUGCAUGCCCUAAUGAUUGCAUCCUCUACCGCGGUGAGUACGAGGAUUUGAACGCUUGCCCGGUAUGCGGUGCAUUGCGCUAUAAGAUCAGCCGCGAUGACCCUGGUGAUGUCGAGGGCGAGCGCCCCAGGAAAAAGAUUCCUGCCAAGGUGAUGUGGUAUGCUCCUAUAAUACCACGGUUGAAACGUUUGUUCCAAAACAAAGAGCAUGCCAAGGCGAUGCGAUGGCACAGAGAAGACCGUAAGAAAGACGGAAAGUUGAGAGUACCCGCUGACGGGUCGUAGUGGAGAAAAAUCGAAAGAAAGUACGGGAAGGAGUUUGCAGAUGACGCAAGGAACGUAUGGUUUGGUCUAAGCGCAGAUGGCAUUAAUCCUUUUGGGGAGCACAGCAGCAACCAUAGCACCUGUCCUAUGACUCUAUGUUUGUAUAACCUUCCUCUUUGGUUGUGCAUGAAGCAGAAGUUCAUUAUGAUGCCAGUGCUCAUCCAAGGCGCUAUGAAAAAAAUUCUUAUUUUUAACAGAAGCGCGAUAAAAUACUGAUUAUUUUUGCAGAAGAUUAAUAAAUAAAUUGUUUAGGUCGUCCUAAAUAUUCAGAAUUUUUGAAGUUAAAGAAGUAUUCAUAAUAUCCAGAUUGCUACAGACUGUUCUGUUUUUGACAAAUUCUGUUUUCUAUGUGUUGUUUGCUUAUUUUGAUGAAUCUAUGGCUCGUAUCGGGGCGGGGGGUAUGAACCAUGGAAGAGUUAAAAUACAGUAGAUAUUACACCAAUAUAAAUAAAAAAUGAGUUCACAACAGUAUCAAAAGUGGUGAUUUAUUUUCUUAUAACGGGGCUUAUGAUAUUUUCUGUCGAGUUUUGUGUUGUGAAGUUUUCAAGUUUUGGGUAAGGAAUUGAUGGACUAUGGAAUAAAGAGUGGCAAGAGCCUAAGCUUGGGGAUGCCCAAGGCACCCCAAGGUAAUAUUCAGGGAUAACCAAGAGCCUAAGCUUCCGGGGCAUCCCCUCUUUCGUCUUCAUUUAUCGGUAACUUUACUUGAGGCUAUAUUUUUAUUCACCACAUGAUAUGUGUUUUGCUUGGAGCAUCGUGUAUGAUUUGAGUCUUUGCUUUUCAGUUUGCCACAAUCAUCCUUGUUGUACACACCUUUUGAGAGAGACACACAUGAAUCAUGAUUUAUUAGAAUACUCUAUAUGCUUCACUUAUAUCUUUUGAGGUAGGCAAUUUUGCUCUAGUGCUUCACUUAUAUCUUUUUAGAGCACAGCGGUGGUUUUAUUUUAUAUAAAUUGAUGAACUCUCAUACUUCACUUAUAUUAUUUUGAGUGUCUCUAAACAGCAUGGUAAUUAGCUUUGGUUAUAAAUUUAGUUCUAAUAUGAUAGGCAUCCAAGAGAGAUAUAAUAAAAACUUUCAUAUAAAGUGCAUUGAAUACUAUGAGAAGUUUGAUUCCUUAUGAUUGUUUUGAGAUAUGAAGAUGGCGAUAUUAGAGUCAUGCUAGUGAAGUAGUUGUGAAUUUGAGAAAUACUUGUGUUAAGGUUUGAGAGUCCCGUAGCAUGCACGUAUGGUGAAUCGUUAUGUAACGAAGUUGGAGCAUGAGAUAUUUUUGAUUGUCUUCCUUAUGAGUGGCAUCUGGGGACGAGCGAUGGUUUUUUCCUACCAAUCUACCCCCUAAGAGCAUGCGCGUAGUACUUUUGAUGACUAGUAGGUUUUUGCAAUAAGUAUGUGAGUUCUUUAUGACUAAUGUUGAGUCCAUGGAUUAUAUGCAGUCUCACCCUUCCGCCAUUGCUAGCCUCUCUUGUACAGCACAACUUUCACCGCUAUCAUAAACCCACCAUAUACCUUCCUCAAAACAGCCACCAUACCUACCUAUUAUGGCAUUUCCAUAGCCAUUCCGAGAUAUAUUGCCAUGCAACUUUCCACCGUUCUGCUUAUUAUGAAAUGCAUCAUCAUUGUCAUAUUGCUUUGCAUGAUCAUGUAGUUGACAUUGUAUUUGUCGCAAAGCCACCGUUCAUUAGUUUUUUAUACAUGUCGCUCUUAAUUCAUUGCACAUCCCGGUACACCGUCGGGGGCAUUCAUAUAGAGUCAUAUCUUGUUCUAGUAUCGAAUUGUAAUUUUUGAGUUGUAAGUAAAUAGAAGUAUGAUGAUCUUCCUUUUUAGAACAUUGUCCCAUGUGAGGAAAUAAAAUAAAAAAGAGGAAAAGAAAAAAAGAGCAAAAAAAGAAAAAAAGAGAAGAAGAAAAAAAAAGGAGGGAAAGAAAGAAAAAACGAGAGAAAAAGAGAGAAGGGGCAAUGUUAUUGUCCUUUUCCAUACUUGUGCUUCAAAGUAGGACCUUGAUCUUCAUGAUAGAGAGUCUCCUAUGUUCUUACUUUCAUAUACUAGUGGGAAUUUUUCAUUAUAGAACUUGGCUUGUAUAUUCCAACGAUGGGAUUCCUCAAAAUGCCCUAGGUCUUCAUGAGCAAGCAAGUUGGAUGCACACUCACUUAGUUUUCUUUUCGAACUUUCAUAAACUUAUAGCUCUAGUGCAUCUGUUGCAUGGCAAUUCCUACUCACUCACAUUGAUAUCUAUUAAUGGGCCUCUCCAUAGCCCGUUAAUACCCCUAGUUGAUGUGAGACUAUCUCCCUCUUUUUGUCUUCUCCACAACCACCGUCUAUUCCACCUAUAGUGCUAUGUCCAUGGCUCAUGCUCAUGUAUUGCGUGAAAGUUGAAAAGGUUUGAGAACAUCAAAAGUAUGAAACAAUUGCUUGGCUUGUCAUCUGGGUUGUGCAUGAUUUGAAUAUUUGUGUGAUAAAGAUGGAGCAUAGCCAGACUAUAUGAUUUUGUUAGGAUGAGAUUUCUUUGGCCAUGUUAUUUUGAGAAGACAUAAUUAUCUUGUUAGUAUGCUUGAAGUAUUAUUGGUUUAUGUCAAUAUUAAACUUUUGUUUUGAAUCAUACGGAUCUGAACAUUCAUGCCACAAUAGAGAAAAUUACAUGGAUAAAUAUGUUAGGUAGCAUUCCACAUCAAAAAUUAUGUUUCUAUCAUUUACCUACUCGAGGACGAGCAGGAAUUUUCCGGAGUACCGGGGGCUACCGGAACCCCCCGGGAGUUAAUGAGCCUUCAUGGGCCCUAGUGGAGAGAGGAGGCGGCAGCCAGGUGGUGGCGCACGCCCCCCCAAGCCUGAACCGAAUUGGACUAGGGUUGGGGGGCCGGCCCCCCUUUCCUUCUCUCCUUCUCCUCCUUCCCUCCUUCUCCUAGUGGGAAUAGGAAGGGGGGCGAAUCCUACUUGGACUGGGAGUCCAAGUAGGACUCCUCCCAUGGCGCAUCCCCCCUUGGGCCGGCCACCUCUCCCUUCCCCUUUGUAUACGUGGGAGGGGGGCACCCCAAAGGCACACCAAGCCUUCUCUUAGCCGUGUGCGGUGCCCCCCUCCACAGUUUCACACCUCGGUCAUAUCGUCGUAGUGCUUAGGCGAAGCUCUGGGCCGGUAGCUUCAUCAUCACCGUCGACACGCCGUCGUGCUGACGAAACUCUCCCUCAUCCUCAAUUGGAUAAAGAGAUCGAGGGACGUCAUCGAGCUGAACCGCUAGGGGUACGAAGGAGGAGGAGACCGGAUGCGUUAAGCUAGUUGGUAAGAGUUCUUGUCAUUAUUGAUAGUGGCCCUAGAGAAAGAGAUUACGCUGAUUGUUCUAACUUCAUUCAUAUUUGAUUCCGCAACUGAGACCUUUUCCCACAUCUGUGCCAGGAGGGCAAGUGGUCAAAGCAGAAAGGGUUCUCGCUUCUCCUUCUGGAAGGGUGUGCUGAACACGGAGGUCCCGUAUGUUCGGUGCUUGGAUCGGUUGGAUCGCGAAAACGUUCGACUACAUCAACCACGUUACUAAACGCUUCCGCUUUCGGUCUACGAGGGUACGUAGACAAACUCUCCGCUCUCGUUGCUAUGCAUCUCCUAGAUAGAUCUUGCGUGAUCAUAGGUAAAAAUUUUGAAAUACUGCGUUCCCCAACAUGCUUGCGUUUAUUUCACUACAUCAUGUCAUCUUACUUAAUGCGUUACUCUGUUCUUAUGAACUUAAUACUCUAGAUGCAGGCAAGAGUCGGUCGAUGUGUGGAGUAAUAGUAGUAGAUGCAGGCAGGAGUCGGUCUACUUGAUACGGACGUGAUGCCUAUGUUCAUGAUCAGUGCCUUAGAUAUCGUCAUAACUUUGCGCUUUUCUAUCAAUUGUUAGGCAGUAAUUUGUUCACCCACCGUAAUAUUUUCUAUCUUGAGAGAAGCCUCUAGUGAAACCUAUGACCUCUAGGUCUACUUUCCAUCAUAUAAGUUUCCAAUCUACAAUUUUAGUUUCCUAUUUACUUCCUUUGCAACCUUUUACUUUCCGUUUCAUAAACCAAAAAUAUCAAAAAUAUUACUUUACCGAUUAUCCAUCUCUAUCAUAUCUCACUUUGCAAAUAAUCCCAAAGGGAUUGACAACCCGUUUAGCGCCUUGGGUGCAAGUAGGUGUUUGUUUGUGCAGGUACUCAAUGACUUGUGUGUCGUCUCCUACUGAAUUGAUACCUUAGUUCUCAAAACUGAGGGAAAUACUUACUCUACUUUGCUUCAUCACCAUUUCCUCUUCAAGGGAAAAACCAACGCAAGCUCAAAAGGUAGCAGACCUCCAGUCGUAGCCGCCAUGAUUUUCUUCACGUCUAUCAAUGCCUUGAGAAUUUUGACUUGGACAUGUCCUAUGGCAUGAAUAAGAAAUCGAAGCUUCGCGCCGCGUCCUCUUGAGGCCGUGUUGGCUGAUAAUAUUAGUGCGCAUGACCAGAGCCUUUCUGAUCAAGAUAUCCAAGGACGACAUACACCAAUUCAUAUAGAUCUCCGCUCGGAAAGACCGAAACUCAUCAACGGCCAGAUCCAAGUUGUCGACAUCUGACAGAAAGACGACUUGGCGGAAGAAAAGCAUCAGGGCCAAACCACCAUUAUUAGUCCAAAGCUAAUAGCCUCCACGCCGCCCUCCUCUCGAUCCAGACAGGAAGAAAAAGAUCAACGACGUCGCAUCAUGCCACUCGCAUUCGUGGAGGCUUGAACAUGGCAAGACGCCAACCAUGGCUAGAGACGGGGACCAGCCACUCUGGCCAGAUCCGGCGACUCCUAGUCCCACCGCUCCCGCUACGGCGGCACCGCAUGUAGCCUACAAGCCCAUCCACGAUGAUGUCUGAUUAGAAGGAUAUAUGGAUAUACAGAUGAAAAGGCCCUUGUUAUCCCUCCAACAAUAUAUAUAAAGCUUAUUGGGACAUGAGAAAGCUUGCACAAGGCUAUGGAAAUGUAUUGCCAGACAGAGAUAUACGAUUUUCGUUCGGCAUCCAAACCGCUUGUGUCACGCUUAAUCGAUGGUCACUCUAAUUUUUCCGGCGGGCCUUCCCUGUGGUACUGCAGCCUUACAUGUGUAUUAGUGGUUAGGGCGUCAUCCGUGGCGCCGCUUAAGAGGAAGUUGUUUGCACGCUUUUAUUUUUUUUAAAUCAUGUACUCCUCAUCUCUAUCUAAAAAAAUAUUUAUAGAAAAUCCUCAUCUCCAUCUAGAAAAAGAAGUAAAAAAGAAAAAAAAAAUCACCAACGCAACCUUACAGCGAGCGCCACUUAGCGUAGUCCUCCAUUUAAAAAAAUAUGAAGUCAUCACCUUCAUAUAAAAAGAAAAAAACAUUUUAAAAACGUUUUCAUCUCCAUCUAAAAAUAAUAUCCCAAAAGCUUUUUCACUACGGCCAACCAGCUUGUACCAUGUGCCAUAACUGAUUGGCCGCUCUUCAUGCAUAGCUUAAUGGGUUUAAUGAGUUUCAUAUAGCUAUUCAUUAAGAAGAAAACCAAAAUUACUUGGAGUUAAUAACUAAUACGUUUCCUUUAACUAACACGUGCACGGCGAGGAUUUACGUGCAUGAUGUUUUUUCCUCUCCCCACGUCGUAUUGGGCCGGCCCAUUCGUGCACAUCUCUAUUUCUAAUGCAGCAGUUGGUAGUCUCAUUUUCAGGGUUUUUUUGUCCCACCUUUCAUGGUUUUUUUAUACCUCCUUCCACCUUCGCUGGUUUUUUUCAUAAAUUUUUUGUCCCCUCCCCCUAUUUCAUCGGUUUAUUUUCGCGUCACCCUCUCACACAAUGAAAGAAAUCUGAACAGAUUAGAACUUUCCAUGCUGGCGCAAGUUAUUUAGUAAUGUAGAAUCAAUCACGAACAAUCGCUAAAGAUCAAAUCCAAGUUAAUUAACCUUACCUUAAAUCACUCAAUCACAUUAAUUAGAAAACAAAUAAUUGAUUUUCAGAAAAAUUGCUCAAUCACAUUAACCUUACCUUAACUCACGGAUGGUAAUCAAUCUUCAAACAAAGGAAACAAUACAUCAAGGGAGCAGUAAAUAAACUCCCUUUCUUAUGACAUGUAUAUGAUCUUUCCUUCCCUCUCCGUUGUCGAGCGUUCUUGAUUCUCAAGGCCGAUUCUUGGGCUGCGUCACUGGGUCGCGACGGUGCCGAAGGACGAGGAUGGCGAGGCCGGGUGUCGCGGCACCGCGUUGGCCGUGGCUGAUGAAGGGGGUGAAGAAGGGCGGCUUCCCUGGCCGUGGCCCUGGGAGUUGGUGCGGUGGAAACGUCACUUGAAGGACCCGACGUGGGUGGCCGACGCGCAGACGCACUUGGAAGCGGGCCCAUGGCCCGCGCCGGACGGCGCCGACGCCGACCUGGACCACCUCCUCCGUGUAUCCUUGGAGCUAUGGCUGGCCAAUUUAUAUGAAAUUAAUUCCCUCAGUUGUGGUGGCAAAUAUAAUACACAUAAUCCAUAUUGUUAUGCACUAGUGUGUGUGUGUGUGAAAUAGAUGGAUUAUGGUCCCGUACCAAUAAGAUGGAUAUAUGUGUGUGUUAGAGAGAGAGAGAGAGAGAGAGACAGAGAGGGAGAGGGGGAGAGAGAGUGAGGAAAAGGGAGGGAGAGUGUGUGUAUGAGGAUUUGAUGGUAAAAAAAGUCGCCAAUGUCAUUUGAUAUGUAUGAAAAUAUUAAUAUUAAACUUUUAAAGUUAAUGUGGCCCCGUUAAAAUACACAAGCGUUCUUAUAGUAUAGUUAGAGAAAGACAUGAGGAAAAGGAAGAACCGGGAUCGAUUCCUAGUCUUCUCAAGGUGGCCGCGUGGGUUUGUCUCAAAAAAAAAAGGUGACAGCGUGGGUGCUACUACCGGUCCGCCCAAGUCCGGUUCGUGAUAAGUUGUAGGUGCGCGUCGUACUUGAGGCGAUUGAGGCCUGUUUUAUUUGAGUUUUUCCUCUCUUUUUUCUUCUUCAUUUUUUUCAUUCUUUUUUGCACUCCGUUUCUUUGUUUUGUCAUUCUUUUUUUCUUUUGUUUAUUUUCUUUUUUUCCGGUUUUCUUUGUUCUAUUGGUUAUUAUUGUACAUUUUUUGUAUACGUCUACAACAUUUUUUUCUAAUACACAUCUAACAUUUUUCAAAUACAAACCAACCAUUUUUGUAAUACAUUGUCAAGAUUUUUUUGUACACAUUUUUAAAUGCUUGUUUGUCAUUUUUCAAAUACAAGAUUAACAUUUUUUCAAUACAUGGUCAACAAUUGUUUUUGCCAUUUUUACAAAAAAAUUAAAUGCUUGAUUAACAUUUUCUUAAUGCAUGGUCAUUUAUUUUUCUAUACACAUUUAACAUUGUCCAAAUGCUUAAUUAACAUUUUCAAACCCUUGUUCAACAUCUCUUUUAAAAUGCUUGAUUCACAUUUCUGUAUACAUGAUCAAACAUUUUUAUCAUUUUUAAUACAUGGUCGACGGUAUUACCCAUACACAUUUAACAAUUUCCCAAUUCUUGAUUAACAUUGUUUAAGUACUCGUUCAACAUUUUCUCAAAUGCAUAACGUUGACAUUGUUGAAAAGUGGCAUCACAAGUUCCAGGGAGUAGAAAAGAGAUUAAUCAACGAAACCGCGCGAACUUUGUGGUGCUAUUGUGUUAUAUCAACUACUCCUUUCGUUCCGAAUUACUUGUCACAAGUAUGUAUGUAUAUCUAGAUAUAUUUUAAUUUUAGAUACAUCCAUUUAUGCGACGAGUAAUUUGGAACGGAGGGAGUAUGUGUCUGUUAUGUCACCAAAUUCAGUAUAUAUAGAACAUGGAAAUACAGUAAUAGUGAGCUCACUCGGUGGGAGCCCGUCACGGCCAUGGGAAUAGGAUCCUCCUCGUACUGCUCCUCUCCUGCCCUGCCCUGAGGAGCAGUAUCGUCCGUCGUCGCCGAGCGGCGCAGCAGCCGGUGGCCGAGGGGAGACCGAGAUUUAUUCUCCGGAGGCGCCGAAUCCGGCUCGUAAGUCGAAAUCCCUCUCUGUCCCGCCUCUCGGAUCCUCCCACCGAUCUCCUACUUCCCUGCCGCCAAUGCCCGCCUUUUCUUUGGACUCCGAGCGAGGAAUCGGAGGGAAAGCUGUGUACUUCCUGUGGCUUCAUACCCCGGUAAUGGCGGCCCUGCUUGCCGUUGCCGCUUGGUCCACUCUCUGCGUGCCCGUCUGCAAGGUGUUCGAUGGAUUGUGCGCAGGGUGUCGGCCCGGCUGGCCUCGUUUCACUUCUUCCAGGUUUCAGUCCGUUUACCGCCGGUUGCUGAAAAUGUGCACGAGAAGCAUAAGAAUGCUGGGAUAUGCGCUCUUUGUUUACCGUUUACUGUCAUUUGUUUGGUUGCAGGAAGCACCCGGCCUUAAGCAUAGUACUACAUAUAAAGUUGUAUGUUCUGUUCCGUUUGUUUGUUUGCUGUCUGAUGAUUGAGACAAGUGCAUAAUCUAAAGUUUGGCACCUGCACUUGCACCUGCUCCUGCACAUUUAUGUGUUGGAAACUGGAAUCUGUUCAGUGUAGUAUGGCCAUGCCACAUGUUUUGGCUUUAGCCUAAGGACCAAUUGCUUCUUGACUUUCUUGGAUGCUUGCUGGCCCAACCUUGGAUCUGUAUCUUUCUAAUAGUCUUCUAAAUCAGAAACAUAACGAUUUUUUGUGCUGCUUACUAGAUUCGGUGUGUUUACUUAGCGUGUUUAGUCGAAUCAUCUGUCAUUGUUCUCUCAAGUUACUUUUCCUUGCGAUAUUCAACCCAGCGGUUUAAAAUUCCUGCAAUUGCUUCAUUCAGAUUGAUUUUUCGCUUCUUUGUUGCUGAUUUCCUUUCAACGUUUGGGCUGAGGCUCCAAAUGUUGGUACUCUUUUAACCGGAGUAUGUUACUUUGGAGAAUAGAAGAAUUAUGCAUUGGUAUCAUGAUAACAUAUGCCUAAUGGUUUUUCUUACAGGAGGGCGUUUCCAACACAUAAAUAGUUUGCUAGCAUGCAGACAGUGUCCAGUAGCCUUUGCGCCAUUUGAGGCAUAAUGGACAUAGCUUUUAUCAUGUUGUUGGUUCUUUCUCUGCUCCUGUUCCCUAAUGGCAUCUGCAAGAGUUUAGCUACAGGACCUCCUGUUGUGAAUAUUGGGUCUAUUCUUCAGUUUGACUCCACCACCGGGGGUGUUGCGGCAGUUGCCAUCCAUACAGCCGUGGAAGAUAUCAACUCUGAUCCAACAGUUCUAAAUGGAACUACACUAAAGGUUCAAAUCAAGGAUACAAAUUGCUUUGAUGGUUUCCUUGGCAUGGUUCAAGGUAGGCUAGCUUUAAUGCCACUCAUUCAUUUCACAACCUUCAAAUAGUUAUUACUUCUGUUGUGGAGUUGUGGCAAUGAUGCCGUGUUCCUUGUAUCAGCUUUGCAGUUCAUGGAGACUGAUGUUAUUGCACUCAUUGGCCCUCAGUGCUCCACAAUUUCUCAUAUCAUUUCAUAUGUAGCAAAUGAGCUUCGAGUCCCUUUGAUGUCCUUUGCUUCUGAUGCAACUCUUUCAUCAAUACAGUUCCCGUUCUUUGUCAGGACGGGUCCCAGUGAUCUCUAUCAAAUGGCGGCUGUGGCAGAAGUUGUUGACUACAACCACUGGAAGAUAGUGACUGCCAUAUACAUUGAUAAUGUUUAUGGUAGAAAUGGCAUUGCUGCUUUGGAUGAUGCACUCACUUUAAAGCGCUGCAAAAUAUCCUACAAGGUUGGGUUUCCUUCCAACGCUAAAAGGAGUGACCUCAUAAAUUUGUUGGUUAGUGUCAGUUCUAUGGAGUCUCGUGUUAUCAUUCUCCAUACUGGAACUGAACCUGGACUCAAGCUUUUCUCUAUGGCACACCAACUGAACAUGAUGGGCAACGGCUAUGUGUGGAUUGCAACUGACUGGCUGUCUGCAUAUCUUGAUGCUAAUUCAUCAGUUCCUGUUGAGACUAUAUCUGGCCUGCAAGGUGUUCUUACUUUACGGCCACAUAUUCCCAACUCAAAGAUGAAGAGUAAUUUGGUCUCCAAAUGGAGCACGCAAAGUAAAAAGUACAACUACAGUGAUGUUUGUAUAAAUACUUAUGGUUUUUAUGUUUAUGAUAGUGUCUGGGCAGUAGCUCAUGCUCUGGAUGCCUUCUUUGAUGAUGGUGGUAGGAUUUCCUUUUCAAAUGACUUGCAUGAUGGAACUGGAGGAACUCUUCACCUUGAAGCAAUGAGCAUUUUUGACAUGGGAAAUAAAUUACUGGAGAAGAUUAGAAAGGUAAACUUCAGUGGGUUAUCUGGGCAAGUGCAAUUCGAUGCUGUAGGCAACCUCCUUCACCCUGCGUAUGACAUCAUAAAUGUCAUCGGAAAUGGCAUGCGGACCAUUGGUUUUUGGUCAAACUAUUCUGGCUUGUUGUCGACUGUCUCUCCAGAGGCUCUAGAUUCAAAGCCUCCUAAUACUUCUCUAGCCAAUCAGCAUCUCUAUGAUGUUAUUUGGCCUGGGGAGACUGCACAGAGGCCUCGAGGAUGGGUUUUUCCUUCUAAUGCCAAGCAGUUGAAAAUUGGUGUUCCCAACAGAUUUAGCUUCAAAGAGAUCGUCACGGUAGACAAUGCUACUGGGUCAAUGAAGGGUUAUUGCAUCGAUGUCUUUACUCAGGCAUUGGCUUUGCUUCCUUAUCCUGUUAGUUACAAGUUUGUACCUUUUGGGAAUGGUACUGAAAAUCCUAAUUAUGACAAACUCGUACAGAUGAUUGAAUCAAAUGUAAGUACGGAAUGCCUCUUUUUUCUUCCUCGAACCAUUUCAUCAUAUACCAUGCUGACCAGGGGCAUCUUAUCCUGCAGGAGUUUGAUGCAGCUAUAGGGGAUAUUGCAAUUACAAUGAGGCGGACAGUAACUUUUGAUUUCACCCAGCCAUUCAUUGAAACAGGCUUGGUUAUCUUGGCUCCGGUUAAAGAGCAUAUAACAUCGUCCUGGGCAUUCUUGCAGCCAUUUAGUUUGGAGAUGUGGUGUGUUACAGGGCUAUUCUUUCUUAUUGUGGGUGUGGUUAUUUGGAUUCUUGAACAUCGGAUCAAUGACGAUUUCCGUGGUUCAGUAUGUCAACAAAUAAUAACUAUUUUCUGGUAAGGAGCUGACCUGCACCUUUUGUACCGUCUUCUUGUAUAUCAUUCCUGUUUUCGAAGUGUUGAUGUUUUAACAAGUCUUGUGCAAUAUGUUGCAUACAGCGAGUACCUUAGAGCAGUGGCCAGUUAACAUACCUAAAUGAAGCAUCUAGUGAUUACCAAUGAACUACUCCCUCCGCCCCAUAAUAUAAGGGCGUUUUUGACACUACACUAGUGUCAAAACGCUCUUAUAUUAUGGGACGGAGGGAGUAUUAUCUUAAUAAUCUUGUGAGACAUAUAUACAUGCACAGCAUAUAUAUUCGCUUAAUGAUAUUUAUGAUGCAUUGCUCUAUUUUUCCUGUUUUCACAUACUUCUCUUCUCCACAUGUAUUUGCCAAAUGCUCUUAUAAUGGCGUGAUUCCUUGCUGUGAUUAUAAUUUCAAUUUUUAUUGCCUGCAGGUUCAGCUUUUCGACUUUGUUCUUCGCACACAGUAAGUAAACCAACCUUCUCUCUUAUGUGUUUUUUUUUUUGGCUAUAACAUUUUGUUCUGAGGCAUGAGGCAUGACUCGUGAUUUCAUAUGUAUCUGCGCGCAGGAGAAAAUACUAUGAGCACCUUAGGGCGUGGUGUCCUGAUCAUAUGGCUGUUUGUUGUUUUGAUAAUUGUAUCCAGCUAUACCGCGAGUCUUACUUCCAUCCUGACCGUGCAACAACUCGAUACUUCUAUAAAAGGAAUCGAGGACCUGAAAAAUAGCAAUGAUCCUAUUGGUUUCCAAGUUGGUUCUUUUGCACAAGACUACAUGGUCAAGGAGCUCAACAUCUCACGGUCAAGGCUAAGAGCUCUUGGUUCACCACAAGAAUACGCUGAAGCCCUCAAGAUAGGCCCUAAGGAAGGAGGUGUUAUGGCCAUUGUCGACGAGCGCCCCUAUGUUGAACUGUUUUUGUCAUCCUACUGCAAGAUUGCGGUAGCUGGCACAGAUUUCACCAGCAGAGGAUGGGGCUUUGUAAGUACAGUUCAACCAUAUUCUUUUAUAUAAAUUAGAAUAUAAGAACAAAAAUUGCUGUUAAUGUCCUGGAAUAGAGGUUUUAACUUUGAAUAGUUGUGUCUAGUCUUUAGUUUAUGCAACUUUUAUUGCACUUACCUGCGGCUACUUUGUUUCACAAAUCGAAAUGUAGCACCUUACAAAUUCAUUCUGCCAGGCAUUUCCAAGGGACUCCCCUUUGCAAGUAGACCUCUCCACCGCAAUCCUGUCUCUGUCAGAGAAUGGGGAGCUGCAGCGGAUCCAUGCCAAAUGGCUCAAUACAGGGGAGUGCACAACUGACAACAGUGAGCUUGUCGACUCGAACCAGCUCCGCCUUGAGAGCUUCCUUGGUCUGUUCCUAAUCUGUGGUGUGGCAUGUGUUCUCGCGCUGCUACUCUACUUUGGUAUCAUGCUAUGCAAAUAUCUGAGGCAUGAACCGUGGAAGAGCCUCAGAAGAUUCAUCUCGUUCGUCCAUGGGAAGGAGCCGCCGAAGAACAAGGAGAGGCGGUCCAUGAGCCUGCCUGGAAGCUCAACGCCAACAACGCCGAUGAGCAGCCAUAGUUCCCUUGACAUGGAAAGGCCGGCCAGGCCAGUCAGAAACGGUAGCAUUAUUGACAUGGAAAGCUAAUUCAUGUGUAGAAAGCUAGUUAACAAUGCGGUCGACUAACCUAGGUUCUGGUAGUCGGACAGCAGGGCUGUAUAGGAGGAUUCGAAAUACUUCUUAAGUACUCCCUCCGAUUCAACUUAAUUAACUUUGACUUGGUACAACCUUAGUACAAAGUUGUACUAAGUCGGCGCAAUUAAUUUUGAUCUGAGGGAGUACUAAAGUUUAUGAAAUAACAGAAGGAAGGAUUAAUAAGAAAUAGAAAUAUUGAAAUGCUCCUCCUGUCCUACAUAUAUUGUUUUUACCUUUGCAUGUGUUUGAUAGGGCGUAGUAGUAGUGUGUGGGUACUUCAGUUAGAAGGUAUGCAGUGGACCAGUCUAUCGACCGUGUGGCAAUGCCUGUAGUUUGUAGCACUAAACUUUGAUGCCCAUUCAUAAACUAAUUUAGAUGGAGCCGCACAAAAAUUGUGUUUUUUUUUUUGCUCACACACUCUGUUUUGUCUCAGUUUUAGUCCAGCGCAACUUUGAAGCUUAUCCAGGGCAACUUUGAAGCUUAUCCAGGGCAACUUUAACUAUUUACAGGAGAAAUUGUUAAAGACCUUAUUAAGUGAAGAAGAAUAGACGUCUCCAGUUUUUGUUUCUCCAACUCUAUGCCUACACUGUAAAUUAUUUAUGAAUUAGCUCCAGUUGAUGCAACUGUACUCUUUCUGGUAGGUCUGAGAUGGACUGAGCAUCCUAAGCUAGCUACUUGUCUCCCUUAGGUUUUACAGCAAGACAAAUGCACUGGACUACAAAGAGGAAAAUUCUUGCAGGUUCGUAAUGAAUCUGUUUUGGUUCUGGCAUUCACACCAAUCAUAAAGCAGUGUUUGUUAGUAGCGGAGUGGUAGGCAGACGCAAAUCAAACCAUCAUUUUUCUUCUAAAUACACUUGUAAAAGCAUCGAUGCAUCUCCGUCGCUUAAUUUUAUUUGUCAUUCUGUUCAGUACCUGGUUUGGUUUAGGAAGAGCUCUUUUUCCUAUGCAAAAUGUAUAACGUGUAUGUUUCUAAUUCCGAUUGCAGGCAUAUUCAUCGCGCUUGUGUUUUGACGUGUUGCGGGCAACCAAGAGUCGUUCAACAGUGUGUUGCUGGGGUACGCCACCGGUCUGACAGUAAAAGGUAGCGCUGAUGAACUGGUUUCAAGCCGAGCUGAUCAGUUCUGCUGUUACUAAUAUAUCAUGGCAUCUUGCGGCUCUCGGUCGAUGUUCUGUCAUCUAUGAGGAGAGAGUUUCCAUUUAAUCUAGUUGCUAAUGCUUUGUAUACAAAAUUAUAGAUGCCUACACAAUACAAAAUCAAAAGUUAUUUUCUUAGUCAAACUGGAAAAUUCAUAGAUUUGCAGGAACAUCUGUACAUAAAGCCUUUUCCAUCAAAGUAUGUACAUACAUUGUCUAUUUUAACAUAAGAAUGUAGGACUCGUUCAAAACUAUUUGACUAUUCAUACAAAAAAAAUAGAAUUUCUUAAAAUAAGGGAGCACAUCUUCUCUGGUUUGAUCACUGAAGUCAUCAAUUGAGCAGUCCAGGUUCACCUAGUUAUCUAUUUCAAAACUUAGGGAGAACAAUUUGGGUGAUACUUUUUCAAAGUACAAGGCACAUAUUUAUAGUUCAUUGAAAUGCACCUAUAUUUUGACCUCAUUAAUAUCUCAUCCUUCAUAAUAAAGUAUGGCCAAACAAACAGAGAAACCGCUAGUUUCUUUCAUGUUCCCCAGACAAUAACACCAUAGCUAUUACUGUCAUUCCCCUUCUCUCUUAAUACCUUCCAUCCUUUCCAUUAUAAUUAAUGAAACUGAAACAUAUCAUUCUCUUGGUUGUAUUUUUUUCCUAAAAUGUUUAAGGUGUAUGUGUCAUUGAGUGAAUAUAUUAUGUUGCAAAGUUUCACGAAAUUUAGUAUGCAACCAGUAUGCAAGAGAAAUAAAGAUUAAAGUAAAUUUAGUUAUUUUUAUUAGCCAUUAUUGUUUUUAGAGAAAACAAUAGGCAAGUCACUUUUUCAUGAAAGCUGGAGACAAAUAGUGUAUUCUAACAUAAAAAUGGUCAAUUUUCCUCACACACACACACACACACAUACACAUAAACUUAGAAUUUUUGGAAAUAAUGGGAGCAAUGGCCAUGUGAAAAUAUGAGGUUUAUAUCUUGUGGAUUUCCUUUCAGUGUACAAGGCCUGCAUGUAGAAUGGAUAUUUUUUUUUCUAUAUUUGCUUCCCUAAUUUAAAUCUUAUCCUUCAUCAUCAAUUAUGACUAAACAUAAAUAGUAACUGCUAGUUUCUCUUAUGCUUAUGAGGAGAUAAGACCAUGGAUAUUUUAGUCAUUCCACUUUGCUAUUGAUUGUUUCUGUUCUUUUGCGCUAAAUAGUAGUCAAACAUGUUAUUCAUGUAUUUCGUAAGGAUAAGGUCAAGCCUCAUGAUAAGGAUAGGGUCGCGCUAUUCGUCACCCUGGGUGAGGCAUUGUUAUUUUUCACCCACUUCUAUUUUAUCAUCAAUGCACCGUAAAUUUACGUUUCAUAAGUUUUGUCUUAUUUCCGACGCAAAAAGGGACCGUAAGAAAAUAUAUAAUCGCCAUAAAAAAUAUUUUAUGUUAUAUAAAAUUACAAACAUAAAAACAUAGUCUAAAAUACACACAAACUGCAAAUUUUCUUGUCUUAUAACCUAUAUUUUUAUUUUUUUAUGUCAAAUUUUACGUAGUGAAUCAAUAGAAAUAUAACUAUUUGAAUUCGAAAUGUAAUUUAAUUAUGAAAUGAUCGUAAGAUUACCUCGGGUGAAGAAUAACUUAUUCUGCACCCUGAUUGAUGAAUAAUAAAUUUAAUUAUAUUAUAUACAUAUAGGAUAACACUAUUCUAAUCCUAGAAUUAGAAUAGCUAUUUGGAUCACAGCCAGCCCGACCACAUCUUAGUGAGAUCGCGCGAGCAAAAGAAAAAACCCAAAACGCCCCGCCCCGUUUAUCCCCUUGUCGCUCCACCACCACCCCCCGACCUCUGGCCGCCGCCCACCCUGCUCCGGCGCGCCUCCCACCCUCGCCUCCUUCCGAGCGCUCCGCCGGCCCCGCCUUCUUCCAGGCGCGCCGCCGGCCCCGCCUCCUCCUGGCGUGCUGCCACCCCCACCUCUUGCAGCGCGAGGUCGCCGCCACCGCCUACUUCCCGGCGUGCCGCCAGCCCCGCCCCCUUCGGCGCGAGGCCGCCGCCCCCACCUCCUCCUGGCGCGCCGUCGUCCCCUGUACCUGACGCGCCCCCCGGUGCCGCCGGCCCGCAACCCGCCGCCCAGCACCUUCCCGUCGCGCGCCUCCCAACACCGAGGCGCCGCCGCCCACAGGUUCUGUAGAUGCUGACCUGCCACUGCACCGCCGCUGCAACCUGCUGCUCACUCUUCCUCGCACAUGUGUCAGCAACACAAAAGUGGGUCGCUGCAGUCCACCUCCUGCUACAGCAGCAGGACGACUCCUUCAGGACGCAUCUCACACUCAUGGAGGCGGUGCUAUCUCUGGCGAGCUCCUCCAUCCCCGAGCGCGAUGCUUCCACUACUGCGUCCUCCUCACGUUCCCUUCCCCAUCCUUGUGUAUGCUUAUUUCGAUGUGGAAAACUCCAUCAACUAGUUCGCAUCACGUAUCAGGGCACGGCCAUAACAUGCUAGCAAUAUUAUGCUUUGGCUGCUAGUAAUGUGUUUGUGCUAAUGUCUAGUAGGAACUCUAGUUGUACUGAUAAAAGAGAACCAAACCAUCAUAUAAGGGAAAAGUCGCAUCUCUCUAUCUUUGAUCUCUCUAUGAUACAGAUAUGGACGUAUAUGGAAUUAGUAAAAUUCCUCUUUUAUAUUGCUUGUUCAUUAAUCAUUCAUGCAUCGUGUCCUAAAAGAAAUAUAGUGUGCUCUGUUUGAAAAAGCAUGUGGUCAGCACAUGUUUGUUAUUAUAUGGAUCUAAAGGUUUAACAAACAAACACAUUCAGAUUUCUCUUUAUUCGUAUAAAGGUUGGAGUGAGGUAGCGCUUAUUUCCUAUAUAGCUGCUCAUUUUGGAUGCAGUUUGAACAAUCAGGCUAGGGAGCGGUGAGCGUGGGUAGGCUGGCCAAACCUUCCCUCCACUGGGUCAACCGGCAGCGUCGCCCACCACCGUACUGUCCUACGGCAACGGCCCCAACCUGGGCAGGCGUGCUUUCUGCGACAUGCUCCUGCUCAUGGAUGUCUUGGUGAGGUAAAAACUUCUGUUAACUUAACUUAGCUACCUCAACUGAUUGAACUGCAGGGGUUGUGUGCAGUCUGAUGUGGUUCUAGUGUUUGAUUAAUGCAAUUUGGAAGAACUUGCGUCUCUAAAAUUCAAACUCUGCAUUUUGGUGUAUUUUUAUUUAGAAGUUCAGGUCAUCAUAAGUUGCUUCGGUUUAGCUAGUUACUGUUGUGAAAAAGUUCAGCUCGUCAUAUUUGAACAUCGGAAGAAGAGCUGCUAUAGUCUCCUGCUAUAUGCUUGUUAUAUUCCUAAAUAGUACAGGCUCAACCAAAGCAAGUAGUUAUAGUCUCCUGCUAUAUGCUUAAAUAGUACAUUUUUUCUGUAUUCUUGUUCGGAAGUUCAGGUCAUUCAAAGAGACCAAAUAGUACAGGCUCAACCAAAUAGUGAAAAGUCUACUAGAGUCGAAAAAAUAUAAUGAUACAAAAAUGCAACUCUGCACUUUCCUCAAAAUGGUCAUCAUAUUCUUAAGAAGAUUGGGAUUGCACUAUUUGUUUGAGCUAGUACUACCAGACUGAACAAAUUGCAGAGUUGGAUUUUAGAGCCUGGACAUUUUCAGACAUUUUCAAAAGUGGUCAAUUGAACCUGAACCAAAAAGAUUGACCUGAAAUUCGUUUGGGCUAGUUACUACCAGACUGAAAAAAUUGUAAUAGGUGGAUAAGUGGUAUUGUACUAUUUUCUAUUGUGUGGUAAUGCUCGUACCCCAUGGCCAUGGAAGGUUCAGAUGUUGUGCUCUUCUUUUCUAGCUGAUUCAUGUUCUAUUUGGUAGCUUUAAUGAUAUUCUAUACACUGAUGGCGAGAGUUCAACCAUGGCUAUACGCCAAGUUCUACUAUGGCUAUAUGUCGGCCAUCGUGAAGUCCUACUAUAGCUAUAUGCCAAGUUUAAUUAUGGCUGUAUGCUUGUGCUUCCAGGCUACUAUUGAACGUGUCUUGGCCUUCAUUUUUACGGGUUAUAGUCUCCUGCUAUAUGCUUGCUUUUGCUAUCAGCAUGUUCAUGCAAGUGCCUCUGAAUAAUCUGAAAUUUAAACUUGUACCUAAAACUGAACUUCUACCUCUUUGCUACAGGUGCGGUCGUCGGAGUCCUUUAAGUGCUUGCACUAGUGCUUCUAACUUGUCCAUGAAGGCACUGCAUGGUGUGCCACCUCCCGUCUGCCGCCGCAGCUGCCAUGUGUCCUUGCGACCUCUGCGGCCAGUCACCAACGCCCUAUGAGUGCGCCCUAAGUGUGGCAUGGGGAACAUGCUAAUGUGUGUGUUUCUGCACUGGUGUGUGCGUGCAUGCUCACGUUUAUGCGUGACUGAGUGUGCUGCUUGUGUGCUGUGAUGUAUGUUGUAUAGAUUUUUAUGAAGUUCAUGUUGUGAACCCAACUUAAUUAGAACACAAAAGUUUAGAUCGCAGCUGCUUUGAAUUAUGUAGUGUUUCUAAAUAGCUUCUUGUCUGAAGUUCAGUCGUACAUGUGGGUGCAAGAAAGUUAGUGUCGGAGCCAGAAAAACUGACUUUGAGCAACUGUUGGGUAUUUAUAUAAAAACAUUGUGUGUAGCAAUUCGUUGUGUUUAUUGAAAAAUGAAAAGACAGAAGUUCACCAUGCAAAACUUUCACAGUCCAAUUGGUAUUAAGAAGGCAGAAAUAUAAAACAACAGUGAAGUUCACUAAAAAUGCAACUUUUCACAUUGCGAAGAAACAAUAAUUAACUUCUCAGUGUACAAUUUAGUUUUUGUUUCUCUUUUCCAAAAAAUAAGAAUAGAAGUAAUAUGUGGAAGCUAUUUGUGUUUAUGUCUCAAAUUAGAAUAAUUAUAAGAAUUGCCUCUAUAUGUGCUAUGUGUUACACACCUUUCCGAAUCAAAAGAGAUUAGAUUCAUCCAUGAGUAAGGUAGGUACAAUUAUUUUUAAACAGUUCAAUUGCUCGAUAGAUGUAUGUCCAGAAAAAUAAAAGAUAGUUCAACACAAUAUAAACCCAUGAGAUUGCAAAAAAUCUUUGGAUUAAGUGGAUGAGAACCAAUAAGUUCAUAUAUGAAACCUUGGGGAGUUCAAAAAAAGUUAAAAAGGUUCGAUGUUUGUUGCGAAGCUAGGAUUUUCUUCAUUACUAAUGAAUAAAUCAAGAAGUUCAAAUUAAAAAAGGAUGAGCGGUUCGAUGUUUAUUACGAACCUAGAAUUUUUUCCGUUACUAAAAGAAAUAAUACCAACAAGUUCAAAUUAAAAAAAUCGAGUAGUUUGAUAUUUCUUUGAAAACUCAAAUUUUUCCGGUUAGUAAAUAAUAAAACCAAUAAGUUCAAUUCAAAAUAACGAAGAAGUUCAACUUUUAAAAGCAAAGCAAUUUGAUAUUCAUUUAAAAACUCAAUUUUUUCGGUUACUAAAGAAUAAGACCAACAAGUUCAAUUCAAAGUAACGAAGAAGUUCGAUGUUUCUAACAAAACUCCAAUUUUCACAUUUCUAAAAACUCCAAUUUUAGGUGAGCCCAAUUUUUGUGUGGAUGUGUUGUGCAUGUGCUUGUGCGUAGUACAUUUAAUAGAACAAAAACACUAUUAUGGGUGCCCUCUAAAUGUUUGUCCUAUUGCUUAUGAGAAUUGACCCGAAUUUUCCUAUUGUUUUUGCACAUGUUGGAUUCAAGGGAAAAUGUGUAUAAAACAGGUGUGAUUUCAGAAGUUCAGGUGUAACGAACAUCGAAGUCCAAACCAAAAGAAUGUAAACAAAAAAAUCAUGGAAUUCAAAAGAAUAAAUACUAUCGAGUUUCAUGAAAGAAAAUAGCAUGCGAAGUUCAUGUUUCAGAAAGUUUGAAGUUCACGUGUACCACAUACAGAAGAAAAAUGAUCAAAUGAAAAAAGGGACCGCCUAGGCCAUUUCACCGAAAAGCAAAAAAUGCAUAAAAUGUCACGACAAAAUUCUAUAAGAAGUUCCAAUUUAAAAGCCGAAGUAGGUCAACGUUAAAGAAAAUGAAGUUUUUAAUAUCUAAAAGAAAAUUUUGGAAGCUCAACAAAUUUGUGCAAGGAGUUAAAAAAAUUAGUUGAAAAAUAUUUAUAACGGAUUUUCCCCGUGUAUAAAAAAAUCAGAGAAGUUCAAAUUAAAAAGAGGAGCAUUUCAAAAGAUUGUAUAAAAACUGAUUUACUCAAAAUAGAUAAAGGUGAAGUUCAAAUUGAAAUAACGGAGAUGUUCGGAGUUUAUUAAAACCUAGAAUUUACCUGUUCGAAAAAUAAAAAACACAACACCAUUUUUUUGCACUUUUAGAGACAACUCAUAAACGAAAAAAUGGUUGCUGGAAGUUCAAGUGCUCGGUGAGGAAAAGUUCAAAAAAUUCUUGUAAGAGAGGUUCACCGUGUAUUUAGAUGUCCAAAAUACAUAAAAAAUAUGUUGUUUUUUGUGUUUUAAAAUAAUUCUCUCAAACCAGAGAGAAGUUCAAAGUGAUAAUAGCCGGAAGUUCACGUACUACAUGGUGUGUAUUUCAUAUAAGAAAAAUAGAAUAAAGUGAAACAGAGUAAAGUUCAAACGGACAUGCCCUAGAAGUUCAACUACUUCACGUAGUGCAAAAAAAUAUCACAUCAAAAAUAGAGUGAGGACAGACAUGCCUGAGAAGUUCAACUACUUCACACAGUGUGUUUCCAUUCGCAAUGAAGGCAGAAAUCAUGAUCUCGUCAUUUCUCUAAUUUACUUCAAAACGAUAGGAAUAUCAUUUGUGUAAGUUCAAGUCCUCGGUCGGAGAAAGUUAAAAAAAUAUUGUGAGAGAGGUUUGUACAAAAAGAAUAUCAUUUGUGUAACACUGACGAAAUGGAUGAGAAAAUUACAAACAAAAAACGUCACAGAAGUUCAACGUGAAAACAACAGGAAGUUCGACUACUAUAGUGAAUGAAUUUGAGAUGAAAAACUUUUAAAAUCAUCGCGAGUAUGAAAAAACGAUCAACACGGGAAAGUUAUGUGCUUACAGCAGCUUUCCACCGGUAUAUCACUUUCUCAAUUCCGGUGAGUGGAUGGAGAGUUACGAGCAGUGGAUGGAGACCUACGAGCAAAAAAAUCACGUGAAAAACAGAGUGAAGUUCAGGUACACGCGCCGAGAAGUUCAGGUUCUUCACGCGGUGCAUUUUCGAAGAAUCUGUUUGACGAUAAAGGCAGAACGCAUGAUCUCGCCAUUUUCGAAAUUACUUGAAAAUGGCUAGGAAUCAGAGAAAACCAUCAACAUGAAAAAGUUUUGCAAUUUCCGUAGCUUUUCAGCGGUAUAUUAUUUGCCCCAUUCCGAUAAAGUUUGUAGAAAUUACGGCGAAAAUACGUUUUUCGCCAUUUUCGAAACUGACUUAAAACUGUAAAGAAUUGGGAGAAACAAUACAUACCAAAAAGUUUCACAUUUGUUCAAGAUUUCCAAAGCCAUAACAUUUGCUGCAUUCGGACAGACGGUUAAAAAAUUAGAUCAAAAAUACGAACUCGGUAGGACUAGGACCAUUUUCUAAAUUACUCUUAAACCAUUCAAAAUUAGAAAAAAACUUUCAAGAUGAAAAAGUAGCGCAUUUUCAUAAGCUUUACAAUGCCGUAUCAUAUGCCUCUAUUGGAUUAGCCGUUUAGAAAUGACAUCGAAAAUACGAACUCAGCUGUUCGAUUUACGAAAUUUUACGUUUUUUCAAAUUACUCUUUAACUAUAGGGAAUUAAAGAAAACUUUCAACAUGUGGAAGGAGCGGUUUUGCAGCAGCUUUCCAACGCCAUAUUAUAUGCCUCAUUAAGAUAAACGGUUUAGAAAUGCGGUCGAAAAUACGAUUCACGUUUUUUGUGCGAAGAAAAAACGGUUUUCAAAACUGCUCUUAAACCGCUUAUAUUUUGCCAAAAAUUUAAGUUGGAUAAUGAUACUGAUGUUCAAAACUUUCCAACGGUAUAUAGCAAGCCUCAUUUGGGCAAUGUUGGCGGAAGUUCAACCUAGUUCAUAGGGAAGUUCAGCGUACUACUAGCGGGGCAGGUCAGGUUGUGAUCAGAAUAUUAUUCUGAUCCCGUGAUUAGAAUAGUGUUUAUAUAUAUAUAUAUAUAUAUAUAUAUAUAUAUAUAUUAUAUUUGCCACAUUAACUUUAAGAGUUCAAUAUUAAUAUUUUCAUACAUAUCAAGUGAUAUUGGCGACCUUUUUUACCAUCAAAUCCUCGCGCACACACGCUAGUGCAUAACAAUAUGAAUUAUAUGUAUUAUAUUUGCCACCACAGCUGUGGGUAUUAAUUUCAUGUAAAUCGGUCAAUCACAGCUCCCAGAAUAUGCGAAGGAGGUGGCCUGAAUCGGCGUCGACGCCGUCCAGUGCGGGCCACGGGCCCGCUUCACUAGUAGAAAAAGGGCCUAUUGUCCCGGUUCGUAAGGGCCUUUUGUCCCGGUUCCUGAACCGGGACUAAAGGAUCGGUACUAAUUCCCUGUCCCUUUAGUCCUAGUUCAAUCCAGAACCGGGACAAAUGGGCCUCCACGUGGCCUGUGCGCGGAGCCCAGGCAGGAGGGCCUUUGGUCCUGGUUGGUGGCACCAACCGGGACCAAUAGGCAUCCACGCAUCAGCAUUUCUGUGGCUGGGGUUUNNNNNNNNNNNNNNNNNNNNNNNNNNNNNNNNNNNNNNNNNNNNNNNNNNNNNNNNNNNNNNNNNNNNNNNNNNNNNNNNNNNNNNNNNNNNNNNNNNNNNNNNNNNNNNNNNNNNNNNNNNNNNNNNNNNNNNNNNNNNNNNNNNNNNNNNNNNNNNNNNNNNNNNNNNNNNNNNNNNNNNNNNNNNNNNNNNNNNNNNNNNNNNNNNNNNNNNNNNNNNNNNNNNNNNNNNNNNNNNNNNNNNNNNNNNNNNNNNNNNNNNNNNNNUAGGUGUUUCAUAUAUUGUGUUAGCUAGCUAUAAUUAAUAGAGAGAAGUGUCCUCUCUUAUGUCCAUGCUUGGUCGGCGCUACGUACUAUACAUACGUAUAGAGAGGACUAGACAGGCUAGCUAGCUAGUUAGAAAACGAAGGAAACAGAAGAUCGUCAUGAACAUAUAUGCAUAGAGAGAGAAGUGAUAUCGACCACCUCUCCUUCUCCGAGAGAUUGGUCGAACAACAAGUUCUCGUAUAUCUAUCCGACACUACCGGCUACAUAUAUACAAUAAUUAUCUCUUACAAAUAUAAUCUCCUAACAUACGGACUCAUGGUCCACAUAGUAUUCUCCGUCUUCAGCGAUCACGUGGUCAAGAAAGAAUGCCGACAAUUCCUUUUGAAUUGCUCGCAUGCGAGCUGGUGCUAGGAGUUCAUCUCGCUUCCGAAACAUCUAAUUUGAAGAAGGGGCCGGGGUCAAUACAUAUAUAUAUGAAUGAAUGAAACUAAACACAAAUGAUGGUAAUAAAAUAAAAUUGUGAAUGUUGUUAUUUGCGCACUUCAUAUUGUUCAUCAGAGUAGCCCCGCUCACAGGCCGUGUGGUAGAUGGACUCGCAAACGUAGUAUCCACAGAAAUCAUUCCCUUGUAACUGCCACAACCCCUUUACAAGAAAUAGAGGUCAAUCAAACUGAUAAGCAAGAAUGCCAAAUGGUAUUGAUGAAACUAGCGCUUGAAUCAAUAGGAGAUGCGCGGAACAUGCUACUAUAGUACUUACUUUGGGGUGUCUAAAUUGCAGCUUCUCCGGGAGUCCCGGAGCUUUUUUGGUGAAUUUUUUCCAAACCCUGCCAGACAAAGAAAACAGUUACUUGAUAUAUCAGGAAAUGAACAAAGUUGCUGAUAUGGUGGAUAAUGAUCGAUUUAACUUACUUCUCGAGCAUUUGAGUCAUGUCCGCAUAGUCCUGGGGAUCUUUUCGUCUUGAGUCUAAGACGGUUACUAGUCCCUGCUCAAGCUUAAUCUCUAGGAGAAUAUAGUGGAAACUGCACACGCAUGCAUAACUCAUCAAUUACAUUACUAUAACCUUGACUAAUAUAUAAGGGAAACCGAAUAUGCACAAGACAGUAACACUCACUUGAAGUUGUAAGGAAAAAGUAUUAUAUCUUUGUUUUCAUUUAUUACCAACGAUCGUAGCAAGUUGGCCUCGGUAUCCGCGACAUGAAAUUUAACCUCAGUUGCAUCUAUGAUAUUUGUGUUAAUGAACCCAAUAUCACCGAUUUGUCUUUUCUUCAAUUCGACGAUCUUCAAUCUGCAUAAUAUAGUGAGGAUAAUUAUAAAUACAUGCAAUGAAAGAGCUGAGCUAUAUAGAGAGACUUAAUGACAGAAGUAGUACUACUUACAGACAGUAGCAGGUGACCGUUGCUUUAUCGAGGGCCAAUUGAUUGAAAAACUGAAAGAACUCCUCAAAUGGAACAGGUAACAAACACUAGUAGAAAAAGGGUCAAACGUGAAGCACAUUAGUGCCGGUUUGUAAAAAGACCGGCACUAAUGUGAUCAAUAGUGCCGGUUCGAAUGGCUAUGCAUUAGUGCCGGUUCGUAAUGAACCUUUAGUACCGGUUCAUGCCACGAACCGGUACUAAAGGGGUGGUGGCAGGCUGGCGUCAGGCCAGGCCCCACGAGCCCCUUUAGUGACGGUUUGUGACACAAACCGGUACUAAAGGUCUAACCUAUAGUACCGGUUUGUGUCACCAACCGGCACUACAAAGUCUUAACCUAUAGUCCCGGUUGAAGACACAAACCGACACUAUAGGGCAAUUUUCAAACUCUACCCCCCCCCCCGUGUAUCGCCAUUUCAGUUUUGAAAAAAUCAAAAGAAAAUGAUAAAAACUUCAAAAAAUAAAAUCCUUCGAGAGGUAGUUAUAUUACUACAUCUACUAGUUAGGAAAAUUUGAAAACUUAAAUUUGGACAUGUUUUGCAAAAAGUGUAGGGAAAAUGUAAAACGGCUAUAACUUUUGCAUAUGAUGUCGGAAAAAACGUAUAAUAUAUCAAAAAAUUCAGCACGAAAAUCCUCAAAUUCCAAAAGGAAAAAAAGAUAUGGUCAAAUUUAAGUUUUUUUUAAAAAAAAUUGGUUAAAUCUGGUCAAACUACUUAUUCAAGAAGUGUUAAUGUUACUACAUAAUUAUUCAAGAAUAUUAGUGUUACUAAAUAAUUAUUUCAAUUUUUUGAAUUUUGGUCAAAUCUGGUCAAACUAUGGUCAAACUGUGGUCAAACUAUGGUCAAACUUAUUCAAGAAAUAUUAGCGUUACUAAAUAAUUACUGUUUUUUUAGAAUAAUAGUUUCAAACUCAAACGGUGAAAUGUGUGACUUCAUGCUCAAGCUAAACUCCUGAGGGUUAAUAGGAUUAACAUCUUACUAUCAUCACGAAAACAACAAGUGCAGACAUGGAAACGAAGGAGAAUAGAACCCGAAAGUUAAGCGUGCUCGGGCUGGAGUAGUGAGAGGGAUGGGUGACCGGUCGAGAAGUUAGAUGAUUUGGAAUGAGUGAUCCACACUUGAGCAGUUAAGAGAGGUGAUUAGAGACUAAAUCAUCAAAUAAUUUAGAAAAAUUAAAAAAAUCAAAUUAAUUUUCAAAAAAAAUAUUCAAAAAAAAAACCAUUAGUACCGGUUGGUAACACCAACCGGUACUAAAGGUCCCCCAUACCAGGGCGUGAACUCACGCCACGUGGUGGCACUUUAGCGCCGGUUCGUGCCGAACCGGUACUAAAGGGGGGGGGGGCUUUAGUGCCGGUUCCAUAACCGGCACUAAAGGCACUUACAAACCGGUUUUAAAGCUCCGUUUUCUACUAGUGAAAUCAAUUCCAACGAGGUCAUGCUCCUUUUUAACUCUCACAUACAAAGUACUCCUCCCCUAGACUCUCUGCAGAUUUUCAAGUACCAAUCAUGCAAUCUUUGCAUCAUCGUUGAUAGAGAUCUUUCAUCUUUGACGAGAGGCUUCCCGUACUCGUAUCUUUGUAUCUGCACCUCCAUGAAAUCAUAAUGUACAUCGUCGGGCAGGUAAUCUCCAAGAUUGCUAUAACCGGGCACCAUCCUCGGAUCAUUAGCGACGAUGUCGCUAGGUACCUUGAGCGGGGGGGGGGGGGCACGAUUGCUUCCCUUGUUCGCCAAGCUGGGAAAUUUGUUUCCCAACUCGUCGUUCUUUCAGCCUUUGAUCACUGACAGUACUUCCCGACCGCUCCGCUUCGGCAAAUUCCUUUCCAAUAAUGCGCUCAUAGUUUCCUUUCGGUGGAGACUUGGGUGGUUUUGUUAGGGCAGCCAGAGUGCGCUUCGCUUUCACCGGAUCUACCUUCUCCUCCAGAGGUGGAUGUUUCUUUGCUUUCACCCCUUCAAAGAAGUUCCUGACUUCUUCUCGCACGAUCUCGGCGUUCUCCUCCGGGGUCCUCUCGUAUGGUAACUUCUCUGGAGUCUUUAGAGAAGGACCGAAUCUGUAUGUCCUCCCGCCUCUGGCUGUACUGCUAGACGCCGGCAGAGCAGACGGAGCGGUUGUCUUCUUUACUUGCUUACGAGGCAGAGGAGAAGGACUACGACGCACCAGAGCAGCCGGAGCGGCCGCAGGUCUCUUCCGCCCUUGCUGACGAGGCGGAGAAGGAGGAGGCUGGCUGCUCGGGCGCGCCGGCGCAGGCGGAGAAGGAGGCGGAGUGCCGCCACGCGCCGGAGAAGGAGCCGGCCGAGUGCCCUGAUAGUCACUCGCCAGAGGAGGAGGCGGUGGAGGGGGCGGAGUGCCCUGACUCGCCGAAGGAGGAGGAGGAGGCGGAGGCAUCCAAUUCGGAAGGUUCAUGACCUCCUUCCGCCAUAGGCAUGGAGUCUUCAGAGCAGAACCCAGCCGAGUCUCCCCUUCACCGGUAGGGUGGUCAAGCUGGAGGUCCUCAAAUCCCUCCGUUAUUUCAUCCACCAUCACCCUAGCAUAUCAUUCUGUAAUCGGCCGGCAGUGAAAAGUUGCGCUGGGUUCAGUAGGAAAAACAGAGCCAAUAGCCGCCUUGACCUUCAUAUUAACCCAUUGCGUCAUAAGGUGGCAAUUAUGAGACUCCGUGAUAGCAUCCACGGGAUAGCUGGCAGGAGCCGUCAAGACAUGCUCCUGCUGAAGCAGCUCGGUGGAAGCCAUGCUGCUUCUCCGCUGAGAUGGCGGGGUAGCUUCGGCAGUUCGUUUUGUGCGAUUUGCUUCUCGUUCCUCUAUUGCUUGUACCCUAGCGUGCAGCGCCUGCAGUUGGGUCUGCUCCACUUUCUUCCUCCUCUCGUGGCAUUUGUAACCGCCUGCGUCCGGAAACCCAGCCUUACACGGAAUGGAGCCUGGCGUGCCUCAUGUCCGUCCAGGGUGUUCAGGAUUCCCGAGGGCCAUUGUGAGCUCGUCGUUCUCUCUGUCUGGAACAAACAUACCUUGCUGCGCUGCUUCGAUAUAGUGCUUAAGCCUCUUGACUGGUAUUUCCAUUUGCUCGUCCGUCCAAAUGCACUUUCCUGAUACAGGGUCCAAGGUUUCACCAGCCCCGAAGAACCAAGUCCGGUAACGGUCUGUCCAGUUAAUUGUCUCUGGUUCGAUCCCUUUAUCAACCAGAUCAUUCUCAAUCUUGGCCCACUUAGGCCGAGCUGCCAGGUAGCCACCUGACCCCGUGCGAUGGUGAUGCUUCUUCUUCACAGCAUUUUGCUUGUUUGUCGACGACAUCUUCUUACUCUUUUCCGAUGUCUUGUGGGCCACAAAUGCGGGUCAGUGAUCUCUGAUCUUCUCAUAUCUGCCCUUGAAUUCCGGUGUCUCUUUAUUUUCGACAAACUUAUUCAGCUCUUUCUUCCACCUCCUGAAUAGUUCUGCCAUCCUCUUAAGAGCAAAAGACUUGAUUAAUUGCUCUUUAACUGGCUUCUCCGGAUCAUCCUCUGGCUGUAGGGUGAAAUUUGACUUCAGCUCAGUCCAAAGAUCAUUUUUCUGCAUAUCAUUGACAUAAGACACCUCAGGGUCUUCUGUAGCCGGCUUUAACCAUUGCUGCAUGCUGAUCGGGAUCUUGUCCCUAACCAAAACCCCGCACUGAGCAACAAAUGCGCUCUUUGUCCGGAUAGGUUCAUUCGGUUGGCCCUCGGGCGCGAUUGCUAUGAUCUCAAACUUUUCAUCCGAGCUCAACUUUUUCUUCGGGCCUCGUCUCUUUACCGAAGUUGUGCUCGAUCCGGAGGGCUAGAAAAAAGAACAAAGACUUAAUUAAUAUGUGUACAUACCAAAACAAUGAAUGCAUCAAUUAGCUAGUCAGCAGAAGCUUAACUAAUACUAGAUCAUUGAUGGUGCGUGUUGUUGCGCCCAUCUAUUUUGGAUCUUGGUUGUUAAGGAUAUAACAUUGCUAGUAUACAUUUCUUGCAUUGUUUUAAAAUAUUAUGCUUUCUAUAGCAUGUACUUCUCUUUAUUUUCAAAAUAAUGGUAUGUAAAUCAUCUUCAUUGGGGCAACAUUACAACUUCCAUAUCAACAUAAGCUUAGAUAUAAAUAGGGCAGUGCCAUAAGCCAACCUAUCCAUAUCCACGUUAUAAUAAUGGAUGGCUAUGUACAUUUUUGUUCAAGCAUAGUACAAGCUUGUUGCAGUUGCAUAGGAACAUAGACUUAAACAUAAUAUAAACUUGAAAUGUAUAAUGAUGGAAGAAGGCGGCAUGACAGUAUAUUAUACUUGGAAAACAAAUUGUACGAUGGAGUAGAGCGAACUGGAGAAGAUGUAGACCUCAAAUAGGCACCAGAAACACUGCACCAAAAUUUCUAUGAUUAUGGAUACAUCCAACAUGGCGGACGGUCAGAGGGCAUGAGAAGUAUAAUCAUAUACUAUCUAAGAAAAUCAAGACUCUUGAUUAUUACAUCAAAAGCAAGGCACAGAACAAGCUUACAUAUCGUAUUGUUCGUGCUAACACAAAUAAUAAUAUCUUCUAACACACGAAUGUAAUUUGGCCAAAAGAUAAUUUCUUCAUACGAAUUCCAACGUCACUACAUUUUUUUUCAUUGGGGCUUAAAAAUUGUUUGACCGUUUUACAUGAGAUAGAAAGAACUGACUGAACCGAGCAACAAAAGGCAACAAAAACACAAAUCAGUUUCCUCUCAUUCUCUGCCUACAUCAUAUUUUUUUUCCUGUAAAUAUAUCUUGUGAUUCAUCAUUGUUUCAGACCGUAAGGGCCGGAAGCUCUACCUAAGGCGGCUGCCAUACAAGGAUACACACAGCUUCGCCUUAAACACCCUCCUUGUGGCGAUGCUUAGAAAGGGAAUAACCUCAUGUAUUACCUUGCUCGGAAUAGCCAUGUUUUCAAAUCCCAACUAAUCCACCUUAAUCCUAACAUCAAAUGAACACAACAUUAACUUGAGAUCAGACGCUAUGGAGUCAGAGUGAUUGCAUGACUCGAGGCACAAGGCAACAGGCUGGGGUGAAGGCGUGGCAGCUGCAUGCCACCACGAAACACCGGCGAGCAGAGAACCGGAAGAUACAUAAUCGUUUAUGUCUUAUGAGUUAAUUUCUCCACUCAUUGCACGCUACAAAACAUUAGCGAGUAUACAUAGGAUGUCCCUUUCUGAACAACUACAUAAUAUAUAAAUUCCAAUUGCAUUAGGGAUUUCAUCUAGAGUAUAUUCCCUGAAUUAUUUGAAAUGAAGUAAUGGUUUUUCUAAUCCUACUUUGACCUGGAGCAUCACUCUGAAACAUCAGGGAACACACACAUCUUCAGAAGUAGCAGCAGUAGCUAAUGUGAAAAGUUCACUGGAAUGCUAGGAUACUAAAAAAGCUAGUACAUCCCAAUAGCCAAAGAACAUAACAAAAUUUGGCAUCAUGUGUCAAGUAGCUCACAGUGGGCAUAAAUUUGUACAUUAUAUGUCCCUUUAUUAACUCACUUGUCUCUGAUUUUUAACUAUUAGGAAAUAAUAGUGGUCAUCAAAAUUAGAAUAUAUUGUAAUGCUCUAGAAUAGGAUCUAAUUGUUGGGAGUUGUUACCUGAGGGAAUCCUUGCGGGGAGCUGAGCAUAGGAACCAAUGCUGUUCCGCACUGUCCACGUGACUGACCACCGUGCUGCCUCCAUGAGCCGAUGUGGAACUUCUACCAACAAGUGAUUUGUACAUGACUGCUCAAGCAAACUAAACCACUAAAUCCAAAGGGGAUUCGUUCCAGAAAGGUGCAACACCUUGAGAAAUCUACGUGUAGAAUUGAAGAGGGGAGAGUAUCAGGAGGUAAACCUAGAGAACCUGCAUAGUUUGUGAGUACAAAGAACAGUAUGAGUAAAAUAAAUUUCAAAAAUUGGAUUAGAUGAAGAAUCAGGUGAAGAGGAGAUAAAGGAAAGAACCAUCACCCAUUGCUGCACGAGAGUGGUUUUCAGAAGUAAGGGGAGUAGGGAAGGAGCAACAGCACUUUGGAUCGUAUAUUCGUAUAUGCGCGCGAGUGAAUUGAAGUAAAAAGCAUGAAUCAUCAGACCUGCAAUAAUCUUCAGUUUAGCCGGUUCAUCAAUUGCCAUUAAUCGAUCCUGAUUAAAACCUCAACGAAUCGAUGGCUAGUGAAUUUCAAUCGACAGCGGCUGUUCGCGGCCCUGACCAUCUCCCUAUUGCGUCACCGACCAGGACGCCGUUCGGUCGCUCGGCGAGGAGCGCCGUGUCAGUCGGACCUGAAGCACAGUGGCCAUGAGACACCAUCGGUCGCGUCGAUCCGACCCCAACACGGCCGCCAUCACUACUGCCCAGAUUCUGCUGCCAGCCGACAGCAGCAACCGUGCGAAACUGCGAACCAAAGGAUCUGGCGACGACGCGCCUGAGAACUCUAGAUAUGGCUUGAAAACCAGAAAUAUGCUUCACGGAUGUAGAGCGUGUUUGGUUGAGUUCCAGGAGCAAAAUUGCCUGGCCUGAGACCUUCCUGGGUUGUGCCUGCUUGUUGUUUGGAUAGUAGCCUCAAAUCACAGGCAUGUUCCUGGCCUGGAGUUGACAUGCACCUGAUUAGCCUGGGUAGAUCACAGGCAGCUUGAUUAGCCUGGAUGAGGCCAACGGAACCAGACGCCUGGCCUCCAGGCAGAUGCGUUUUGCGUCAAUUAGCAAGUUGUAUACUGUACUUUUUGUCAACUCAGCCGUCCCAUCUAAUUAUUUAAUAUUUAAGUACGUGUCCCAGGCCAGGUUUGCAACCAAACAUCACAUGCACACAGCAGCCUGGCCAGGCAAAAAUCCUCCUUCUCCCAGGCUACUAUCAGGCAUCAACUUUUGCUAGGCAUCACACCCAGGACAUGAACCAAACAUGCCCGUAGUGCGUCACUGACCUGGGGAUGAGCUCGUCGCCGGCUCGAGAAAAAGUCGCUCCCUGCUGCGCUUUUGGGGAAGAUAGGAAAUGUAGAAGAAUGAGCCAAUCUAGUGAAUCCCGUGGAACUUAAUGGAACCUGCACUCAUUUGGGAGCACAAAGAACAACAUCAAUUGAAAAAAAUUCAUGCAGAAUUUGGGGGAGAGUAGAGGUACCAACGAGGGAACACUUGUAAAAGGCCAGUAGCGGAGACUAAUUAUCGUCCUGUCAACCAUGGCAGCCUGCAAGUAAAAGGAGGAGAAUGAGGAAGGAGAAGCUCCACGAUGGAGAUUAAAUGGACGCAAUUGAAUGGAUGUUGUAACUGAGCCCAGUUAUUGGCCACCGGUGAGUGCGCCUCAUCGAUUGCAAAUUUGCCAUUAUAAUGGUCCGCUGCAACUAUGAAUUGAGUCCCGAAUCGCGGGCAACUGGAGGCAACCGACAGGGGACGAUCCGUUGCCCCGGAUACCUCCUGCUGGCGUCGCCCAGCGAGGCAACCCGGCCGGUCGCGUAGGUCGAGGCACAUCCGGUCGGUCCAAUCGACCUCGCAUCGGCACUGUUUUUUUUUCUCGCAUCAGGACUGGAUGAACGCUCAUCGGUCGCUCGUGUGUAACCCUAGUCGAUGGAACCGCACAAGUGGACCUUCUUCAGCGAAGCCCGUGGGCUGGAAUGGGCUGGCCGACGGCCCAGUUAACCACAGGGCUACGUUUUGGCCUGCGGAGCAGAAGCCCCAGGACAGCCGGCCCAGUUUUUAUCAGAUGUGGGACAGAUUGCUUUAAACAGGAGAUCCGACGACCAAAAACGUCUAGAUCGUGCAAACGGAUGGUCAGAAACGCGAAGCGCUGAGAGAGCUCGCUUUAGGUGCAGUUGUAUUGUACUUAAUAUAUACCUGGCCGGACUCGGUUCGGUCACCAGAGACGUCAUCACGGUCUCCUUCUUGCACCGGCAUUGUGUCACCGGAGCCGUCCUCACGGUCUCCUUCUUGCACCGGCAUUAGGUCACCGGAGCCAUCAUAAUCAUAGCCAGCUGCUUCCAUACCAUCGGUGUCGUUGAGAAACAACGAGCAGACGGCAUCCCUUCCUCGUGCGAUUAUGUCCCCCAACAACUCUUCUUGUACUUCGUCUCGGGCGGUGUCCAUAGUUUCUACAAAUAUUUAUAACAUGGCAAUUAUUAUUCAAACAUGACAGAUGGAUAUAUUAGUGGCAAACGUAGAACUAAUAUUAAUUAGUGGCCUCGACGCUACUUCUCUAGGGUUUGGGGUGGCCUCGACGCUGCUUCUCCAGGGUUUGAAGUGGCCUCGACAACGCUUCAAGGAUAAAAAAAGAAGAGGAAGAAGAAAAAAAGGGGAGAAGAAAGAAUAGAUCCUCUUUUUUUUUCUUCUUCUUCCUCUUUUUUUUUAUCGGGAACGAGGGUCGUCGACGCCCACGUCACUUGUGGGACGUGGAUGUAGUGUCCGACACCGAUGGCCACAUGUAUCUCACACCCACGAUACUUACUAUUUAGGGUUUCCUCUACCGCUCGGCGACCCUGACCCUCGACGACCCUCGUUUCNNNNNNNNNNNNNNNNNNNNNNNNNNNNNNNNNNNNNNNNNNNNNNNNNNNNNNNNNNNNNNNNNNNNNNNNNNNNNNNNNNNNNNNNNNNNNNNNNNNNNNNNNNNNNNNNNNNNNNNNNNNNNNNNNNNNNNNNNNNNNNNNNNNNNNNNNNNNNNNNNNNNNNNNNNNNNNNNNNNNNNNNNNNNNNNNNNNNNNNNNNNNNNNNNNNNNNNNNNNNNNNNNNNNNNNNNNNNNNNNNNNNNNNNNNNNNNNNNNNNNNNNNNNNNNNNNNNNNNNNNNNNNNNNNNNNNNNNNNNNNNNNNNNNNNNNNNNNNNNNNNNNNNNNNNNNNNNNNNNNNNNNNNNNNNNNNNNNNNNNNNNNNNNNNNNNNNNNNNNNNNNNNNNNNNNNNNNNNNNNNNNNNNNNNNNNNNNNNNNNNNNNNNNNNNNNNNNNNNNNNNNNNNNNNNNNNNNNNNNNNNNNNNNNNNNNNNNNNNNNNNNNNNNNNNNNNNNNNNNNNNNNNNNNNNNNNNNNNNNNNNNNNNNNNNNNNNNNNNNNNNNNNNNNNNNNNNNNNNNNNNNNNNNNNNNNNNNNNNNNNNNNNNNNNNNNNNNNNNNNNNNNNNNNNNNNNNNNNNNNNNNNNNNNNNNNNNNNNNNNNNNNNNNNNNNNNNNNNNNNNNNNNNNNNNNNNNNNNNNNNNNNNNNNNNNNNNNNNNNNNNNNNNNNNNNNNNNNNNNNNNNNNNNNNNNNNNNNNNNNNNNNNNNNNNNNNNNNNNNNNNNNNNNNNNNNNNNNNNNNNNNNNNNNNNNNNNNNNNNNNNNNNNNNNNNNNNNNNNNNNNNNNNNNNNNNNNNNNNNNNNNNNNNNNNNNNNNNNNNNNNNNNNNNNNNNNNNNNNNNNNNNNNNNNNNNNNNNNNNNNNNNNNNNNNNNNNNNNNNNNNNNNNNNNNNNNNNNNNNNNNNNNNNNNNNNNNNNNNNNNNNNNNNNNNNNNNNNNNNNNNNNNNNNNNNNNNNNNNNNNNNNNNNNNNNNNNNNNNNNNNNNNNNNNNNNNNNNNNNNNNNNNNNNNNNNNNNNNNNNNNNNNNNNNNNNNNNNNNNNNNNNNNNNNNNNNNNNNNNNNNNNNNNNNNNNNNNNNNNNNNNNNNNNNNNNNNNNNNNNNNNNNNNNNNNNNNNNNNNNNNNNNNNNNNNNNNNNNNNNNNNNNNNNNNNNNNNNNNNNNNNNNNNNNNNNNNNNNNNNNNNNNNNNNNNNNNNNNNNNNNNNNNNNNNNNNNNNNNNNNNNNNNNNNNNCGGGACUAAAGGGGGGCAUUGGUCACGGUUUGUGCCACGAACCGUGACCAAUGCCCCCUUUAGUCCCGGUUGGUGCCAUCAACCGGGACCAAAGGCCUGCGCCUGCCAAAGCCGUGGUGCGGUAGGAUGUUUAGUCCCACCUCGCUAGCUGAGGAGCGGCCGCACCUGUUUAUAAGCGCUGCACCUGUUUGGGCCUAAUCUCACAACGCUAUGCCUGCUGGGCCUUCUGCGGGCCUGAAUCCUGGCCCAUGGAUGGGCUUCUAGUCGUAUUCAGGCCGUGGUGGCCCAGUAGGUGGCAUUUUUUAUUACUAUUUGAUUUUUCAUUUCUACUUAGAACUAAAUACUUGUAGUUUUUUAGUGAUUUUUUUCUUUUAGGUCACAAAAAUUAUAAACUUUCUAUUAUUGCCAUUAGUUUUAAAAUUUGAAUAGUUUAAUUUUGAAUUUUUUAAAAUUUGUGUGAAUCACUAGUUUAUGAAUAACUUUACCGUAAAAAUUGAUUUUUGAGUCAUUUUUUUCCUGCUAUUUAAUAUUACUGUGUUUUAUCAUUAUACUCAAUUUGGUAAUUUUAGUUAGUCAUAACAAAUAUUAUAGGCAUUUUUUUCUUUUUUGCUAUUUUUUUUCAUUUCUACUUAGAACAAAAUACUUAUAGUUCUUUAGUGAUUUCUUUUUUCUUUUAGGUCACAAAAAUUAUAAACUUUCUGGUAGUUCCAUUAGUUUUCANNNNNNNNNNNNNNNNNNNNNNNNNNNNNNNNNNNNNNNNNNNNNNNNNNNNNNNNNNNNNNNNNNNNNNNNNNNNNNNNNNNNNNNNNNNNNNNNNNNNNNNNNNNNNNNNNNNNNNNNNNNNNNNNNNNNNNNNNNNNNNNNNNNNNNNNNNNNNNNNNNNNNNNNNNNNNNNNNNNNNNNNNNNNNNNNNNNNNNNNNNNNNNNNNNNNNNNNNNNNNNNNNNNNNNNNNNNNNNNNNNNUUAAUUCUUUUUGCUUUUCGUUUUAGAAAAAUUAUAAACUUUCUGUUAGUGCCAUUAGUUUUCAAAUUUGAAAACACUUUUUUAGUUUUUUUGCUUUCUUUGUUGCUUUAUUUAUUUUAUUUUGUUUCUACUUACAAAAAAAUACUUAUUGUUGCUAUUUUUUUUCAGUUUUUGUUUUGUUUUCUUUAUUAUUUAUUUUCUUUUGUUUUUUGCUUUAAUUUUUAAUUCUUUUUGCUUUUAGGUCAGCAAAAUUAUAAACUUUCUGUUAGUGCCACUAGUUUUAGAAAAAUUAUAAACUUUCUGUUAGUGCCAUUAGUUUUCAAAUUUGAAUAGUUAAAAUUUGAAUUCUUUAAAAUUUGUAUGAACCACAAGUUUGUGAUUAACUUUACUAAAAAAAUGAACAUAGAUGCACCUAUAGAGAAAAUUCGACCUAAAUUCAUAGUUUUCAAAUGAACUCUCAAAAAGUUGGCAUAGCAUACUCGUGUGUUACAAAGUUGGCAUGGUAUCAUCAUAAUAGUUGCUUGAGAAAGUCUUCACUUUUUCUUCGCUUGUGUCAUUUGCUUAUUGCGCCGUAACCAUGGAUAAUCUUCAUCGUUUAUCAGGAUGCUUGGGUCAGCCUUGACAUUGAAGGGAGGAAUUUCAUGAAACUUUUCAUAAUCUUCAGACAUGUCUGUCUUGCCCUCCACUCCCAGGAUAUCCCUUUUUCCUGAAAGAACUAUAUGGCGCUUUGGCUCAUCGUAUGAUGUAUUCGCUUCCUUAUCUUUUCUUUUUCUCGGUUUGGUAGACAUGUCCUUCACAUAGAUAACCUGUGCCACAUCAUUGGCUAGGACGAACGGUUCGUCAGUAUACCCAAGAUUUUUCAGAUCCACUGUUGUCAUUCCGUACUGUGGGUCUACCUGUACCCCGCCGCCUGACAGAUUGACCCAUUUGCACUUAAACAAAGGGACCUUAAAAUCAUGUCCGUAGUCAAGUUCCCAUAUGUCCAUUAUGUAACCAUAAUAUGCAUCCUUUCCGCUCUCGGUUGCUGCAUCAAAGCGGACACCGCUGUUUUGGUUGGUGCUCUUUUGAUCUUGGGCGAUCAUGUAAAAUGUAUUCCCAUUUAUCUCGUAUCCUUUGUAAGUCAAUACAGUCAAAGAUGGUCCCCUGGACAACAAGUGCAACUCAUCACAAACAGUGUUGUCACCUCUGAGACGUGUUUCCAACCAACUGUUGAAAGUCCUGAUGUGUUCACAUGUAAUCUAGUCGUCGCACUGCUCCGGAUGUUUGGAGCGCAGACUGUUUUUGUGUUCAUCGAUAUACGGGGCCACCAUGGUAGAGUUCUGUAGAACUGUGUAGUGUGCUUGAGACCAAGAAUAUCCGUCCCUGCAUAUUAUUGAGUCACUUCCAAGAGUGCCUUUUCCAGUCAGUCUCCCCUCAUACCGCGAUUUAGGGAGACCUAUCUUCUUAAGGCCAGGAAUGAAGUCAACACAAAAUUCGAUAACAUCCUCUGUUUGAUGGCCCAUGGAGAUGCUUCCUUCUGACCUAGCGCGGUUACGGACAUAUUUCUUUAGGACUCCCAUGAACCUCUCAAAGGGGAACAUAUUGUGUAGAAAUACGGGCCCCAGGAUGACAAUCUCGUCGACUAGAUGAACUAGGACGUGCGUCAUGAUAUUGAAGAAGGAUGGUGGGAACACCAGCUCGAAACUGACAAGACAUUGCGCCACAUCACUCCUUAGCCUUGGUACAAUUUCUGGAUCGAUCACCUUCUGAGAGAUUGCAUUGAGGAAUGCACAUAGCUUCACAAUGGCUAAUCGGACGUUUUCUGGUAGAAGCCCCCUCAAUGCAGCCGGAAGCAGUUGCGUCAUAAUCACAUGGCAGUCAUGAGACUUUAGGUUCUGAAACUUUUUCUCUGGCAUAUUUAUUAUUCCCUUUAUAUUCGAUGAGAAGCCAGUCGUGACCUUCAUACUGAGCAGGCAUUCAAAGAAGAUUUCUUUCUCUUCUUUCGUAAGAGCAUAGCUGGCAGGACCUUUAUACUGCUUCGGAGGCAUGCCGUCUUUUUCAUGCAAAUGUUGCAGGUCCUCCCAUGCCUCGGAUGUAUCUUUUGUCUUCCCAUACAAGAAGCCUACCAGGUUCACACAAAGGUUCUUCAUCACGUGCAUCACGUCGAUUGAAGAGCAGACCUCUAGGUCUUUCCAGUAGGGUAGGUCCCAAAAUAUAGAUUUCUUCUUCCACAUGGGUGCGUGUCCCUCAGCGUCAUUCGGAACAGCUAGUCCGCCGGGACACUUUCCAAAGAUUACAUGUAAAUCAUUGACCAUAGCAAGUACGUGAUCACCGGUACGCAUGGCGGGCUUCUUCUGGUGAUCUGCCUCGCCUUUGAAAUGCUUGCCUUUCUUUCGACAUUGAUGGUUGGUCGGAAGAAAUCAACGAUGGCCCAGGUACACAUUUUUCCUGCAUUUGUCCAGGUAUAUACUUUCAGUGUCAUCUAAACAGUGCGUGCAUGCGUGGUAUCCUUUGUUUGUCUAUCCUGAAAGGUUACUGAGAGCGGGCCAAUCAUUGACGGUCACGAACAGCAAAGCCUUUAGGUUAAAUUCCUCCUGUCUAUGGUCAUCCCACGUACGUACACUGUUUCCAUUCCACAGCUGUAAAAGUUCUUCAACUAAUGGCCUUAGGUACACAUCAAUGUCCUUGCCGGGUUGCUUAGUGUAGGGGAACAUAGUAAUUUCAAAAUUUUCCUACGCACACGCAAGAUCAUGGUGAUGCAUAGCAACGAGAGGGGAGAGUGUUGUCUAUGUACCCUCGUAGACCGAAGCGGAAGCGCUGACACAACGUAGAGGAAGUAGUCGUACGUCUUCCCGAUCCUACCGAUCCAAGCACCGUUACUCCGGCACCUCCGAGUUCUUAGCACACGUACAGCUCGAUGACGCUCCCCAGGCUUCGAUCCAACAAAGCUUCGGGGAUGAGUUCCAUCAGCACAACGGCGUGGUGACGAUGAUGAUGUUCUACCGACGCAGGGCUUCGCCUAAGCACUACAAUGAUAUGACCGAGGUGGAAUAUGGUGGAAGGGGGCACCGCACACGGCUAAGGAACGAUCACGUUGAUCAAUUGUGUGUUCUAGGGUGUCCCCUUGCCUCCGUAUAUAAAGGAUCCAAGGGGGAGGGGUUCGGCCGGCCCUAUGGAGGCGCAGGAGGAGUCCUACUCCUACCGGGAGUAGGACUCCCCCCUUUCCUAGUCCAAGUAGGAUUGGUGGAGAAGAAAGGGAAAGAGGGGGGUGCAGCCCCUCCCUCCUUGUCCAAUUCGGACUAGGGGGAGAGGGGGCGCGCGGCCUGCCCUGGCAGCCCCUUCCUAUUCUCCACUUUAGGCCCAUGAGGCCCAUUAACACCCCGGGGGGUUCCGGUAACCCCCCGGUGCUCCGGUUUUAUCCGAAACUUCAUCGGAACCCUUCCGGUGUCUGAAUAUAGUCAUCCAAUAUAUCAAUCUUUAUGUCUCGACCAUUUCGAGACUCCUCGUCAUGCCCGUGAUCACAUCCGGGACACCGAACUAACUUCGGUACAUCAAAAUGUAUAAACUCAUAAUAACUAUCAUCGUAACGUUAAGCGUGCGGACCCUAUGGUUCGAGAACAAUGUAGACAUGACCGAGACACGUCUCCGGUCAAUAACCAAUAGCGGGACCUGGAUGCCCAUAUUGGCUCCUACAUAUUCUACGAAGAUCUUUAUCGGUCAGACCGCAUAACAACAUACGUUGUUCCCUUUGUCAUCGGUAUGUUACUUGCCCGAGAUUCGAUCGUCGGUAUCCAAUACCUAGUUCAAUCUCGUUACCGGCAAAUCUCUUUACUCGUUCCGUAAUACAUCAUCUCACAACUAACUCAUUAGUUGUAAUGCUUGCAAGGCUUAUGUGAUGUGCAUUACCGAGAGGGCCCAGAGAUACCUCUCCGACAAUCGGAGUGACAAAUCCUAAUCUCGAAAUACGCCAACCCAACAUCUACCUUUGGAGACACCUGUAGAGCACCUUUAUAAUCACCCAGUUACGUUGUGACGUUUGGUAGCACACAAAGUGUUCCUCCGGCAAACGGGAGUUGCAUAAUCUCAUAGUCAUAGGAACAUGUAUAAGUCAUGAAGAAAGCAAUAGCAACAUACUAAACGAUCGGGUGCUAAGCUAAUGGAAUGGGUCAUGUCAAUCAGAUCAUUCAACUAAUGAUGUGAUCUCGUUAAUCAAAUAACAACUCUUUGUUCAUGGUUAGGAAACAUAACCAUCUUUGAUUAACGAGCUAGUCAAGUAGAGGCAUACUAGUGACACUCUGUUUGUCUAUGUAUUCACACAUGUAUUAUGUUUCCGGUUAAUACAAUUCUAGCAUGAAUAAUAAACAUUUAUCAUGAUGUAAGGAAAUAAAUAAUAACUUUAUUAUUGCCUCUAGGGCAUAUUUCCUUCAGUCUCCCACUUGCACUAGAGUCAAUAAUCUAGAUUACACAGUAAUGAUUCUAACACCCAUGGAGCCUUGGUGCUGAUCAUGUUUUGCUCGUGGAAGAGGCUUAGUCAACGGGUCUGCAACAUUCAGAUCCGUAUGUAUCUUGCAAAUCUCUAUGUCUCCCACCUGGACUAGAUCCCGGAUGGAAUUGAAGCGUCUCUUGAUGUGCUUGGUUCUCUUGUGAAAUAUGGAUUCCUUUGCCAAGGCAAUUGCACCAGUAUUGUCACAAAAGAUUUUCAUUAGACCCGAUGCACUAGGUAUGACACCUAGAUCGGAUAUGAACUCCUUCAUCCAGACUCCUUCGUUUGCUACUUCCGAAGCAGCUAUGUACUCCGCUUCACAUGUAGAUCCCGCCACAAUGCUUUGUUCAGAACUGCACCAACUGACAGCUCAACCGUUUAAUGUAAACAUGUAUCCGGUUUGUGAUUUAGAAUCGUCCGGAUCAGUGUCAAAGCUUGCAUCAACGUAACCGUUUACGAUGAGCUCUUUGUCACCUCCAUAUACGAGAAACAUAUCCUUAGUCCUUUUCAGGUACUUCAGGAUGUUCUUGACCGUUGUCCAGUGAUCCACUCCUGGAUUACUUUGGUACCUCCCUGCUAAACUUAUAGCAGGGCACACAUCAGGUCUGGUACACAGCAUUGCAUACAUGAUAGAGCCUAUGGCUGAAGCAUAGGGAACAUCUUUCAUUUUCUCUCUAUCUUCUGAAGUGGUCGGGCAUUGAGUCUGACUCAACUUCACACCUUGUAACACAGGCAAGAACCCUUUCUUUGCUUGAUCCAUUUUGAACUUCUUCAAAAUCUUGUCAAGGUAUGUGCUUUGUGAAAGUCCAAUUAAGCGUCUUGAUCUAUCUCUAUAGAUCUUUAUGCCUAAUAUGUAAGCAGCUUCACCGAGGUCUUUCAUUGAAAAACUCUUAUUCAAGUAUCCCUUUAUGCUAUCCAGAAAUUCUAUAUCAUUUCCAAUCAGUAAUAUGUCAUCCACAUAUAAUAUCAGAAAUGCUAUAGAGCUCCCACUCACUUUCUUGUCAAUACAGGCUUCUCCAAAAGUCUGUACAAAACCAAAUGCUUUGAUCACACUAUCAAAGCGUUUAUUCCAACUCCGAGAGGCUUGCACCAGUCCAUAAAUGGAUCGCUGGAGCUUGCACACUUUGUUAGAUCCUUUCGGAUCGACAAAACCUUCCGGUUGCAUCAUAUACAACUCUUCUUCCAGAAAUCCAUUCAGGAAUGCAGUUUUGACAUCCAUCUGCCAAAUUUCGUAAUCAUAAAAUGCGGCAAUUGCUAACAUGAUUCGAACGGACUUAAGCAUCGCUACGGGUGAGAAGGUCUCAUCAUAGUCAACCCCUUGAACUUGUCCAAAACCUUUUGCGACAAGUCGAGCUUUGUAGACAGUAACAUUACCGUCAGCGUCAGUCUUUUUCUUGAAGAUCCAUUUAUUCUCAAUUGCUUGCCGACCAUCGGGCAAGUUAACCAAAGUCCAUACUUUGUUCUCAUACAUGGAUCCCAUUUCAGAUUUCAUGGCUUCAAGCCAUUUUGCGGAAUCUGGGCUCACCAUCGCUUCUUCAUAGUUAGUAGGUUCAUCAUGAUCUAGCAGCAUGAUUUCUAGAACAGGAUUACCGUACCACUCUGGCGCGGAUCUCACUCUGGUUGAUCUACGAGGUUCAGUAGUAUCUUGUCCUGAAGUUUCAUGAUCAUUAUCAUUAGCUUCCUCACUUAUGGGUGUAGGUGUCGCAGAAACAGUUUUCUGUGAUGUACUUCUUUCCAAUAAGGGGGCAGGUACAGUUACCUCGUCAAGUUCUACUUUCCUCCCACUCACUUCUUUCGAGAGAAACUCCUUCUCUAGAAAGGAUCCAUUCUUAGCAACGAAUGUCUUGCCUUCGGAUCUGUGAUAGAAGGUGUACCCAACAGUCUCCUUUGGGUAACCUAUGAAGACACAUUUCUCCGAUUUGGGUUCAAGCUUAUCAGGUUGAAGCUUUUUCACAUAAGCAUCGCAGCCCCAGACUUUAAGAAACGACAACUUUGGUUUCUUGCCAAACCAUAGUUCAUAAGGCGUCGUCUCAACGGAUUUUGAUGCUGCCCUAUUUAACGUGAAUGCGGCCGUCUCUAAAGCAUAACCCCAAAACGAUAGCGGUAAAUCAGUAAGAGACAUCAUAGAUCGCACCAUAUCUAGUAAAGUACGAUUACGACGUUCGGACACACCAUUACGCUGUGGUGUUCCGGGUGGCGUGAGUUGCGAAACUAUUCCGCAUUGUUUCAAAUGUACACCAAACUCGUAACUCAAAUAUUCUCCUCCAUGAUCAGAUCGUAGAAACUUUAUUUUCUCGUUACGAUGAUUUUCAACUUCACUCUGAAAUUCUUUGAACUUUUCAAAUGUUUCAGACUUGUGUUUCAUUAAGUAGAUAUACCCAUAUCUGCUUAAAUCAUUUGUGAAGUUGAGAAAAUAACGAUAUCCGCCACGAGCCUCAAUAUUCAUCGGACCACAUACAUCGGUAUGUAUGAUUUCCAACAAAUCUGUUGCUCUCUCCAUAGUACCGGAGAACGGUGUUUUAGUCAUCUUGCCCAUGAGGCACGGUUCGCAAGUACCAAGUGAUUCAUAAUCAAGUAGUUCCAAAAGUCCAUCAGUAUGGAGUUUCUUCAUGCGCUUUACACCGAUAUGACCUAAACGGCAGUGCCACAAAUAAGUUGCACUAUCAUUAUCAACUCUGCAUCUUUUGGUUUCAACAUUAUGAAUAUGUGUAUCACUACUAUCGAGAUUCAUCAGAAAUAGACCACUCUUCAAGGGUUCAUGACCAUAAAAGAUAUUACUCAUAUAAAUAGAACAACCAUUAUUCUCUGAUUUAAAUGAAUAACCGUCUCGCAUCAAACAAGAUCCAGAUAUAAUGUUCAUGCUUAACGCUGGCACCAAAUGACAAUUAUUUAGGUCUAAUACUAAUCCCGAAGGUAGAUGUAGAGGUAGCGUGCCGACCGCGAUCACAUCGACUUUGGAACCGUUUCCCACGCGCAUCGUCACCUCGUCCUUUGCCAGUGUUCGCCUAAUCCGUAGUCCCUGUUUCGAGUUGCAAAUAUUAGCAAUAUAACCAGUAUCAAAUACCCAGGUGCUACUGCGAGCUCUAGUAAGGUACACAUCAAUAACAUGUAUAUCACUUAUACCUUUAUUCACCUUGCCAUCCUUCUUAUCCGCCAAAUACUUGGGGCAGUUCCGCUUCCAGUGACCAGUCUGCUUGUAGUAGAAGCACUCAGUUUCAGGCUUAGGUCCAGACUUGGGUUUCUUCUCCUGAGCAGCAACUUGCUUGCCGUUCUUCUUGAAGUUCCCCUUCUUCUUCCCUUUGCCCCUUUUCUUGAAACUAGUGGUCUUGUUGACCAUCAACACUUCAUGCUCCUUCUUGAUUUCUACCUCCGCAGCUUUCAGCAUUGCGAAGAGCUCGAGAAUAGUCUUAUUCAUCCAUUGCAUAUUAUAGUUCAUCACAAAGCUCUUGUAGCUUGGUGGCAGUGAUUGGAGAAUUCUGUCAAUGACGCAAUCAUCUGGAAAAUUAACUCCCAUCUAAAUCAAGUGAUUAUUAUACCCAGACAUUUUGAGUAUAUGCUCACUGACAGAACUAUUCUCCUCCAUCUUGCAGCUAUAGAACUUAUUGGAGACUUCAUAUCUCUCAAUCCGGGCAUUUGCUUGAAAUAUUAGCUUCAACUCCUGGAACAUCUCAUAUGCUCCAUGACGUUCAAAACGUCGUUGAAGUCCCAAUUCUAAGCCGUAAAGCAUGGCACACUGAACUAUCGAGUGGUCAUCAGCUUUGCUCCGCCAGACGUUCAUAACAUCUGGUGUUGCUCCAGCAGCAGGCCUGGCACCCAGCGGUGCUUCCAGGACGUAAUUCUUCUGUGCAGCAAUGAGGAUAAUCCUCAAGUUACGGACCCAGUCCGUGUAAUUGCUACCAUCAUCUUUCAACUUUGCUUUUGUUGGGGAACGUAGUAAUUUCAAAAAUUUCCUACGCACACGCAAGAUCAUGGUGAUGCAUAGCAACGAGGGGGAGAGUCUGAUCUACGUACCCUUGUAGAUCGCAACGGAAGCGUUGACACAACGUAGAGGAAGUAGUCGUACGUCUUCUUCCCGAUCCGACCGAUCCAAGCACUGUUACUCCGGCACCUCCGAGUUCUUAGCACACGUUCAGCUCGAUGACGAUCCUCGGGCUCCGAUCCAGCAAAGCGUCGAGGAAGAGUUCCGUCAGCACGACGGCGUGGUGACGAUCUUGACGUACUACCGACGUAGGGCUUCGCCUAAGCACUACAACGGUAUGAUCGAGGUGGAAUUUGGUGGCAGGGGGCACCGCACACGGCUAAGGAACGAUUUCAAGGAUCAACUUGUGUGUCUAUGGGGAGCCCCCCGCCCCUGUAUAUAAAGGAUGGAGGAGGAGGAGGCCGGCCAAGGCAAAGGUGCGGCCAGGAUAGGGAGUCCUACUAGGACUCCAAGUCCUAGUAGGAGUCCACCAAAAGGGGAGGAAGGGAGAAGGAAUAGGAGGAGAAGGAGAGGUGGCCGGCCCCCUUUUCCCUAGUCCAAUUCGGACCAAAGGGGAGGGGGGGCGCAGCAGCCUUUUCCUCUUCCCACUAAAGCCCAUCAAGGCCCAUUACUUCUCCCGUAACUACCCGGUACUCCGAAAAAUACCCGAAUCACUCGGAACCUUUCCGAUGUCCGAAUAUAGUCGUCCAAUAUAUCGAUCUUUACGUCUCGACCAUUUCGAGACUCCUCGUCAUGUCCCCGAUUUCAUCCGGGACUCCGAACUCCUUCGGUACAUCAAUACUCAUAAACUCAUAAUAUAACUGUCAUCGAAACCUAAAGCGUGCGGACCCUAUGGUUCGAGAACAAUGUAGACAUGACCGAGACACGUCUUCGGUCAAUAACCAAUAGCGGGACCUGGAUGCCCAUAUUGGCUCCUACAUAUUCUACGAAGAUCUUUAUCGGUCAGACCGCAUAACAACAUACGUUGUUCCCUUUGUCAUCGGUAUGUUACUUGCCCGAGAUUCGAUCGUCGGUAUCCAAUACCUAGUUCAAUCUCGUUACCGGCAAGUCUCUUUACUCAUUCUAUAAUACAUCAUCCCACAACUAACUCAUUAGUUGCAAUGCUUGCAAGGCUUAAGUGAUGUGCAUUACCGAGAGGGCCCAGAGAUACCUCUCCGAUAAUCGGAGUGACAAAUCCUAAUCUCGAAAUACGCCAACCCAACAUCUUCCUUUGGAGACACCUGUAAUGCUCCUUUAUAAUCACCCAGUUACGUUGUGACGUUUUGUAGCACCCAAAGUGAUCCUCCGGCAAACGGGAGUUGCAUAAUCUCAUAGUCAUAGGAACAUGUAUAAGUCAUGAAGAAAGCAAUAGCAACAUACUAAACGAUCGGGUGCUAAGCUAAUGGAAUGGGUCAUGUCAAUCAGAUCAUUCAACUAAUGAUGUGACCUCGUUAAUCAAAUAACAACUCUUUUGUCCAUGGUUAGGAAACAUAACCAUCUUUGAUUAACGAGCUAGUCAAGUAGAGGCAUACUAGUGACACUCUGUUUGUCUAUGUAUUCACACAUGUAUUAUGUUUCCGGUUAAUACAAUUCUAGCAUGAAUAAUAAACAUUUAUCAUGAUAUAAGGAAAUAAAUAAUAACUUCAUUAUUGCCUCUAGGGCAUAUUUCCUUCAGUCUCCCACUUGCACUAGAGUCAAUAAUCUAGUUCACAUCGCCAUGUGAUUUAACAGCAAUAGUUCACAUCACCAUGUGAUUAACACCCAUAGUUCACAUCGUCAUGUGACCAACACUCAAAGGGUUUACUAGAGUCAGUAAUCUAGUUCACAUAUCUAUGUGAUUAACACCCAAAGAGUACUAAGGUGUGAUCAUGUUUUGCUUGUGAGAUAAUUUUAGUCAACGGGUCUGUCACAUUCAGAUCUGUAAGUAUUUUGCAAGUUCUAUGUCUACAAUGCUCUACACGGAGCUACUCUAGCUAAUUGCUCCCACUUUCAAUAUGUAUCCAGAUUGAGACUUUAGAUUCAUCUGGAUCAGUGUCAAAAACUUGCAUCGACGUAACCCUUUACGACGAACCUUUUUGUCACGUCCAUAAUCGAGAAACAUAUCCUUAUUUCACUAAGGAUAAUUCUGACCGCUGUCCAGUGAUCUACUCCUAGAUCACUAUUAUACUCCCUUGCCAAAUCAAUGCAGGGUAUACAAUAGAUCUGGUAUACAGCAUGACAUACUUUAUAGAACCUAUGGCCAAGGCAUAGGGAAUGACUUUCAUUCUCUUUCUAUCUUCUGCCGUGGUCGGGCUUUGAGUCUUACUCAACUUCACACCUUGUAAUACAGGCAAGAACUCUUUCUUUGACUGCUCCAUUUUGAGCUACUUCAAAAUCUUGUCAAGGUAUGUACUUAUUGAAAAAACUUAUCAAGCGUCUUGAUCUAUCUCUAUAGAUCUUGAAGCUCAAUAUGUAAGCAGCUUCACCGAAGUCUUUCUUUGAAAAACUCCUUUCAAACACUCCUUUAUGCUUUACAGAAUAAUUCUACAUUAUUUCCGAUCAACAAUAUGUCAAUCACAUAUACUUAUCAGAAAUGCUGUAGUGUCCCACUCACUUUCUUGUAAAUACAGGCUUCACCGCAAGUCUGUAUAAAACUAUAUGCUUUGAUCAACUCAUCAAAGCGUAUAUUCCAACUCCGAGAUGCUUGCACCAGUCCACAGAUGGAUCGCUGGAGCUUGCACAUUUUGUUAGCACCUUUCGGAUUGACAAAACCUUCUGUUGCAUCAUAUACAACUCUUCUUUAAUAAAUCCAUUAAGGAAUGCAGUUUUGUUUAUCCAUUUGCCAGAUUUCAUAAAAUGCGGCAAUUACUAACAUGAUUCGGACAGACUCAAGCAUAGAUACGAGUGAGAAGCUCUCAUCGUAGUCAACACCUUGAACUUGUCGAAAACCUUUUUGCGACAAUUCUAGCUUUGUAGAUAGUAACACUACUAUCAGCGUCCGUCUUCCUCUUGAAGAUCCAUUUAUUCUCAAUUGCUUGCCGAUCAUUGGGCAAGUCAACCAAAGUCCAAACUUUGUUCUCAUACAUGGAUCAUAUCUCAGAUUUCAUGGCCUCAAACCAUUUCGCGGAAUCUGGGCUCAUCAUUGCUUCCUCAUAGUUCGUAGGUUCAUCAUGAUCUAGUAGCAUGACUUCCAGGAUUGGAUUACCGUACCACACUGGUGCGGAUCUCACUCUGGUUGAUCUACGUGGUUCAGUAGUAUCUUGUCCUGAAGUUUCAUGAUCAUCAUCAUUAGCUUCCUCACUAAUUGGUAUAGGUGUCGCAGAAACAGUUUUCUGUGAUGUACUAUUUUCCAAUAAGGGAGCAGGUACAGUUACCUCGUCAAGUUCUACUUUCCUCCCACUCACUUCUUUUGAGAGAAACUCCUUCUCUAGAAAGGAUCCAUUAUAAGCAACGAAUGUCUUGCCUUAGGAUCUGUGAUAGAAGGUGUACCCAACAGUCUCCUUUGGGUAUCCUAUGAAGACAUAUUUCUCCGAUUUGGGUUUGAGCUUAUCAGGAUGAAACUUUUUCUCAUAAGCAUCGCAACCCCAAACUUCAAGAAACGACAACUUUGGUUUCUUGCCUAACCAUAGUUCAUACGGUGUCGUCUCAACGGAUUUAGAUGGUGCCCUAUUUAACGUGAAUGCAGCUUUCUCUAAUGCAUGAUCCCAAAACGAUAUUGGUAAAUCGGUAAGAAACAUCAUAGAUUGUACUAUAUCCAAUAAAGUACGGUUAUGACGUUCGGACACACCAUUAUGCUGUGGUGUUCCAGGUGGCGUGAGUAGUGAAACUAUUUCACAUUGUUUUAACUGAAGACCAAACUCGUAACUCAAAUACUCUUUUCCACGAUCAGAUCGUAGAAACUUUAUUUUCUUGUUACGAUGAUUUUCCACUUCACUCUGAAAUUAUAUGAACUUUUCAAAUGUAUCAGACUUCUAUUUCAUUAAGUAGAUAUACCCAUAUCUGCUCAAAUCAUCUGUGAAGGUUUAGAAAAUAAUGAUACCCGCUGCAAGCCUUAAAUAUUCAUCGGACCACAUACAUUUGUAUGUAUGAUUUCCAACAAAUCUGUUGCUUGCUCCAUUGUUCCGGAGAACGGCGUUUUAGUCAUCUUGCCCAAAAGGCAUGGUUCGCAAGCAUCAAGUGAUUCCGAAAGCCCAUCAGCAUGGAGUUUCUUCAUGUGCUUUAUACCAAUAUGACCUAAACGGCAGUGCCACAAAUAAGUUGCACUAUCAUUAUUAACUUUGCAUCUUUUGGUUUCAAUAUUAUGAAUAUGUGUAUCACUACGAUCGAGAUCCAACGAACUUGUUUCAUUGGGUGUAUGACCAUCGAAGGUUUUAUUCAUGUAAACAGAACAACAAUUAUUCUCUGACUUUAAUGAAUAACCGUAUUGCAAUAAACAUGAUCAAAUCAUAUUCAUGCUCAACCAAAUAACACUUAUUUAAGUUCAACACUAAUCCCGAAAGUAUAGGGGAGUGUGUGAUGAUGAUCAUAUCAAUCUUGGAACUACUUCCAACACACAUCGUCACUUCACCCUUAACUAGUCUUUGUUUAUUCUGCAACUCCUGUUUCGAGUUACUACUCUUAGCAACUGAACCAAUAUCAAAUACUGAGGGGUUGCUAUAAACACUAGUAAAGCACACAUCAAUAACAUGUAUAUCAAAUAUACUUUUGUUCACUUUGCCAUCCUUCUUAUCCGCCAAAUACUUGGGGCAGUUCCGCUUCCAGUGACCAGUCCCUUUGCAGUAGAAGCACUUAGUCUCAGGCUUAGGACCAAACUUCGGCUUCUUCACUUGAGCAGCAACUUGCUUGCCGUUCUUCUUGAAGUUCCCCUUCUUCCCUUUGCCCUUUUCUUGAAACUAGUGAUCCUGUCAACCAUCAACACUUGAUGUUUUUCUUGAUUUCGACCUUCGUUGAUUUCAGCAUCACGAAGAGCUUGGGAGUUGUUUCCGUUAUCCCUUGCAUAUUAUAGUUCAUCACGAAGUUCUACUAACUUGGUGAUGGUGACUAGAGAAUUUUGUCAAUCACUAUCUUAUCUGGAAGAUUAACUCCCACUUGAUUCAAGCGAUUGUAGUACUCAGAUAAUCUGGGCACAUGCUCACUAGUUGAGCGAUUCUCCCCCAUCUUUCAGCUAUAGAACUUGUUGGAGACUUCAUAUCUCUCAACUCGGGUAUUUACUUGAAAUAUUAACUUCAGCUUCUGGAACAUCUCAUAUGGUCCAUGACGCUCAGAACGUCUUUGAAGUCCCGAUUCUAAGCCAUUAAGCAUGGUGCACUAAACUAUCAAGUAGUCAUCAUAUUGGGCUAGCCAAACGUUCAUAACGUCGGCAUCUGCUCCUGCAAUAGGUCUGUCACCUAGCGGUGCAUCAAGGACAUAAUUCCUCUAUGCAGCAAUGAGGAUAAAACUCAGAUCACGGAUCCAAUCCGCAUCAUUGCUACUAACAUCUUUCAACACAAUUUUCUCUAGGGACAUGUCAAAAUAAACACAGGGAAGCAACAACGCGAGCUAUUGAUCUACAACAUAAUUUGCAAAAUACUACCAGGACUAAGUUCAUGAUAAAUUUAAGUUCAAUUAAUCAUAUUACUUAAGAACUCCCACUUAGAUAGAUAUCCCUCUAAUCCUCUAAGUGAUCACGUGAUCCAAAUCAACUAAACCAUAACCGAUCAUCACGUGAGAUGGAGUAGUUUUCAAUGGUGAACAUCGUCAUGUUGAUCAUAUCUACUAUAUGAUUCACGCUCGACCUUUCGGUCUCUGUGUUCCGAGGCCAUAUCUGCAUAUGCUAGGCUCGUCAAGUUUAACCUGAGUAUUCUGCGUGUGCAAAACUGGCUUGCACCCGUUGUAGAUGGACGUAGAGCUUAUCACACCCGAUCAUCACGUGGUGUCUGGGCACGACGAACUUUGGCAACGGUGCAUACUCAGGGAGAACACUUCUUGAUAAUUCAGUGAGAGAUCAUCUUAUAAUGCUACCGUCAAUCAAAGCAAGAUAAGAUGCAUAAAAAGAUAAACAUCAUAUGUAAUCAAAAUAUGUGACAUGAUAUGGCCAUCAUCAUCUUGCUUCUUUGAUCUCCAUCUCCAAAGUACUGUCAUGAUCUAUAUCGUCACCGGCAUGACACCAUGAUCUCCAUCAUCUUGAUCUAUAUCAAUGUGUCGUCGUGUGGUCGUCUCACCAACAAUUGCUCUUGCAACUAUUGCUAUCGCAUAGCGAUAAAGUAAAGCAAUUACUGGACGCUUGCAUCUCAUGAAAUAGAGAGACAACCAUAAGGAUUUUGUCAGUUGCUGAUAACUUCAACAAAACAUGAUCAUCUUAUACAACAACUUAUAACUCAUCACGUUUUGACCAUAUCACAUCACAACAUGCCCUGCAAAAACAAGUUAGACGUCCUCUACUUUGUUGUUGCAAAUUUUACGUGGCUGCUACGGGCUUAGCAAGAACCAAUCUUACCUACGCAUCAAAACCACAACGAUAGUUUGUCAAAUAGACUCCGUUUUAACCUUCGCAAGGACCGGGCGUAGCCACACUCGGUUCAACUAAAGUUGGAGAAACAGUCACCCGCAAGUCACCUAUGUGCAAAGCACGUCGGGGAAACCGGUCUCGCGUAAGCGUACGCGUAAUGUCGGUCCGGGCCGCUUCAUCCAACAAUACCGCGGAACCAAAGUAUGACAUGCUGGUAGGCAGUAUGACUUAUAUCGCCCACAACUCACUUGUGUUCUACUCGUGCAUAUAACAUCAAACCAUAAAACCUAGGCUCGGAUGCCACUGUUGGGGAACGUAGUAAUUUCAAAAAUUUCCUACGCACACGCAAGAUCAUGGUGAUGCAUAGCAACGAGGGGGAGAGUCUGAUCUACGUACCCUUGUAGAUCGCAACGGAAGCGUUGACACAACGUAGAGGAAGUAGUCGUACGUCUUCUUCCUGAUCCGACCGAUCCAAGCACCGUUACUCCGGCACCUCCGAGUUCUUAGCACACGUUCAGCUCGAUGACGAUCCUCGGGCUCCGAUCCAGCAAAGCGUCGAGGAAGAGUUCCGUCAGCAUGACGGCGUGGUGACGAUCUUGAUGUACUACCGAUGUAGGGCUUCGCCUAAGCACUACAACGGUAUGAUCGAGGUGGAAUUUGGUGGCAGGGGGCACCGCACACGGCUAAGGAACGAUCUCAAGGAUCAACUUGUGUGUCUAUGGGGUGCCCCCUGCCCCUGUAUAUAAAGGAUGGAGGAGGAGGAGGCCGGCCAAGGCAAAGGUGCGGCCAGGAUAGGGAGUCCUACUAGGACUCCAAGUCCUAGUAGGAGUCCACCAAAAGGGGAGGAAGGGAGAAGGAAUAGGAGGAGAAGGAGAGGUGGCCGGCCCCCUUUUCCCUAGUCCAAUUCGGACCAAAGGGGAGGGGGGCGCAGCAGCCUUUUCCUCUUCCCACUAAAGCCCAUCAAGGCCCAUUACUUCUCCCGUAACUACCCGGUACUCCGAAAAAUACCCGAAUCACUCCGAACCUUUCCGAUGUCCAAAUAUAGUCGUUCAAUAUAUCGAUCUUUACGUCUCGACCAUUUCAAGACUCCUCGUCAUGUCCCCGAUCUCAUCCGGGACUCCGAACUCCUUCGGUACAUCAAUACUCAUAAACUCAUAAUUUAACUGUCAUGGAAACCUUAAGCGUGCGGACCCUACGGUUCGAGAACAAUGUAGACAUGACCGAGACACGUCUCCGGUCAAUAACCAAUAGCGGGACCUGGAUGCCCAUAUUGGCUCCUACAUAUUCUACGAAGAUCUUUAUCGGUCAGACCGCAUAACAACAUACGUUGUUCCCUUUGUCAUCGGUAUGUUACUUGCCCGAGAUUCGAUCGUUGGUAUCCAAUACCUAGUUCAAUCUCGUUACCGGCAAGUCUCUUUACUCGUUCUAUAAUACAUCAUCCCACAACUAACUCAUUAGUUGCAAUGCUUGCAAGGCUUAAGUGAUGUGCAUUACCGAGAGGGCCCAGAGAUACCUCUCCGACAAUCGGAGUGACAAAUCCUAAUCUCGAAAUACGCCAACCCAACAUCUUCCUUUGGAGACACCUGUAAUGCUCCUUUAUAAUCACCCAGUUACGUUGUGACGUUUGGUAGCACCCAAAGUGUUCCUCCGGCAAACGGGAGUUGCAUAAUCUCAUAGUCAUAGGAACAUGUAUAAGUCAUGAAGAAAGCAAUAGCAACAUACUAAACGAUCGGGUGCUAAGCUAAUGGAAUGGGUCAUGUCAAUCAGAUCAUUCAACUAAUGAUGUGACCUCGUUAAUCAAAUAACAACUCUUUUGUCCAUGGUUAGGAAACAUAACCAUCUUUGAUUAAUGAGCUAGUCAAGUAGAGGCAUACUAGUGACACUUUGUUUGUCUAUGUAUUCACACAUGUAUUAUGUUUCCCGUUAAUACAAUUCUAGCAUGAAUAAUAAACAUUUAUCUUGUGCUUGUGAUCUCCAUCUCCGAAGCACCUUCAUGAUCACCAUCGUCACCGGCGCGACACCUUGAUCUCCAUCGUAGCAUCGUUGUCGUCUCGCCAAUCUUAUGCUUCCACGACUAUCGCUACCGCUUAGUGAUAAAGUAAAGCAUUACAACGCGAUUGCAUUGCAUACAAUAAAGCGACAACCAUAUGGCUCCUGCCAGUUGCCGAUAACUUGGUUACAAAACAUGAUCAUCUCAUACAAUAAAAUUUAGCAUCAUGUCUUGACCAUAUCACAUCACAACAUGCCCUGCAAAAACAAGUUAGACGUCCUCUACUUUGUUGUUGCAUGUUUUACGUGGCUGCUACAGGCUUAAGCAAGAACCAAUCUUACCUAUGCAUCAAAACCACAACGAUAGUUUGUCAAGUUGAUGCCGUUUUAACCUUCGCAAGGACCGGGCGUAGCCACACUCGGUUCAACUAAAGUUGGAGAAACAGUCACCCGCAAGCCACCUUUGUGCAAAGCACGUCGGGAGAACCGGUCUCGCGUAAGCGUACGCGUAAUGUCGGUCUGGGCCGCUUCAUCCAACAAUACCGCCGAACCAAAGUAUGACAUGCUGGUAGGCAGUAUGACUUAUAUCGCCCACAACUCACUUGUGUUCUACUCAUGCAUAUAACAUCAAACCAUAAAACCUAGGCUCUGAUACCACUGUUGGGGAACGUAGCAAUUUCAAAAAAUUUCUACGCACACGCAAGAUCAUGGUGAUGCAUAGCAACAAGAGGGGAGAGUGUUGUCUAGAAGCGUUGACACAACGUAGAGGAAGUAGUCGUACGUCUUCCCGAUCCGACCGAUCCAAGCACCGUUACUCCGGCACCUCCGAGUUCUUAGCACACGUACAACUCGAUGACGCUCCCCGGGCUCCGAUCUAGCAAAGCUUCGGGGAUGAGUUCCGUCAGCACAACGGCGUGGUGACGAUGAUGAUGUUCUACCGACGCAGGGCUUCGCCUAAGCACUACAACGAUAUGACCGAGGUGGAAUAUGGUGGAAGGGGGCACCGCACACGGCUAAGGAACGAUCACGUUGAUCAAUUGUGUGUUCUAGGGUGCCCCCUUGCCUCCGUAUAUAAAGGAUCCAAGGGAGAGGGGUUCGGCCGGCCCUAUGGAGGCGCAGGAGGAGUCCUACUCCUAUCGGGAGUAGGACUCCCCCCCUUUUCCUUGUCCAAGUAGGAUUGGUGGAGAAGAAUGGGAAAGAGGGGGGCGCCGCCCCUCCCUCCUUGUCCAAUUCGGACUAGGGGGAGAGGGGGCGUGCGGCCUGCCCUGGCAGCCCCUUCCUCUUCUCCACUUUAGGCCCAUGAGGCCCAUUAACCCCCCGGGGGGUUCCGGUAACCCCCCGGUGCUCCGAUUUUAUCCGAAACUUCAUCGGAACCCUUCCGGUGUCCGAAUAUAGUCAUCCAAUAUAUCAAUCUUUAUGUCUUGACAAUUUUGAGACUCCUCGUCAUGUCCGUGAUCACAUCCGGGACUCCGAACUAACUUCGGUACAUCAAAAUGUAUAAACUUAUAAUAACUGCCAUCGUAACGUUAAGCGUGCGGACCCUACGGUUCGAGAACAAUGUAGACAUGGCCGAGACACGUCUCCGGUCAAUAACCAAUAGCGGGACCUGGAUGCCCAUAUUGGCUCCUACAUAUUCUACGAAGAUCUUUAUCGGUCAGACCGCAUAACAACAUACGUUGUUCCCUUUGUCAUCGGUAUGUUACUUGCCCGAGAUUCGAUCGUCCGUAUCCAAUACCUAGUUCAAUCUCGUUACCAGCAAGUCUCUUUACUCGUUCCGUAAUACAUCAUCUCGCAACUAACUCAUUAGUUGUAAUGCUUGCAAGGCUUAUGUGAUGUGCAUUACCGAGAGGGCCCAGAGAUACCUCUCCGACAAUCGGAGUGACAAAUCCUAAUCUCGAAAUACGCCAACCCAACAUCUACCUUUGGAUACAUCUUUAGAGCACCUUUAUAAUCACCCAGUUAUGUUGUGACGUUUGGUAGCACACAAAGUGUUCCUCCGGCAAACGGGAGUUGCAUAAUCUCAUAGUCAUAGGAACAUGUAUAAGUCAUGAAGAAAGCAAUAGCAACAUACUAAACGAUCGGGUGCUAAGCUAAUGGAAUGGGUCAUGUCAAUCAGAUCAUUCAACUAAUGAUGUGAUCUCGUUAAUCAAAUAACAACUCUUUGUUCAUGGUUAGGAAACAUAACCAUCUUUGAUUAACGAGCUAGUCAAGUAGAGGCAUACUAGUGACACUUUGUUUGUCUAUGCAUUCACACAUGUAUUAUGUUUCCGGUUAAUACUAUUAUAGCAUGAAUAAUAAACAUUUAUCAUGACAUAAGGAAAUAAAUAAUAACUUUGUUAUUGCCUCUAGGGCAUAUUUCCUUCACUUAGGGCCUUGGAUGAGAACUGGCAUCAUAAUGAACUUCCGCUUCAUGCACAUCCAAGGAGGAAGGUUAUACAUACAUAGAGUCACGGGCCAGGUGCUGUGAUUGCUGCUCUGCUCCCCUAUAGGAUUAAUGCCAUCCAUGCUUAAAGCAAACCAUACAUUCCAUGGGUCGUUUGCAAACUCAUCCCAGUACUUUCUCUCGAUUUUUCUCCACUGCGACCCGUCAGCGGGUGCUCUCAAUUUUCCGUCUUUCUUCCGGUCCUCACUGUGCCAUCGCAUCAACUUGGCAUGCUCUUCGUUUUUGAAUAGACGUUUCAACCGUGGUAUUAUAGGAGCAUACCACAUCACCUUCGCAGGAACCCUCUUCUUGGGGGGCUCACCGUCAACGUCACCAGGGUCAUCUCGUCUGAUCUUAUACCGCAAUGCACCGCAUACCGGGCAUGCAUUCAGAUCCUUGUAUGCACCGCGGUAGAGGAUGCAGUCAUUAGGGCAUGCAUGUAUCUUCUCCACCUCCAAUCCUAGAGGGCAUACGACUUUCUUUGCUGCGUAUGUACUGUCGGGCAAUUCGUUAUCCUUUGGAAGAUUCUUCUUCAAUAUUUUCAGUAGCUUCUCAAAUCCUUUGUCAGCCACAGCAUUCUCUGCCUUCCACUGCAGCAAUUCCAGUACGGUACCGAGCUUUGUGUUGCCAUCUUCGCAAUUGGGCUACAACCCUUUUUUGUGAUCCUCUAACAUGCGAUCGAACUUCAGCUUCUCCUUUUGACUUUCGCAUUGCGUCCUUGCAUCGACAAUGACCCGGCGGAGAUCAUCAUCAUCGGGCAGAUCGUCUGGUUCCUCUUGAUCUUCAGCAGCUUCACCCGUUGCAGCAUCAUUGGGCACAUCGUCUGUUUCCUCUUGAUCUUCACCAGCUCCCUCCAUUGCAGCAUAACCGUAUUCAGGGGGCACAUAGUUGUCAUCGUACUCUUCUUCUUUGCCAUCUUCCAUCAUAACACCUAUUUCUCCGUGCCUCGUCCAAACAUUAUAGUGUGGCAUGAAACCCUUGUAAAGAAGGAGGGGGUGAAGGAUUUUCCGGUUAGAGUAAUACCUCGUAUUCCCACAUUCAGUGCAUGGACAACACAUAAAACCAUUCUGCUUCUUUGCCUCAGCCGCACCGAGAAACUCAUGCACGCCCUUAAUGUACCCGGAGGUGUGUCUGUCACCGUACAUCCAUUGCCAGUUCAUCUACGUGCAUUAUAUAUAAUUAAGUGUCCAAAUUAAUAGAAGUUCAUCAUCACAUUAAAACCAAAGUACAUACAUAGUUCUCAUCUAACAACAUAUAGCUCUCCAGAGCAUCUAAUUAAUUAAACCAUACAUUGAAACUAUGUAAAACAUUUCAAUGCGAAAACAAAUGCGAUCAUAAUUGCAACCAAGGUAACAAUUGAUCCAACGGCAUAAUGAUACCAAGCCUCGGUAUGAACGACAUAUUUUCUAAUCUUUCUAAUCUUCAAGCGCAUUGCAUCCAUCUUGAUCCUGUGAUCAUAGACGACAUCCGCAACAUGCAACUCCAAUAUCAUCUUCUCCUCCUCAAUUUUUUUAUUUUUUCCUCCAACAAAUAGUUUUCUUCUUCAACUAAAUUUAGCCUCUCGGCAAUAGGGUCGGUUGGCAUUUCCGAUUCACAUACAUCCUACAUAAAUAAAAUCUAUGUCACGUUGAUCGGCAUAAUUUUCAUAAACAAUAAAUGAACCAAUAGUUAUAAAGAUAAUAUAUAUACCACAUUCGAAUCAUAGACAGGACGAGGGCGACGGGGGCGGAUACCAAAACCAUCGCACUAUAUAAGAUGCAAUAAUAAAAGUAAGAAAAUAAUACAAGUAUCUAUGUAAACAUACAAGUAAGAAUAUUUUUCCUUUCAGAAAGAAGAUAAGAACAAGAGGCUCACCAUGGUGGUGCCGGCAAGGCCCACCUUGGUCCAUGCGGGGAUGCACAAAAUAAGCUAUGUGCGGCCCAUGCGGGGAAUUUUGGUUACGCAUGGCCCAUACAUAUGGUGAUCCAGCCGUACGUGACCAAAUAGGAUGGACGGACAAACGAAAACGGACAAAAAUUAGGGACCAACCAAUUAGUACCACCUCGCGUAUAUGUUUUAUAUUUAAACUGAAAGCGUAAAUUUUCAUGAAAAGAAAUGUACUGUGACGGUGAACCCGACAAAGUCAAUCCGUGCUUUAUUAUUAGGGAAAGAUAUACUAAUUGGAGGCACCUUUGGAGCGUCUACGUUAAUCCACGUCAUUAAGAUUAAUAUAGCCGUUUGAUAUUAAAUUUAAUGGUUAAGAUAUGCUAGAAGACUAUGCCUUAUUAUAGAAGAAAACAACAUGUACGUAGGGAUGAAAUCCACGCAUACAAAAAAAAACUCAUGUAAAGAAAAAUCAAUUCUCACCACAUAGAUGAAACUCAUUAAACUUGCACAUGCAAAAAAAGUCCUAAGCUCCCACGUCCAUGAAAGAUUAGACAUGCACAUAAAAAAAGAGUCCUAAAUGCCCACGCCCAGGUUCCAAGAAAAAGUACGUGCCUACUCCUUGCAAAAAGAGGACGCGUGGCAAAACUAAAAAAUAUGAAUAUAAUCAUCUCAAUCUCUUUCUAAUAAUAAAAUAUGAAUUGAUUUUGUCAGGUUCGUCGUCACAAUACACUUUUUCCUGUAAAUUUACGCUUUCACUUUGAAUUUAAAACAUAUAGGUGAGGUGGUACUAAAAAACUGUUCAUUGGUCGCGUACGUCAAUUAGUAUAAGUCGCUUUUUUUAGUCCCUCCGGCUCGCUAGACUGGGCCGUGUUGAUCAUUCCCGUGAUGACUGAACUGGGCCUGGUCAAAAAGAAAAAAAACGAUGCAAAAAAUAAUUCCCCAUGAGCUUCGAACCAAGACGAAGGCCCUCAGUCACAAAGGAGAACGCCAACUAGAUUGCUCUAUUUUGUUCUGCCAAAUUGUGUCCCUGUAGAUAUAAUAGUCCCACAUCGCUUCUUUGCACUGUAUCUUAUCGAUUUUUAUACAUCGGCGGACUUGUCCUAGCAGAAGUUAAUUGGAAGAGGAAGCAAGGAAUAAAGAACGAACGCAGGAGGAAUUUGGCCAGAAGAAACAAGGUCGGGGAGCGUGAGGUUUAUGGUGAAUAUUCAGAGAACGGCAGCUGCAUUGUUCGAAUUUAGUCUAUCUUUGGACAUGUCUUUUCCGGGGAUUCGACACCAUGUUUUGUGCGCGAAUGGUUUUAUUAGGGUUUUUGACUGUUCCAAGUUAGAAGAGGCCAGAGUUUUCUCUGGUUCUUCAGUGGCCUGAAGCAACCAUGCUUACGCUUUUUUUUUUCAACCAUUCAUUGCCCAUUUUCAUUAAUUUCUUAAAGAAAAUACAUCAACCGUCCUUGCAGAAAGAACGAGGCAGCUUCACAGCUGGAAAUCAAGAGUGCGGUGUCCAGUUUUACGGGGAAAAGAAUUCUAUGAGACCAGGUCUCACGCGAGACCCAUCCUAAUGAAUGCCACGUGCUAUCCAUCAGAACGGGUCUCACCUGCUAACCGUGAGACUUGGUCUCAUAUAUUUUUUUUCCGUUUUACGGGGAAGCAUCAUCAGAAAUCUAGCAAAUCAUUCGCAUUAUUCUCUCACAUACAGUACAGAUCCUUCGGAUCGCCACAUCACAGCUGGACUUCAUUGCUUUGGGUGUCUAAUUAAGGGCUUGUUCGGUUAAUCCUCUCGCGAAGAGGAUUGGAGGGGAUUGGCAAGGAUUGGUUCGUAUUUUGACUUCUAAGAGGUUUAAGUCCUCCUCAAACCCCUUCAAUCCAUUCGGAUUCACACGCAACCAAACAAGGCCUAAACGGGAUCCGCAUCUGAACUAUUAAGCAGCAAAUGAUAGUGUGCGUGAAACAGGUAGGCAAUGUCAAUGAGGACAAACUGUGAUGAUAUCGUUUGAAAACUCAGCUGUCGUCCGUAGUGUUUGGCAUGUGACAGAUAGAUCCUGUUGAUUGUCUAACGAAAGCCAACGGUGAUGUCAAACUAGACUAUUUUAACAUAGUCGGUAAGACAAAAAUGGGAAACAUAUGUAUAUAUGACUACCGAGAACACGACAUCCAUUGUAUCUCGAUUAAGCAUCUUCAAAUAUUAUUCCUGUCGUGAUAUUGACAACAUUAUUAGUUUGUACUUGAAUGAAUAGUCAAGGAACUUUUGAGUGUUCCAAGUUAAACAUCCAAAUUUGUGUCGCAUUUCAGUAUGGGAGGCGCGUAUGACUCUCAAGUUUUUCCGAAUUUGAGUAAUACGGGUCAACUAUUUGCAAAAAUAAAAUAAAAACAUGUUAUCUAGCAUAUGUUUUUACCGUGUUAACACAUUCACAAUUAUUCCAUUUUGAAAAAAGGUACCUAGGUGGUAAAUGAACUACAAACCUUGCUCGACAUAUAUCGAGAAAUAUGUAUUGACAUACACAACAGAGAAAAUAAAUCAAAAUACAUUGCGCAGAACAUUGACAAUAAAUUAGUUGGUGAAAUUAGACAAUUUAGUUGGUGAACUUAGAAAAUUGUUACAUAAGGCUCCAACUUAAUUUCUCAGCAGUUGGAUCAGUUUUUUUUUUUGAGGACCAUGGAAAUACUGAAACCAUGGUUGAUACAAACUCCCCUCUCACACCUAAACUUUGAGCUAGAUAUUUCCUUUUAGUGAGUUUAGCUACUAAUUUUAAAGGGGUUCGCUAAAUCUCAGUCAAUUGAGAUUUAAUGUAGUCUCAAUCACCUUUCCAAGCCGUUGAAUACAUGCACACUAAGAUUAUGUGCUAGGAAACUUUUCUUUGUUAUUGUGAGGUGGAACGGAAAGAGAUGUGUGUGUGCCUUUCUGGACUAUUCGAAGUGUGCGUGUUUUUCCGAGGAAAGAGCCUACAAUCUACACGAGAAGCUUGUGUUUGGGCCAAGUCCAAACAUAAUAUAAUUUGUCAAACCAAACAACCAACAUUUUCUAAAACCGAAAUCAACAUAGCAAAAACAUGUUUGCUUUCGAAUAUUAAUAAAUAACUGUAUAUAAAUAAUCCCACUUCAAUGCACCACUCCUCUCACACCCGGUGAUAGUGUGAUGUUCGUUGAGGCAACAUCGAAGGACAUGAAUGUAGUUUCAUUAAUCUUUUUCCGAAUUGUGUACACCAAAAAUUGUAUCAUCAUUAACGACGGUGGCAAAAAUGAAAAGUGGCAACAUGAACGAGUCACUGAAAACAUGCGAAGACUUUCUCCUUCCGGUGCAAUGCACGACACAUUAAAUGAUGCAUACAAAGGUUAAAGGGAACCUUCUUUUGAGAAACAAAGACAAACACAGACUCACAAACACGUACAUACAUGAACACCUAGAGAGACUGAGCUGACAAGUCUUGAGAUUGAUGAACACACCACAAGUGUCUCGCUUCGACGCGAACGUCACCAUGCACUGAAAAAAUAUUUCACCUUUGUGAAACAUGAAAUUAAGCGUCAAAGUUAGGUUUUAAUUCUUGCUCUAUUGGGUAUCACCGCCCUGCAAACCAUCCAAUCAGAGAUUGGUUCUCAGGGUUAAAGCGAAACUAACCAAUACAUUUAUUUGAUAUGAAAAAAUGAACCCUUCCAAACCAAGCAAACAACUAUCUCUAAGAAAUCCAACAUAGCAACAAUGCUUUGUAUUCAAAUGUUUUGGAAAUUCUAAAAAAAAACUUUUGGAUUAGUUUUUAAACUCUCGGUUAGUAUAGAACAUUCCAAUGUUUGUAUGUUGCACUAAAAAUAAAUGCACCACUCUUUCACCCGGUGGUAGUGCUAAGCUAAAGGAGUGCCAUCAAAGGACACCACUAUGACUAUCUUAACUCUACUCCAUGAUGCGGACACCAAUAAUCAUUUUUAUUUACCAACACGAAGGCGUUUUUUUAAGAUAGUGAGUGUUUCUAAAUGUUCUUGGUUUCAAAAAAUAUAUUCAUGUUUUAAAUAUGUUUAAACUUUUGAAGAAAUGCUGAAAAUUCCUAAAAAAUGGUUCCAAUUAAAAACCAGCUAUAAUUGUUCAAAAAAUCAUUAAAAAAAAUCAUGAAAUCGCUUGUUUAUAUAAUGUUCGACUUCAAAAAAUAUUCCAAUUCUAGUAAGAAAUUAAAAAAUAGUCGAUUUCUUAAAAAAUAAAGAAAUAUUUGUGUUGUCUUUCAAAAAGCAAAAUAUAUACCGAUUCACAUACUAUUCCAUGCACAACUAUUCUUCCAACAGAUGUGGGAAGUUAGGUUGGUUCUUCAUGUACACACUUCAAGCUCCGAACAAAAAUUAGAGUUUAACAUUAUUACUCUGGUUUAUCAGCCUUUGAUACAAGAAAUGGCACAUGAAGCGCACUUUUAUUUGCCCGUUGCAACGCACGGGCAUUUGUACUAGUAAAUAUCAAUUGAAGGAAUAUCAUUCUGCAAAGGCAGAUUCUUGAAUAGGAUUGUUUCACAACUGCAUCCAUCAAUUUUAAAGUUUACUAUCUAAUAUGAUGCUAGAUAGAUAAAGCCUCAAUUAAGUAUAACAUUGUGUUUGUUGGUUAAGUUAGGAGCACUUACUAAUGUACUAAAAGAGAAAUAUAUAUUAUAUAUGGUUUGAGUACCAUUGUAGUAGUGGUGCAUAUACAUACGCGCACCACCUACUAUAUAUCGAAAUAAUUCAUACUCGCUUUCUCCCUUAUAUAUAUAGUAGGUGGUGUCAAAUUCUUGCUAAUUUGACAUGAAGGCUUCAUUCAGACCAGUGAUGAUACUUUGCGCAACAUAAAUGGGAAAGUAGAGGCACUCUUCCAUAUAAUGAAGUUUAUAAUAUAUGUGUUUAUAUUGUACUAUAAUUGUUUGAAUAACUUACCAUAUGUUCAGAUGUAUGAUAUCUGUAAUUUAAGCGCUUGAAUUUUACAUAUAAAUAUAAUUUUAUUAAUAAAUAUGUACCCAUAUAAUAGCUAGGCCGUGUAGUUGCACGGGUAGAUGACUAGUGAUUACAAUCUUGUUUGUGAGCAAGUCAAGAUUAUCUAGUUUACACGUAACAACUUGUAGAACAUUACAAAAAUUAUGCUUGCUAAUAACUUCUAGAACACUACAACACUUGACAUGUAAAAGGAAUUUGAUGAGUCAUGGCCUACUAAAGCAAGUUACAUUACUACUCUUAUCUAUCUUAACAGACCACACAAGAUUACAAACUAAGUACCGUGACAGCCAUGCUUAUCUAAUUUAUGCGUAACAAUUUGCGGAAAAUUACAAAUUUAGUUUUAGAAAAAUAGGCAAUCUAGAUUAGUGUUUGAGCUGUAAUGUGAAUAAGAUGAGUCGUGCGUCUUGUCACACCUUUUUGGUGGUGGAAUGAUAGUGCAACAACAAGGAACUUUAAUGACCAGUCCAAGAAUACACUUGUAAGUAGUGCCACCAAACAGAACAUACCAAAUUAUGAUUUUGAGAAGAAUCCAAGCACUUUCCACACAAGCAAAUGCCAAUUGUGAAAGAGAUCAUUCCAUGGCAGCUAUAAAUAGCCCCAUAGCAUGACGCUCAUCCUUCCUCAUCCAUCAUUCUCAUAAGUAGAGUGCAUCAUUUAAGCCAAGCAAGCUGUGGUCAAUACAAAUCCACCAUGAAGACCUUUCUCAUCCUUUCCCUCCUUGCUAUCGUGGCAACCACCGCCACAACUGCAUUUAGAAUUCUAGUGCCACAAUUGCAGCCACAAAAUCCAUCUUAGCAACAACCACAAGAGCAAGUUCCAUUGGUACAACAACAGCAAUUUCUAGGGCAGCAACAACCAUUUCCACCACAACAACCAUAUCCACAGCCGCAACCAUUUCCAUCACAACAACCAUAUCUGCAGCUGCAACCAUUUCCGCAGCCGCAACCACCAUAUUCGCAGCCGCAACCAUUUCGACCACAAUAACCAUAUCUCCACAACCGCAACCACAGUAUUCGCAACCACAAUAACCAAUUUCGCAGCAGCAACAACAACAACAACAACAACAACAACAACAAAUCCUUCAACAAAUUUUGCAACAACAACUGAUUCCAUGCAUGGAUGUUGUAUUGCAGCAACACAACAUAGCGCAUGGAAGAUCACAAGUUUUGCAACAAAGUAGUUACCAGCUGUUGCAAGAAUUGUGUUUUCAGCACCUAUGACAGAUCCCUGAGCAGUCGCAGUGCCAAGCCAUCCACAAUGUUGUCCAUGCUAUUAUUCUGCAUCAACAACAAAAACAACAACAACAACAACAACAAAAACAACAACCAUCGAGCCAGGUCUCCUUCCAACAGCCCCAGCAACAAUAUCCAUCAGGCCAGGGCUCCUUCCGGCCAUCUCUGCAAAAUCCACAGGCCCAGGGCUCGGUCCAGCCUCAACAGCUGCCCAGUUCGAGGAAAUAAGGAACCUAGCGCUACAGACGCUACCUGCAAUGUGCAAUCUCUACAUCCCUCCAUAUUGCACCAUCGCGCCAUUUGGCAUCUUCGGUACUAACUGAGAAGAAAAUAACUCUAGUACUAGAUAUAUGAAACACCGUUUUCUUAGUCCAUGGUUUGGUCAUUGUAGCGGUGAAAAAAUAAAGUGACAUGCACUACCAUGUAAGAACUCGAACUAUACUAGUUCAAACUUGGGAAUAAAAGACAAACACAGGUCUUGUCUACAUAUUUAUGUUGCAUUUAUCUAAAGAUAACAAAAUGAGUCUAAAAUUUGAAUUAAAUUGAAGUAUUUUCUUGGACUUUCAAAUUGAGUAUUAUUAACGUAGUAAGGACUAUCCUCAUCCUUGGCCUGCCCCUAAUCAAUUAUUUCCAGAGAAGCAUUCAAUUCAUCAAUCAAUUACAUUGAUUUUUGUGGCUGGUACUUCUCCUCAACAUCAGUAUAUUCACCGUGGCUACUCCAAAUCGGCAAGAAUGAGGUACCGGUGCUCUGGAGCAGUGCCAACUAAUUGCUUCUCAUGUGAAGGGGUGCGGGCGCGGGAGAGGUAUUUCUGGUGGGCCAAGGGAGUAAGAAGCCACCGUGGGAGUGGUACAGACGCCCGUAAAGCCCCAUAGUUUCUUUUUGGUUUACAGGAAAAUGCACAUCCAUACCGGCCUGGGGAGUAUAGGACCGUAUUGGAUGGAAAACCAUGUCCGGAUGGUUGCGAGCGGUUUGAGGGUUAGCUUUUGUAACGCCCGGUUAGUUAUGCUAUAGCAAUUCCCUGCUAAUGAUGUCACGUCACCAAGAUUACUGUUGUUAUCCUCACAAUGAUUCAAUGCCAUUCUAAUUCAAAUUUAAAAUAAAGGCAAGCAUCAAAAGUUUUCAAACAUUAAAACUAAAAUCUUUGAGAGGUAACAAAUAAUGCAUAAGUAAUUAUGGUGGAGAAACCACACUUUAAUAAAAUGUUUAAAUACUCUAAAAUGAAAAAAACAGUGGCUUAAACUAUUAUUUAAAUGCUUUUAAAAUAGUAAAAAUGUUCUAACUAAAUUAAUUGGGUACCAACCUUUUGGUGGCAGUGGUAUAUUUAGUAGAACUAAUUUAGAUGCUAGUUAUAUGAUUUAGAAAAUUAGGGUCAAUUGAAAAAUAGGAUAAAACAGAGAAGGAAAGACAAAACAAAUAAAAGCAAAAGGGGGCAACCCCUCACUGGCCUUGGCCUAGCUGGCCACUGGGCUAGCUAGGUCGGCCCCGCCGCCUCCCUUAACCCCCUGUCGGUGUCGAAACCGGUGGAUGGUACCAUGAGUAGAUCUACCACGAGAUCGGAGAGGCUAAACCCUAGAGGCUAGCCUAUGAUAUGAUUGUAUGUGUCCUACGGACUAAAACCCUCCGGUUUAUAUAGACACCGGAGAGGGUUAGGGUUACACAAGGUCGGUUACAAAGGAGGAGAUAUCCAUAUCCGUAUUGCCUAGCUUGCCUGCCACGCCAAGUAGAGUCCCAUCCGGACACGGGACGAAGUCUUCAAUCUUGUAUCUUCAUAGUGCAACAGUCCGAAAAAGGAUAUAGUCCGGCUGUCCGGAGACCCCCUAAUCCAGGACUCCCUCAGUAGCCCCUGAACCAGGCUUCAAUGACGAUGAGUCUGGCGCGCAGUAUUGUCUUCGACAUUGCAAGGCGGGUUCCUCCUCCGAAUGCAUCACAGAAGAAUUUGAAUACGAGGAUAGUGUCCGACCCUGCAACAUAAGUUCCACAUAAUUCCAUACAGAGAAUAAUAUUUUCGCAAAUCUAAUUUGCUUACUUGUUUUGACAGUACGACAUUAUGUCAUGGCCCGGUGAUUAUUCGAACCGUUUCCUUUAACUAGCCCCGCACAUAACGCGAGGCAGUUUUUCGACAUGUCUUGUCAAAGCAGAGAUCGUGUCCCCUUAUUACUGGAUUCUCAUCAAUACGGGCGUGGGUAACCCAACCGCGCCAUCGAUUGCGGCACUUGGGGGAUGAGCUAUUUUUACCUGGCAAGUGGGGACGCUUAGUUUCGUCCGCCCAUAUAAAGGGAUAAGGAUUCACCUUUCUAUCCAUGCCUUCUUCCUCCUUUGCUCAUCCGUUUUUGCACACUCGAGCUCUAGCGCCCAAGUUCGCACUUCCCACCUCAACCUUCUCCAACCAUGUCCCGAGCGGGAGGCAGGUGGAUGGUAUCCUCCGUCACGGAUGGAGACAUCAAGAAGCUGAGGAGCGCCGGAUACCUGCCUGACGACAUCGCGCACCGGCUCCCAGAUGAGGGGCAGCUCACCCCCACCCCCAGGCCCCAUGAGAGGGUAGUGUUCCUCACCCAUUUCCUCCGCGGACUGGGAUUCCCUCUCCACCCAUUUGUCCCGGGGCUCAUGUUCUAUUACGACCUGGAUUUCCAUGAUCUGGCCCCGAACUUCAUCCUCAACAUCUCGGCGUUUAUCGUUGUGUGCGUGGCCUUCCUCCGCAUCAAGCCCCACUUCGGCUUAUGGUUGAAGACCUUUAAUGUCAAGCCGAAGGUUGUGGGCGACCGCCAGGCGGAGUGCGGAGGCGCCAUGGUGGGCAAGAUGCCCAACGUAACAUGGCUCGAGGGCUCUUUUGUGGAAACCAUAAAGGGGUGGCAAUCGGGUGGUUCUACAUCACCGAGCCGCGUGACCCUGCAUGGGCAGCGGCCCCCCGAGUUCUGAUCUGGCAUCCCCACGCGGCUCACCUCCUGGAAAGAGAAGGGCCUGUCCUGGGGUAGUUUGGAAGAGCUGACCAGACUCCAAACAUGUAUUCAAAACAUGGUGAACAAGAAGCUCAAACUCGUCAACGUGGUCCAGGUCAUGCUCCACCGCCGGAUCCUCCCGUGCCAAUAACGGGAGUUCAACUUGUGGGAGUACAACCCAGCGCAGCACCGAACUCUGAACAGGCUUUUCGACACAACUCACGAAGAUGCCUCGAGGGUGCUGUUCAAAAUCACCAAGGUCCCCCUCCCAUUACUGAGGAUCACGGAUUCAGCGUGAAGCGCCAAGCCAGUGCGGCAGGCUGCUUUACCUUUCACAGGCUACUUAUUUUUUAUAGAUUGACUCCAUGCGGGAUCUAAACUCCCGUACCUUUGACAGGACUGGCAGGAGAUGGCCGGACAGAUCGACUGUCCGGCUCCUAUGCCCGAAGGCCCAGCAGACGCUCUUCUAGCGAAGAUGCUGACUUCGGCUCCUUAUACGGUGCCGGAGAAGACCAAGAAGGACAAGGGAACCCGAAAGAGUUCCCGACGCCAGGCGUCGUCGGACUCACCGUCCGAUGACUCUGCGGCGCACUCCUCCCCCGAAGACGAGGAAGAGGAAGAAGACGCUCCCUCUCUGGCUGGGGGAGAUAAGAAAAGGAAGGCCGCCCCAACUGGGGGGGCGGAAGGGUCCAAGAAGGGAAGGAAUCUCCUUCCGGAUAGUUGCACCGCUGCCGACGAAGGCGAAGACGAGGGGUUGCCCAGGGCCAAGCCCCUGGGGAGAUCGUAAGUAUUCAGAUACCAGAGUAACUCAUAGCAUUCCUUUGUCGCACUGCUUUCCCUAACGUCAAACAUAAUUAUGCAGGUCGCCAUGAGCCAGUAUCGAUGUGUGACGCCCGGAUAAUCAUGCUACAGUAAUCCCACGCUAAUCAUGCCACGUCACCUCGGUUACUGUUGCUAAUCUAUCGUUAGGUCAAAGCUGGUCCAAAAUUCAAAUUCAAAGUUUGGUAAAUAAUAACAGUUUUCAAAAAUUAAAACAAAAAUGUUCGGUGAUUGCCGAAUAAUGCAUAGGUAAUUAUGGUGGAGAAACCACACUUUUAUAAAAUGUUUAAAUAAUCUAAAAUGAAUAAAACAGUAGAAAAACCAAAUCUAAAUGCUUUUAUAAAUAAAUAAAACACUAAACUAAAUUGUUUUGGGAUAAAGCCUUUUGUGGCAGUGGGUUUCGUGGUAUUACAAUUUUAGAGUUCAUUUUAAUACUAAGUAAGAAGUAUAAUUAAGAGAAACUAAAAUAAAGAACAGAAAAAAAAGAAUAAAUAAAAGGAAAAGAAAACACAAAACAGAAAAGAAAACUACCAAAAAAAUAUGGUAAAAGGAGACCCCCCCCACUGGACCCCUUGGCCCAACUGGGCCAUGGCCCAGCCGGCCACCCCCNNNNNNNNNNNNNNNNNNNNNNNNNNNNNNNNNNNNNNNNNNNNNNNNNNNNNNNNNNNNNNNNNNNNNNNNNNNNNNNNNNNNNNNNNNNNNNNNNNNNNNNNNNNNNNNNNNNNNNNNNNNNNNNNNNNNNNNNNNNNNNNNNNNNNNNNNNNNNNNNNNNNNNNNNNNNNNNNNNNNNNNNNNNNNNNNNNNNNNNNNNNNNNNNNNNNNNNNNNNNNNNNNNNNNNNNNNNNNNNNNNNNNNNNNNNNNNNNNNNNNNNNNNNNNNNNNNNNNNNNNNNNNNNNNNNNNNNNNNNNNNNNNNNNNNNNNNNNNNNNNNNNNNNNNNNNNNNNNNNNNNNNNNNNNNNNNNNNNNNNNNNNNNNNNNNNNNNNNNNNNNNNNNNNNNNNNNNNNNNNNNNNNNNNNNNNNNNNNNNNNNNNNNNNNNNNNNNNNNNNNNNNNNNNNNNNNNNNNNNNNNNNNNNNNNNNNNNNNNNNNNNNNNNNNNNNNNNNNNNNNNNNNNNNNNNNNNNNNNNNNNNNNNNNNNNNNNNNNNNNNNNNNNNNNNNNNNNNNNNNNNNNNNNNNNNNNNNNNNNNNNNNNNNNNNNNNNNNNNNNNNNNNNNNNNNNNNNNNNNNNNNNNNNNNNNNNNNNNNNNNNNNNNNNNNNNNNNNNNNNNNNNNNNNNNNNNNNNNNNNNNNNNNNNNNNNNNNNNNNNNNNNNNNNNNNNNNNNNNNNNNNNNNNNNNNNNNNNNNNNNNNNNNNNNNNNNNNNNNNNNNNNNNNNNNNNNNNNNNNNNNNNNNNNNNNNNNNNNNNNNNNNNNNNNNNNNNNNNNNNNNNNNNNNNNNNNNNNNNNNNNNNNNNNNNNNNNNNNNNNNNNNNNNNNNNNNNNNNNNNNNNNNNNNNNNNNNNNNNNNNNNNNNNNNNNNNNNNNNNNNNNNNNNNNNNNNNNNNNNNNNNNNNNNNNNNNNNNNNNNNNNNNNNNNNNNNGCCCCUCGGCGCCCGCUCGGCCCUCUCCUGGGUCGGGCGCCCGUAACGCCCAGCGCCCGUAACCCGCUAUGGCCCCCUGGGCAGUUGACAGAUGGGGCCCACGCCCCUGUCUUGUUAGAAAAAAAAACGAAAAGAAAAUGUAAUUAAAAAAAUGAAAAUAAGUAAUUAGUUAUUUAAUUAAUUAUGUAACUAAUUAAUUAAUUAAAUAAGUAAUUACUUAACUUAAUUAACUCCGUUUAGUACUUAAUUAACUUGAUUAGUUAAUUAAAAUUGUUAAUUAGUUGUUAGACUAUGACGAAUGGGACCCACACGUCAGUUUGACCCAGUCAACGCCCUGUUGACUGCUGACGUCAUGCUGACGUCAGCGUACACUAUUCUGGAUAAUGUUAAUUUAAUUAAUAAUUAAUAAAUUAGAAAAUGAUUUAAAAAUUUAAAAAUUAAUAUAAAUUAAACCGUAGCUCAGAUGAAAAAACUUUGUACAUGAAAGUUGCUCAGAACGACGAGACAAAUCUGGAUACACGGCCUGUUUGUUCGUCACGCAUCCCUAGCAUAGCAAACUCGCAACUUUCCCCUCCGGCUCCUCUGCCCGAAAACGCAAAACACCGGGGAUACUUUCCCGGAUGUCAUCCCCCUUCACCGGUAUCACCUAUUACCGCGUUAGGGCACCUCUAACGCCGUUACUUGUCAUGUCAUGCAUCACUAUGCAUAUGCUUGCUUAAAUAUUUAUUAUUUCUUCCCCCUCUUCUCUCGAUAGACACCGAGACCGACGCCGCUGCUACCCAGUACGACUACGCUGUUGACGACCCUCUUUCUUGCCAGAGCAACCAGGCAAGCGCCCCCCUUGAUCACCAGAUAUCGCCUACUCUCUUCUAUACUGCUUGCAUUAGAGUAGUGUAGCAUGUUACUGCUUUCCGUUAUUCCUAUCCUGAUGCAUAGCCUGUCCUUGCUACUACUGUUGUUACCAUUACCUGCUAUCCUACUGCUUAGUAUAGGAUGCUAGUGUUCCAUCAGUGGCCCUACACUCUUGUCCGUCUGCCAUGCUAUACUACUGGGCCGUGAUCACUUCGGGAGGUGAUCAUGGGCAUAUGCUAUAUACUUUACACAGUUACUUUACCUGUGGUACUGUUCGGAGAUGGGGGCUGAAGGGGCAGGUGGUUCCACCCAGGUAGUGGUGGGCCUGGGUUCCCGACGGCCCCCGACUGUUACUUUGUGGCGGAGCGACAGGGCAGGUUCAGACCACCUAGGAGAGAGGUGGGCCUGGCCCUGGUCGGCGUCCGCGGAUACUUAACACACUUAACGAGAUCUGGGUAUUUGAUCUGAGUCUGGCCAUUUGGUCUAUACGCACUAACCAUCUACGCGGGAGUAGUUAUGGGUAUCCCGACGUCGUGGUAUCAGCCGAAGCCUUCGUGACAUCAGCGACUAAGUGGCGCGUGCCGGAUUGGACCGUAAGCCUGCUCUUGUAUUAAGGGGGCUAGUUCUGCUUCCGGCCGCGUUCGCAACGUGCAGGUGUGCAAAGGGCGAUGGGCCCAGACCCCUGCGCCAUAGGAUUUAGACCAGCGUGCUGACCUCUCUGUUGGGCCUAGGUAGGGCUGCGACGUGUUGAUCUUCCGAGGCCGGGCAUGACCCAGAAAAGUGUGUCCGGCCAAAUGGGAUCGAGCGUGUUGGGGUAUGUGGUGCACCCCUGCAGGGAAGUUUAUCUAUUCGAAUAGCCGUGUCCCUCGGUAAAAGGACGACCCGGAGUUGUACUUUGACCUUAUGAUAACUAGAACCGGAUACUUAAUAAAACACACCCUUCCAAGUGCCAGAUACAACCGGUGAUCGCUCUCUCACAGGGCGACGAGGGGAGGAUCAUCGGUUAGGAUUAUGCUAUGCGAUGCUACUUGGAGGACUUCAGUCUACUCUCUUCUACAUGCUGCAAGACGGAGGUUACCAGAAGCGUAGUCUUCGAAAGGACUAGCUAUCCCCCUCUUAUUCCGGCAUUCUGCAGUUCAGUCCACAUAUGAUAGCCUUAUUCCAAUUGAUACCAAUGCAUACAUAUGUAGUGUAGCUCCUUGCUUGCGAGUACUUUGGAUGAGUACUCACGGUUGCUUUCUCCCUCUUUCCCCCCUAUCCCUUCUACCUGGUUGUCGCGACCAGAUGUUGGAGCUCAGGAGCCAGACGCCACCGUUGACGACGACUCCUACUACACCGGUGGUGCCUACUACUACGUGCUGUCCGCUGACGACGACCAGGAGUAGUUUAGGAGGAUCCCAGGCAAGAGGCCUGCGCCUCUUUCGAUCUAUAGCUCAGUUUGUGCUAGCCUUCUUAAGGCAAACUUGUUUAACUUAUGUCUGUACUCAGAUAUUGUUGCUUCCGCUGACUCGUCUAUGAUCGAGCUCUUGUAUUCGAGCCCUCGAGGUCCCUGGCUUGUAAUAUGAUGCUUGUAUGACUUAUUUUAUUUGUAGAGUUGUGUUGUGAUAUCUUUCUGUGAGUCCCUGAUCUUGAUCGUACACGUUUGCGUGUAUGAUUAGUGUACGGUCAAAUCGGGGGCGUCACACGAUGUAUCAUCGGACGGUUCCCUAGGCUCGUCGGACAUGGAUAGCGAUCCAGUCCCGACCCCCACCUCCCCUCAUCCUGCUGACGACGCCGAGGUGCUGUCUCAAGAGGCAUCGGGUCGAGGGGAGACAGUCCUGGAGGCACCUCAAGGCGACCUUCCGGACUCCGGGAGCCGAGGGGACGGGGCCCCUAAGAGCUUCGAGUUCGGCCCUCAGCCGAACACCGCGCUGGAACCUCCAGUGGUUCCGGGCUCGGUCAGGCGGCCUCCUUCUAAGAGGGGCAAGACACCUGUGCCGGUGACCUCUGUCUAUCCAGAGGCGCCGGACAAUCUGCUGGAAGCGCUUCGCAGCGCUUCCAUCGACGAGGAGCACCGCACUAUCAUGAGUGCGGCGAUCCAGAAAGUUUAGUCCGCCAAGAGCGGAUUGACUGAAGCCUGUGCCAGCCUUCUAACAGGCUUUGAGGUAAGUGUUUUAAAAUAUAGGAAAAAUACUACUGCAUAUAUAGUAGCCCCUGAUGCUUUGUUCGGUGUUCAGAAAGAAAAGCCGAACAGAGGAUCAAAUAAUAUCGCAGGACUCUAAUAUAAGUAUGUCAAUAUGCGUAUGCAAGCCUCACUGCUGGCAUCCGCCACACUGACUGCGGAGGUCGCCCUACUGAAGCAGGACCUCGAGAGGUCUAGGAGAGAGCUCGGCCUUGUCAAGAGGCAGCUCGAGGAGAACAAGGGUAAGUAAUACCUUGUCUUUAGAUAUGUAUAUAUAAAAGAAGAAGCGAUUGCAAAAUGACAGGAUCAUCGUACAUUCGCCAGGGGCCACGACCAAGGUGGCAACCCUCAAGCAAGCGCUAACCAAGGCCGAAGAUAACGCGGCCAAGGAGCGCACCGAGUGAGAGAAGCACGAGGCUCGGGUGGGCGAGGUGCAGCAAGAGCUCUAGGCUAUCAUGGUGAAGCACGAGGCAUUGGAGCUUGACUAAAAGACGCGAGAGUCUGAGCUUUCCGCGGCCCUCGAGAGCGCAAAAAGUGCCAAGGCCGAAGCCCAAAGGGGUCUCCAGGCGGGUAUGGCUUUCUAUAUGCAAAGCAAGCAUGUAAAAGUAAAUUACCGAUUACUUACUCGAAUCCGGAGCUCUCCAGGAGCAUUCGCAGAUUUUCCACGCAGCGUGUCCGAUGCCGCACAAUUUUACCAGGCCGAGGAUGGAAGCUCAAUGGAGAAGCUGUUCUGGUAUCAGUAUGCUGAGGCCGGACACCCGGUGCCAAUGAGCGACCAGCUGAAGCAGGUGGUCGAGCUACAUAAGGCGGCCGAUCAGGCCAUGAAGGGCUUUAUAGUCCGGCUGUGGCCUGGCGACGCCCUUCCGAACAGCUUCCUCGGCCUGGUGAGGCGGCUUGUGGAUGCCUGCCCGCGGCUGGAGGUCGUCAAGCGAUCUGUCUACAUUGAGGGUGCACGCCGGGCUUUCGCCCGUGUGAAAUUGCAGUGGGUCAAGCUAGACGCCGUGAAGCUGAUCAAGGAGGGGCCGCCGGAGGGCAAGGAGCACCGCCACCCCGAGAUGUACUACGAGGGUGUUCUGCUGGGUGCCCGUCUCAUAGCGGACGAGUGUUCAAAAGAUGUAAUAUUUGAGUGAGACUUGCUCGUUUUAUCCUGUAUUUAUGAAAACUUGUUUCAUAUGCACUAUGCAACGCUUGUUUGAAUUUAGAAUAUUACCUUCUGUUUGGCCGUUUAUCAAUCUGAGAGAUGGCUAGUCCUCAGCUUCUGCCCCCAUGCCACGAGUGCUGGGGUCUUCGGGAUAAACCUGAGCACUCUUGUUCCCAUAUUUGGGUCCUUGGAGGGAGGUGCUCAGCACAACGAACAAGGAAACCCGACUAAUAAUGCUUUAUCACUCUCACUUAGCGAUAGAAUUCUAUAAUUUUAAAUUUCGGCGAAGCCCCUGGUAUUCGGAAGGCCGAAUUCGGGGCGCGAUACACGCCUUUAAGCCGGACAGGGCCGGCCCCUCGCCCUAAGCGGCAUAAGUCUUUGGGGACUCGAUAACCUCGCCGAACAGCGAUCAGUCUCUCCCCUUAUCAUGACAGUCAGUUUUAGCUUUCUCUACUUAGGUGCCGAACCCAGCAAAACCGGGGCACAAUCGCAGUAGUUCUCCUAGCGCUACCUUAGCCGAUAGAGUGGAACGUAAGGUACCAAAACAUAGGAGCCGGGCAAACCCAACAUUUGACCAAAGACAUGAUUCGGAGCUGAUGCAUAUAAUGCUAUAAGUUUGGGGUGCCGCACUUGUGAAAGUGUUCGGACUUUUCACACCGUAUUGUGGGGUACGUAAGCCCCUGGUGUAUUGGCCGUACCAAAGUGUACGGUUGCAAGGCAUCAUUAAUGAACAUAUAUAUAUAUAUAUAUAUAUAUAUAUAACAAGAGUGCAAUAAUAGUCGUAAUGUCAUGCAUUGUUUAUUCAAAAAAUUACGUUAAAGUAGGGUGAUACAGAUAGUGUGAUAAGCAAAGAGUAGGACUAUGUCCCUUCCCAAGGCAAGCUAAGGAAUGAUAUUAAAUUGAAUAUUUCGCUCGUUACAGUAAUCCACCUAGGAAUUCCGUGGUGUGACGUAGCUAUCUGCCUCCUUGGUUGCUGCAUCGUGUGUUCGGCAAUAGUGCUGCCGGACAGUGUUUCCAGAGGUUAAUGUCCUGAAAAAAAGAGAAAAAUAACCAAACGGGAAGCCCCUAGUGCGGUUUAAGCCGCGUCUUGGGGCGUGCUGCAGUUGUGCCACCCUCCCCACCUGUGCCCAUGGUAUUUUUAAUGCGUAAUUAUGUACGCGUGGCAUGAGUUUCGUCGUUGGGCUGGGAUUGGGGUGGCCGCCUUAUUGCUACGCGAGCUCAGAUCGCGCAAGGCGGUCUAUUUGCCGAUUGCUCCGAGCGCGCUUGAAGGUGUCCGGGCUUUGAAGCGCCGGACUGGUUGAUUGCCUUGAGAGGCUGCUUUGCGCUUCUGCUGCGAGGGCCGCGGUGUGCUCCUCUGUUCGGAGAGAGCACUCUGUGUUUCCAUUGACUGUAAUAACUCCGCGAGGUCCUGACAUCUUGAGCUUGAGGUAUGCAUAGUGCGGUACCGCAUUGAAUCUAGCAAAUGCGGUUCGCUCGAGCAGCGCGUGGUAACCACUGCGGAAUGGGACUAUAUCGAAGAUUAGCUCUUCGCUUCGGAAGUUAUCCGGGGAUCCGAAGACCACUUCCAGUGUAAUUGAGCCUGUGCAAUGGGCCUCUACACCUGGAAUGAGGCCUUUAAAGGUCGUUUUUGUGGGUUUGAUCCUUGAGGGGUCUAUACCCAUUUUGCGCACUAUAUCCUGAUAAAGUAGGUUCAGGCUGCUGCCGCCAUCCAUAAGGACUCGAGUGAGGUGAAAUCCGUCAAUGAUUGGGUCUAGGACUAGUGCGGAAAAUCUACCAUGAUGGAUACUAGUGGGGUGGUCCCUUCGAUCGAAGGUGAUCGGAUAGGAGGACCAAGGGUUGAACUUUGGGGUGACUGGCUCGAACGCAUAUACGUCCAUGAGCGCACGCUUCCGCUCCCUCUUAGGGAUGUGGGUUGCGUAUAUCAUGUUCACCGUCUGCAGUUGCGGGGGAAACCUCUUCUGUCCUUCGAUGUGCGGCUGCCGGGGCUCCUCCUCGUCAUCGCUAUGCGGCCCCUUGUCCUUCUUUUCGGCAAUUAACUUGCGGGCCUGCUUGAACACCCAACAAUCCCUGUUGGUGUGAUUGGCUGGCUUGUCUAGGGUGCCGUGUAUUUGACACGAGCGAUCGAGUAUACGUUCCAAGCUGGAUGGACCUGGCGUACUUUGUUUGAAUGGCUUUUUCCGCUGACCGGGUUUAGAGCCUUUGAAUCCGGCAUUGACUGCCGUAUCCUCGGUAUUUUCGCUGUUAAUGCGGCGGUUAUGUUUGUUGUGACAUGACCUGCUAUUGCCAUCCUUGGUAUCGGAGGUACCAUGGUUCUUUGAUAUGUUAUUACUACGGGCCAGCCAGCUGUCUUCUCCCGCACAAAAGCGGGUCAUGAGCGUCGUGAGAGCUGCCAUAGAUUUCGGCUUUUCCUGACCAAGGUGCCAGGCUAGCCACUCGUCUCGGAUGUUGUGUCUGAAAGCCGCUAAGGCCUCUGCAUCCGGACAGUCGACGAUUUGAUUUUUCUUUGUGAGGAACCAAGUCCAGAAUUGCCUAGCCGACUCUUCUGGCUGCUGAAUUAUGUGGCUCAAGUCAUCGGCGUCUAGUGGUCGCACAUAAGUGCCCUGAAAGUUGUUGAGGAAUGCGGCUUCCAGAUCUUCCCAACAGCUAAUGGAGUCCGCUGGCAAGCUGUUAAGCCAAUGCCGCGCUGGUCCUUUGAGCUUUAGUGGAAGAUAUUUGAUGGCGUGUAAGUCAUCACCGUGGGCCAUGUGGAUGUGGAGGAGGAAAUCCUCGAUCGAUACUGCAGGAUCUGUUGUGCCGUCGUAUGAUUCAAUAUUUACAGGUUUGAAACCUUCUGGGAAUUGAUGAUCCAUUACUUCGUCUCUGAAGCAUAAGGGGUGUGCGGCGCCUCUGUAGUGGGCUAUAUCGCGACGCAGCUCGAAUGGGUCUUGCCCGCUGUGUUCGGCCCGGCCGGAUUUGCUUUUACUGUAUCCGGCGUGACAUUUAUCGUCUCGCAGAGUUGUGCGCCCUCGUGAUCCGUAGAUCGAUCUUGCAUGCUUUGCUUUGUCCUCCAAUAUAUCUCGCAGGUCUGGCGUAUCUCCCCAUGCCUUUUUAUUUGAAUGGCGUCGGGGUGGAGGCUGAGUUUUUGGCUGGACUGCCUCUCUAUCGCGGCCACGAGGUGGCCGAUCCGGGCAGUAACCUGCACUUUGGGUAAUUCUUGGAGGGGUGCUUGAGUUUAUAUUCCUCGGCCGCGAGGACUUCAGUCCAUCUGUUAGUUAAGAGAUCUUGAUCAGCUUGAAGCUGCUGCUGCUUUUUCUUUAGGCUAUUUUCCGUGGCCAUAAGCCGGUGCUUGAAGCGCUCUUGUUCGAUGGGAUCCUCUGGUACAUCGAAUUCAUCAUCGCCGAGGCUUGCCUCGUCUUCGGAGGCGGGCGUGUAAUUGUCAUCCUCCUCCUCUCCGUCUGCCGCUCUUUCAGGAGGGUUGGCUCCUCCAUCCUCCUGCUCUAAAUCUUGCUGGAGGGGAUUAUUGUUGUCUUCGGCACUAUCCGGAGUGUUAUUAUCUCCUGUGCCGGUAUCACCACUUUUGCUUUGGCGGGACUUAGAGCGGCGCCGCUGACAUCGGCGCUUGGGUUGCUUCUUGGAGAGGUCAUCCUCCGUUAUCUCGUCGCCAUUGCCUUCUUUGGGUGUAUCCACCAUGUAUAUGUCGUAUGAUGAUGUGGCUUUCGAGUGCCCUAUGGGCGCUGGUUCAUGUUCAUCUCCUACAUCGUCGUCCAUACCAUCGAUGUCUUCGGAGUCGAAGUCGAGCAUGUCGGUUAAAUUAUCGACAGUGGCUACGAAGUGGGUGGUGGGUGGGCAUCGAAUUUCUUCGUCGUCCGCCUCCCAAUCCUGUUGGCCAUAGUCCGGCCAGGGCUCUCCUGACAAAGAGAGAGACUUUAGUGAAUUCAGAAUGUCACCGAAGGACGAGUGCUGCAAGAUAUCAGCGGCGGCGAAUUCCAUGAUCGGCGCCCAGUCGGAUUCAAUUGGCAGGGGCGCGGACGGUUCGGAGUCCGGAAAAGAGUCCGGCACCUUGGAGUCACGGGCUUUGCAGAGGAUUAGGCUGGUGUUCAACUCGAUCACCGUUGAGACUGCAGCCCCUGAGGCGGUGUCUAGCCACCCGUCCUCGACUGGCGCAGUUGGCUCCGAGCUAAGGGUCAGAGCUGAUGCGGGCGCGGCCUCUGGGGUACUGUCCGGUGGUAGAGCUAGGUCAUACCCAUCGUGACAGUGCAGCGCGCCCGGCUGUGGCUUGAAUCCGUCGAAGAUCAAGUCUCCGAGGAUGUCGGCCGUGUAGUUCAAACUUCCAAAUCUGACCUGAUGGCCAGGGGUGUAGCUUUCAAUCUGCUCCAGAUGGCCAAGCGAAUUAGCCCGUAGUGCAAAGCCGCCGAACACUGGACCGCAUCGUUGUUCAUGAUCGGAGGAGCCAUCGGGCCUAAAGGUGACGACACCGAGGAAAUCUCAAUGGAAGCACCAAUGUCGGUGUCAAAUCCGGCGGAUCUCGGGUAGGGGGUCCCGAACUGUGCGUCUAGGCCGGAUGGUAACAGGAGGCAGGGGACACAAUGUUUUACCCAGGUUCGGGCCCUCUUGAUGGACGUAAAACCCUAUGUCCUUCUUGAUUAAUAUUGAUGAUAUGUGUAGUACAAGAGUAGAUCUACCACGAGAUCAGAGAGGCUAAACCCUAGAAGCUAGCCUAUGGUAUGAUUGUAUACGUCCUACGGACUAAAACCCUCCAGUUUAUAUAAACACCGGAGAGGGUUAGAGUUACACAAGGUCGGUUGCAAAGGAGGAGAUAUCCAUAUCCGUAUUGCCUAGCUUGCCUUCCACGCCAAGUAGAGUCCCAUCCGGACACGGGACGGAGUCUUCAAUCUUGUAUCUUUAUAGUCCAACAGUCCGGCUGUCCGGAGACCCCCUAAUCCAGGACUCCCUCACCCCCACUCCCUAUCGAACCCUAGCCCAAUCGCCCCACCUCCCCCACACCCCCUCGCCAGCCUCCCCACCUCUUGAUCCCAUCUGGAUCGGGGAGGGGAUCACCCCCAUCGACCCCGUCGCCGUCGCCGGAUCGCCCGUCAGCGUCGCCAGGCCUCCUCCCCGCCGCCCGUCUCCGGCUCGCCUCCCCUCUCGCUCCUCUUUCCCGACCCGAUCAGGAUCGUGAACGAGCAAUGAGCGCGACGCCCCCCCUUCAUCGGCGCCAUCACCGUGCGCCACCACCACCGCCUGAAGACCUCGCCGUCGCUGACCUUGUGUCGUCUCCUGGUAUCCCUUCCCGACUCGCGUCCUCAAGCCAGGCCGACCCCCUUCUCGGCAAUGCUGUGAGACGCCCCCCGUUUCCCUCCUCUUUCCACCGUGUUCACCGCGCCGCCUGACGAAGCUACGUACCUAGGGUAGGGGCAUGGACCUGUCCUAAGAGCCCUACCCAAGGACAUCCCUGGAAGAAGUCACCUUUCAAUCGACUUGAAGGUACCCACUCGACGGGUUUAAGACACUCGACCAAGAAGCUACCACUCGACAUGAAGCCAAUCACUCGACUGCCAGGAGAUCUAAAGUCAUUCCACGGGCAAACGGUCGGCUAUUAAGUAGUCUUUAUGGUCAUUAUAGCACUUUAUUACCAGCAUUACCAGUAACGCCCCGCCUUAAUGUACAUUGAACCCUUGGUAACGUAGGCUGGCCGGGGUCCUGGCGCGCUCUAUAUAAGUCACCCCCUCCUCCGAGACAAGGGUUCGCACCUCUAUUGUUCACAUGCCUAUAAUCCAAUCGACCGCCUCCGGGCACUGAGACGUAGGGCUGUUACUUCCUCCGCGAAGGGCCUGAACUCGUACACCUUGGUGUGUUUACAACUUCCCAAUAGCUGAGAUCUAGCCUCUCCAUACACACCCCCCUACAUCACUGUCAGAGUUAGAACCACAAUAGUUGGCGCCCACCGCGGGGCCAGAAUCUUAGCGCUUACUUGGAGAAGUUGCGAUUCUUCUGAUCCCUUUGAUCAUGGUUUCAUGCGGAGUUUUGGUGGAGGGGCGCGAGAUCCGUCUCGGCGCGCUCACAUUCAUCGCCGACGACUCCGCUUGGUUUCAGGAGGCUCCACUCGACAUCGACGUGCUCCCCGUCCGUGGUGCGACGCACUUCCGCGCAUGCGUUCGUGGCGUCCUCCUGCGGCAGCCGUCGACCCAGUAUCGGUCGGCCCUCGUGUCGUCUCCCCGCUCUGUCUCCCUCCGACGCAAGCGCUUUGGUAGGUCGAGACUUUAGAGGUGGGUGAGGCAUGCCGUGGCUCGCCAGUCGGCCGCCCCACAAGUCGCGGCAAUCGAGCCCGACAAAUCCCUCUGCAGCCUGUUCGACUGGCUCCGCGGAGACUUCAUCCGAGUGUGACAGCAGAGACCCAGCGGCUGAGGUUCUGGCGGUCGAUGGGACACACUGUCCUCCCGGUUUCCCUCGCGCUAAUGGAGGCGCGGGUGGGGGCGACCCGUCGCAUCCCCACGAUGAGUAUCUCCCCGAAUGUCUCACGGCAUCGCAGCGAGAGGAACUUCACCGCCGGAACAUAGACGCACUCCACACUCCUAUCGUCGGAGAAACCCCCGAGGCCCGGGCCUUGGAGGACGCGCGCUUGGCUAACUUGGCUGAGCGCACUCGACUGGAGAAUCUCCAGCUAAUACUCGAUGAGCAAGCGCGCCAGUGAGCUCCCGAGUCCAGUCGACGUCAGCUCUUUCCGCCGAUGCAGGUAUAUUGAACCCUAGUUCAGAAUUUGGCCGCCGCGGCCCGUAUAGCAGAGUCAAUUCAGCCCUCCCAGUCAGAGGCUGGCAGGGGCUUGUUGCAGAUCAGAGCAUUGCUCCGGGCGGCGGGGAACCAGAAUUCCGCUGUUUCUCAGUCGCAGAAUAGGAUCCACAGUCGAUCCGUUGCAACAGAUACAGUCCAGUCGGCUCACAGCCCGAGAUCGCCCCCGAGGCGUGAGGGACAUGGAGACCGGCACGAUCAGUACAGAAGAAAUGAGCAGUAUGAUCACCGAUUCGAUCGUGAGGAUCGACGUCGAGUGCCAACCCCUCCCCCGAGGAGUGGGUCAUAUGCGCCUCGAUAGCGAGAUGACAGGCGCCCUCAUAGUGUUGGGCAGAGGAUUCCAGUCGACCCCAGGGACCCAGGCUUUGAUGCGAGAUCCAUCCUUGAUCAAGGUCUGGUUGACAGGAACGGGGCUCACCGAGAAUGCCAGGACAGAGAUGCGCCUGCCAGCAGCAGAGUGCGUGUUUCAGGGACAGAGUGUUUCAGUCGAGCCAUCAGAGCCACAGUGAUUCCUCCCAACUUCAGGUUGGCGACUGGAGUCAGCUAGUUCACCGGUGAGUCUAAGCCUGACACUUGGCUCGAAGAUUACCGAGUGGCUGUACAGAUUGGCAGUGGCAAUGAUGAGGUGGACAUGAAGCAUUUGCCUCUCAUGUUAGAGGGCUCAGCCAGAGCAUGGCUAAAUCAGUUAGUGCCCAGCAGCAUUUACACUUGGGAGGACCUCUCCCGAGUGUUUGUCACAACCUUUGAGGGAACAUGCAAGCGACCUGCAGGCCUUACAGAGUUGCGGUCUUGCACGCAGAAACCGAAUGAAACGCUGAGGGAUUACAUCCAGAGGUGGAUCACAUUGCAUCACACAGUUGAGAAUGUUCCAGAUCAUCAAGCAGUUUGUGCCUUCAAAGAAGGCGUUAAGUACAGAGAAUUGAAUCUGAAGUUCGGUCGAACUGGAGAGAUGUCUCUGAAUCGGAUGAUGGAGAUUGCCACCAAAUACGCUAAUGGUGAAGACGAAGAUCGCCUCCGGAGUGGCAAGCGCAAGGCAGUCGCCCAAGAAACCGGAGGAAACUCCAGUCAGAAACAGAAGCGGAAGGCUGAGCCAGCCGCCCCUGGGGAGGCCCUGGCCGUAACCCAGGGAAAUUUCAAGGGAAAACCCAAGGGCCCCUGGAAGCCCAAGAAAGUCAAGGAUCAAGAUGGAAAUGAUGUUUUGGAUCUGCCAUGUCACUCCACACCAAGAAAGAUGAAGAGGGUAAUUUUAUUUACCCAAAGCAUACCACUCGACAGUGCCAGCUCCUGAUCCAGCAGUUUCAGGGCAAGCAACCCAAAGAUAAGGAAAAAGAGCCAGACAGAGUUGAGGACAAGGAUGAUAGUGACGAUGGAUACCCCCAAGUCAAUUCCACCCUGAUGAUUUUUGCUGAUGUCGAAAGCAAAAGUCGACUGAAAGUCAUUAAUCGUGAAGUGAAUAUGGUUGCUCCGGCAACACCUAGUUAUCUGAAGUGGUCUCAGGCUGCCAUAACAUUCGACCAGUCUGAUCACCCUACGCACAUUGCCACCCCUGGGAGGCAAGCUUUGGUGGUCGACCCAGUUGUCGAAGGCACUCGACUGACCAAAGUCCUGAUGGAUGGUGGCAGUGGCCUGAACAUACUGUAUGCUAAAACAUUGAAAGGGAUGGGCAUUCCGAUGUCCGGGCUCAGUACCAGCAACAUGAGCUUCCACGGAGUCAUUCCCGGGAAGUAAGCCGAAUCACUCGGCCAGAUUGCUCUUGAUGUGGUUUUCGGUGAUUCAAAGACUUACCGCAAGGAAAAGUUGACAUUCGAGGUUGUGGACUUCCAAAGUGCUUAUCAUGCCAUUUUGGGCAGACCAGCUUAUGCACGCUUCAUGGCCUGACCAUGUUAUGUGUAUCUCAAAUUGAAGAUGCCUGGUCCUAAAGGUGUGAUCACUGUUACAGGCAAUCGGAAGAAGGCAGAAGAGUGUUUUCAGAAAGGCUCAAAGAUUGCUGACGCUCAGAUGGCAGUGGUUGAGCUGCAAGAGUAUCAGAAGACUGCAGAUCCGAGUGAGUUGCUACGAGCUAAGAAGCCCACUUCGGAGUCAGCUUUUCAGUAGUCUGGUGAAAUGAAGGCAGUUCACAUUCACCCGACCAACCCCGAGGCUGCCCCGACUCACAUCUCAAAGACGCUCGACUCCAAAUAGGAAGAAGUGCUCAUCCAGUUCCUCCGUGAGAACUGGGACAUCUUCGCAUGGAAGCCUUCUGACAUGCCUGGAAUAACCAGGGGGCUGGCUGAGCACCGUCUACGAGUCGACCCAAAGUUCAAGCCUAUGAAAGAACAUCUUCGACGGUCCGCCGUCCAAAAGAGGAAAGCUAUUGGCGAGGAGGUGGCUCGGCUCUUAGCAGCAGAGUUCAUCCGAGAGAUGUACCACUCUGAGUGGCUCGCCAAUGUUGUCAUGGUCCCCAAGAAGGACAAGUCGCUUCGCAUAUGCAUCGACUUUAAACAUAUCAAUCGGGCCUGCCCGAAAGAUCAUUUUCCUCUCCCUCGCAUCGACCAAAUAGUCGACUUGACCGCGGGGUGUGAGCGAUUGUCUUUUCUAGACGGCUAUUCCGGGUACCAUCAGAUCCGUCUGUAUGGACCCGAUGAGAUCAAAACAGCUUUCAUCACUCCAUUCGGGUGCUUCCGUUAUGUCACCAUGCCCUUCGGCCUCAAGAACGCUGGAGCCACGUUCAUGAGGAUGAUUCAGAAGUGUUUGCUCACUCAAAUCAGUCGGAACGUGGAAGCAUACAUGGAUGAUAUUGUGGUCAAGUCGCGGAAAGGUUCCGACCUGCUGACUGACCUUGCUGCAACCUUUGCCAACCUUAGGAGGUAUGAUAUCAAGCUUAAUCCAUCAAACUGCACAUUCGGAGUUCCGGGUGGAAAGUUACUCGGUUUUCUCGUUUCCGAAUGAGGAAUCAACGCCAAUCCCGAGAAAGUUGGCACCAUACUCCGGAUGAAGCGCCCUGUGCGUGUGCACGAUGUCCAGAAGCUUAUGGGUUGCUUGGCCGCUCUAAGUCGAUUCAUUUCUCGUCUCAGUGAAAAGGCAUUGCCUCUUUACCGACUGAUGAAGAAGUCUGACAAGUUCGAGUGGACUCCAGAAGCUGAUGCAGCGUUUGCAGACCUCAAAGCUCUGCUCUCCACCCAGCCGGUGCUUGCUGCCCCAAUCAGUAAAGAGCCUUUGCUGCUUUACAUUGCAGCCACAGGACAAGUUGUCAGUACAGUACUUAUGGUCGAGCGGGAAGAUGAAGGAUAGGCCUUCAGAGUUCAACGCCCAGUAUAUUAUGUGUCUGAAGUUUUGACACCUUCAAAACAAAGAUAUCCUCAUUAUCAGAAGCUUGUAUACGGGAUUUAUAUGACCACGAAGAAGGUUGCACAUUACUUCUCUGACCACUCCAUUACAGUCGUCAGCGACGCCCCACUGUCAGAGAUUCUGCAUAACAGAGAUGCAACUGGUCGAGUGGCGAAGUGGGCGAUUGAACUCCUUCCCCUAGAUAUCAAGUUUGAAGCAAAUAAGGCUAUCAAGUCCCAAGCAAUUGCAGAUUUCAUCACCGAGUGGAUCGAACAGCAGCUUCCGACUCAAGUUCACCCGGAGCACUGGACCAUGUUCUUCGAUGGAUCUAAGAUGCUGAAUGGUUCCGGUGCUGGGGUAGUAUUGGUCUCCCCCCGAGGAGAUAAGCUCAGAUAUGUUCUCCAGAUUCACUUUGAUUCCUCCAAUAAUGAAGCAGAAUAUGAAGCACUUUUGUAUGGGUUGCGCAUGGCCAUUUCACUUGGCGUCCGUCGCCUCAUGGUCUAUGGCGACUCAGAUUUGGUGGUUAAUCAGGCGAUGAAGGAGUGAGACGUCAGAAGUCCGGCAAUGACUGGUUAUUGCAAUGUAGUGAGAAAGCUAGAAAAGAAAUUCGAGGGGUUAGAGCUUCAUCACAUCCCCCGACUGAAAAAUCAGGUAGCUGACGAUUUGGCAAAGAUAGGCCCCAAGAGAGAAGCCAUUCCCAGCAACGUGUUCCUGGAACACAUUCAUUCGCCAUCAGUCCAAGAAGAUCCUUUUACAGAAGAAGCCCCGCAGCCGAAAAGUGCCACAGAUCCGACUGAAGUCGAAGUCCCUGCUGUGGUCGACCUAAUCAUGGAAGUCUUCGCAAUCACUCCCGACUGGACGAUACCGUACAUCGCGUAUAUCCUAAGGAAAGAACUCCCGGAGGACGAGGAAGAGGCUCGACAGAUCGUCCGCCGAUCCAAAGCCUUCACAGUCACAAGGGGACAGUUGUAUAGAGAAAGCGCGACUGGGAUCGGUCAGAAGUGCAUAACACUAGAAGAGGUUCAGAUAAUCCUUGACGACAUCCACUCGCGGACCUGUGGUCACCAUGCGUCUUCUCGGACCAUUGUGGCUAAAGCAUACCGAGCGGGAUUUUACUGGCCAAGAGCAAAUGAGAUGGCAAAAGAGAUAGUCGACCAGUGUGGAGGGUGCUAGUUCUACUCCAACAUGUCACACAAGCCUGCGUCAGCCCUGAAGACCAUUCCACUCGUCUGGCCCUUUGCUGUCUGGGGACUGGACAUGGUUGGUCCACUAAGAACAGGCAGGAGCGGUUUCACUCAUGUGCUUGUGGUAGUCGACAAGUUUACCAAAUGGAUUGAGGCUAAGCGCAUCAAGAAUCUUGAUGCUUGCACUACUAUCAGUUUCGUCAGAGGGCUAACAUUCAGAUAUGGAGUCCCGCAUAGCAUCAUCACUGACAAUGGGUCAAACUUUGAUUCGGACAAGUUCAGAGCUUUUUGCGCCUCUCAAGGCACACGAGUCGACUACGCAUCGGUCGCCCAUCCCCAGUCGAAUGGACAAGCAGAGAGAGCAAAUGGUUUGAUUCUCAAAGGACUAAAGCCUCGACUGAUGCGCGAUCUCAAGCACGCGGCAGGUGCUUAGGUCGACGAGCUUCCGUCAGUUCUGUGGGGAUUGAGGACCACCCCGAACCGGUCGACUGGAGGAACUCCAUUCUUUCUGGUUUAUGGAGCCGAGGCAGUUCUGCCGAGUGAUCUUCUUCACAACGCACCCCGAGUCGAACUUUAUACCGAAGAUGAAGCAGAACAAGCCCGGCAAGACGCAGUCGACCUACUAGAAGAAGAGAGGGAGAUGGCCAUGAUCAGAUCGACCAUUUAUCAGCAAGACUUGCGUCGAUUCCACGCUAGGAAUGUGAAGAGUCGAGCCUUCCAAGAAGGAGAUUUGGUCCUCCUAGUGGAUCAACAGAAACCACACAAGCUUGCUCCUACUUGGGAAGGCCCCUUCAUCGUCACCAGAGUCCUCCACAAUGGAGCGUAUCACCUCUACAAUGUUGAUCGCCAGAUCGAUGAGCCGCGAGCUUGGAAUGCGGAACUGCUCCGCCCCUUUUACACUUGAGUUCUCCCUUGGACGAGAUGUAAUAAGAAAAAAUUUCUGCAGUUCAUUUUUAUCAAAGGCAAGAGUGUUCCAAUAAUUGCUGUCACUUUUGUUUGCAUACGAAAUCCCCCAGUGGGUGACUUAGCUGCGAAUCCGUUUCGCCUAAGUUUGAAAAAUCCUACCGAGUGGAGAGCCAGAUUCCCACUCGGGGGCUUAGCUCCAGCCCAGUGCUUGCCUAAGUGUUCAAAAAUCCUACCAAGUGAGAGCAAUCCUCCCACUUGGGGGCUUAGCUGCAGUCCAGUACUCGCCUAAGUUCUCCCACUUAGAGACUUAGCUGCAGUCAGGCACUCGCCUAAGUUUGAAAAAAUCCUACCGAGUGGAGAGCAAUCCUCCCACUCGAGGGCUUAGCUGCAGUCCAGUACUCGCCUAAGUUCUCCCACUUAGAGACUUAGCUACAGUCAGGCACUCGCCUAAGUUUGAAAAAAUCCUACCGAGUGGAGAGCAACCCUCCGACUCGGGGGCUUAGCUGCAGUCCAGUACUCACCAAAGUUCUCCCACUUAGAGACUUAGCUANNNNNNNNNNNNNNNNNNNNNNNNNNNNNNNNNNNNNNNNNNNNNNNNNNNNNNNNNNNNNNNNNNNNNNNNNNNNNNNNNNNNNNNNNNNNNNNNNNNNNNNNNNNNNNNNNNNNNNNNNNNNNNNNNNNNNNNNNNNNNNNNNNNNNNNNNNNNNNNNNNNNNNNNNNNNNNNNNNNNNNNNNNNNNNNNNNNNNNNNNNNNNNNNNNNNNCUCUCCUUCCGAGCUACGCCACAAGUACAACAUGCGCUCUGCAAGGAGGACGAGGUGCAGGUCGACUGCUACCCUCUCCUUCCGAGCUACGCCACCAAUUCAAAAUCCUACUGAGUGGAGAGCAAACCUCCCACUCGGGGGCUUAGCUGCAGCCCAGUGCUCGCCUAAGUAUUUGAAAUCCUACCGAGUGGAGAGCAAACCUCCCACUCAGGGGCUUAGCUGCAGCNNNNNNNNNNNNNNNNNNNNNNNNNNNNNNNNNNNNNNNNNNNNNNNNNNNNNNNNNNNNNNNNNNNNNNNNNNNNNNNNAAAUCCUACCGAGUGGAGAGCAAACCUCCCACUCGGGGGCUUAGCUACAGCCCAGUGCUCGCCUAAGUAUUUAAAAAUCCUACCGAGUGGAGAGGAAACCUCCCACUCGGGGGCUUAGCUGCAGCCCAGUGCUCGCCUAUGUGUUUAGAAAUCCUACCGAGUGGAGAGCAAACCUCCCACUCGGGGGCUUAGCUGCAGCCCAGUGCUCGCCUAAGUGUUUAGAAAUCCUACCGAGUGGAGAGCAAACCUCCCACUCGGGGGCUUAGCUGCAGCCCAGUGCUCGCCUAAGUGUUUAGAAAUCCUACCGAGUGGAGAGCAAACCUCCCACUCGGGGGCUUAGCUGCAGCCCAGUGGUCGCCUAAGUGUUUAAAAAUCCUACCGAGUGGAGAGCCAGACUCCCACUCGGGGGCUUAGCUGCAGCCUAGCGCUCGCCUAAGUGUUUAAAAAUCCUACCGAGUGAGAGCAAACCCCUCACUCGGAGGGCUUAGCUGCAGCCCGGUGCUCACCUAAGUACAGGACACAACCCAAUCCGCAAGAAGUUACGCCACAAAUACAAGGUUAUUCCGAGUGAAGAUCAAGUUGCACUCGACAGAUCAAACCAUGAAGAUAUCCAACGAGAAAUCAAGUUCGGAUAAAGCCUAAAGGUCCCAGACCUCAGAUCAAAGUACUCGAGCCCUCGGCUCGGCAGAGUUUAACGGUUACAAAUCCACUCAGCAUUCCGAGGCAAAUUUAAAGUGAAGCACGACGAACUCGUCCAAGUCGAUCCCGUCUGCAAUACGAGUGGCAGCAGCGAUGAAAGUCUCCAUGAAGUCUUGAAAGCUGUGCUUCCUGGUAUUGGCAACUUGGAUGGCGGCCGGCUUUUCUUCUCGCGCCUCCUUGCAAUGGACGCGGACCAGAGACAGAGCGACAUCAGCACCACAUCUAGCAGAAGAUUUCUUCCAUUCCGCCACUCAACCCGGGACUUCAUUCUGUCGAGCCAUCAGAGACUCGAGGUCGUUCUGAAGCAUCAUCCCAGGCCAGAGUGAUGUGUCAAUCCGCGACAUCGCAACCUUCAGUCGAGCAAGAUAGUCAACAACACUGGUAACACGAGACUCCAGUCGGAGCACGUUCAUAGCAGCUUCAUCCUUCACGAGAGAAUUGGCGGGGUCCAAGCCUGGCUCCACUCGACUGGUUUCCUCUUCGAAGUUCUGGCAGAAUUCUGCAAACACGAUUCAAGAGUCAGACAUUGGCUCUACACAGGCUUGGCAACUGCAAGACAGUCGGGGCAGAGUAAUUACCUUCGAGCAUGACGAACAGCUUCUUGGUGAGUCCACCGAGAUAAGCCUCCAGAUCAUUUACCUUCCCCGCCAGCUUACCCGCCUGGUCGUGUAGAACCAUCUUUUCAUUCUUCAGUCGGCUGACCUCUUGAUUAGCUGUCUCGAGAGCAGUUUUCAGCCUCGAGUUCUCCUGUUCAAGAGUUCCGACCGAAGCCAUUUUCUCUUCUCCAAGCUUCGUUCUGCUCAAGGCCUCCUUCUGUGAUUCUGCAAGAUCUUGAUCCUUCUUCUUCAGAGCUUCUUCCAGUUUAUCUGCGGCACGUCGAGUGAAAUCAACAUCAAGAAUGGACAAGCAAGAAAAAUCACUCGUCAAGAAUGGAGAACCUCACCAGCCAUACCUUUUGCUUCUUCUUGCGCCUUCCUCAAAUUCUCUUGAGCAAGCUUCAAGUUAAGGUUGAGCUGGAUCUGCUUAUUCUCCAACUCAGUAUAGCGAGCUACAAGUUCACAGGAUUUCUGCAAAAAGAAAAAUCAGUGGACAGACGUCCAAGAUAAGUUGCUUCCCAAUAACUAAAAGACAACGAUGGCGUUUCUAAGACUAUAGCCGAAUCUAAAACAUUCGACAGUAGUCUCGGGGACUACACCCAGUGGGUGCACUCUGCGUGCCCCCAUUGUAAAAAAAGUCGACUGCCCGCAGUCGACCGGAUACAGUUCCAUUCGACAUGGCCUGACCAGACCGAAUGAAGAAAUACAGCUACAACAACACAAUAUAAAGACUACAGUCGACUGCCAGCAGUCCACCAUAGUCUCGGGGACUACACCCAGUGGGUGCACUUAGCGUUCCCCCACUCGUCCAAGAAUUGGCAGACACACCCAGUGGGUGUACAGAUAUAAAGAUCUUCAAAAAAAAAGAUUCUUCAAACAGCAUAUCGUAACAGACCAAGUGUUGAGUCGACUGACCUGGACGUUACUCUGAAGAGCCGAACUCGCGUCAUAAGCCGCUUGGCUGGCCUCCCAAGCCGCUUUCACUUGUUCCAUCAUAAUCCCCGCCUGGCGUAUGGCCUCUUUUGCAGCAGCUGCUUGGUCCUCAGGGACGGGGUACGUGGCAAAAAGCGAAGGCGGAUCCGCAGUCGACGUCAAGGGCCGCACCCUCGUCAGAGGAAUGGCGAAAGUCACAGAAGCCCGAGUGGUUUCACCACCGUCUCGGGCUACGGCCUCAGGCGCCGGAGUGGAUUGUGGGGUCUCGCCAGCCGACGCUCCCCUGUUCCUUCUCACUCUCAGCGGCACGUCAUCGUCGUCAUCCGGAAGGUUGAUAACAUGAUAAGGAGCUACAAGAAAAAAUUCAAUCGACCAGAGUUGCAAUAAGUGUCCAGUCGACUGAAGGCAGAACAUCAGUAAUCAUACCAGGGUGGAGGUAACAGCAUCCUCCAUCUCUUGGUCGUCGUCCUUGGCAGAGACCUCCGAAGUAGGAGCACUGCAAAUCUCGAAAGUCAGUCAGUUGGCUCAAUGAAUCGACCAAGGAUCUGUCCACGGUCGACAAAGGAAAACAAGUUUUGUUAUUACCCAGAAAUGGUGGGGACAGCCAUCUUCAUCUUGGGCAGAGCCUUGGGCGGCUUGGACGGCGUCGCGCGUGGGUGCUUGGGAGCCUUUCCAGUCAGCGUAGGAGAAGAGGUUCGAGGGCGUUUCGACAACUGCCCAACAGGAGCAGUCGCCUACCACGUUCCCGCGCUGGAUCAUGUGUGAGCUUGGAUCGCCUCUCCCGGUGGGGGGGGGGGGGGGGUCAACCUCCUCCUCCUCCUCUUCGCUGGAGUUGACGUCGUCGUCUCCCUCUCCUUCGCCAUCGGACUCCCACUCGCCUUGAUCGUCUCCACUCUCACAUCCGCUCGCCUCCCCUUCCUCAGUUGGCUCCUGUGCCCCGUUGGGUGUCGAGUACAUCUCAGUAGUCGCCUGGAAAACAACAGACAAGACAAAAGUUAGUCGACCAAUUCAAAGAAGACCAAUGAAGAAAACAAGAUUUCAAUCGGGAGCGUAAAGUCAGACCUGGUCCACUUCGUAUUGUUGUCGAGUGGAGAAACCCUCCUGGCGCCUCGGGGGUUGUCUUUGUUUCCUGUGAUGCUCGUCAGCCACCCCUCCAACAUCUCAUCAGUGACCUCCUCCGGGUGGAUCCGAGUGGUGUCUUCGAGGCCCGAGUACAGCCACAUCGGGUGGCCGCGAGCCUGGAGCGGUUGGAUGCGCCUCCGAAGAAAGACCUCCAGCAAGUCCAUGCCAGUCACGCCAUCACGGACGAGCUGAACCACUCGACCAACCAGCACUUUGAAUUGGGUCUUUUCUUCUGGCGUCACUUUCAGAGAAGCAGGUUUUUGAGCUCGGUCGAGAGAGAAAUGGGGAAGCCCGGUCGACUGUCCUGGGGUCACCUGGUCUUUGCAGUAAAACCAGGUCGCCUGCCAACCACGGACCGACUCUGGGAAAAUGAUAGAUGGAAAACAACUCUUUCCCCUCGUCUGGAUCGCGAGGCCCCCGCACAGCUGGAUCACUUGCGUCCUUUCCUCACUCGACUUGGCCUUCUUGACCGAUUGGGAGCGGCAAGUAAAGAUGUGCUUAAAGAGCCCCCAAUGGGGGCGGCAACCCAGGAAACCCUCACACAAGGAAAUGAAGGUAGCAAGGUACACGAUAGAGUUGGGAGUGAAGUGGUGGAGCUGCGCUCCGAAGAAAUUUAGAAAACUCCGGAAAAAAGGAUGAGGAGGCAGAGAAAACCCUCGAUCGAUGUGGGUGGUGAGAAGGACACACUCACCAUCACGGGGUUGAGGCUCGACUUCUCCCCCCUGGAGACGCGCAGCCUCGUAAGGAAUGACUCCCCCCUCAACCAUAUCGUCGAGGUCUUCCUGCCGAAUCACCGACGGCAUCCAAUCGCCCUGGAUCCAGCCUCUGGGCAGAGCAGUCCUUGAGGAAGAUCCGCCCCAAGCGGACUUCUUCCCUUUCCCCUGCACCGACGCCUUCUUCGCGCGCUCCAGAGCAGACGUCUUGCCCUUCACCAUCGUCGCCGGCGAAUCUCAAACGGGUCUGCGGCGCUAGGGUGAGAGCGGAGGUGGCGGAGGACUUCGCGAAGGGAGAAAGAAGAGAAAGAAGAGAAAGGAGAGAGCACUGUUCGGGAACCCGAGCAGGCGGCUUAUAAGAGGCCGCUCCUGAGUGGCUGACUGGUAGGCCCAGGCUAUCCCGUCAAAUCCCGCAGUAGACGCGCGCGCAGCUCGUGGCGGAAAAGGUGGCACGGGAAUCGAGGAGCUUCUGCCUUAUCACAUCCGAUUACUGCGGCCGCGCCCGUCCCGCUCGCUCCCCGAUGUUCAAAUCCCGCGAAAUCCGCGGGCUGCGGAACAACUCAUCAAAUAGAAGAUCCCUCUCGUGCCGGCACUCGGUAUUUCACAAGUAAGGAAAUUCACUCGACGGGAGACCAAGAAUGGAUCAAGGCGACCGAAAGAAGUUGACAACGUCAUCCUUGGCGAUAGAUCUAGUACAAGACGUCCAUAUGACGCUAAAAACCAGUCGGAAGGACCCCCAACUCCUUCCCCACUCGAACCUCGAUCCAUUCGGGGGCUAAUGACGAAGCUACGUACCUAGGGUAGGGGGAUGGACCUGUCCUAAGAGCCCUACCCAAGGACAUCCCUGGAAGAAGUCACCUUUCAAUCGACUUGAAGGUACCCACUCGACGGGUUUAAGACACUCGACCAAGAAGCUACCACUCGACACGAAGCCAAUCACUCGACUGCCAGGAGAUCUAAAGUCAUUCCACGGGCAAACGGUCGGCUAUUAAGUAGUCUUUAUGGUCAUUAUAGCACUUUAUUACCAGCGUUACCAGUAACGCCCCGCCUUAAUGUACAUUGAACCCUUGGUAACGUAGGCUGGCCGGGGUCCUGGCGCGCUCUAUAUAAGCCACCCCCUCCUCCGAGACAAGGGUUCGCACCUCUGUUAUUCACACGCCUAUAAUCCAAUCGACCGCCUCCGGGCACCGAGACGUAGGGCUGUUACUUCCUCCGCGAAGGGCCUGAACUCGUACACCUUGUUGUGUUUACAACUUCCCAAUAGCUGAGAUCUAGCCUCUCCAUACACACCCCCAACAUCACUGUCAGAGUUAGAACCACGACACCGCCUGCCGUGCCCCUCGCCGCACGCCCACCACCGCGCCAGCCCCCACUCUGUGGACGACCCUAGCCGCGCCCGCGCCGUGAUCCCCUUUUCCGCCCUACCUUCCCGCACUCGCCGCGGUCCCGAUGCUCCCCCGCGCCCUCUUUCAGGGGCGCCGACUGCCCCUGUCCCAUUACUCGCCGCCGCGCCUCGCCACCGCUCUACUGCUACGUUACUACUGCGCUGCGGCCGCCGCCUCUUCCCGCUGCUCCGCUAGCGCCGAAGCUCCCGGCUGGCUCUGCCACUGGUCACGUUUAACUACCGGUCUAAAUGGCCUAACCUCCCGGCAAAUGAACCCCCAGUAACCCACUGACACCGGGAGCCACAUCCCCUAAUUAACCAUUAAUAAAUUAAAACUCUUAAAUUAACAUUAGUGUAUGACAUGUGCGUCCCCUGUUAAUUAAUAAUUUACAUUAGUGUAUGACAUGUGCGUACCCUGUUAAAUAAACUGAUUUAAUUAAAAUCUAUUAACUUCGAGUCUAUGACAUAUCACUACUUGGGAAAAUCCUAGCAGUAGCGUGGGUAUUUUUCCUAUCAGUUGCGCCGGAUACCGCUCUACUGAUAAGGCACUACAGCUAACAUGUAGCAGUAAUGCGUGUCAUCCAACGCUACUGCUGUACAUGGCUAGCAGUAGCGAGCUUUAGUGCAAAGCGCUGCUGCUAAUAUCUGCAGCGCUUUUCAGCAUGAAGUGAUACUGGUAAGGGACCUCUACUACUAACUUUAUUCCCCUCGCUACUGCUAGUUUUAUUAGUUUCUGUUUUUUUCUGCAUAUUUCUUUUGUAUUUGAACAGGCUUUAUACAAUAAUAUUUAGCGUAUCAUACACAUACAAAUGUAAUCAUAGCAUAUACAUACAAAUAGUCUCGUCAAAUCAUGUCAUCAUCAUAAUCAUCAUCCAUCACAAAGUGGUCUCUCGUCAUCAUCUCUAAAAUAGCGAUACAAGUCUCGAUUACUUGCAACUACAUUGUCAUCCGUCUAAACAAUGAUAUACGCGAGAAGAGCUAUCACUAUGAGUGAGAGCGGAACUAUGCAGUACAUGAGUUUGUAUCCCUCUCUCGCAUUAGCGUGAACCUAAACUAACUACUAGUUGUCGCUCGGAAACCAGAAACCGGUACACCUGGGCCUGACACUCCGUCCACUCAUCUUAUACUCCUGGCGUAGCACUUCUGUGCCAUCGAUGAUCUAUGCACCUGCAUCGUCACAUGAGUCGAUGAUAUGCAACAUAUAUAGUUGAGCAAUAGAAACAGACAGACUUGGCAAAAAUAGAAGCAACAUAUCAUAAGCAUAAAUAACAAAGUUCAUCAUACCCAAAAUGCCCUAACUAGAGUGAUCUUCGCUAGUCGAGGAGGACGGUUUAAUUACAUCACAAAUAAUGUUUCAUCUUGCAUAACUCAAAGUGCCAUCAUACAGAAAGUAUGAACUAAACGGACACAUUGUCAUAUGUCGACAAUCACUCCAACAUGUCGUGCCAUCGAUCCAAGUCAAGGAGAUAGUCCCCGAGCUUAGUGAAAGGCUUCAGGUUGAGACGCUGAGCGGCAACGCGUGUUCGGACGUCUUCCCUCGACAUUUUUCCUUCUUCAUAGAACAUCCCUGUUUUUUCGAUGACCUCCCUCAUGAUGAUUUGGGCAAGUUCGCACUGGAAGUGAUAGAACUCAUCUUGAAGUCGAUGAUCCUCGAUAUCUCCUAAGUUCUUUGCCCAUUGCAGAAUAUGGGCAUCGCCGAAUCUAGGUGUCAUGCAAAGGUUCUGGUGAUCCCGUAUGUACUCCAUCAUGUGGUGUAGGACAUAGAAUCCAUCAUUAAGAGAAUCACUCAGUUGCUGGAUACAGCAGAAGCCGGUCUUAUGGCCGAAGGCGGGCCUGCCGUCCCUUUUCUUCUUGUCCUUGACCUCUCCACCCCGUGCACCGUAGUAAAACAUAGCACCGUCGAGAACAUACUUGAUGUGGGUGUAAUCCUUUUUUUUAAUGUUCUUCGAUGAGUCCAAGUAAAGAGCGUGGGAGUAUCGGGGGUAGAGGAUGAUGAGGAUGGUGCACCCGCCGCUGCGCAAAAUAAGUACACCUCAAAUUAAUUAGCCUCCACCGUGCAAAUGAAUGAUUGAAAUCGUAGGAAGGAUAUCCGCGUGGAUGACUUACAGGGGAUGAUAAGGCACAAGAAUCACCUCCUUGUCCUUAUUGGCACGCAUGAAAUUGACGAUGUAUUCCUCGCGUAUUCACGGUGCUUUGCGUGGACUCACAAGAAGACCUCGUGCAUGAAGUACCGAUCAGUGACACAGAUAUGAGGUAUUUGCUCAACCCCGAUGAGGUAGUUCAUGUGCAAGGCAUAAAGGUGGACGAAUGUAAAAUCCAGCUUCUUUAAGUGAAACAUGUCGAAGAUGUAAUCCAAUCGAAGGAAGAACUUGUUCGAGGGGAAUGUGUCGAUGUACGACAAUUGCAGCGACACGUUAACCACGGAGAGUGGGUAUGCUGGAUUUUUUGAGGCAAUGAGGCCUUUCUCUAUCAGCAACACAUCAUCAUGAAGUCUCCUUAUAUCGCCAAAUCAGGCCCCUAGCGCUGCUUUAGGUAGGAUUGGUUAACCGGGGAUACGCCAUAUUGCCGCACCGAGGAUAUCUAUACGGUCUUGAACCCGAGCCUGCUGAGGUGGCUGGAUCAUAGAAGCACCUUUGUUUCCUUUCCUCGGUGUCUUCCUUGGCUUCUUUGCUACCGGAAAGUCGUCUAUAAUAUGUUCAGCCUCUGGAGGCGGCAAUUCAGGCACCAACUCAUGCGCUCAAACCCUGAGUAGGCGCCAGUAUUGAGGUAUUGUUGAAUGUCAUCGUCGUCCUCAUCUAUGGCGAUGUCACUAGCGACAAAUCGAGCCUCUUCCUCACCCCGUCCGCUAUCACCCAGCACGACAGCCGACGCUAAUUGGGUAGGUGGGGUGUUGAUGUUCGUACCUAACUGCGUGCUCGUGUGUGUGCUCCCGGCCGCCUCCAGACAAAGCAGACUCUUUGACCACAACAGGACCCACCCAUUGCAACCACCAAGCCGCUGCGGGGUCUCGUCGUCAUCCCCUAGUAUCGGAGGAGCCAAAUUCUCGUGGCCCGGUUUGACACUGGCCACGAAAACUUUGAAGACAUACGGGGGGAUUGGUCGGCCAUGGAACAAUGGUUCCUUCGGCUUCAUUACCGUCACCUUCCCCACGUCCACCUUUUGGUCGCCGAUGUUGUACAAUAUGGUGCACGGGGUUACAUCGGCCUGCAAAGACACCGUGAGAUUAUACAUUUAUGGAAGAGGGCCGGUGUGACAGAUACCGUGAGGGCGUCGAGCUCAGCCAAAGACGAAGGACAGCUGAGCACGGCCGGUGUGGGAGCCGGUGUGGGAGCCGGUGCAGGUGCAGGUGCUGGUGCAUCGCUAGUCGUGCUACUCCCGAAGAAGUCAACAAUGGGAAAGUCCGCUGCAUUUUUUCUGGAUUUUGCAUGCUCCAAUUGAAAACGGCUGGAACCAAGACAAUAGACAUAUCUGCAACCACCUGUUUUGCGGCAGCUACCGUUAUCGUGACAGUCUCAGAUGAUUUCUUCUCUACUGCAAUCUCAACCUUCUUGUCGAUGUUUUCUUCAGUUAACCUCCAUCUUUCCUUUCUCUCCUCCGUGGUCUCACGGUAGCACUUCUUCCACGUGGCCCCGUCUCCGACACCGUGAACGCGUCCAUACGACGACCGAGUCUCCACUGGGAGUCCUUUCAAUAUGUUCAAUGCCCGGUUGAAUGGAGUGUCCCACUUGGGCCUCGCCAACGCCUCAGACGGCGAGUCUCUUUCGGUCGCAAUCUUGUGCUGCUCUCUCUACAAAAGGAACAAGGAUCAUUUACAAAUAUGACUAAACGUGCAGUCGAAUUGAUCAGAAACUAAAAUUACCAGCAGUCUCAUGAACUCCGUCGUGAUCGGGUCCGUCUUGAAAACCUUCUUGACCGAGUGCCAAUGGUGCCGUGCCCUGAGGACGUCAUGCUCCUACAGGACGGUGAAGUCCGCCAAGGGGUCUAGGAUGCCAGACUUUCGCGUUUCGUGUCCUCCUUGGCCCAUAUGGACCUCUUCCUGCUGUAACCACGGCUUCCGAGGUGGCGGUGCCCCAUGUUCCUUUGUUGAAACCCCUUCAUGUACUUUGACUUUGUUUUGGCAGUUUCAGCCUCGCAAGCCGCCUUGAAUAUUUCAAAGUGCUCUCCCGUGAUUGUCGGAUUAUCCUUUACAAUCUCGGAGUAGGGUUGAUACGUCUCCAAUGUAUCUAUUAUUUUUGAUUGCUCCAUGCUAUAUUAUCUACUGUUUUGGACAUUAUUGGGCUUUAUUAUCUACUUUUAUAUUAUAAUUUGGACUAACCUAUUAACCGGAGGCCCGAGCCCAGAAUUGCUGUUUUUUUGCCUGUCUUAGGGUUUCAAAGAAAAGGAAUAUCAAACGGAGUCCAAACGGAAUGAAACCUUCGGGAACGUGAUUUUCUCAACGAACAAGACCCAGGAGACUUUGACCCUACAUCAAGACACAAGGCGAAUCAUGUACGUAGCCACUAGUGAAACAUAUUAUCUUUAUUAUAUCUAUCAGAUCUCACUCUCGUAAGUGGCCGUGUUGGGAUUGACAACCCCUAUUCAUGUUGGUUGAGAGGAUUGAUUUGUUUUGUGCAAGUACAAAGGACUCGCGCGUAGCCUCCUAUUGGAUUAAUAGCUUGGUUCUCAAAAAGUGAGGGAAAUACUUACGCUACUUUGUUGCAUCAUCCCUUCCUCUUCGGGGAAAACCAACGCAGUGCUCAAGAGGUAGCAAGAAGGAUUUGCUGNNNNNNNNNNNNNNNNNNNNNNNNNNNNNNNNNNNNNNNNNNNNNNNNNNNNNNNNNNNNNNNNNNNNNNNNNNNNNNNNNNNNNNNNNNNNNNNNNNNNNNNNNNNNNNNNNNNNNNNNNNNNNNNNNNNNNNNNNNNNNNNNNNNNNNNNNNNNNNNNNNNNNNNNNNNNNNNNNNNNNNNNNNNNNNNNNNNNNNNNNNNNNNNNNNNNNNNNNNNNNNNNNNNNNNNNNNNNNNNNNNNNNNNNNNNNNNNNNNCCUCCACCCUCGUGGGCCCCCUGUUGCUCCACCGACGUACUCCUUCCUCCUAUAUAUACCUACGUACCCCCAAACGAUCAUAUACGGAGCCAAAACCCUAAUUCCACCGCCACAACUUUCUGUAUCCACGAGAUCCCAUCUUGGGGCCUGUUCCGGAGCUCCGCCGGAGGGGGCAUCAAUCACGGAGGGCUUCUACAUCAACACCAUAACCUCUCCGAUGAAGUGUGAGUAGUUCACCUCAAACCUACGGUUCCAUAGUUAUUAGCUAGAUGGCUUCUUCUCUCUUUUUGGAUCUAAAUACAAUGUUCUCCCCCUCUCUUGUGGAGAAUUAUUCGAUGUAAUCUUAUUUUUGCGGUGUGUUUAUUGAGACCGAUGAAUUGUGGGUUUAUGAUCAAGUCUCUCUAUGAAUAAUAUUUCAAUCUUCUCUGAAUUAUUUUAUGUAUGAUUGGUUAUCUUUGCAAGUCUCCUCGAAUUAUCAGUUUGGUUUGGCCCACUAGAUUGAUCUUUCUUGCAAUGGGAGAAGUGCUUAGCUUUGGGUUCAAUCUUGCGGUGUCCUUUCCCAGUGACAGUAGGGGCAGCAAGGCACGUAUUGUAUUGUUGCCAUCAUGGACAACAAAAUGGGGUUUUCAUCAUAUUGCAUCAGUCUAGCCCUCUACAUCAUGUUAUCUUGCUUAAGGCGUUAAUUUGUUUUUAACUUAAUACUCUAGAUGCAUGCUGGAUAGCGGUCGAUGAGUGGAGUAAUAGUAGUAGAUGCAGGCAAGAGCGGUCUACUUGUCUCGGACAUGAUGCCUAUAUACAUGAUGAUACCUAGAUAUUCUCAUAACUAUGCUCAAUUCUGUCAAUUGCUGAACAGUAAUUUGUUCACCCACCGUAGAAUACUUAUGCUCUCGAGGGAAGCCACUAGUGAAACCUAUGGCCCCGGGUCUAUCUUUAUCAUAUUAAUCUUCUACUACUUAGUUAUUUCCUUUGCUUUUUACUUUUCCUUUAUUUUACUUUGCAUCUUUAUCACCAAAAUACCAAUAAAAUUAUCUUUAUCAUAUCUAUCAAAUCUCACUCUGGUAAGUGGCCGUGUAGGGAUUGACAACCCCUAUUCGUGUUGGUUGCGAGGAUUUAUUUGUUUUGUGCAGGUACGAGGGACUCGCGCGUAGCCUCCUACUGGAUUGAUACCUUGGUUCUCAAAACCUGAGGGAAAUACUUACGCUACUUUGCUGCAUCAUCCCUUCCUGUUCGGGGAAAACCAACGCAGUGCUCAAGAGGUAGCAAGGGUUCCUUUUUGUCGACGAUCCGAUGUUUCAACCUUGUUUUCCAGGCGGCCAACGCGUCGCUAAACUUGGGCAUGGCGUGUUUGUUUAUCUUCUUCAUUGCCACGUCCUUAUCUGGAUCAUUAUUAUCCUUUUCAUUGCAGUCAGGGAACAAGAAUAUCUGGUGCAGCUUCUUUAGGAGGGAGGGCCUCAUAUUAUCUAUCUUCUGUAGUUUCCCAUCGUUGAUCGUGGCAGUUGUCCGUACGAUGCAACCUAUUUGAUUGCCGUAGCACGAUCGCGCUUCCUCGGGCGCUAUUGUCUCAAAAAUACCGUUGUCCAUCUCCGUGACCACCAGUCUAGUACUCAUGAGCUGGUUUGGGUGCCGUGGCCUCUUUGCUUUCGGUUCUAGACCAGCUCCGCUAGUCUCGGCGCCGGUCUCAGUCUCAUCACCGGUCUGCAUGUCGGUAUCAGUCCCCGAUGCGACAGCACAGUCGCUGCAACAUGGGUAAGGGAGACCACAUCAGUGCUGGGGUGGUCUGAAAAUUGGGACACACUUUCGCGCAUUGCGGGCCGCCUCUCAGACAGCUACUGGGGAGGCGGCGGAGUACCUGGGUGCGCGACGAAUCCCCGGGAACUCGGUGACCAACUUCCUUCCCAUGUAGCGCAUGGAGACGAUGGCGACCCCGCCGAAGAGCAGCUUAGUUGCGAGCUGCACAGCCUCGUCCACCUCCUAAGUUGGGACCUCCGCGCGAGCGUUGCGGGGCCGCCGCUCGGAUGGCUUCUGGAAGGCGCUUGUACAUGGGCACAGGGUGAAUCCCGGCAAGAGCUGGCCAUUGGUGCGCGCAAGUAGACGACGACGUCGCCGACGAAGAGCAGCCCGGCCAGCUCGCCUCACUCUCCUUUGAUUAGAAUUGAAAGAUUGGGAAGAAGCAGACUUGAGCCUGCAGGGAAAGGAUAAGGUGACGAUGCAGUCUCCACUCGUUCGGGGCGACACGCGUACUGAAUGUAUGAGAAACGCGACGUGGCAGGGACCCCAAGAUACUCCCUCCAUUUAUUUUUAGUCUGCAUAUAAAGUUUGGUCAAAGUCAAGAUUUGUAAAUUUUAACUAACUUUAUAAUAAAAAAAAUCAACAUUCACAAUAUGAAAUAAUUAUUACCAGAUGCGUCAUGAAAUGUAUUUCCAUACUAUAUAGGUUUGGUAAUGUAGAUGUUCAUAUUCUUUUAUAUAAAUGGGAAGUAGAGGCACUCUUCCAUAUAAUGAAGUUUAUAAUAUAUGUGCUUAUAUUAUACUAUAAUUGUUUGAAUAACUUAGCAUAUGUUCAGAUGUAUGAUAUCUGUAAUUUAAGCGCUUGAAUUUUACAUAUAAAUAUUUAUUAAUAAAUAUGUACCCCUAUAAUAGCUAGGCCGUGCAGUUGCACGGGUAGAUGACUAGUGAUUACAAUCUUGUUUGUGUGCAAGUCAAGCUUAUCUAGUUUACACGUAACAACUUGUAGAACAUUACAAAAUUUAUGCUUGCUAAUAACUUCUAGAACACUACAACACUUGACAUGUAAAAGGAAUUUGACGAGUCAUGGCCUACUAAAGAAAGUUACAUUACUAGUCUUAUAUCUAUCUUAAUAGACCACACAAGACUACAAAUUAAGUACCGUGACAGCCAUGAUUAUCUAGUUUAUGCGUAACAAUUUGCAGAAAAUUACAAACUUAGUUUUAGAAAAAUAGGCAAUCCAGAUUAGUGUUUGAGCUGUAAAGUGAAUAAGAUGAGUCAUGCGUGUUAUCACACCUUUUUGGUGGUGGAAUGAUAGUGCAAAACAAGGAACUUUAAUGAACAGUCCAAUAAUACACUUGUAAGUAGUGCCACCAAACAGAACAUACCAAAUGAUGAUUUUGAGAAGCAUCCAAGCACUUUCCACACAAACAAAUGCCAAUUGUGAAAGAGAUCAUUCCAUGGCAGCUAUAAAUAGCCCCGUAGCAUGACGAUCAUCCUUCCUCAUCCAUCAUUCUCAUAAGUAGAGCGCAUCAUUUAAGCCAAGCAAGCUGUGGUCAAUACAAAUCCACCAUGAAGACAUUUCUCAUCCUUGCCCUCCUUGCUAUCGUGGCGACCACCGCCACAACUGCAGUUAGAGUUCCAGUGCCACAAUUGCAGCCACAAAAUCCAUCUCAGCAACAGUCACAAGAGCAAGUUCCAUUGGUACAACAACAACAAUUUCUAGGGCAGCAACAACCAUUUCCACCACAACAACCAUAUCCACAGCCGCAACCAUUUCCAUCACAACAACCAUAUCUGCAGCUGCAACCAUUUCCGCAGCCGCAACUACCAUAUUCGCAGCCACAACCAUUUCGACCACAACAACCAUAUCCACAACCGCAACCACAAUAUUCGCAACCACAACAUCCAAUUUCACAGCAGCAGCAGCAGCAACAACAACAACAACAACAAGAACAACAAAUACUUCAACAAAUUUUGCAACAACAACUGAUUCCAUGCAUGGAUGUUGUAUUGCAGCAACACAACAUAGCGCAUGGAAGAUCACAAGUUUUGCAACAAAGUACUUACCAGCUGUUGCAAGAAUUGUGUUGUCAGCACCUAUGGCAGAUCCCUGAGCAGUCGCAGUGCCAGGCCAUCCACAAUGUUGUUCAUGCUAUUAUUCUGCGUCAACAACAAAAACAACAACAACAACCAUCGAGCCAGGUCUCCUUCCAACAGCCUCAGCAACAAUAUCCAUUAGGCCAGGGCUCCUUCCGGCCAUCUCAGCAAAACCCACAGGCCCAGGGCUCUGUCCAGCCUCAACAACUGCCCCAGUUCGAGGAAAUAAGGAACCUAGCGCUACAGACGCUACCUGCAAUGUGCAAUGUCUACAUCCCUCCAUAUUGCACCAUCGCGCCAUUUGGCAUCUUUGGUACUAACUAAGAAGAAAAUAACUCUAGUACUAGAUAUAUGAAACACCGUUUUCUCAGUCCAUGGUUUGGUCGUUGUAGCGGUGAAAAAAUAAAGUGACAUGCACUAUCAUGUAAGAACCCAAACUAUACUAGUUCAAACUUGGGAAUAAAAGACAAACACAGGUCUUGUCUACAUAUUUAUGCUGCAUCUAUUUAUAUAUUAAAAGUAAUAUAAGGUGAACCAGGAGCAAGGUAAAUAUGGUAGAAAAUUGCACGUUAAUUAGAAAUUACUAGCCCUCGAUCUGGUAAAUCUUAACAAAUAUAAUUAUCUUGACCGUUAGAUUUAUGUAACAUAUAUAAUGCUCUAGGCCUCCAACGACUGUACGUGACACAUCUGAACGCAGAUAUGUUAAAGAAAAUAUAUUUGGUAAAUGGUGGGCCUCUUUAAAAAGAGAACUUACGUACAUACACCAACUAAGAAAAACACAUACAUGUAAACGGGAAAAGGAUGAGAUUUUCUCACAUACGUGUGUUGAUGCUUAAAAGUGGCAUGAUCAUAAAGCAGCAUGCCAGGGUGAAAACCUUGCCGGGGUAAAAUCUUGCCGGUGUGAAAGCUUGCCGGUGUGAAGGCUUGCCGGUGUGGAAAGCUUGCCGGCACAGAAAGAUCGCCGGUGCUUGCCGGUGUGAAAUCUUGCCGGGGGAGAAACCUUGUCAGGGAGGAACCCUUGCCGGAGUACAAACCUUGCCGUAGUGAAACCUUGCCGGUGUGAAAGCUUGCCGGGUAGAAACAUUGCCGGUGUGGAAAGCUUACUCGGAUGGAAAACUUGCCGGGUUGGAGGCUGUGAUAGUCAAUCGAACGAGAAGUUGAAGAUGGGCUCAAAAGGUUAUUCAGAUGAUCUCGGAUGGAAAAAUGAUCUACAGGGGUUGUCUUCGUCUCGUCGAAACGAUCGAUUUUGAUAUAAAAAUCAUUCAAAUCCGAGUUCGUAUGCAAAAUUUAGAGCAAUCGGAGUGCAGCCCUGUCACGAGGCGAGAUGUGGCGCGCCCCACCAAACACAUGUCUGACGGGUAGCGCGAGGAAAUAGCCUGUGUUGCGAGACCGAUCUGACCCUCAAGAUGAUCUCUGAUCCAAAAACCUUCAACAUGAAAGUUGUUCGUCUCAUCGAAACGGUCAAGAUUGCUUUUGGGCUUGUUUUCAUCCGGGAUCGUUUACCACCGCAAAAAAGACCCGCAAGGUGCAGCCAGUUUAAACCGAACAGUUUUGGAAAGUUUGGAUAAACCAGUCCGAAUUUGACUAGGGUUUUGGACGUGAAUUGAUGUAAUUUUCUUGUAAGGAAAGCCUAGAUAAAUUCUUUGCUUGUACGGGAAGUCCAGCUGCCUCUUAUAUAUGUUGGGGGUGACGGGCGAUUGAAACAACACACAAUCGAACAAACACAUCUACUACUUUUUCGUGUUCAUCUACUUUUUAUCUCUCCCUUGUAUCUUUCUUCUCGUUCUUCGCUAGUUCUUCUUGCUGGAGGCUGCGGAUCCACGAGGCUCUAGGGGCGAGCGAAUCGACCUAGGGCAGCCCUGACGGGGUCCCUCCCGGGUGCGCGGGGUUUCGGGUCUGCAAAAGCGCCCGCCGACUGUCUUGCGUAUCACGCUAUCGGUCGGGUCUCCUUCGACGUGAGCUGCGGUGCAUCACCCCCGGCAUCGAGGGUACACGUGACGUGUUCGUGUGCGAACACACUUUUUCGCGACUCCACUGGGGACGAAGCUUUGAAUAGUCUCCAGCCUGUUCUUGCUACGAGGAGAGCGUCAUCAAGCGACUGCAUUCUACAACGGUAACAUGUAUCAUCAAUCUCCUUGCGUAGAUGCAAAUAGCCAUUAUGUUGAUGUUGCUAGAUCUUUCAAUGGACAUGUGAUGUCGGCCAGCCCUAAUGAGGAAAGGCCGACUAGUUAUUCCAUUGGAGAAACUUGGAAUUUACAGAAUCGUGACAUGCAACUUAUGAAUCUGAACUUUCGUGCAUCGGCAACAACUUUCAAUAUGCCGGUGAACAACACGAUUUGUUCGAGUGAUCAAUAUAGGACACCUCAUGUAAAAGUUUUAUCCAUCGGCAGCCGACUCGCAAUAUGCUGGUUCAUCCCCAAACAUGCCGAUGAAUGGGGGAAUCAGCCAUGCUUCUGUUAGCUAUUUGGCCGGUUAUCCUCAAACAUCAUAUACUACACCUCAUCCGAUUAAUUGUUCAGUGGCAUAUGAAACUAAAAAUAUUAAUAACACGGCUCACGUUCACGGUCAUGGACGAGUGAAUGGGGAUACUAUAGGAGCAUAUGUGUGUGACGCCCCCAAUUUAAUCGUACACUAAUCAUACACGCAAACAUGUACGAUCAAGAUCAGGGACUCACGGGAAGAUAUCACAACACAACUCUACAAAUAAAAUAAGUCAUGCAAGCAUCAUAUUACAAGCCAGGGGCCUCGAAGGCUCGAAUACAAGAGCUCGAUCAUAGACGAGUCAGCGGAAGCAACAAUAUCUGAGUACAGACAUAAGUUAAACAAGUUUGCCUUAAGAAGGCUAGCACAAACUGGGAUACAGAUUGAAAGAGGCACAGGCCUCCUGCCUGGGAACCUCCUAACUACUCCUGGUCGUCGUUCUGAGGGCAGCACGUAGUAGUAGGCACCUCCAGCGUAGUAGGAGUCGUCGUCGACGAUGGCGUCUGGAUCCUGGGCUCCAGCAUCUGGUUGCGACAACCAGGUAGAAGGGAUAGAGGGAAAAGAAGGAGAAAGCAACCGUGAGUACUCAUCCAAAGUACUCGCAAGCAAGGAGCUACACUACAUAUGUAUGCGUUGGUAUCAACUGGAAUAAGGCUAUUAUAUGUGGACUGAACUGCAGAAAGCCGGAAUACGAGGGAGAUAGCUAGUCCUUUCGAAGACUACGCUUUUGGUAACCUCCAUCUUGCAGCAUGUAGAAGAGAGUAGACGGAAGUCCUCCAAGUAGCAUCGCAUAGCAUAAACCUAACCGAUGAUCCUCCCCUCGUCGCCCUGUGCGAGAGCGAUCACCGGUUGUAUCUGGCUCUUGGAAGGGUGUGUUUUAUUAAGUAUCCGGUUCUAGUUGUCAUAAGGUCAAGGUACAACUCCGGGUCGUCCUUUUAUCGAGGGACACGGCUAUUCGAAUAGAUAAACUUCCCUGCAGGGGUGCACCACAUAACCCAACACGCUCGAUCCCAUUUGGCCGGACACACUUUUCUGGGUCAUGCCCGGCCUCGGAAGAUCAACACGUCGUAGCCCUACCUAGGCACAACAGAGAGGUCAGCACGCCGGUCUAAAUCCUAUGGCGCAGGGGUCUGGGCCCAUCGCCCUUUGCACACCUGCACGUUGCGAACGCGGCCGGAAGCAGACCUAGCCUAGUGGCGUUCCAGUCCAAUCCGGCGCGCGCCACUCAGUCACUGAUGUCACGAAGGCUUCGGCUGAUACCACGACGUCGAGUGGCCAUAACUGUCCCCGCAUAGAUGGUUAGUGCGUAUAAGCCAGAUGGCCAGACUCAGAUCAAAUACCCAGAUCUCGUUAAGCGUGUUAUGUAUCCGCGAACACCGACCAGGGCCAGGACCACCUCUCUCCUACGUGGUCUGAACCUGCCCUGUCGCUCCGCCACAAAGUAACAGUCGGGGGCCGUCGGGAACCCAGGCCCACCUCUACCGGGAUGGAGCCACCUACCCCUUCAGCCCCAACUACGAACAGUACCACAGGUAAUGUAACAGUGUAAAGUAUAUAGUAAAUGCCCGUGAUCACCUCCCGAAGUGAUCACGGCCCAGUAGUAUAGCAUGGCAGACGGACAAGAGAGUAGGGCCACUGAUGGAACACUAGCAUCCUAUACUAAGCAGUAGGAUAGCAGGUAAUGGUAACAAUAGUAGUAGCAAGGACAGGCUAUGCAUCAGGAUAGGAAUAACGGAAAGCAGUAACAUGCUACACUACUUUAAUGCAAGCAGUAUAGAGAAGAGUAGGCGAUAUCUGGUGAUCAAAGGGGGGGCUUGCCUGGUUGCUAUGGCAAGAGAGAGCGGUCGUCAACACCGUAGUCGUACUGUGUAGCAGCGCCGUCAGUCUCGGUGUCUAGCGAGAGAAGAGGGGGAGGAAACAAUAAAUAUAAUGCAAACAAAUGCAUGAUGAUGCAUGACACGACAAAGCGUGAUGCUAGGUGUGCCCUAACGCGGUACGAGGUGGUACCGGUGAAGGGGGGAAACAUCCGGGAAAGUAUUCCCGGUGUUUCGCGUUUUCGGACAGAGGAGUCAGAGGGGGAAAGUUGCGUGUUCGGUAUGCUAGGGAGGCGUGGUGGACGAACGGGUUGUCUAUCCGAGUUCGUCUCGUCGUUCUGAGCAACUUUCAUGUUGAAAAUAAUUUAAUCCGAGUUACGUAUUAAAAGAUAUGGUUUUCUAAAGAUUUUACUAAUUUCUGGAAUUUAAUUAAUUAUUUAAUUUAAUUUGAAAUUUGGAUUUAUGACAUCAGCAUGAUGUCAUGCUGACAUCAGCAGUCAACAUGGGUUGACUAGGUCAACUGAUGCGUGGGUCCAGUGGGACCCACCUGUCAUACUAUAUUAGGUUAAUUAGGGUUUAGUUAAUUGAUUAGGCUAAUCUAAUCAGGAUUACUUUGUUUAAUUAAUUCUUUAAUUAAUUAAUUAUCAUUUUAACUAAUUUUAAUUAUUAUUUAUUAAUUCAUUCAUUUUUUUAAAUUAUUAUUUUUAUUUCGUUCUCGUUUCAGGGGGGCGUGGGGCCCCGCACACAGGGCCACCGCGAGGCUGUUGCCAGCGGGCGCUGGGGCGAUGGGUGCGGGCGCACCCGAGCGGGCACUCGCCCGCAGGGCGGGAUGAGCCGCCGGCGGGCAGCGACAGGCGCGUGCCAACCGGGCGGUGGCCGCGGCUGAUAGGGCGCAGGAAGGGGAGAGGCGAGAACGCGACGCACGGGGAAGCAGCAUCAGGGGCGAGGAGCACCACGGGACGAAGCGCAGCGGGCGCCGGUCNNNNNNNNNNNNNNNNNNNNNNNNNNNNNNNNNNNNNNNNNNNNNNNNNNNNNNNNNNNNNNNNNNNNNNNNNNNNNNNNNNNNNNNNNNNNNNNNNNNNNNNNNNNNNNNNNNNNNNNNNNNNNNNNNNNNNNNNNNNNNNNNNNNNNNNNNNNNNNNNNNNNNNNNNNNNNNNNNNNNNNNNNNNNNNNNNNNNNNNNNNNNNNNNNNNNNNNNNNNNNNNNNNNNNNNNNNNNNNNNNNNNNNNNNNNNNNNNNNNNNNNNNNNNNNNNNNNNNNNNNNNNNNNNNNNNNNNNNNNNNNNNNNNNNNNNNNNNNNNNNNNNNNNNNNNNNNNNNNNNNNNNNNNNNNNNNNNNNNNNNNNNNNNNNNNNNNNNNNNNNNNNNNNNNNNNNNNNNNNNNNNNNNNNNNNNNNNNNNNNNNNNNNNNNNNNNNNNNNNNNNNNNNNNNNNNNNNNNNNNNNNNNNNNNNNNNNNNNNNNNNNNNNNNNNNNNNNNNNNNNNNNNNNNNNNNNNNNNNNNNNNNNNNNNNNNNNNNNNNNNNNNNNNNNNNNNNNNNNNNNNNNNNNNNNNNNNNNNNNNNNNNNNNNNNNNNNNNNNNNNNNNNNNNNNNNNNNNNNNNNNNGGCCUGGGGUUUGUCCUAGCUAGCAGCUGGGCCGAGUGGCCCAGUGGGGGGGGGGUUGUUUUAUUCCUUUCCCUUUUAUACCUUUUCACACUUUUCUUCUUUUGUUUUAUUUUAGUUACACAUUAAUUUUAAUUUUUGACAAAUAUAUCUAUAGCCCCUAAAAUAAUGUUUCAGAACAAUCCACUACUAUAGAAAGUUUUACCCUGAUAAAAUAGUCUAGUAUUUUAUAAAAUACCAAACUCGUUUAAAUAGUUGUUUAGCUACUAUUUAAAUCAUUUUAGUGCUUUAAAUCUUUUUACUAAAAUGUGGUUCCUCCACCAUUUGGACUUAGGAUUUAUUUGUCCCAUUUUGAACAUUUUAGUCUUAACGUUUGAAGAAUUUACCGUUUGACUCGAUUUUGAAUUUGAAUUUGAAUCGGUGUCGAACUAACACGAGAUUAGCAACAGUAACCAUCGUGACGUGGCAUCAUUAACAGAGGUUUACUGUAUAUCAAAUACCCGGGCGUCACAAUUCUCCUCCACUACAAGAAAUCUCGUCCCGAGAUUUAAGAGGGGAGUAUGGGGGAAAGAUCUGGUUACGAAAUUCUAACGAGUCUUCUCGGUCUUGCUUGCUCUUGUCGAAAUGGUCGAUCCAUUAUGUUGAUGUUUUCAUUUCUCUGCUUCAGGUCAUCAUGGUGAAGUCGUCCUUUUCUUCGGGAACUCCAACGUGCUUACGAAUAGGUAAGGGGCAGCUUGGCUACGACAGAAUGCUUAUGAGGGAAACAAUCUGGUGAUAACCCAUGAAUGAACAUAAGAUUAUCUCUCGAGUUGAACAUAUAAAAUACAUCAAGAGUAAGGUACGAAGGUACCAUGAGAAGUUUCAAACGGAUAGGCAAUCGUUCGAUGUCUGAAACAACACGCGAAAGGGGUCCAGAGCAACGAGAUUGAGUAUUGCGUCUGUUACCAGAAUAGAUCACUAGGACGGUGGUCUGUGAAUUACAUACAAGGUCACGCACGAGGAAUAACUUUAGGAACAGGGGGUGUACAGGAGAGUCAGGUUCGAUCCUGUGGAACUGUGGGUUAUGGGCCCACCAUGUGGGUUAAAGUAGGAAGGGCAGUGACGUCUUGCAAGAUCAUGUAAGCAAGGCAUGUCAGAGGAUAGCCUGUCAGCUAUGUCGACGACAACAUCGAUACCAAGGGCGAGGGACGAAGAGAACCAUUUUCCUGCUCGUUGAACGAGGCGGACCAAUAAGAAAAGUUCUCGUCCAUCAGUGGUUACCAGAAUGUCAUCAACAAAGGUAAUAGGGUCUUUCUGACAGAGUGGUACAACGAGGUGACUGCUUAUAUAAUAUAGAUUACAAGAAGGUUUAAACAGAACAAUGGAAAGGAAAAUGUGUGUAAACACACAUUUCAAGGGUAUAUCCUUCCCAAGGACAAGCAAAGCAAGAUAUCCAUGAAAGGAUAUAAUGUAGAAAACUCUUUAGGUAAGGUGAGAGAAAUUUCAUGACAUUACCCAUACAAUGGUGUUUGGAUAAAUGAGCGAGAAACAUUUAGCAUUGGGCUUCAAAUGUUCUUUGUGGAAAAUUGGAGUACCACAGACAUGCUUCGAGAUAGCGUUGGCGUGGUAUUCAAGCAAAGGUCAGACUUAGGAUGCACAAAGGAUUCAUCAGGAACAACUUAUAGAAUAAGUCUUACCAUUUCUCAAGGAAGAAUAGAUAACCUUGCUAAAAAGAAAAACUAUAACAUUAGGUCCUCCGACCAGGUGGGCUAGGCAUGCUAUCACCUUACUGGGUUAUAUUGAUAACAAUGUUAUAACUCUUGGAAAUAUGUCUCAACCAUCAUAUCUGACCGAGAUUCAGAUCCGAUUGGUGUCAGGAUACAUCAGACAUCAGGAUGCCUGAGAAGAGAAGGUGCAACACAAUUUAACGAGAUGACACUGCGAGAAUCUCAGAAAUGAUCUAUGGAAGCGAGUUCCGAAGCAAGAGUUCAUCAUUAAACCAAGGAGAGGAUGAGGGGUGGCUGAUGAACUAACGGCAAUUCAUCGAGAUUUCCAAAAGAUGGAUUUCCACAAUCAUGUGAACAAAGAGUUAACAUUUGUCAGAUCAAACAAUAUAAUGAGGUGUGCUCGAGGAAAACAUACUCAAUUAAACAUUGGUGGAAAGCUGCACCCAAAAUAUGGGCUUAGGUAGCCUGAUCAAUGUUGGAACGGUGAUUCGAUAACCAAUAUUCUAAGAAUGAAAGGUCGACCAUUAACUUCAAAGCAAUAUGGUUGCUAGAAGUACAGAAUCCAAGCAACAACGUUCACCUGUUGGUAUCCCGGUUAGAAUCAACACGGGAACCAAGAAAGAAUGAUGAUGGUGAGGAGUAUCGCUAUACCAAGAAUUCUCAAGAGGUGGAGCAAUCCUCACAACAUACAUGUCAUCAAGGACAUUGAUACUUCAAGGUAGAAUAUCAUAAAAGCUAGAUAGCAAGUUGCAUCCAUAACAUGGACAAGUUUGUGUUGGGGGAAGGCAAGAAAGUGAUCGAUGAUAACACAAAUCAUCGAGGGCAAGGAUGGUACUUUUCAUUAUGAAUUCGAUUGAUAUCCUGCAAGAGCUCAAGAUGUGGGUGCUGAUGACGACACAUUUGUCGAGAGAUUUCAUGAAGAUGUAGUCUAUCGGCGAUGACAUCAAGUCAAAGGAAUUAUGAAGCAAAAGGUUAUCGGAACCAUGGGUACGACACAAACUCAAAAUCAAGCUUGUUGUUCAAGGUGAAAGAUAUGACGAGAAAGAUCAACGUAAGCUUAGCUCAUCGUUGAAAGUUGUGUUCCGGGAAGAAGGACCAGGUAGCACAGUUAAAAUUUAGCACGGUAAUGAUAUAGCCAACCGGGCUAGGAAUGACUUGAAGGAUUAUUAAACUCAUAAGCAGUAAAAAUUACUUAUAGUUAUUGAAUCGAAGUACAGACUCGAUUCACUGUCGGUGUCCUUGAGUGUCUAACAACUCAGAACCCGGGGAAAAUUUUGGAACCAGUGAGAAAUAAUACUUGAAGAAUAACUCAUAAGAAGUUAUGCAGUUCCAUGAUAAUCUCGAGAUACCAGGGGGUAAUACUCGACGACAGAUCAAAGUAGAGGUUGGACUAGGGAUUGCUCUGUAGAAGACAAGUGCUCAAACUUGCACGAGAAAUGGAAUCAAGGAGAAACAUGGUCGAAACCUCGUCCACAGGUACAAGAUGAACUUAUAACAAGUGGACAAUUAUUUUAAGAGAAGCUUCCAUGAUAAGGUAUACAUCGUGUCCAUGGGCAUGAACACAGGGUUCAAGGUCGACUCCCACUUAUUCAACACAUAACCUUUCAUGCACCUCUCGUAUUUCAAAAAUGACAUUAGUUCUUGAAAGUUUUUACCUGGUGCAAUACCAGAUACAUAUUACCCGUGAAAUCUUUCGGGUUCACACGGAUUAGGCAAGGCGUAGGUUCAACCCAUCAGGGCAUCUUAGGAACAUAUACCACAAACUUCGGAGUAAAUAAUACAAGCUUGAAAGUAGAGCAUGGUUGACAAAAGGGGAGGAUACAAUUUACCACAGGCAUUAUGUAUCGGAGAAAGAACUCACAAGGUGAUUAAUUUUGAAGGACACUGUCGGAUAAUAAUCCAACAGUGGAAUUGGCGAUCCACAAUGGAGCUGAUGUGAGUAUCGAUACCCAAUCAGAGGAAGAAAGAAUGCAAAUGCAUCGGUUUAUAGAACAUCUGAAUAAUUCAACGUUUAAAUAGCAAAGGAAUUAUGAUUUUCAAAUCAAGGGAUCGGGAGCAAAUGCUCUGAUUAGGGAUGGGUAAGUAGAAUAGCCUUAGGGGUACAUGCGACGACAUUUGGAUUUGUUGAGAACCAGCUCAUGUUUAAAAUGACGUCUGAGCCGGAAUGAUAAUUUAAAAGGAUCAACUGAUGAUUGCGUGCAUUCGCACUCAUGUUGAGUCAAUAGGAUCAAAAAGACGAUGCCUAAGGAUACUAACGAAUAUUUCCAGACAUAUGGAAAGCAUCCAUAAUGCAAGCAGGCAAGUAUUGCAGAGCAAUAAGCUACUAAGGAUUUUUGGAGGAUCGAAUAGUAUUUUGAAGACCAUUGUGAAACACAUGAACAACUGGGGAUGAGUGGAUACUCGACAAGUGCGAGGAUUUAAUUGAAGGGGUAUUCAUGUGGCAAGGAACUGCUAGGCAGUAGGCACAAAGUAUUCUCGGAACAAUAGAGAGAAUUUUGGGGCAUCUUGUAAUAACAAGAUCAAUGAGGAAUGAUUAUAUGAAUAGCACAUGUAGGUGGUUAUCCAUAGAGGUCUAUCGAUAGAAGGGAAUUGCAAAAGCAACAGGCACAAGGUCUCGACAGAAUAUCGGAGAGUAUCUUCGAAAUCUUCUAGUGUAGUCGGCGAUCAUCUGGAUUGAAAGGGCUCUCCGGGAGAAAGUAUUUUCGAGAACCUAAGUUAGAUUUUUAGUAAAUUCAUUAAACCCGAAUAGGAGGGAGUUCAGAGUCCCAGAGCAUAGACGAGGAAUAAAAGAUCCUAAUACCACCCAAUGGCGACGUGGGCCCAUAGGCCACACAGCCAUGUUAGUAAAGGUUUUGCAAUGACUAGACUCAACUUCGGCCAAGGAGGUGGAAAGGGGAUUCCUACAGGCAGUCGGCUCUGAUACCAACUUGUGACACCCCCGAUUUAAUCGUACACUAAUCAUACACGCAAACGUGUACGAUCAAGAUCAGGGACUCACGGGAAGAUAUCACAACACAACUCUACAAAUAAAAUAAGUCAUACAAGCAUCAUAUUACAAGCCAGGCGCCUCGAAGGCUCGAAUACAAGAGCUCGAUCAUAGACGAGUCAGCGGAAGCAACAAUAUCUGAGUACAGACAUAAGUUAAACAAGUUUGCCUUAAGAAGGCUAGCACAAACUGGGAUACAGAUCGAAAGAGGCGCAUGCCUCCUGCCUGGGAUCCUCCUAACUACUCCUGGUCGUCGUUCUGAGGGCAGCACAUAGUAGUAGGCACCUCCAGUGUAGUAGGAGUCGUCGUCGACGAUGGCGUCUGGAUCCUGGGCUCCAGCAUCUGGUUGCGACAACCAGGUAGAAGGGAUAGAGGGAAAAGAAGGAGAAAGCAACCGUCAGUACUCAUCCAAAGUACUCGCAAGCAAGGAGCUACACUACAUAUGUAUGCGUUGGUAUCAACUGGAAUAAGGCUAUUAUAUGUGGAUUGAACUGCAGAAAGCCGGAAUACGAGGGGGAUAGCUAGUCCUUUCGAAGACUACGCUUCCGGUAACCUCCAGCUUGCAGCAUGUAGAAGAGAGUAGACGGAAGUCCUCCAAGUAGCAUCGCAUAGCAUAAACCUAACCGAUGAUCCUCCCCUCGUCGCCCUAUGAGAGAGCGAUCACCGGUUUUAUCUGGCUCUUGGAAGGGUGUGUUUUAUUACGGUUCUAGUUGUCAUAAGGUCAAGGUACAACUCCGGGUCGUCCUUUUACCGAGGGACACGGCUAUUCGAAUAGAUAAACUUCCCUGCAGGGGUGCACCACAUAACCCAACACGCUCGAUCCCAUUUGGCCGAACACACUUUUCUAGGUCAUGCCCGUCCUCGGAAGAUCAACACGUCGCAGCCCUACCUAGGCACAACAGAGAGGUCAGCACGCCGGUCUAAAUCCUAUGGCGCAGGGGUCUGGCCCCAUCGCCCUUUGCACACCUGCAUGUUGCGGACGCGGCCGGAAGCAGACCUAGCCUAGUGGCGUUCUAGUCCAAUCCGGCGCGCGCCACUCAGUCGCUGACGUCACGAAGGCUUCGGCUGAUACCACGACGUUGAGUGCCCAUAACUGUCCCCACGUAGAUGGUUAGUGCGUAUAAGCCAGAUGGCCAGACUCAGAUCAAAUACCCAGAUCUCGUUAAGCGUGUUAAGUAUCUGCGAACGCCGACCAGGGCCAGGCCCACCUCUCUCCUAGGUGGUCUGAACCUGCCCGGUCGCUUCGCCACAAAGUAACAGUCGGGGGCCGUCGGGAACCCAGGCCCACCUCUACCGGGAUGGAGCCACCUGCCCCUUUAGCCCCCAACUCCGAACAGUACCAUAGGUAAUGUAACAGUGUAAAGUAUAUAGUAAAUGCCCGUGAUCACCUCCCGAAGUGAUCACGGCCCAGUAGUAUAGCAUGGCAGACGGACAAGAGUGUAGGGCCACUAAUGGAACACUAGCAUCCUAUACUAAGCAGUAGGAUAGCAGGUAAUGGUAAUAAUAUUAGUAGCAAGGACAGGCUAUGCAUCAGGAUAGGAAUAACGGAAAGCAGUAACAUGCUACACUACUCUAAUGCAAGCAGUAUAGAGAAGAGUAGGCGAUAUCUGGUGAUCAAAGGGGGGGCUUGCCUGGUUGCUCUGGCAAGAGAGAGGGGUCGUCAACACCGUAGUCGUACUGUGUAGCAGCAACGUCGGUCUCGGUGUCUAGCGAGAGAAGAGGGGGAGGAAACAAUAAAUAUAAUGCAAACAAAUGCAUGACGAUGCAUGACACGACAAAGCGUGAUGCUAGGUGUGCCCUAACGUGGUACGAGGUGGUACCGGUGAAGGGGGGAAACAUCCGAGAAAGUAUUCCCGGUGUUUCACAUUUACGGACAGAGGAGUCAGAGGGGGAAAGUUGCGUGUUCGGUAUGCUAGGGAGGCGUGGUGGACGAACGAGUUGCGUAUCCGGGUUCGUCUCGUCGUUCUGAGCAACUUUCAUGUUGAAAAUAAUUUAAUCCGAGUUACGUAUUAAAAGAUAUGGUUUUCUAAAGAUUUUACUAAUUUCUGGAAUUUAAUUAAUUAUUUAAUUUAAUUUGAAAUAUGGAUUUAUGACAUCAGCAUGAUGUCAUGCUGACAUCAGCAGUCAACAUGGGUUGACUGGGUCAACUGACGCGUGGGUCCAGUGGGACCCAUGAAGGAAAUAUGCCCUAGAGGCAAUAAUAAAGUUAUUAUUUAUUUCCUUAUAUCAUGAUAAGAGUUUAUUAUUCAUGCUAGAAUUGUAUUAACCGGAAACAUAAUACAUGUGUGAAUACAUAGACCAACAGAGUGUCACUAGUAUGCCUCUACUUGACUAGCUCGUUAAUCAAAGAUGGUUAUGUUUCCUAACCAUGAACAAAGAGUUGUUAUUUGUUUAACGAGGUCACAUCAUUAGUAGAAUGAUCUGAUUGACAUGACCCAAUCCAUUAGCUUAGCACCCGAUCGUUUAGUAAGUUGCUAUUGCUUUCUUCAUGACUUAUACAUGUUCCUAUAACUAUGAGAUUAUGCAACUCCCGUUUACCGGAGGAACACUUUGGGUACUACCAAACGUCACAACGUAACUGGGUGAUUAUAAAGGAGUAUUACAGGUGUCUCCAAUGGUAGAUGUUGGGUUGGCGUAUUUCGAGAUUAGGGUUUGUCACUCCGAUUGACGGAGAGGUAUCUCUGGGCCCUCUCGGUAAUACACAUCACAUAAGCCUUGCAAGCACUGCAACUAAUAAGUUAGUUGUGAGAUGAUGUAUUACGGAACGAGUAAAGAGACUUGCCGGUAACGAGAUUGAACUAGGUAUUGGAUACCGACGAUCGAAUCUCGGGCAAGUAACAUACCGAUGACAAAGGGAACAACGUAUGUUGUUAUGCGGUCUGACCGAUAAAGAUCUUUGUAGAAUAUGUAGGAGCCAAUAUGGGCAUCCAGGUCCCGCUAUUGGUUAUUGACCGGAAGCGUGUCUCGGUCAUGUCUACAUUGUUCUCGAACCGUAGGGUCCGCACGCUUAACGUUACGAUGACAGUUAUUAUGAGUUUAUGCAUUUUGAUGUACCGAAGGUUGUUCGGAGUCCCGGAUGAGAUCACGGACAUGACGAGGAGUCUCGAAAUGGUCGAGACGUAAAGAUUGAUAUAUUGGAAGCCUAUGUUUGGGCACCGGAAGCGUUCCGGGUGAAAUCGGGAUUUUACCGGAAUACCGGGAGGGUUACCGGAACCCCCCGGGAGACUAAUGGGCCUAUUGGGCCUUAGUGGAAAAGAGAAAAGGGAAGCCCACUAGCUGGCCAGCGCCCCCCUAGAGUCCUAUUAGGAAUAGGACAAGGGGCCGGCCCCCCUUCUCUCUCUUUUUCCCCGGGAGUCCUAAUAGGAUUAGGAUUAGGGGGAGGAGUCCUACUCCCGGUGGGAGUAGGACUCCCCUGCGCCUCCUCUCUCCUAGCCGGCCGAACCCCCUGCCCCUGGCCUUUUAUAUACGGGGGCAGGGGGCACCCCAAGACACACAACUUGAUCCUUGAGAUCGUUCCUUAGCCGUGUGCGGUGCCCCCUGCCACCAAAUUCCACCUCGAUCGUACCGUUGUAGUGCUUAGGCGAAGCCCUGCGUCAGUAGUACAUCAAGAUCGUCAACACGCCAUCGUGCUGACGGAACUCUUCCUCGACGCUUUGCUGGAUCGGAGCCCGAGGAACGUCAUCGAGCUGAACGUGUGCUAAGAACUCGGAGGUACCGGAGUAACGGUGCUUGGAUCGGUCGGAUCGGGAAGAAGACGUACGACUACUUCCUCUACGUUGUGUGAUCGCUUCCGCAGUCGGUCUGCGUUGGUACGUAGACAACACUCUCCUCUCUCGUUGCUGUGCAUCACCAUGAUCUUGCGUGUGCGUAGGAAAAUUUUUGAAAUUACUGCGUUACCGAACAGUGGCAUCUGAGCCUGGUUUUAUGGUUUGAUGUUAUAUGCACGAGUAGAACACAAGUGAGUUGUGGGCGAUACAAGUCAGACUGCCUACCAGCAUGUCAUACUUUGGUUCGGCGGUAUUGUUGGUUGAGACGAUCCGGACCAACCUUACGCGUACUCUUACGCGAGACCGGUUCCCUCGACGUGCUUUGCACAUAGAUGGCUUGCGGAAGACUGUCUCUCCAACUUUAGUUGAACCAAGUGUGACUACGCCCGGUCCUUGAGAAGGUUAAAACAGAGUCUAUUUGACGAACUAUCGUUGUGGUUUUGAUGCGUAGGUGAGAUGAGUUCUUACUUAAGCCCGUAGCAGCCACGUAAAACUUGCAACAACAAAGUAGAGGACGUCUAACUUGUUUUUGCAGUGUAUGUUGUGAUGUGAUAUGGUCAAGGCAUGAUGCUGAUUUUAUUGUAUGAGAUGAUCAUGUUUUGUAACUAAGUUAUCGGCAACUGGCAGGAGCCAUAUGGUUGUCGCUUUAUUGUAUGCAAUGCAAUCGCGAUGUAAUGCUUUACUAGAUUACUAAACGGUAGUAAUAGUCGUGGAAGCAUAAGAUUGGCAAGACGACAACGAUGCUACGAUGGAGAUCAAAGUGUCGCGCCGGUGACGAUGGUGAUCAUGACGGUGCUUCGGAGAUGGAGAUCACAAGCACAAGAUGAUGAUGGCCAUAUCAUAUCACUUAUAUUGAUUGCAUGUGAUGUUUAUCCUUUUAUGCAUCUUAUCUUGCUUUGAUUGACGGUAGCAUUAUAAGAUGAUCUCUCACUAAAUUAUCAAGAAGUGUUCUCCCUGAGUAUGCACCGUUGCCAAAGUUCGUCGUGCCCAGACACCACGUGAUGAUCGGGUGUGAUAAGCUCUACGUCCAUCUACAACGGGUGCAAGCCAGUUUUGCACACGCAGAAUACUCAGGUUAUACUUGACGAGCCUAGCAUAUGCAGAUAUGGCCUCGGAACACAGAGACCGAAAGGUCGAGCGUGAAUCAUAUAGUAGAUAUGAUCAACAUAACGAUGUUCACCAUUGAAAACUACUCCAUCUCACGUGAUGAUCGGUUAUGGUUUAGUUGCUUUGGAUCACGUGAUCACUUAGAAGAUUAGAGGGAUGUCUAGCUAAGUGGGAGUUCCUAAGUAAUUUGAUUAACUGAACUUAAACUUAUCAUGAACUUAGUACCUGAUAGUAUCUUGCUUGUUUAUGUUGCUUGUAGAUAGAUGGCUCGUGCUAUUGUUCCGUUGAAUUUUAAUGCGUUCCUUGAGAAAGCAAAGUUGAAAGAUGAUGGUAGCAAUUACACGGACUGGGUCUGUAACCUGAGGAUUAUCCUCAUUGCUGCACAGAAGAAUUACGUCCUGGAAGCACCGCUGGGUGACAGGCCUGCUGCUGGAGCAACGCCAGAUGUUAUGAACGUCUGGCAGAGCAAAGCUGAUGACUACUCGAUAGUUCAGUGUGCCAUGCUUUACGGCUUAGAAUCGGGACUUCAACGACGUUUUGAACGUCAUGGAGCAUAUGAGAUGUUCCAGGAGUUGAAGUUAAUAUUUCAAGCAAAUGCCCGAAUUGAGAGAUAUGAAGUCUCCAAUAAGUUCUAUAGCUGUAAGAUGGAGGAGAACAGUUCUGUCAGUGAGCAUAUACUCAAAAUGUCUGGGUAUAAUAAUCACUUGAUUCAGAUGGGAGUUAAUCUUCCAGAUGAUUGCAUCAUUGACAGAAUUCUCCAAUCACUACCACCAAGCUACAAGAGCUUCGUGAUGAACUAUAAUAUGCAAGGGAUGAACAAGACUAUUCCCGAGCUCUUCGCAAUGCUGAAAGCUGCGGAGGUAGAAAUCAAAAAGGAGCAUCAAGUGUUGAUGGUUAGCAAGACCACUAGUUUCAAGAAAAAGGGUAAAGGGAAGAAGAAGGGAAACUUCAAGAAGAACAGCAAGCAAGUUGCUGCUCAAGAGAAGAAACCCAAGUCUGGACCUAAGCCUGAAGCUGAGUGCUUCUACUGCAAGCAGACUGGUCACUGGAAGCGGAACUGCCCCAAGUAUUUGGCGGAUAAGAAGGAUGGCAAAGUGAGCAAAGGUAUAUGUGAUAUACAUGUUAUUGAUGUGUACCUUACUAGAGCUCGCAGUAGCACCUGGGUAUUUGAUACUGGUUCUGUUGCUAAUAUUUGCAACUCGAAACAGGGACUACGGAAUAAGCGGACACUAGCAAAGGACGAGGUGACGAUGCGCGUGGGAAACGGUUCCAAAGUCGAUGUGAUCGCGGUCGGCACGCUGCCUCUACAUCUACCUUCGGGAUUAAUAUUAGACCUAAAUAAUUGUUAUUUGGUGCCAGCGUUGAGCAUGAACAUUAUAUCUGGAUCUUGUUUAAUGCGAGACGGUUAUUCAUUUAAAUCAGAGAAUAAUGGUUGUUCUAUUUAUAUGAAUAAUAUCUUUUAUGGUCAUGCACCUUUGAAGAGUGGUCUAUUCUUGUUGAAUCUCGAAGAUAGUGAUACACAUAUUCAUAAUGUAGAAGCCAAAAGAUGCAAAGUUAAUAAUGAUAGUGCAACUUAUUUGUGGCACUGCCGUUUAGGUCAUAUCGGUGUAAAGCGCAUGAAGAAACUCCAUACUGAUGGGCUUUUGGAAUCACUUGAUUAUGAAUCACUUGGUACUUGCGAACCGUGCCUCAUAGGCAAGAUGACUAAAACACCGUUCUCCGGUACUAUGGAGAGAGCAACAGAUUUGUUGGAAAUCAUACAUACCGAUGUAUGUGGUCCGAUGAAUAUUGAGGCUCGCGGCGGAUAUCGUUAUUUUUCACCUUCACAGAUGAUUUAAGCAGAUAUGGGUAUAUCUACUUAAUGAAACACAAGUCUGAAACAUUUGAAAAGUUCAAGGAAUUUCAGAGUGAAGUUGAAAAUCAUCGUAACAAGAAAAUAAAAUUUCUACGAUCUGAUCGUGGAGGAGAAUAUUUGAGUUACGAGUUUGGUGUACAUUUGAAAAAUUGUGGAAUAGUUUCGCAACUCACGCCACCCGGAACACCACAGCGUAAUGGUGUGUCCGAACGUCGUAAUCGUACUUUACUAGAUAUGGUGCGAUCAAUGAUGUCUCUUACUGAUUUACCGCUAUCGUUUUGGGGUUAUGCUUUAGAGACGGCCGCAUUCACGUUAAAUAGGGCACCAUCAAAAUCCGUUGAGACGACGCCUUAUGAACUAUGGUUUGGCAAGAAACCAAAGUUGUCGUUUCUCAAAGUUUGGGGCUGCGAUGCUUAUGUGAAAAAGCUUCAACCUGAUAAGCUCGAACCCAAAGCGGAGAAAUGUGUCUUCAUAGGAUACCCAAAGGAAACUGUUGGGUAUACCUUCUAUCACAGAUCCGAAGGCAAGACAUUCGUUGCUAAGAAUGGAUCAUUUCUAGAGAAGGAGUUUCUCUCGAAAGAAGUGAGUGGGAGGAAAGUAGAACUUGACGAGGUAACUAUACCUGCUCCCUUAUUGGAAAGUAGUACAUCACAGAAAACUGUUUCUGCGACACCUAUACCAAUCAGUGAGAAAGCUAAUGAUGAUGAUCAUGAAGCUUCAGAACAAGAUACUACUGAACCACGUAGAUCAACCAGAGUGAGAUCCGCACCAGAGUGGUACGGUAAUCCACUUCUGGAAGUCAUGAUGCUAGAUCAUGAUGAACCUACGAACUAUGAAGAAGCGAUGGUGAGCCCAGAUUCCGCAAAGUGGCUUGAGGCCAUGAAAUCUGAGAUGGGAUCCAUGUAUGAGAACAAAGUAUGGACUUUGGUUGACUUGCCCGAUGAUCGGCAAGCAAUUGAGAAUAAAUGGAUCUUCAAGAAAAAGACUGACGCUGACGGUAAUGUUACUGUCUAUAAAGCUCGACUUGUCGCAAAAGGUUUUCGACAAGUUCAAGGGGUUGACUACGAUGAGACUUUCUCACCCGUAGCGAUGCUUAAAUCCGUCAGAAUUAUGUUAGCAAUUGCCGCAUUUUAUAAUUAUGAAAUAUGGCAGAUGGAUGUCAAAGCUGCAUUCCUGAAUGGAUUUCUGGAAGAAGAGUUGUAUAUGGUACAACCAGAAGGUUUUGUCGAUCCAAAAGGAGCUAACAAAGUAUGCAAACUCCAGCGAUCCAUUUAUGGACUGGUGCAAGCAUCUCGGAGUUGGAAUAAACGCUUUGAUAGUGUGAUCAAAGCAUUUGGCUUUAUACAGACUUUUGGAGAAGCCUGUAUUUACAAGAAAGUGAGUGGGAGCUCUGUAGCAUUUCUGAUAUUAUAUGUGGAUGACAUAUUGCUGAUUGGAAAUGAUAUAGAAUUUUUGGAUAGCAUAAAGGGAUACUUGAAUAAAAGUUUUUCGAUGAAAGACCUUGGGGAAGCUGCUUACAUAUUAGGCAUAAAGAUCUAUAGAGAUAGAUCAAAACGCUUAAUUGGACUUUCACAGAGCACAUACCUUGACAAGAUUUUGAAGAAAUUCAAAAUGGAUCAAGCAAAGAAAGGGUUCUUGCCUGUGUUACAAGGUGUGAAGUUGAGUAAGACUCAAUGCCCGACCACUGCAGAAGAUAGAGAGAAAAUGAAAGAUGUUACCUAUGCUUCAGCCAUAGGCUCUAUCAUGUAUGCAAUGCUGUGUACCAGACCUGAUGUGUGCCUUGCUAUAAGUUUAGCAGGGAGGUACCAAAGUAAUCCUGGAAUGGAUCACUGGACAGCGGUCAAGAACAUCCUAAAAUACCUGAAAAGGACUAAGGAUAUGUUUCUCGUAUAUGGAGGUGACAAAGAGCUCACCGUAAGAGGUUACGUUGAUGCAAGCUUUGACACUGAUCCGGACGAUUCUAAAUCGCAAACCGGAUACGUGUUUACUUUAAACGGUGGAGCUGUCAGUUGGUGCAGUUCUAAACAAAGCGUCGUAGCGGGAUCUACAUGUGAAGCGGAGUACAUAGCCGCUUCGGAAGCAGCGAACGAAGGAGUCUGGAUGAAGGAGUUCAUAUCCGAUCUAGGUGUCAUACCUAGUGCAUCGGGUCCAAUGAAAAUCUUCUGUGACAAUACUGGUGCAAUUGCCUUGGCAAAGGAAUCCAGAUUUCACAAGAGGACCAAACACAUCAAGAGACGCUUCAACUCCAUCCGGGAUUUAGUCCAGGUGGGAGACAUAGAGAUUUGCAAGAUACAUACGGAUCUGAAUGUUCCAGACCCGUUGACUAAGCCUCUUCCACGAGCAAAACAUGAUCAGCACCAAGGCUCCAUGGGUGUUAGAAUCAUUACUGUAUAAUCUAGAUUAUUGACUCUAGUGCAAGUGGGAGACUGAAGGAAAUAUGCCCUAGAGGCAAUAAUAAAGUUAUUAUUUAUUUCCUUAUAUCAUGAUAAGAGUUUAUUAUUCAUGCUAGAAUUGUAUUAACCGGAAACAUAAUACAUGUGUGAAUACAUAGACCAACAGAGUGUCACUAGUAUGCCUCUACUUGACUAGCUCGUUAAUCAAAGAUGGUUAUGUUUCCUAACCAUGAACAAAGAUUUGUUAUUUGUUUAACGAGGUCACAUCAUUAGUAGAAUGAUCUGAUUGACAUGACCCAAUCCAUUAGCUUAGCACCCGAUCGUUUAGUAAGUUGCUAUUGCUUUCUUCAUGACUUAUACAUGUUCCUAUAACUAUGAGAUUAUGCAACUCCCGUUUACCGGAGGAACACUUUGGGUACUACCAAACGUCACAACGUAACUGGGUGAUUAUAAAGGAGUAUUACAGGUGUCUCCAAUGGUAGAUGUUGGGUUGGCGUAUUUCGAGAUUAGGGUUUGUCACUCCGAUUGACGGAGAGGUAUCUCUGGGCCCUCUCGGUAAUACACAUCACAUAAGCCUUGCAAGCACUGCAACUAAUAAGUUAGUUGUGAGAUGAUGUAUUACGGAACGAGUAAAGAGACUUGCCGGUAACGAGAUUGAACUAGGUAUUGGAUACCGACGAUCGAAUCUCGGGCAAGUAACAUACCGAUGACAAAGGGAACAACGUAUGUUGUUAUGCGGUCUGACCGAUAAAGAUCUUCGUAGAAUAUGUAGGAGCCAAUAUGGGCAUCCAGGUCCCGCUAUUGGUUAUUGACCGGAAGCGUGUCUCGGUCAUGUCUACAUUGUUCUCGAACCGUAGGGUCCGCACGCUUAACGUUACGAUGACAGUUAUUAUGAGUUUAUGCAUUUUGAUGUACCGAAGGUUGUUCGGUGUCCCGGAUGAGAUCACGGACAUGACGAGGAGUCUCGAAAUGGUCGAGACGUAAAGAUUGAUAUAUUGGAAGCCUAUGUUUGGGCACCGGAAGCGUUCCGGGUGAAAUCGGGAUUUUACCGGAAUACCGGGAGGGUUACCGGAACCCCCCGGGAGACUAAUGGGCCUAUUGGGCCUUAGUGGAAAAGAGAAAAGGGAAGCCCACUAGCUGGCCGGCGCCCCCUAGAGUCCUAUUAGGAAUAGGACAAGGGGCCGGCCCCCCUUCUCUCUCUUUUUCCCCGGGAGUCCUAAUAGGAUUAGGAUUAGGGGGAGGAGUCCUACUCCCGGUGGGAGUAGGACUCCCCUGCGCCUCCUCUCUCCUCGCCGGCCGAACCCCCUGCCCCUGGCCUUUAUAUACGGGGGCAGGGGGCACCCCAAGACACACAACUUGAUCCUUGAGAUCGUUCCUUAGCCGUGUGCGGUGCCCCCUGCCACCAAAUUCCACCUCGAUCGUACCGUUGUAGUGCUUAGGCGAAGCCCUGCGUCGGUAGUACAUCAAGAUCGUCAUCACGCCGUCGUGCUGACGGAACUCUUCCUCGACGCUUUGCUGGAUCGGAGCCCGAGGAACGUCAUCGAGCUGAACGUGUGCUAAGAACUCGGAGGUACCGGAGUAACGGUGCUUGGAUCGGUCUGAUCGGGAAGAAGACGUACGACUACUUCCUCUACGUUGUGUGAUCGCUUCCGCAGUCGGUCUGCGUUGGUACGUAGACAACACUCUCCUCUCUCGUUGCUGUGCAUCACCAUGAUCUUGCGUGUGCGUAGGAAAUUUUUUGAAAUUACUGCGUUACCCAACAACCCACCUGUCAUACUCUGUUAGGUUAAUUAGGGUUUAGUUAAUUGAUUAGGCUAAUCUAAUCAGGAUUACUUUGUUUAAGUAAUUCUUCAAUUAAUUAAUUAUCAUUUUAACUAAUUUAAUUAUUAUUUAUUAAUUCAUUCAUUUUUUUAAAUUAUUAUUUUUAUUUCGUUCUCGUUUCAGGGGGGCGUGGGGCCCCGCACACGGGGCCACCGCGGGGCUGUUGCCAGCGGGCGCUGGGGCGCUGGGUGCGGGCGCACCCGAGCGGGCACUCGCCCGCAGGGCGGGACGAGGCUGCCGAGGCAUCGACAGCGGGGCAAGCCNNNNNNNNNNNNNNNNNNNNNNNNNNNNNNNNNNNNNNNNNNNNNNNNNNNNNNNNNNNNNNNNNNNNNNNNNNNNNNNNNNNNNNNNNNNNNNNNNNNNNNNNNNNNNNNNNNNNNNNNNNNNNNNNNNNNNNNNNNNNNNNNNNNNNNNNNNNNNNNNNNNNNNNNNNNNNNNNNNNNNNNNNNNNNNNNNNNNNNNNNNNNNNNNNNNNNNNNNNNNNNNNNNNNNNNNNNNNNNNNNNNNNNNNNNNNNNNNNNNNNNNNNNNNNNNNNNNNNNNNNNNNNNNNNNNNNNNNNNNNNNNNNNNNNNNNNNNNNNNNNNNNNNNNNNNNNNNNNNNNNNNNNNNNNNNNNNNNNNNNNNNNNNNNNNNNNNNNNNNNNNNNNNNNNNNNNNNNNNNNNNNNNNNNNNNNNNNNNNNNNNNNNNNNNNNNNNNNNNNNNNNNNNNNNNNNNNNNNNNNNNNNNNNNNNNNNNNNNNNNNNNNNNNNNNNNNNNNNNNNNNNNNNNNNNNNNNNNNNNNNNNNNNNNNNNNNNNNNNNNNNNNNNNNNNNNNNNNNNNNNNNNNNNNNNNNNNNNNNNNNNNNNNNNNNNNNNNNNNNNNNNNNNNNNNNNNNNNNNNNNNNNNNNNNNNNNNNNNNNNNNNNNNNNNNNNNNNNNNNNNNNNNNNNNNNNNNNNNNNNNNNNNNNNNNNNNNNNNNNNNNNNNNNNNNNNNNNNNNNNNNNNNNNNNNNNNNNNNNNNNNNNNNNNNNNNNNNNNNNNNNNNNNNNNNNNNNNNNNNNNNNNNNNNNNNNNNNNNNNNNNNNNNNNNNNNNNNNNNNNNNNNNNNNNNNNNNNNNNNNNNNNNNNNNNNNNNNNNNNNNNNNNNNNNNNNNNNNNNNNNNNNNNNNNNNNNNNNNNNNNNNNNNNNNNNNNNNNNNNNNNNNNNNNNNNNNNNNNNNNNNNNNNNNNNNNNNNNAGUGGCCCAGUGGGGGGGGGGGUUGUUUUAUUCCUUUCCCUUUUAUACCUUUUCACACUUUUCUUCUUUUGUUUUAUUUUAGUUACACGUUAAUUUUAAUUUUAGACAAAUAUAUCUAUAGCCCCUAAAAUAAUGUUUCAGAACAAUCCACUACUAUAAAAAGUUUUACCCUGAUAAAAUAGUCUAGUAUUUUAUAAAAUACCAAAGUCGUUUAAAUAGUUGUUUAGCUACUAUUUAAAUCAUUUUAGUGCUUUAAAUCAUUUUACUAAAAUGUGGUUCCUCCACCAUUUGGACUUAGGAUUUAUUUGUCCCAUUUUGAACAUUUUAGUCUUGACGUUUGAAGAAUUUACCGUUUGACUCGAUUUUGAAUUUGAAUUUGAAUCGGUGUCGAACUAACACGAGAUUAGCAACAGUAACCAUCAUGACGUGGCAUCAUUAACAGAGGUUUACUGUAUCUCAAAUACCCGGGCGUCACAAUGUGCCUAAUAUUGCAGGAGAUGAGGUGGCUCUGGCUGCAUUAAAAUUUUUAGCCCAAAAUAAGAAGAUUAGUGAUAUUUUCCUUGAGCAACACGACAAGGGAUUGGUUCCUCAUUAUGAGGCAAUAAUAGCUAGGGUUUUGAAAGAAGACCAAGUGUUGCCGAUUGAUCAAAUUGUCGAGAGAAAAUAUUCAACAAUGAUGCAGAUGCCUUCACCUAUCAUUGCAACAUGUUAUACACCCCCUGUACAAGCGCAAAAUUUCGGCAACAUCAAUUCAUUGCCGAAAGAUCCUAAAAGUAUUGGGGGGCAAGCCGAUCCAAGCAGGGUUGAGUUUAAAGAAAAAUAUCUAGCCCAGGUGGACAAGAUCAAGCCAAAGCUCACAGGGAAUAGAGUCAACGAAUUUACUACACCUACCCUUGAGGAAUUACCAGCAGAAUAUCAACAGGCCUACGAAGCACUCAAGAAGAAACGUGGAGAGAGAUAUUUGCAAGAAUACGUCAAGUGCCUUCCUCCAUGUAGCAACCAUGUUGGCCCUUCUACACUAUUGAGGCAAGAUAAAAAAGAAGCUUUGCAAGCAAACCAGCAAAAAAGGAUUCACUCGGCUAAUACGGUGGAUUCGGUUGAAACCGGAUUGAGCAACAGGAUGUUUAAGGCCGAGUGCGUUGCAUCGUGCCAGCCGAGUGCAUCGUUCCAGACGAGUGCAUCACCAGCUAAAGCCGAGUGCAUCAAGCCAACUAUUGCCUCGUGUACGAAAAUAGAAGAUGCAAGCUUGGCUGAGCAAAGGAACGACAAACGCAACAAAUUGGUUGUGCUCGAUUUUUCUGGAUGUAAGGGAGCUUACAUGCUACCUUAUGAGUUUCAUGCUAAAGAUAUUGAUGAGCAUCAAGAACACAGUAAUGGCUGAACACAGUUCAGUUAACGAUGAACAUCAAGACCAAGAAAAUGCGGCCGAGCAAAGUUCAACUGACAAAGAGCGUCCGAGUGAAAUCCACUCGGGCAAUCCGACUGAAAUAUACUCGGGCAAUUCAAGUGAAAUAUACUCGGGCAACCUGAGUGAUGAGGCACCAGAUCCAGAAAAAGAGGAAGAGGCAUUGGAGAAUUAUUCAGAAGUGGAGCAAUGUAUUGUUCCAGUGGUACAACCAUCUUCUCCUUCCAACGUCUUCACAAAGGUACACCUAGCAGAUAGUUUACUCAAUUUUCGAUUUGGUCAAAAUCAUAUUGUUGAUGCACCUAUUAGUAAGAUUCUAAUUAAUUUUGAAAGACCAAUUGAAAUGAGUAAUCUUUUUGUUAGGAAGGAUCUUGUCACUAAUCAUGAUAGUCAACACAUGGUAUCGUUCAUAGAGGUUAAUAGUGACAACUUAUCAAAACCAAAGUUGUUCUUGUCAUGCCAACUGAACUUUGUAUUCAUAUGGACAACUUUGUUUGUUUCAUGCCUAGCUAACAUUUGGACUCCUAUGAGCCGUAUAUUCUGUAAUUAUUUUAGUUGCAGAAACAUAAAGUCAGGUCCAAAGUCCUUCGAAGCCGAUUCAAAUGCAUCAGGAAAAGAAGAUGAAUCUUUCCCAAUUGAUAAAAUUGGCGAGCAAAAAUAUGGUUUUACAACAAUGCAUAUGCCUUCACCUAAUACUACAUCAUAUUAUACAGCCCCUACACAAUUGCAAAGUUUCGGCAACACCCAUGUGCCAUUGCCGAAAGAAUCUAAAAGCAAUGGGGGACAAUCGUAUCCGAAGUGGGCUGAAAAUGAGAAAAAGAUUAAAGCCAAUUUCGCCGCUCGCCGGCAGAAACAAAAAGAAACAGAAUUGGCUCAAGUGAAAGAAGCAUUGCCAAUUGGUAGAAGCAAUGUAAAGAAAGAUGAUUCAGAACAUGAAAGUACUAAGGUUAAAAGAGCCGAAUCAAGGAGUAUAUAUUCUGAAUCCAUCAAAUGCAAAGAGGCAAGCAUUAUUGAGAAAGGGCAUGGCAAGCAUAGCAAAGCGACCAUACUUGAUUUUUCUAAAGUUAAUGGAACCUACUUCCUGCCCUAUGAGUUUUGUGCCAGAGAAAUUGAUGAACUUCAAGGACAAGAAUAAGUAGCCGAACAAAGUUCGGCCGACAAAAAUCUUCAAUGUAAUGAUGCACGAAAUCAACAAAAAGAUGAUGAAGAAGCGUUGGGGAGCCAUCCAAAGGCGGAGCAAGAUAUUGUUCAAGUCACACCACCAUCGUGCUCUCCCAACAUAUUUGAAGAGGUAUGUUUAGCAAGUAAUUUACCUAUUUUCAGAUUUGGUCAGGACUUUAUUGUUGAUGCAUCUAUUAGAAAAAUCCUCAUAAGUAAUUUUGAAAGACCAAUGAAGCAGGGUAAUUUACUUGCUAGCAAUAAAGUUGUUAUUGAGCAUAUCGGUCAACCCAUUACGCCAUUUAUAAAGACCGAUAGUGACUUAUUAUUACAGCCAAAGUUUUCCCCGUUGCUUUAUCUAAAGUUCAUAUCUAUUUGGGUAGCUUUGCUUAUUUCAUACUUGGCUUGCACUUGGUCCCAAUUGAGACAUGUGUGUUCUAACUAUUUUCGUUUUAGAAAUUUAAAGCCAAGAUUAAAUUCUGUUGAGAAAACCGAUGCUAGUAUAAUAUCUUACCCAAAGACAUCGGAGAUAGAUUGCAAAACACAAUGCAUAGCCGAAUGGUGUGAUGCAAAAUCUGAACCAUUCGUUUGCUUCAUUCCGAAGCCGUUCUCACAGCAAGAUCGGCUAGAAAACAAGAAGUAUACCUUCAAUUCAAGCAUGUGUGUUCAAAUAUUUGAUUUGUUGCUGAAAAAUAAUUACAUUACAAUUCUUGAUCACCAUGUUAAGCCAUCAAUCCAAGGACGAAUGUAUUGUAAGUUGCAUGAUUCGUCCAAGCAUAAUUUUGAGGAUUGCAACAUGUUUCGUCAAAUAGUUAAAUCGGCCAUUGAAAAAGGACGAUUGAAGUUUGUUGAAACACCAAGAGAUGACCAGUCUAUUCCGAUUGGUCCCGAUGGCAAAAAGUUUUUGCAUCGACUGCUUCAAGCCGAUCCAUUUAAAGAGAAGGUAAAAACUGCAGGUGAUGGGAUCAAGCUUUCAAGUAAAGAAGUUGUUGAAGAGCAUAAUGAACAUAAUCUUGAGGGUGAGAAUUCCAUCCAAGCUACAAUGGAGACGCCAAGGACUGGGGGGCAGCAAGCAAAUCCAACGAUCGAUGAAAGAAAACCAAAAGAAAACAAAGGCCGAAAUAAGCGCAAGUGUAAAAGAUCAAAAAUCACCUUCGAUGAACUAUUUGAGAAAUAUCAAAAGAAGAGUGAAGAGAAGAAUGCUUAUCGGCCCAAUCAUGCAAAGAAACCAAGAUCACCCCCAAGGCGCAAAUAUGAGGAUCGGUAUUGGCAAUGUGAGAGUUUCAAUGCAACAUAUUCAUAUCCUUAUUUUGGGCCGCCAAUGCCAAUGCCGUGGAUGCCUCCCUAUGCUCAUGUAGAUCCAUAUUCAUCAUGGGACAGGUAUGAUACAAGGGCACAUUCUCCAUCUUAUUUUAGACCAUCUCACCAAUAUUAUGCAGCUCCGAGAAGAUCAACAUUUGAACAGUCACAUGUUAAAGACCGUUUCAAUUAUAAGGAAUCGGUCCGGACACCAUGGAUGAAAAAAGAGGUGGUCAAGCAAGUCUACCGCGUGAAACUAUGAAGGACCGAGCCGAAGGAUUCAACAUCUUUGGUCUACACAUUAUCCAAAUUCUUCAACUAUGUCGUUAACGCCUAUGCCAUGGAAUUCGUCAUCAGGUAUGAUCGGUAACCCUCAAUGGGCUUAUUUUAAUCCAUGGAUGCAAUAUAAUUUCUUACGUCAUGAAAGGGUAUUACCAAGUCACUAUACAUUUGAUUAGCUACAAGUUUGUUGCUGAUCCAAAGGGCCGAAAUACUUGAUUUGUCAUUUCAUUUGUUUAUUUCGGCUAUAUGUGCUUUGAAUGAAGUUUAGAUGGUAAUGGCCGAUGAUAUUUAUCUAUCGUCCUAAGAGUAUGUCAAUGCAUGGCAGGUGUAGUAUUCUAAUAUCGUCCUUAGUUUGAUUGGUGAGCGAGACAAUGUACAUGCUCAUGAAAAUUUAUAUGUAUGCCUAUAUUAUGAUUGAAUGGAGUUGAGACAUCAUGACCGAUGUCAUUGAAUAUAUGCUGCAUAGACCAAUUCAUAGCUGCGGAAUUGGUUGAUGGGCUUAUACUUUGUUUGGAUAUGAUUUGGCUUAUGCAUCUUUGAGAUCUAUAAGAGGCCAAAUCAUAGUUGAUUUUGUUACUGAACAUCGGAUUAGUGUCAUGCAUAAUAUUAAUAUUAGCCUUGUCUCUCUAGUACUAUGGAGAUUAUGUUUUGAUGGUUCAAUUCAUAGCAAUGGCCAAAGUGUUGGUGUUGUUUAUAUAUUUCUUUAUGGUACUAUUUUUUGAAGCCUCGUGCCGCUUAGAAUAUUUUUAUGCACGAUUAAUCAAGGCCGAAUAUGCAUUGUUAUUCGGAUUGACUCUUUUACUUGCUAUAGGUGUUAUACAUAUUGAGGCUUUUGGUGAUUCGUUCUGAGUAGUGCAACAAAUAUCCAAGGAUUAUCAAUGUGUUUUACCGAAUCACUUAUAGUUUAUCUUGGGCUAUGUCUAGAUGAAGAAUUUACCUUGGGUUGCAUUCAAAUUGUUCAUAUAUUUAGACAUGGCAAUUGGAGAGAGUUGGCAUAGCAAGCAUCCGGCUACCAUGUCCAUCAUGUUGUAUUGCAUUUCUCUCAAUAGCCGAUGCUUAGUCUUGUCAACAUAGGUAAGGUCGAACCGAAGUCCAGAACUUCGGCCACUAAUGAAAUUUUUAUGCAGGCCAAAGUAAGGAUUGGAGAAAGUUUAUUGUUGAUUGUCUACAAAAUCCUAGCAAAAGGGUGAACAAUAUGGUUCGGAGGAUGACAUUGAGAUACAUAUCUAUGGAACUUUAUCACCGGAUUGUUAAUGAAGCUGAGAAGGUUUCACCCGAGUUUGCAUCAGAAAGUUCACACAAGACAUGGCCGAUAUAUACUUAUCGUCCUAAGAACAUAUAAAUGGCCGAUGGAGUGUUGACAUCGUCCUUAGAACAAACUUGGUACAAGUAUUUUUCGACACGCUAGGUUUACCGAAAAACAGUGGGGCAUGUGUUGACGCUCAAAAGUGGCACGAUCAUAAAGCAGCAUGCUGGGGCGAAAACCUUGCCGGGGUAAAAUCUUGCCGGUGUGAAAGCUUGCCGGUGUGAAAGCUUGCCGGUGUGAAGGCUUGCCGGCGUGGAAAGCUUGCCGGCACAGAAAGAUCGCCGGUGCUUGCCGGUGUGAAAUCUUGCCGAGGGAGAAACCUUGUCAGGAAGGAACCCUUGCCGGAGUACAAACCUUGCCGGAGUGAAACCUUGCCUGUGUGAAAGCUUGCCGGGUAGAAACAUUGCCGGUGUGGAAAGCUUACUCGGACGGAAAACUUGCCGGGUUGGAGGCUGUGAUAGUCAAUCGAACGAGAAGUUGAAGAUGGGCUCAAAAGGUUAUUCAGAUGAUCUCGGAUGGAAAAAUGAUCUACACGGGUUGUCUUCGUCUCGUCGAAACGAUCGAUUUUGGUAUAAAAAUCAUUCAAAUUCGAGUUUGUAUGCAAAAGUUAGAGCAAUCGGAGUGCAGCCCUGUCACGAGGCGAGAUGUGGCGUGCCCCACCAGACACAUGUCUGACGGGUAGUGCGAGGAAAUAGCCUGUGUUGCGAGACCGAUCUGACCCUCAAGAUGAUCUCUGAUCAAAACACCUUCAACAUGAAAGCUGUUCGUCUCGUCGAAACGGUCAAGAUUGCUUUUGGGCUUGUUUUCAUCCGGGAUCGUUUACCACUGCCAAAAAGACCCGCAAUGUGCAGCCAGUUUAAACCGAACAGUUUUGGAAAGUUCAGAUAAACCAGUCCGAAUUUGACUAGGGUUUUGUACGUGAAUUGAUGUAAUUUUCUUGUAAGGAAAGCCGAGAUAAAUUCUUUGCUUGUACGGGAAGUCCAGCCGCCUCUUAUAUAUGUUGGGGGUGACGGCCGAUUGAAACAACACACAAUCGAACAAACACAUCUACUACCUUUUCAUGUUCAUCUACUUUUUAUCUCUCCCUUGUAUCUUUCUUCUCGUUCUUCGCUAGUUCUUCAUGCUGGAGGGCUGCGGAUCCACGAGGCUUUAGGGCCUAGCUAGCGAAUCGACCUAGGGCAGCCCAUAGCCGCCGCAAUCCCUGACGGGGUCCCUCUCGGGUGCGCGGGGUUUCGGGUCUGCAAAAGCGCCCGCCGACUGUCUUGCGUAUCGCGCUGUCGGUCGGGUCUCCUUCGACGUGAGCUGCGGUGCAUCACCCCUGGCGUCGAGGAUACAUGUGACGUGUUCGUGUGCGAACAACGUGCUCCCUGGCUCCACCCCAUUGAAAAAAUAUACAUCUGGAGGCUGCUUUGUUUCCUCAUCAAAAAAAACUUACGUUAAAAAGAUUGCAUGCAUCCCAGGAAAAAUAAUCAAGAAGUCGGACUCAUCCUUACAAAAACAAGGAACGUGUUAAGUUGACUUCAAAGAAAAAAGGAACAUGUUAAGUUAAAAAAAACAAGAAACCUGUUAAGUUAGAAAAAAACAAGGAACGUGUUGUCCUAGGAAAGAUAUGUGUCAAAUCUUACAAAAAAAAGAAUACACACACGUACGUUCAUGCACUUGGAAAAUAGAAAAAAAAGAACAUCACGUAUGUAUACACUUUGGAAACUCAUUACAUGACCAUGUCUGAUAUACUCCUCUAAUGCUUAACAUUAGUGCCUAAUAAUUUAUAUUUAAAAUUUAAUUUACUGAUCAAAUAUCCCCACUGUUUAAAUUUUAAUUUGGCACAUUGUUUGACUACAGUAUGAACCUAAAUUUCCUCUUAUUAAUAUAUAUCAUGGUAAUAAUCCAAAGGCGACUAAUCUGCGCCGGUGCACCGGCGCAAUCAAUUUGGCCGGACACAGCGCGGCCUUUUGAUUAGAUUGCAUUUAACCAUCAGAUCUGGAAUCGUUUUCUUUCCAAUUAAACGGAUUCAACCAAACAGCAGAGGGGAAAACAAAGCAGCGCCGCCGCCAACACUAGCCAUGGACGAUCGAUGUACCAAAACCUUGAAUAACUGCCGCCGGUCGCCACCCUCGCCGCUGGUGGCCGCCCUCGCCGUCGGUCACCGCCGAUCACCGCCCUCGCUGCCUGCGUUUCUCAUCGGCUUCAUGCAUGCAACAGCAUGCAGUCGUGGUUGCAGGCUUGCAGCUCCGGCUCCGGGGGACAUGGCCGCAUCUCCGGUAACGCCAGCCGCCGACCGCAGCACCUGUCGUUAUGGUCGCGUUGUACCUCGCCGUGUGCCCUCCCGAGGCUCUUGCUGGUUCCAACAAAAAACAAUACGUGUUGUAGCAAAAAAGUUUAUCGCUUCCAGCAAAAAAGCUUACCGCUACAGCCCGCCAUCGUCAUUGUAGCAAAAAUGUUAACCCGAUGUAGCUUUUGUGGUUGCCGACUGCAACAAAAAAUGACGUGGUUGUAGCAAAACACAAAAGAAAAAUGCCGGCCGGCCGCUGUGUAUGGUGGUAACAAACCCUAUAGCCGGUGGUAGCGAAAAACUUCAUAGUUUGCAGCAAAAAAAUGUUGUCGCCCGUCGUCGAGGUUGCAUCGUCUUCAUGAAUUAUGUCGCAAAAAAACAUUGUCGCCGGUAGUAGCAAAUGAAGCCGCCGGUAGUAGCAAAACAAGACACUGGUUCCAGCCAAAAAAUAAAUCAGCGACAGAACCUUUGGUUGGUUACAACAAAAAAACUUGUCGGUUGUAACAUCCCUCGCCGCCGGAUGUAGCAUCUCCCGGGGCUGGUUGCAACACUCCAUAAAAAAAAUGUUGUCUAUGAGCGCAUCCAUGGCGACUGCUGCACCAUCAGCAACGAGGGGAAGAGGAGGCAAUGAAAAUCGUUCGAGUCGUAGCUCCACAGGACGCGGCUGCAGCAUGGGGAGUCCAAAAAUCUGUCACAAGCAACAUGCGCCUCACCAUCCUCCUGCGCAGGAGAGAGAAGAAAAAGGAAUAAGAGGAAGAAGAAAGGAAACGGGAGGAAGAAAAAAGAAACGAUUGGUGGUGGGCUGAGGCAAUUAGUCAAACGAGGGGCACGCGGGGCCGCAGGAUACAGCGCAAUCGAACGAAGCGCGCGCGUCCGGCCGAAGACUCGGCCGGACUGCCGUCUGGAAACGUUUCCCUAAUCCAAAGGCUUUGUCUGAAUGACAAGUCGUCUGGGUUACCGGCUAACUAGAAAAAAGAUAAAUAUGCUAGAGAAUUUCAUAAUAAUUAGAAAUAUCUAGCCUUUAAUUAUGUAAAUCAGAAAAUCACAACCGUUGGAUUUACUUUAAAGGUAAAUUUCUCUAAAUUCCCACCAUUGCCAGUAUGUAGAAACAUGUGCUGCUUCAAUUCUCCCAUAAUCACCAAUCAAUCAACAACACAAAACAUACCUCAGUUAAAAAAACUGAACAAAAAAAAAGAAAAAAGAAGAAAGGACAAGAUACACGCAUGUACACGACAGCCUUGGCUUGAAACACAUCAGUAGAUCAAGUGUCCGCCUCCCUUACACAGAAUAAACUCAUAGGGAAGAAAAUAAUUGUGCAACCUAACCUUAUACGUACUAUUCUAUCCUCACGUCCCAUGAGGUUUACUAGCCUACCGCCGCCGCAUCAUGCCAUCCCCUCCUUUCAGCUCCCAUGCUUUCCAGCACCCUCAUUGCCGCGCCACUACUUGCCUAGGGAUAUUGCUGCUCAGACCGUGGAGCUUAACCUGCUUCUUCUUCAGCAAAUAUGGUACUGCUUUAGGAUCCUUCUCACAUCAGCACGUAUGGGCCUCAUUAUACUGCAGCUCCUGGACCUCCUACAAUUGGUUGGCUAUGGCCAGUUGAUCGAUGUGCCGAAGUCCAGGUCUGUUUGCUGGCACAUAUGCUUUGGAAAUAGGCCACUAUGUUUGUACUUCAAAAUUGUUUCUGUAUUCUUGAGUGGUACAUCCUUUUAAGCGCCAGUUUUUUAUGUCAAUUCAUGCUGACAACACUUAACCUAGCCUUUCAUCUUCACGUACUAAAUACAGGAGCAAGUAAAAACAACAGACCACCUAAUUGCUCUGCAUGUACUACAUAGGAAAAUUUGUCAUGUUCUACGAUCGCACCAUCCCACACUUCUCUCUUGGUAUGGGCGCCAAUUGAGGGAUUGAUAAAACUGAAACGAAGACGUCACGGGGCUGGAAGUACCGCUAGCCUGGUUUGCACUGCAACCUACUCAACGCCAUCAGAAACUAGCAACUGAGGCAGUUGUUGAUCGAUUCUCUCAAAUUGCUCUCAUGUAAGUACUACCCCUUGCAUGUGCGUACAUACCUUUGUUCCAUUCUCAAACAGAUAGAACAUUUAUGAUCGGUGCAUGGCUAUUUUUCAUCACAUGACAUCCAGAUAACAAGCAUGAAAGGACUACAUUGGAGAUCAAAAAAUAUUGGUUCCUGGCUAGAGGACCACUACCUAUGGACUUGUCUCCAUAGAAUUUGUUCCCAAGACGUUAUUUUAAUUAACCUCUUUAGCUUUCUUCCAUUGCAAACGGUGAUGUGCAUCAUGGUAUAUACGUGACCAUCUUGCACAUGUAUACACAAGAGGCUCAGACGGAGGUGCUGGAUUCUGGACGAGGGAAUAUGAAGCAGGAGUGAGCGAAGAGUAAAUAAUGGUGGGAGUACCGAUUGGUGUUAUGAAGAAAAAUGCCAUUCAAAGAUUGAUUAGUGUCAUGGAAGAUUAAUUUCUGAAUGCGAAUAUAUAUGUUACAUUGGUUUGGAUCUUUUUGAGAUAAUUGCACCUAAAUUAGGUUCUUUCUUAUUUCAUAUGUAUACCUUAUUUCAGUAAAAGUUCACAACGAACUUAGUAGGACAAAUAUAAUUUUGUUUGUGCUUUCUGUUGUCCGCCACCAAAGCUCAGUUUGAACUCUCUAGAAAUGGACAAUGAUUUAUGCAUUCUAUAUCUUCUUGAUUGAUUAGUCAUGACAAGGAAAUAAAAUGAUUGACUGAUAUAGCAUAACUUUGGAACGAUCUGUUCGUAGAGGUUACUACAAAUUAGAGUAGUGUCUGUUGGAAUUUUGCUAGUAGGCCUUUGGCCCAAAGCCCAACUAAAAUUCUGAAAUUCUCUUGGCUCAUUCAUGCACACAUGUGAGUGGAGUGAGUGAGACUAAAGUUUAGUCCCUCCCCGAAAGUUGAGAGAGUGUUGCACCUCUUUAUAAGGUGAGCUCUUCUACCACUUGUAUGAGCAUGGGAAGAGGAGACCUACACGCGCGCUCCUCCUCCUCGCUCACCAUGCCUCGUCACGACGCGCCGCGCCGCACCGCGUGGUGGGUUGUGGGAUUGAGCCGAGCCGAGGACGUUGUCUAUAUUUUUGCUGCUCGGGAAAAAUUAAUGAGUCAUUAAUUAAUAAUUAAUGGACGCGUUAAUUACUGAACCGUUUCCGAUUCUUUUGGAUCCUGACGACUCGGACGUGGGGUUUACUCCCACGACCUACCCGACCUGCACUACAUAGCCAGGCAGACGUCUACCUUAGCCGCCGCCCCUUCGUAUGGUUUCUCACCACCGUUACAGAUCAUUGCGCCGCCAAGCAAGUUUUCUCCAUCCCUCGUUUCGGCGUGCACCGGGAGAAGGGACAGCAGGCCUCCGGAACCCCGCCUCUCGUGAUCCUGUACGGAAGAGGGGCGAUCAGGUUUUUGGGGAGCGCAUCGCACGACUGCUGGCAGCGACGACUUCGCGAACGACGACUUCUUCCCCGACCUCGGCAACCUCAUCCUCGAGGACAUGGGCGACAACGUCAACGCCGGCGGUGCUACACCCACUGCACCGUAUGUUAUUCUAUCCUUCUUGUUCGAGAUCGUGGUAGAAUUCAUGUUUCUAGUAUGUGCCCUAGAGGUGAUCUGUUCAUCUACUAUGCUAGUUCGCAUGAUUAGUUUAAUCUCUGCUAUUGCUGUCAUGAUCUAUUUCCUAUUUAUUCGGAUUAAAUCUCGUAGUAAUUUUCUCAUUUUUCCAACAAUCCAAAAACCUAAUUAUAGGCAACUUACUCCGAGUGGUUUUGAUGCGCAUCUGAAAGCCGCCUGCCUUUAAGGGGGCGCAAUAUAAGAGGUGGCGCACGAGAGCAGUCUACUGGUUUCAGAUCAUGGGCUGCUAUGACGCCAUCGAUACCCUCUUUAAAGGCACUCUUCUGAGUGUUCUUGAUGACUCCAUUGUGGAUUCGUAUAUGUCGUUGACAACGGCAAGAAUAUGUGGGCUGCGCUCGAGGCCAAGUUUGGUGCCUCGGAUGCUAGUAGCGAGUUGUACGUCAUGGAGCAAUUCUAUGACUCCAAGAUGACUGAUGAGCGCCCUGUUGUACAGCAGGCUCAUGAGAUACAGUCGCUCGGAAAAGAACUUGAGUACUUCAAGUGUGUGUUGCCGAACAAAUUUUUUGCCGGAGGCAUCAUUGCCAAGCUUCCACCUUCGUGGAACAAUUUUGCUACUUCCCUGAAACACAAGAGACAGGAGUUUUUCGUUGCGGAUCUCAUUGGUACUCUUGAUGUUGAAGAGAAGGCGAGAGCAAAGGAUACACGUGCUCGAGUUGCUGAGGGAGGUUCUAGUGCCCACAUGGUACAGAAGAAGAACUUCCAGCCCGUUCAAAAACAACAAGAACAAAACUCAGGGCAAAGGCAAGUUUGAUACAAAGAACAAGCCAUCACAUUCUACCAACUUCAAGAAGAAUUCUCAUAAGAAGGGGAAGGGACUUUGCCAUGUCUGCGGUGAUCCUAAUCACUGGGCUCUGAAGUGUCCUAACUGCUUUGAGGAGCGCGAACAUGAGAAGAGCGGCAAGUCCGCUAAUGUUGUCAUCGGUGAUACUGAUAUGAAGGAAUCAGGGUACGGUAUUUUUCCUACCAUCCUUUCAGUUUUCCAAACCCCUGAUUGGUUAAUUGACACCGGUGCCAAUGUACAUGUUUGUGCUGAUGCCUCCAUGUUUUCUUCUUACCAGGCCAUUGGGACUUCACCCGUGCUGAUGGGGAACGGGUCACAUGCCAUCGUUCGAGGUGUUGGUACGGUCGAUCUGAAGUUUACUUCGGGGAAGACCGUGCGUCGGAAGAACGUUCAUCAUGUUCCAUCCAUCAAUAAAAAUCUCGUUAGCGGUUCCCGUUUAUGUCGAGAUGGUUUUAAGUUGGUUUUCGAAUACACUAAAGUUGUAAUUUCUAAGUACGGACAAUUUGGUGGAAAAGGCUAUGAGAGCGAAGGCUUGUUUUGCCUGUCUUUGUCAGAUAUUUUCACUAAAGUUAUUAAUAAUGUUUGCCACAACAAUGAGUCUGAUAUUUGGCAUUCACGACUUUGUCACAUUAACUUUGGUUGCAUGACGCGGCUAGCCAAUAUGAAUUUAAUUCCGAAAAUCUCUACUGUCAAAGGCUCUAAGUGCCAAGUAUGUGUGCAAGCUAGCUAAGCAACCUCGCAAGUCCCAUAAGACUGUAGAGGCAAGAGACUUGGCGCCACUAGAGCUUAUACAUUCUGAUAUUUGUGAGAUGAAUGGCGUGUUGACAAAAGGUGGAAAGAGAUACUUCAUGACGUUGAUUGAUGACUCCACUAGAUAUUGUUAUGUGUAUCUUAUGAAAUCAAAAGAUGAGGCUUUGACUUUCUUCAAAAACUAUAAAGCUGAGGCAGAGAACCAACUUGAUCAAAAAAUUAAACGGCUUAGGUCCGAUCAUGGUGGAGUGUAUUUUUCCAAUGAAUUUGAUCUGUUUUGUGCGGAACAUGGUAUAAUCCAUGAGAGGAUGCGUCCCUACUCAGCCUAGUCAAAUGGGGUAGCCAAAAUAAAGAACCGAACUCUAACUGAUAUGGUUAACACCAUGUUAGACACUUCAGGUCUAUCCAAGGAAUGGUGGGGGCAGGCGCUAACGACUGCGUGUCAUGUCCUAAACAGAGUACCCACAAAGCAUAAGACCAUGACUCCAUUUGAGGAAUGUGAAAGGAAAAUGUUGAAACUCUCUUACCUACGUACUUGGGGUUGUUUGGCGAAAGUCAAUAUACCAAUUCCCAAGAAGCGCAAGGUUGGACCAAAAACCGUGGAUUGUGUUCUUCUGGGCUAUGCUUUUCAUAGCAUCGGCUAUAGAUUUUUGAUAAUAAAAUCUGAGGUAUCCGACAUGCAUGUUGGUACGAUUAUGGAGUCGAAUGAUGCAACUUUCUUUGAGGACAUAUUUCCUAUGAAGGAUAUGUCGAGUUCAUCAAAUCAGGAGACACCUACUCCAUCUAGUGAGGAAUUCACUGUAAUUCCUGAACCCACCAUUGCGAUGGAACACGUUGAGAAUCCUGUUGAGGGUGACAAUGGAACUCCUAUGAGGAGUAAGAGACACAGGACUACAAAGUCCUUUGGUGAUGAUUUCAUUGUGUUCCUCGUGGAUGACACACCCAGGACUAUUUCAGAAGCCUGUGCAUCUCUUGAUGCUAACUACUGGAAGGAAGCUGUACGUAGCGAGAUGGAUUCCAUCUUAGGUAACGGAACCUGGGAGAUCACUGACCGUCCUUAUGGGUGCAAACUUGUAGGAUGUAAGUGGGUGUUCAAGAAGAAGCUUAGACCUGAUGGUACGAUUGAAAAGUACAAGGCACGGCUUGUGGCCAAGGGUUAUACCCAGAAAGAAGGUGAAGACUUCUUUGAUACUUACUCACCCGUGGCUAGAAUGACCACAAUUCGGGUGCUACUAUCACUUGCUGCCUCACAUGGUCUUCUCGUUCAUCAAAUGGAUGUUAAGACAGCUUUCCUCAAUGGAGAGAGUUGGAGGAAGAAAUUUACAUGGAUCAGCCAGAUGGUUUUGUAGUACCUAGUUAGGAAGGAAAGGUGUGCAAGUUAUUAAAGUCUUUAUAUGGCCUUAAACAAGCUCCUAAAGAGUGGCAUGAGUAGUUUGAAAGAACAUUAACUGCUGCCGGCUUUGUAGUAAACGAUGAUGACAAGUGCGUGUACUAUCGCUAUGGUGGGGCGAAGGAGUUAUUCUUUCUCUGUAUGUCGACGACAUAUUGAUCUUUGGAGCCAAACUUGAUUUAAUCAAGGAGGUUAAGGAUUUCUUAUCUUGUUGUUUUGAGAUGAAGGAUCUAGGAGUAGCUGAUGUUAUCUUAAACAUCAAGCUGUUGAGAGAUGAGAAUGGUGGGAUCACACUACUUCAGUCUCACUAUGUGGAAAAGGUCUUGAGUCAUUUUGGGUAUAGCGACUGCACACCUUCUCCAACUCCAUAUGAUGCUAGUGUGUUGCAUCGAAAGAAUCGAUGGAUUGCUAGAGAUCAACUGAGGUAUUCUCAUAUUAUUGGCCCGCUUAUGUAUUUGACGAGUGCCACGAGGCCUAACAUCUCAUUUGCUGUUAGCAAGCUGAGUCGGUUUGUGUCAAAACCGGGAGAUGAUCGUUGGCAUGCUCUUGAGAGAGUUAUGCGCUAUUUGAAAGGCACCGCGAGCUAUGGGAUUCACUACACCGGGUAUCCAAGGGUACUGGAGGGUUAUAGUGACUCAAACUGGAAGUCCUGCAAACAGACCAUCUUAACAAGGUCAAGUAUGGAAGCAGAACUCACAGCAUUAGAAACUGCCACUGUGAUAAUCAAACUAUGAUCGUCAAGAUAAACAGUUACGGACAAUAUGAAGUCCUCAAGGCAUGUGAAGAGGAGACUGAAAUCUGUCAGAAAAUUGAGGAACUCUGGAGUUAUUACGUUGGAUUAUAUCGAAACAUCGAAAAAUUUGGCAGAUCCCUUCACAGAGGGUCUAUCACGUAAUGUGAUAGAUAAUGCAUCGAUGGAGAUGGGUCUGAGACCCACCGCAUGAGUUGUCCAUAGUGGUCUAUGUGAUCGGAGAUCCCGUGAAGUAGAAGUGGGAGACAAGUUGUUGAUCAGCUGGGAGGAUAGUAUCCCUAUAUUACCUAUCCCACUCCAUGAAGAUGCAAUACUCUCCUAAUCUGCAUGGCAGGUUGACACUUAUGUUAAUGUGUUCCAAGUGGCUUAUUCGGGUAAGCAGAGAUGUUGUCCUGCAGAACAUCUUCUAAGGAACACACCUAUAUGAAUUUGACUGUUAACGUCGCAGUAUGUGAGAAUUGGGUGUUCUCUAAUAAAUUGAUGAAAAGGCCCUGGAGUAUGACGUAUACGCUCCACCCGCGGGGAAGCCUUGCGGCAGCCCAGUAUCGGUCAAGAAUUUGUGUGAAACUAGUCUCGCAGAAAAUUUGUAGUUCAAGGCGUAGUCCAAACGGAAUAUCAAACGGAGUCCAAACGGAAUGAAACCUUUGGGAACGUGAUUUUCUCAACGAACAAGACCCAGGAGACUUGGACCCUACGUCCAGACACAAAAGAGGAGGCCACGAGGUAGGGGGGCGCGCCCUCCACCCUCGUGGGGCCCCUGUUGCUGAAGGACAUAUGCCCUAGAGGCAAUAAUAAAGUUAUGAUUUAUUUCCUUAUAUCAUGAUAAAUGUUUAUUAUUCAUGCUGGAAUUGUAUUAACCGGAAACAUAAUACAUGUGUGAAUACAUAGACAAACAAAGUGUCACCAGUAUGCCUCUACUUGACUAGAUUGUUAAUCAAAGAUGGUUAUGUUUCCUAACCAUAGACAAAGAGUUGUUAUUUGAUUAACGGGAUCACAUCAUUAGUUGAAUGAUCUGAUUGACAUGACCCAUUCCAUUAGCUUAGCACCCGAUCGUUUAGUAUGUUGCUAUUGCUUUCUUCAUGACUUAUACAUGUUCGUAUGACUAUGAGAUUAUGCAACUCCCGUUUACCGAAGGAACACUUUGUGUGCUACCAAACGUCACAACGUAACUGGGUGAAUAUAAAGGAGUUCUACAGGUGUCUCCAAAGGUACAUGUUGGGUUGGCGUAUUUCGAGAUUAGGAUUUGUCACUCCGUUUGUCGGAGAGGUAUCUCUGGGCCCUCUCGGUAAUGCACAUCACAUAAUCCUUGCAAGCAUUGCAACUAAUGUGUUAGUUGUGAGAUGAUGUAUUACGGAACGAGGAAAGAGACUUGCCGGUAAUGAGAUUGAACUAGGUAUUGGAUACCGACGAUCGAAUCUCGGGCAAGUAACAUACCGAUGACAAUGGGAACAACGUAUGUAGUUAUGCGGUCUGACCGAUAAAGAUCUUCGUAGAAUAUGUAGGAGCCAAUAUGGGCAUCCAGGUCCCGCUAUUGGUUAUUGACCAUAGACGUGUCUCGGUCAAGUCUACAUUGUUCUCGAACCGUAGGGUCUGCACGCUUAAAGUUACGAUGACAAUUUCAUUAUGAGUUUAUGUAUUUUGAUGUACCGAAGGUUGUUCGGAGUCCCGGAUGUGAUCACGGACAUGACGAGGAGUCACGAAAUGGUCGAGACAUAAAGAUCGAUAUAUUGGAAGCCUAUAUUUGGACAUCGGAAUCGUUCCGGGUGAAAUCGGCAUUUUACCAGAGUACCGCGGGGUUACCGGAACCCCCGGGGGGGUUAUUGGGCCUACAUGGGCCUUGAAGAAGAGAGGAGGCAGGAGGUGGCCGCGCGCCCCUCCCCUUCCUAGUCCGAAUAGGACAAGGGAAGGGGGGUGGCGCCCCCCCUUUCCUUCCCCUCUUCCUCCUCUUUCCCCCCUUCUCCUUCUCCAACUAGGAAAGAAGGGAGUCCUACUCCCGGUGGGAGUAGGACUCCCCCUGGCGCGCCCCUCCUUGGCCGGCCGCCCCCUCCCCUUGGUUCCUUCAUAUACGGGGGCAGGGGGCACCCUAGGACACAGAAGUUGAUCUUCGUGAUCGUUCCUUAGUCGUGUGCGGUGCCCCCCUCCACGAUAUUACACCUCGAUCAUAUUGUAGCAGUGCUUAGGCGAAGCCCUGUGACGGUUAAACAUCAAGAUCGUCACCACGCCGUCGUGCUGACCAAACUCCUCCCCGAAGCUUUGCUGGAUCCGAGCCGGGGGUGCGUCAUCGAGCCGUACGUGUCUCAAGAACUCGGAGGUGCCGGAGUAAAGGUGCUUGGAUUGGUUGGACCGGGAAGACGUACGACUACUUCCUCUACGUUGCGUCAACGCUUCCGCUUCGGUCUACAAGGAUACGUAGACAACACUCUCCCCUCUUGUUGCUAUGCAUCACCAUGAACUUGCGUGUGCGUAGGAAAUUUUUUGAAAUUACUACAUUCCCCAACAGUGGCAUCCGAGCCUAGGUUUUAUGGUUUGAUGUUAUACGCACGAGUAGAACACAAGUGAGUUGUGGGCGAUAUAAGUCAUACUGCCUACCAGCAUGUCAUACUUUGGUUCGGCGGUAUUGUUGGAUGAAGUGGCCCGGACCGACAUUACGCGUACGCUUACGCGAGACUGGUUCUACCGCCGUGCUUUGCACAUAGAUGGCUGGCGGGUGUCAGUUUCUCCAACUUUAGUUGAACCGAGUGUGGCUACGCCCGGUCCUUGCGAAGGUUAAAACGGCAUCAACUUGACAAACUAUCUGUCACAGCCCUAGAAUUUGCUUGUAGCUAUUUACCCGAGUGAGCAUGAUGCAUCAUGUCUAAAUUCUGAAAGUUGAAUUGAGGUUAGUAGAAACCCUCAUAAAUCACUUCAAAAAUAAUCAACAUUAAAAUCUUUUCAAAGAAGUCCAAGAAAGUGUUCCUCUUAGUCUCUGAAAAUAUUGGCAAGAGGUAAAACUUAAAACAAUAUUUUUGGAAUCUCAGAGAUAUUUAUUUUGGGCCUUUGAAUUAAUUCAAUAACAAUUUGCAUUGGAUAUAUAUUUUAUAUAUAACUAAUAUAUGUCCAAUAAUUCUAGAACAUUUUAUGUGGUUUGUUAUAUUUUAGUUCUAGCCACAUAAUUAUUUUCAGGAUUUUAUUAAAUGGUUUAGUAUUUUUACUAAACCAAAACAAAACAGAACAAAAUAGAAAAAAACUGAAACAGAAAGCAAACAGAAAAUAGAGAGAGAGAGAGGAGCUACCUGGGCUUACCUGGCGCCCCAACUGGCCCACCUCUGUAGCAGCCCAACUGGCCAAAGCCAGCCCGGCCCAUCAGGGGCAGCACUGUCUUCUUCCUCCUGCCAGGAGGAGAAGCAGCUGCGUGCCCGAUGGCCGGCGAGCCGCGCUGGCUCCUCCCUGCCUGCGUGCCCCCCCUCGACUUCCUGGAUGCCAUGCACUCCCCCUCGCCCCCUGCACCUCUCCUCUCUCCCCCUGGACCCCAUCCCCUCCUCUGCUCCCCUCUCGCGCGCACCACCGAGCGGAGCUCGUCGUCAUCGUCGCCGUACUCGUGGCCACCGGCCACCCCUCGCCCUGCCGCUGCGCCCAAAAGCUCUGCCAUUUCGUCCUCGACCCCCUCACCGAGCCACGCCACCGCGGGAGCCCCACAUCGCGGCUACGAGUCGUCCUCCCCGAGCACGGCCGCCGGACUUCAUCGAUGAAUUCGUCGCCUUCCGGUCGUCCCCGAGCCAGCUGAGCUCCGCUUCGACCUCACCGUGAGAUCCUCUACCAAACCCCUCUCUCCCCGCCGUCUAUUUCCUCCUCUAGCCUCACUAACCACCGUGGCCGAAGCUCGCCGCCGCCGUACCUCAUCGCCGCCACGGCCAUAGCUGCCGCCACCCACGCCCGAGCUUUGCCCCAUGCUCAGCACUCUCCCAGGAGCCGGGCGCGCCCACCCAUUCGACCCGUUGUGCCCCCUAGCGCCAACCCCGACCUCGCCCGAAUUCCGGCCGCCGCAAAAGUUGCCGCCACCGUCGAUUUAGUCAACCCCGGUGCGAGGUGUUGCCACCGAUGGAUGCGCGAGUCUCCCAGCUCGCCGUAGCCACAAACCACGAGCGAAACGAUGCUCUGUAGCUCCGUCCCGAGCAUCUCCGGCGAGCCACGGCCGUGCUUUUGGUCGCCGGCGUCGACCGCUGACGUGGUCGCUUAAUUAAGUCUAAUCACCACUAAUCCCUGCCUAACAGACGCUGACUCACGGGCCCCACCUGUUAAUUAACCACAAGGUUAUACCCUGUUUAAUUUAAGCUAAUGACCGUGGCCCCACGGGUCAGUUUGACCUGGCCACGUCACCGUUGACCUGGUCCCACACGUCAGCCACAGAAACCAGCCCUGGGUCACUGACCAGUGGGCCCCACUAGUCAGGUUUGACCCGGACCAGCCCUGUUGACUUGCUUACGUCACCCUGAUGUCAUGCUGACGCAGUAAUUAAUUUCUGUUUUAUAAUAAUUCAGAAAAUUUCAGAAAAUGUCCAAAACUUCUAAAAAUCAUAGAAAUUAAACUGUAACUCCAAAUAAAAUAAAUUAUAUAUGUAAAAUUAUCAGAAAAAUUCAAGGAAUCUGUUUAUGGCAUUUUCAUGCAUGUUUGAAAAAUGUUUGACCUCUGUUUUGGACAAAACAAUAAAGGGCAUUUAAAUAAUCAUAUAUGGAGUUUGAAUUUGAAUCUUGUAUUCAAACCAACUUCAUUUAAUUGUGUUGUUAGUUGCUUUAGGUCAAUCAAUAGCAUAUUGCCAUGUCAUUAUCAUGCAUCAUAUUGUUGCAUCGCAUUGAUUGUGUCCUUCCUUGUUUGCCGGUAAUUGCCCCCUCUCAGUAGACGUUGUUUCCGACGACGUGAUCGAUGACACCGAUGAAGAGCUAUUCUAUCUUCAGAAGUGCCAGGCAAGCACAACCCCCUUGUUCAUUCCGAUACAAGCCCACUCUCUCGCUCCUGCUCUCUUUUACUGCAUUAGGACAACAAUGAUUCAUUUGUUACUUGUUGCGGUAGUUGAACCCCUUAUCCUCUGCAUGACCUAUCAUUGCCACAGUAAUUAGAUGAAACCCGCUAGCAUGAGUAGGAGUUGUUUGAGCCCUGAUGUGCCUACUCAUUCAUGCUUGUUUGUCAUGCCUGCUACUGCUUAGAGUUGAGUCAGGUCUGAUUCAUCGGGGAUGGAUCGGAGGUGUGUAAACAUGUCCUAUUGUGUGUGAGCUAAGUGUGUGAACACGUUUUGGUAAAGGUAGCGGUGACAGGCCAUGUAGGAGUACAUGGUGGGUUGUCUCAUUGAAACCGUCCACAGGAACUAAGUUCUGUGUUUGUGAUCCAUGAAACAGCUGCUACCACACGUUGGGCCCCGAAAUAUGACCCCGCUCGACUUACUGACCCCUCUCUUCCUCUGUCCAGGAGUUGCAAUUAGUUUCUGGUGUUUAUAGGAUAUGUGUUGGCGGCCGUGUGUAGCGCUGACCCUAGGGGUGGGCUAUGAUGCGGUAGAUACACUGUGGCCCGGUGUACCGGGCGCCCGUUUGGUGUCUCUGGAACCCUGCACACAUCGUUUGGGGCUGUGAGCGAAACUCCGUCCGGAUCUCCUCGCGGAUGGAACCCGAAUAGGCGAUAAACCUGGACUAGAGACUUGUGUGGUUAGUCAGGUCGUGGUCUACACCCACGUCGGCUUUCGCUUGAAGUCUGCCGAGCACAUGUCGUGUGCAGACGCUAAGUGGUGGAAACAUGUGUGACGAAGUACACCCCCGCAGGGUUAUAAAUGAUCUAUUCGAAUAGCCGUGUCCGCGGUAAAGGACUUCUGGGUUGCCUAUAACAGUUCAUAGACAAGUGAAAGUGGAUACUCUAAAAACUCGCAAGAUAAGUGUGAGUGCUACGGAUGGCCUUCUCGUAGGGAGACGAGAGCGGAUCCAUAGUGGUCUAUUGAAUGGUGAAUAUGUGGACUCGUGUGCGCCACCUUAAAAGAGUUGCUUGCCAUCGUAGUUCAGGUUAGCCCCGGAAUCAAAGCUGGCUUGCUGCCGUUAAACUCCACCCCCCUUUGAUGAUACCGAUGCAUAUGUAGUUUAGAUCUGAUGUAAGUAUUGCUGAGUACCUUUGUACUCACGUUUGCUUAAUUUAUGUUUUGCAGAGAGACUUCAGUCUCGCUAGUAGUUCCGCGUGGACUUCGACGUUUAGCUUGAUACCUCAGCUACGAUCUUGUGCCCUCGACAGGAUCUGGUAGAUAGUCAGGCUUCUUAGCCUUUUUCAUUUAUAGAUGUCUGUACUCAGACAUGUUAAGCUUCCGCAUGUGCUUUGCAUUGUAUGCUAUGAUUGUCGGGUCAUGAGACCCAUGCUUGUAAUAUCUAGCUCUUCGGAGCCUAAUGAAUUAAUACUUGAGUCGUAGAGUCUUGUUUUGAUGCCAUGUUGUAUUUACACAUAUCGAGCAUAUUGUGUGUAUGAUUGAAAUGCUUGGUAUGUGUAGGAUCCAACAACCUAGUUGUUUAUCCUUCGCAGCCUUUCUUAUGGGGAAAUGUAGUCUAGUGUUCCUCGAGCCAUAGUAGUCCGCUACAGCCCGGUUCACCGGAGUCCUGCUAGCCCAGCACUACUGUUCAGGACACUUGACUGGCCGGCAUGUGUUUCACUUCAUCCCUAUGUCUGUCCCUUCGGGGAAAUGUCACGCGGUGAUUUCCGGAGUCCUGCCUAGCCUGCUACAGCCCGGGAUCCCCGGAGUCCUGUUAGCCCAGUGCCACAGCCCGGAAUAACUCAUUGAUGACCGACAUGUUCGAUGUGAUUCAUGUAUGCCUGUCUCCAUAGGUCUGUGCCACUUUGGGUUCACGACUAGCCAUGUCGGCCCGGGUUCUUUGUCAUAUGGAUGCUAGCGACACUAUCAUAUACGUGAGCCAAAAGGCGCAAACGGUCCCGGGCCAGGUAAGGUGGCACCCGUGGGAAUACCGUGCGUGAGGCCACAAAGUGAUAUGAUGUGUUACAUGCUAGAUCGGUGUGACCUAGGAUCGGGGUCCUGAUAGCGUUGGUAUCAGAGCCUGACUGCCUGUAGGAUUACCAAGCCAAACUGGUCGAAGUUGAGUCUAGAAAUGCUUUAGUUAUGUAAGGGAAUUGAUUGCGGAAGGGAACGUAAGGCUCUUUUUAUUCCUUAUACCUCAUGCCCUUGUGAUCUGAGUCAUCCUCUUCCUUUCUAUGGGGAUUAAGAACUAGGCUUUCUUAUCUAUCUAUCAGGAUGACGUGUUACUAACCCGUUGACUUAUAGGAUUGAUGGAUUCAUGCUGCAGUUCAGUUCCUACUACUUCCAUAUAUUCAUAACUGGCCGCAGAACCUUGAUAUUAUGAUUCGAGUGGUUAUGCCACCAUUUUUGCAGGAUGUCUCAAAUCUUUUCGAGCAUUUACAGCCGUUAUGCUGUCCGAGUCAUCCCAGGUUUCUAAAUAGUCUGAUGCAUUUGCAAACCUUUUCCCCUGUUCCUGAUGUCCAUUUAGGCCAGGUUAAUCACACUAAUUGUGAGUUGGCGUAUUCUUUUGCCUGGACAUAUAUUUUGGAAUUAUUAUUAUGACCCUAGAUGUCUUAGAGUGCCACCUAGUAAUCGAACCAUGUUUUGCGUUUCUAGUGUGAUGAUUCUGGCCGUUAUUCUUGAAAGCAUCCCGUGAUGCCAUUUAGUUAGUAGGCAUUCUAUUCCUGGGUUUUGAACCCGAGACCCACCCUACCUGCUUCAUGUUGAUAGUGUUUGCUAGUUCCUUAGGACAUUAGUAAACCUUGUGAUAGACCUCGAGGUCCGUGGUAUUUCCUUCUUCCAAUUAUCAUGAACCAUUCAUGGCAGGAGUUCUUUUGAACCAAAAGGUCACGACAGAGUGCUCUUGAUGAGUUCUCCAUUCUAUAUUGUGGCUCUGCCAGUUCUACCUUUCUGCAUGGGUUAUCCGGAAGAAAUAUGUUGAACUCGUUCGACAUACUAACCUAUGCAUCCACAACUCAGAAAGUUAUAUGUUCCUUGAGUUGUUCCUCUUCAGUUGUAUUCCGACCAUCCUCUAUCAGUAGAUAGCCAAGAGUAUGUGUGCAUUUGUGUUCAUCGGUGCCUCUUAUUCUUGUGGUUCGUCGAGCCGUUCUAUUUUAGAAUGACUAGGAGAAACAAACUCCAGUACCUCAUCCAUAUCUAGGGUUGGGUCAAAAUAGUUGUAUUCCGCAGAUCAAAAUGCAACCCAGCUUUUGGUUCUGUUCUACCCUGAAGUAUUACCCACCUUAUGUCAAGAGCGACGUGAGAAUUGCACCUUCUCCUAUGAAUUCUUGACGCAGUGAUACUUCUUGCCAUCAUUGUUCAUUCCUCGGUUCCUGUGUUAUUGUAACCAGAAUGCCGGCACGUGAGUCGUUAUGUGUGAAAUCAAUACUCCUAGCAACUAUGCUGCUUGGUAGUUAAUGGACAAUAUUCUCAUUCUUAGCGUGUUGGUUAUUGAAUUAUCAUUCUAAGACUGAUCGUGCUACCUAGUCCAUAUUUCUGGUGCACACUUCGAUCAAUGGGUUAGGACUGUGCCAAUCCCUCACUCUUUGAUCAUAUCAUCUUGCCCUGAAAAGCAAGGUUGUUCUCGAGCUUAGUAACAUACCGGUGGUUCGUGAUUUUCCGAAUAUCUUCUCAGAAGUGUUACUAGGUUGUCACCUGACCGUUAUGUUGAGUUCAUGAUCAAGAUGGUUUUUCAAUAAACCACUUUUCCCUAAGAAUCUGUGUUGGAUACCCCUGAGCUAGUUGGUUAAGCUUAACAACAACUUGGAGAGUUGGAAGAUGAAAACUUGUCCGACUUAGCUCAUCCCUAAGGGAUAUCCUUGUGUGUGUGGGUGUUGAAGAAAGAUGAUAUAUUCACCAAUUGGUCCUCAUGAUCAGUUGUUGUAUCUAUUAUCUUGUCCAAACCUUGAUUUGAGUGUGGGCUAUCGUCAAAUCAAAUCAGAACCAACGAUGUUCAUAAUGUUGUCUUACUUACGGUUGUCCCUCGAGCAUACACCAUUAUAUAUUUGGUUUGACCAAUACUAUCACAUUGUUCACAUAGUGGUGGAAGUCCAGUGAUAUGGAAAUACCGAUGCGUUGUUGUUGAUCCCAUCAGCAGCCUUUUGUCUCCCCCAUGAGUCAUGUUGAAUGCUACACUAGUAUUGGAAACUUAUAAGCAUUAUCUUUGUGUUUCGUUCAUGAAGCAUAUGUUUGGAUGAAAGAAGUGACUUCCUCUAAUUCAUGUGCACUCGAUGUAAGUUGCCACCAUGAAUUGAGCAAGGUUUGUUUUGUUUCCCUUGGAAUCAUCCCAAAUCAGUCAUGCAUAUGUGCGAAGUAUUCUAUGGUUUGGUAGAUUAAUUACCUCCACUCCAUAUGUGUUCCUAGCACACCAAGCCACUGGUUGAUUUGUUCAAGGAGAAGAAGUUCCUUCUUAAGAAUCAUGACUUAUGUUAGGACUUUGUUAUCCUCGAUAAUGGUUCCCCACCUGAACUCGGUAGUGUUUUAUUAUAAGACUACCAUGUGGUCAUGCUUUUCUGGGACAGCGUGUUCACAUGUGUUUAGCAGAACCAGCUCAUGCUUUGGAGCUUACUACCGUAGUUCAUUCCCCGAGAAUCUCGCAAUGUCGUCUCGUCGAUUUGUGUUGCAAACCUUCAUUUUCCUUUCUAGACUCGAUGAGUCUGGAAUAUCCCGUCACCAACCAGAUCUGAAUCUCAGGCAGAUAUGAUGGUUGGAGCAUUUUCCAAGAACUAUAAUAUUGGUCUCCCGAUAACCGGUAAAGUGGAUGUCGUGGCCAACACAUCCAGCCGGGCGACCUAUUAUUGUAGUAUCUUGAUUGAAGAAAGUUGGCCACCUUCCCAUGAGGAUUUCAUAGGAUUUACUCCAGAAGUUGUUCCUUAUGGAUCUAUUGUAUUCCGAAGUCCGACCACUACUUGGUGGCUAUGCCGAUGCUUAAAGCAUGACCGUGGUUGCCCCCUCUCAGUAGACGUUGUUUCCGACGACGUGAUCGAUGACACCGAUGAAGAGCUAUUCUAUCUUCAGAAGUGCCAGGCAAGCACAACCCCCUUGUUCAUUCCGAUACAAGCCCACUCUCUCGCUCCAGCUCUCUUUUACUGCAUUAGGACAACAACGAUUCAUCUGUUACUUGUUGCGGUAGUUGAACCCCUUAUCCUCUGCAUGACCUGUCAUUGCCACAGUAAUUAGAUGAAACCCACUAGCAUGAGUAGGAGUUGUUUGAGCCCUGAUGUGCCUACUCAUUCAUGCUUGUUUGUCAUGCCUGCUACUGCUUAGAGUUGAGUCAGGUCUGAUUCAUCGGGGAUGGAUCGGAGGUGUGUAAACAUGUCCUAUUGUGUGUGAGCUAAGUGUGUGAACACGUUUUGGUAAAGGUAGCGGUGAGAGGCCAUGUAGGAGUACAUGGUGGGUUGUCUCAUUGAAACCGUCCUCAGGAACUGAGUUCUGUGUUUGUGAUCCAUGAAAUAGCUACUACGACACGUUGGCCCUGAAAUAUGACCCCGCUCGACUUACUGACCCCUCUCGUCCUCUGUCCAGGAGUUGCAAUUAGUUUCUGGUGUUUAUAGGAUAUGUGUUGGCGGCCGUGCGUAGCGCUGACCCUAGGGGUGGGCUAUGAUGCGGUAGAUACACCGUGGCCCGGUGUACCGGGCGCCCGUUUGGUGUCUCGGGAACCCUGCACACAUCGUUUGGGGCUGUGAGCGAAACUCCGGCCGGAUCUCCUCGCGGAUGGAACCCGAAUAGGCAAUAAACCUGGACUAGAGACUUGUGUGGUUAGUCAGGUCGUGGUCUACACCCAUGUCGGCUUUCGCUUGAAGUCUGCCGAGCACAUGUCGUGUGCAGACGCUAAGUGGUGGAAACAUGUGUGACGAAGUACACCCCUACAGGGUUAUAAAUGAUCUAUUCGAAUAGCCGUGUCCGCGGUAAAGGACUUCUGGGUUGCCUAUAACAGUUCAUAGACAAGUGAAAGUGGAUACUCUAAAAACUCGCAAGAUAAGUGUGAGUGCUAUGGAUGGCCUUCUCGUAGGGAGACGAGAGCGGAUCCAUAGUGGUGUAUUGAAUGGUGAAUAUGUGGACUCGUGUGCGCCACCUCAAAAGAGUUGCUUUCAAUCGUAUUUCAGGUUAGCCCCGGAGUCAAAGCUGGCUUGCUGUAGUUAAACUCCACCCCCCCCCUUUGAUGAUACCGAUGCAUAUGUAGUUUAGAUCUGAUGUAAGUCUUGCUGAGUACCUUUGUACUCACGUUUGCUUAAUUUAUGUUUUGUAGAGAGACUUCAGUCUCGCUAGUAGUUCCGCGUGGACCUCGAGGUUUAGCUUGAUACCUCAGCUACGAUCUUGUGCCCUCGACAGGAUCUGGUAGAUAGUCAGGCUUCUUAGCCUUUUUCAUUUAUAGAUGUCUGUACUCAGACAUGUUAAGCUUCCGCAUGUGCUUUGGAUUGUAUGCUAUGAUUGUUGGGUCAUGAGACCCAUGCUUGUAAUAUCUGGCUCUUCAGAGCCUAAUGAAUUAAUACUUGAGUCGUAGAGUCUUGUUGUGAUGCCAUGUUGUAUUUACACAUAUCGACCAUAUUGUGUGUAUGAUUGAAAUGCUUGGUAUGUGUAGGAUCCGACAACCUAGUUGUUUAUCCCUCGCAACCUUUCUUAUGGGGAAAUGUAGUCUAGUGUUCCUUGAGCCAUAGUAGUCCGCUAUAGCCCGGUUCACCGGAGUCCUACUAGCCCAGCACUACUGUUCAGGACACUUGACUGGCCGGCAUGUGUUUCACUUCGUCCCUAUGUCUGUCCCUUCGGGGAAAUGUCACGCGGUGAUUUCCGGUGUCCUGCCUAGCCUCCUACAGCCCGGGAUCCCCGGAGUCCUGUUAGCCCAGUGCCACAGCCCGGAAUCACUCGUUGAUGACCGACAUGUUCGAUGUGAUUCAUGUAUGCCUGUCUCCAUAGGUCUGUGCCGCUUUGGGUUCACGACAAGCCAUGUCGGCCCAGGUUCUUUGUCAUAUGGAUGCUAGCGACACUAUCAUAUACGUGAGCCAAAAGGCGCAAACGGUCCCGGGCCAGUUAAGGUGGCACCCGUGGGAAUACCGCGCGUGAGGCCACAAAGUGAUAUGAUGUGUUACAUGCUAGAUUGGUGUAACCUAGGAUCGGGGUCCUGACACUAUCGUUGUGGUUUUGAUGCGUAGGUAAGAUUGGUUCUUGCUUAAGCCCGUAGCAGCCACGUAAAACUUGCAACAAACAAAGUAGAGGACGUCUAACUUGUUUUUGUAGGGCAUGUUGUGAUGUGAUAUGGUCAAGACAUGAUGCUAAAUUUUAUUGUAUGAGAUGAUCAUGUUUUGUAACUGAGUUAUCGGCAAUUGGCAGGAGCCAUAUGGUUGUCGCUUUAUUGUAUGCAAUGCAAUCGCCCUGUAAUGCUUUACUUUAUCACUAAGCGGCCGGUAGCGAUAGUCGUAGAAGCAUAAGAUUGGCGAGACGACAACGAUGCUACGAUGGAGAUCAAGGUGUCGCGCCGGUGACGAUGGUGAUCAUGACGGUGCUUCAGAGAUGGAGAUCACAAGCACAAGAUGAUGAUGGCCAUAUCAUAUCACUUAUAUUGAUUGCAUGUGAUGUUUAUCUUUUAUGCAUCUUAUCUUGCUUUGAUUGACGAUAGCAUUAUAAGAUGAUCUCUCACUAAAUUAUCAAGAAGUGUUCUCCCUAUGUAUGCACCGUUGCUAAAGUUCGUCGUGCCCAGACACCACGUGAUGAUCGAGUGUGAUAAGCUCUACGUCCAUCUACAACGGGUGCAAGCCAAUUUUGCACACGCAGAAUACUUGGGUUAAACUUGACGAGCCUAGCAUAUGCAGAUAUGGCCUCGGAACACGGAGACUGAAAGGUCGAGCGUGAAUCAUAUAGUAGAUAUGAUCAACAUAAUGAUGUUCACCAUUGAAAACUAAUCCAUUUCACGUGAUGAUCGGUUAUGGUUUAGUUGAUUUGGAUCACGUGAUCACUUAGAGGAUUAGAGGGAUGUCUAUCUAAGUGGGAGUUCUUAAGUAAUAUGAUUAAUUGAACUUCAAUUUAUCAUGAACUUAGUCCCUGAUAGUAUCUUGCUUGUUUAUGUUGAUUGUAGAUAGAUGGCCCGUGCUGUUGUUCCAUUAAAUUUUAAUGCGUUCCUUGAGAAAGCAAAGUUGAAAGAUGAUGGUAGCAAUUACACGGACUUGGUCCAUAACUUGAGGAUUAUCCUCAUUGCUGCACAGAAGAGUUACGUCCUGGAAGCACCGCUGGGUGCCAGGCCUGCUGCUGAUGCAACUGACGACGUUAAGAACGUCUGGCAGAGCAAAGCUGAUGACUACUCGAUAGUUCAAUGUGCCAUGCUUUACGGCUUAGAACCGGGACUUCAACGGCGUUUUGAACAUCAUGGGGCAUAUAAGAUGUUCCAGGUGUUGAAGUUAAUAUUCCAGCAGAAUGCCCGGAUUGAGAGAUAUGAAGUCUCCAAUAAAUUCUAUAGCUGCAAGAUGGAGGAGAAUAGUUCUGUCAGUGAGCAUAUACUCAAGAUGUCUGGGUAUUGUAAUCACUUGAUUCAACUGGGAGUUAAUCUUCCGGAUGAUAGCGUCAUUGACAGAAUUCUCCAAUCACUUCCACCAAGCUACAAGAGCUUCGGGAUGAACUAUAAUAUGCAAGGGAUGGAUAAGACAAUUCCCGAGCUCUUCGCAAUGCUAAAGGUUGCGGAGGUAGAAAUCAAGAAGGAGCAUCAAGUGUUGAUGGUCAACAAGACCACUUGUUUCAAGAAAAAGGGCAAAGGGAAGAAGAAGGGGAACUUCAAGAAGAACAGCAAGCAAGUUGCUGCUCAGGAGAAGAAACCCAAGUCUGGACCUAAGCCUGAAACCGAGUGCUUCUACUACAAGCAGACUGGUCACUUGAAGCGGAACUGCCCCAAGUAUUUGGCGGAUAAGAAGGAUGGCAAAGUGAACAAAGGUAUAUGUGAUAUAGAUGUUAUUGAUGUGUACCUUACUAGAGCUCGCAGUAGCACCUGGGUAUUUGAUACUGGUUCUGUUGCUAAUAUUUGCAACUCGAAACAGGGACUACGGAUUAAGCGAACACUGGCAAAGGACGAGGUGACGAUGCGCAUGGGAAAUGGUUCCAAAGUCGAUGUGAUCGCGGUCGGCAUGCUACCUCUACAUCUACCUUCGGGAUUAGUAUUAGACCUAAAUAAUUGUUAUUUGGUGCCAGUGUUGAGCAUGAACAUUAUAUCUAGAUCUUGUUUAAUGCGAGACGGUUAUUCAUUUAAAUCAGAGAAUAAUGGUUGUUCUAGUUAUAUGAGUAAUAUCUUUUAUGGUCAUGCACCCUUGAAGAGUGGUCUAUUUUUGAUGAAUCUCGAUAGUAGUGAUACACAUAUUCAUAAUGUUGAAGCCAAAAGAUGCAGAGUUGAUAAUGAUUGUGCAACUUAUUUGUGGCACUGCCAUUUAGGUCAUAUCGGUGUAAAGCGCAUGAAGAAACUCCAUACUGAUGGACUUUUGGAACCACUUGAUUAUGAAUCACUUGGUACUUGCGAACCGUGCCUCAUGGGCAAGAUGACUAAAGCACCAUUCUCCGGUACUAUGGAGAGAGCAACAGAUUUGUUGGAAAUCAUACAUACAGAUGUAUGUGGUCCGAUGAAUGUUGAGGCUCGUGGCGGAUAUCAUUAUUUUCUCACCUUCACAGAUGAUUUAAGCAGAUAUGGGUAUAUCUACUUAAUGAAACAUAAGUCUGAAACAUUUGAAAAGUUCAAAGAAUUUCAGAGUGAAGUGGAAAAUCAUCGUAACAAGAAAAUAAAGUUUCUACGAUCUGAUCGUGGAGGAGAAUAUUUGAGUUACGAGUUUGGUGUACAUUUGAAACAAUGCGGAAUAGUUUCGCAACUCACGCCACCCAGAACACCACAACGUAAUGGUGUGUCCGAACGUCGUAAUCUUACUUUACUAGAUAUGGUGCAAUCUAUGAUGUCUCUUACAGAUUUACCGCUAUCGUUUUGGGGUUAUGCUUUAGAGACGGCCACAUUCACGUUAAGUAGGGCACCAUCAAAAUCCGUUGAGACGACAACUUAUGAACUGUGGUUUGGCAAGAAACCAAAGUUGUCAUUUCUUAAAGUUUGGGGCUGCGAUGCUUAUGUGAAAAAGCUUCAACCUGAUAAGCUCGAACGAUAAUCGGAGAAAUGUGUCUUCAUAGGAUACCCAAAGGAAACUGUUGGUUACACCUUCUAUCAUAGAUCCGAAGGCAAGACAUUCGUUGCUAAAAAUGGAUCCUUUCUAGAGAAGGAGUUUCUCUCGAAAGAAGUGAGUGGGAGGAAAGUAGAACUUGAUGAGGUAACUAUACCUGCUCCCUUAUUGGAAAGUAGUUCAUCACAGAAACCGGUUUCUGCGACACCUACACCAAUUAGUGAUGAAUUUAAUGAUGAUGAUCAUGAAAUUUCAGAUCAAGUUACUACUGAGCCUCGUAGAUCAACCAGAGUAAGAUCCGCACCAGAGUGGUACGGUAAUCCUGUUCUAGAAGUCAUGCUACUAGAUCAUGAUGAACCUACGAACUAUGAAGAAGCGAUGGUGAGCCCAGAUUCCGCAAAAUGGCUUGAAGCCAUGAAAUCUGAGAUGGGAUCCAUGUAUGAUAACAAAGUAUGGACUUUGGUUGACUUGCCCGAUGAUCGGCAAGCAAUUGAGAACAAAUGGAUCUUUAAGAAGAAGACUGACGUGACGGUAAUGUUACUGUCUACAAAGCUCGACUUGUCGCAAAAGGUUUUCAACAAGUUGAAGGGAUUGACUACGAUGAGACCUUCUCACCCGUAGCGAUGCUUAAGUCUAUCCGAAUCAUGUUAGCAAUUGCCGCAUUUUAUGAUUAUGAAAUUUGGCAGAUGGAUCUAAAAACUGCAUUCCUGAAUGGAUUUCUGGAAGAAGAGUUGUAUAUGAUGCAACCAGAAGGUUUUAUCGAUCCAAAGGGAACUAACAAAGUGUGCAAGCUCCAGCGAUCCAUUUAUGGACUGGUGCAAGCCUCUCGGAGUUGGAAUAAACUCUUUGAUAGUGUGAUCAAAGCAUUUGGGUUUGUAUAGACUUUUGGAGAAGCCUGUAUUUACAAGAAAGUGAGUGGGAGCUCUAUAGCAUUUCUGAUAUUAUAUGUGGAUGACAUAUUACUAAUCGGAAAUGAUAUAGAAUUUCUGGAUAGCAUAAAGGGAUACUUGAAUAAGAGUUUUUCAAUGAAAGACCUCGGUGAAGCUGCUUACAUAUUGGGCAUUAAGAUCUAUAGAGAUAGAUCAAGACGCUUAAUUGGACUUUCACAAAACACAUACCUUGACAAAGUUUUGAAGAGGUUCAAAAUGGAUCAAGCAAAGAAAGGGUUCUUGCCUGUGUUACAAGGUGUGAAGUUGAGUAAGAAUCAAUGCUCGACCACUUCAGAAGAUAGAGAGAAAAUGAAAGAUGUUCCCUAUGCUUCAGCAGUAGGCUCUAUCAUGUAUGCAAUGCUGUGUACCAGACCUGAUGUGUGCCUUGCUAUAAGUUUAGCAGGGAGGUACCAAAGUAAUCCAGCAGUGGAUCACUGGACGGCGGUCAAGAACAUCCUGAAGUACCUAAAAAGGACUAAGGAUAUGUUUCUCGUAUAUGGAGGUGACAAAGAGCUCAUUGUAAACAGUUACGUUGAUGCAAGCUUUGACACUGAUCCGGACAAUUCUAAAUCGCAAACCAGAUACGUGUUUACAUUAAACGGUGGAGCUGUCAGUUGGUGCAGUUCUAAACAAAGCGUCGUGGCAGGAUCUACAUGUGAAGCGGAGUACAUAGCUGCUUCGGAAGCAGCAAACGAAGGAGUCUGGAUGAAGGAGUUCAUAUCCGAUCUAGGUGUCAUACCUAGUGCAUCGGGUCCAAUGAAAACCUUUUGUGACAAUACUAGUGCAAUUGCCUUGGCAAAGGAAUCCAUAUUUCACAAAAGAACCAAGCACAUCAAGAGACGCUUCAAUUCCAUCCGAGAUCUAGUCCAGGUGGGAGAGAUAGAGAUUUGCAAGAUACAUACGGAUCUGAAUGUAGAAGACCCAUUGACUAAGCCUCUUCCACGAGCAAAACAUGAUCAUCACCAAGGCUCCAUGGGUGUCAGAAUCAUUACUGUGUAAUCUAGAUUAUUGACUCUAGUGCAAGUGGGAGACUGAAGGAAAUAUGCCCUAGAGGCAAUAAUAAAGUUAUUAUUUAUUUCCUUAUAUCAUGAUGAAUGUUUAUUAUUCAUGCUGGAAUUGUAUUAACCGGAAACAUAAUACAUGUGUGAAUACAUAGACAAACAAAGUGUCACUAGUAUGCCUCUACUUGACUAGCUCGUUAAUCAAAGAUGGUUAUGUUUCCUAACCAUAGACAAAGAGUUUUUAUUUGAUUAAUAGGAUCACAUCAUUAGUUGAAUGAUAUGAUUGACAUGACCCAUUCCAUUAGCUUAGCACCCGAUCAUUCUUCAUGACUUAUACAUGUUCCUAUGACUAUGAGAUGAUGCAACUUCCGUUUACUGGAGGAACACUUUGUGUGCUACCAAACGUCACAACGUAACUGGGUGAUUAUAAAGGAGCCCUAUAGGUGUCUCCAAAGGUACAUAUUGGGUUGGCGUAUUUCGAGAUUAGGAUUUGUCACUCCGUUUGUCGGAGAGGUAUCUCUGGGCCCUCUCGGUAAUGCACAUCACAUAAGCCUUGCAAGCAUUGCAACUACUGUGUUACUUGUGAGACGAUGUAUUACGGAACGAGUAAAGAGACUUGCCGGUAAAGAGAUUGAACUAGGUAUUGGAUACCGACGAUCGAAUCUCGGGCAGGUAACAUAUCGAUGACAAAGGGAACAACGUAUGUAGUUAUGCGGUCUCAACGAUAAAGAUCUUCGUAGAAUAUGUAGGAUCCAAUAUGGGCAUCCAGGUCCUGCUAUUGGUUAUUGACCGGAAACGUGUCUCGGUCAUGUCUACAUUGUUCUCGAACCGUAGGGUCCGCACGCUUAAAGUUACGAUGACAGUUUCAUUAUGAGUUUAUGUAUUUUGAUGUACCGAAGGUUGUUCGGAGUCCCGGAUGUGAUCACGGACAUGACGAGGAGUCUCGGAAUGGUCGAGACAUAAAGAUCGAUAUAUUGGAAGCCUAUAUUUGGACAUCGGAAUCGUUUUGGGUGAAAUCGGCAUUAUACCGGAGUACCGGGGGGUUACCGGAACCCCCCGGGGGGUUAUUGGGCCUACAUGGGCCUUGAGGAAGAAGAGAGAAGGAGGUAGGAGGUGGCCGCGCGCCCCUCCCCUUCCUAGUAUGAAUAGGACAAGGGAAGGGGGCGGUGCCCCCCCCUUUCCUUCCCCUCUUCCUCCUCUUUCCUCCCUUCUCCUUCUCCAACUAGGAAAGAAGGGAGUCCUACUCCCGGUGGGAGUAGGACUCCCCCCUGGUGCGCCCCUCCUUGGCCGGCCGCCCCCUCCCCUUGGCUCCUUUAUAUACGGGGGCAGGGGGGCACCCUAGGACACAGAAGUUGACCUUCGUGAUCGUUCCUUAGCCGUGUGCGGUGCCCCCCUCCACGAUAUUACACCUCGAUCAUAUUGUAGUAGUGCUUAGGCGAAGCCCUGCGACGGUUAAACAUCAAGAUCGUCACCACGCCGUCGUGCUGACGAAACUCCUCCCCGAAGCUUUGCUGGAUCGGAGCUCGGGGUGCAUCAUCGAGCUGUACGUGUGUCAAGAACUCGGAGGUGCUGGAGUAACGGUGCUUGGAUUGGUUGGACCGGGAAGACGUACGACUACUUCCUCUACGUUGCGUCAACGCUUCCGCUUCGGUCUACGAGGGUACGUAGACAACACUCUCCCCUCUCGUUGCUAUGCAUCACCAUGAUCUUGCGUGUGCGUAGGAAAUUUUUUGAAAUUACUACAUUCCCCAACAGUUGCUCCACCGACGUACUCCUUCCUCCUAUAUAUACCUGCGUACCCCCAAACGACCAGAUACGGAGCCAAAACCCUAAUUCCACCACCGCAACUUUCUGUAUCCACGAGAUCCCAUCUUGGCGCCUGUUCCGGAGCUCCACCGGAGAGGGCAUCGAUCACGGAGGGCUUCCACAUGAACAGCAUAGCCUCUCCGAUGAAGUGUGAGUAGUUGACCUCAGACCUACAGUCCAUAGUUAUUACCUAGAUGGCUUCUCCUCUCUUUUUGGAUCUCAAUACAAUGUUCUCCCCUCUCUUGUGGAGAACUAUUCGAUGUAAUCUUCUUUUUGCGGUGUGUUUAUUGAGACCGAUGAAUUGUGGGUUGAUGAUCAAGUCUAUCUAUGAAUAAUAUUUGAAUCUUCUCUGAAUUCUUUUAUGUAUGAUUGUUUAUCUUUGCGAGUCUCUUCGAACUAUUAGUUUGGUUUGGCCUACUAGAUUGAUCUUUCUUACAAUGGGAGAAGUGCUUAGCUUUAGGUUCAAUCUUGCGGUGUCCUUUCCCAGUGACAGUAGGGGCAGCAAGGCAUGUAUUGUAUUUUUGCCAUCGAGGACAACAAGAUGGGGUUUUCAUCAUAUUGCAUUAGUUUAUCCCUCUACAUCAUGUCAUCUAGCUUAAGGCGUUACUCUGUUUUUAACUUAAUACUCUAGAAGCAUGCUGGAUAGCGGUCGAUGAGUGGAGUAAUAGUAGUAGAUGCAGGCAGAAGUCGGUCUACUUGUCUCGGACGUGAUGCCUAUAUACAUGAUCAUACCUAGAUAUUCUCAUAAAUAUGCUCAAUUCUGUCAAUUGCUCAACAGUAAUUUGUUCACCCACCAUAGAAUAAUUAUGCUCUCGAGAGAAGCUACUAGUGAAACCUAUGGCCUCGGGAUCUAUGUUUAUCAUAUUAAUCUUCUACUACUUAGUUAUUUCCUUUGCCUUUAUUUUACUUUUCAUUUUUAUCAAAAAAAAUACCAAACAUAUUAUCUUUAUCAUAUCUAUUAGAUCUCACUCUCGUAAGUGGCCGUGUAGGGAUUGACAACCCCUAUUCGUGUUGGUUCCGAGGAUUUAUUUGUUUUGUGCAAGUACGAGGGACUCGCACGUAGCCUCCUACUGGAUUGAUACCUUGGUUCUCAAAAACUGAGGGAAAUACUUAUGCUACUUUGCUGCAUCAUCCCUUCCUCUUCGGGGAAAACCAACGCAGUGCUCAAGAGGUAGCAAGAAGGAUUUCUGGUGCCGUUGCCGGGGAGGUCUACGCAAAAGUCAACAUACCAAGUACCCAUCACAUACCCUUAUCUCCCGCAUUACAUUAUUUGCCAUUUGCCUCUCGUUUUCACCUCCCCCACUUCACCCUUGCCGUUUUAUUCGCCGUCUCUCUCUAUCCUCCCUCUCUUUCUCUAUUUGCCUCUUUUUUCCCGCUUGCUUUCUGUUUGCUUGUGUGUUAGUUGCUUGCUUGUCAUGAUGGCUCAAGAUAAUACUAAAUUAUGUGACUUCACGAUGGCUAAAGCUUGGUUUUCAUCUUUGCCUAAAAAUAGUAAUGAUUCAUGGAAUAAGUGCAAAGAUGCUUUUUUCUCUAAGUAUUUUCCUCCUGCUAAGAUCAUCUCUCUUAGAAACGAUAUUAUGAAUUUUAAGCAACUUGAUCAUGAACAUGUUGCACAAGCUUGGGAGAGAAUGAAACUAAUGGUACAUAAUUGCGCUGCCCAUGGUUUAAAUUUGUGGAUGAUUAUACAAAUAUUUUAUGCCGGAUUGAAUUUUGCUUCAAGAAAUCUUUUAGAUUUGGCCGCGGGAGGCACUUUUAUGGAAAUCACUUUAGGAGAAGCUACUAAACUCAUAGAUAAUAUUAUGGUGAAUUAUGCUCAACGGCAUACUGAAAGAUCUACUAAUAAAAAGGUGCAUGCGAUAGAAGAAAUUAAUGUUUUGAGUGGAAAGAUGGAUGAACUUAUGAAAUUAUUUGCUAAUAAGAGUGUUUCUUCUAAUCCUAAUGAUAUGCCCUUGUCUAGUUUGAUUCAGAAUAAUAACGAAUCUAUGGAUGUGGAUUUUGUUGGUAGGAACAAUUUUGGUAACAACGCGUAUAGAGGAAAUUUCAACCCUAGGCCUUAUCCUAGUAAUCUCUCUAAUAAUUAUGGUAAUUCCGACAACAAUUCUUAUGGAAAUUAUAAUAAGAUGCCCUCUGAUUUUGAAUCUAAUAUUAAAGAAUUUAUUACUUCGCAAAAGAAUUUCAAUGCUUUGAUUGAAGAAAAAUUGCUUAAGAUUGAUGAUUUGGCUAGGAACGUUGAUAGAAUUACUCUUGAUGUUGAUUCUUUGAAACUUAGAUCUAUUCCACCUAAGAAUGAUGUCAAUGAGUCUCUCAAAGCCAUGAGAAUUUCCAUUGAUGAGUGCAAAGAAAGAACCGCUAGGAUGCGUGCUAAGAAAGAUGCCUUUAUAAUAGCGUGUUCUUCUAGUUCCUAUGAAAAUAAUGAUGAAGAUCUAAAAGUUAUUGAUGUGUUCCCUAUUAAAUCUUUGUUUUGCAAUAUGAAUCUUGAUAGUGAUGGGACUGAAUAUGAUCCACCUUUACCUAGAAGGCGUUCCAAGAAUUCAGAAUUUGUUGAUCUUGAUGCUAAAAUUGAUAAAGGAGGGAUUGAAGAAAUUAAAACCCUAGAUGUUGCUAAACCCACUAUUAUGGAUUUCAAGGACUUUAACUAUGAAAAUUGCUCUUUGAUUGAUUGUAUAUCCUUUUUACAAUCCGUGCUAAAUUCUCCUCAUGCUUAUAGUCAAAAUAAAUCGUUUACUAAACAUAUCGUUGAUACCUUGAUGCAAUCUUAUGAAGAAAAACUUGAAUUGGAAGUUUCUUUCCCUAGAAAGCUUUAUGAUGAGUGGGAACCAACUAUUAAAAUUAAAAUUAAAUAUCAUGAAUGCUAUGCUUUAUGUGAUUUGGGUGCUAGUGUUUCCACGAUUCCAAAGACUUUGUGUGAUUUGUUAGGUUUCCAUGAUUUUGAUGAUUGCUCUUUAAACUUGCGCCUUGCGGAUUCCACUAUUAAGAAACCUAUGGGAAGAAUUAAUGAUGUUCUUAUUGAUGCAAAUAGGAAUUAUGUGCUUGUAGAUUUUAUUGUUCUUGACAUAGAUUGCAAUCUUUCAUGUCCUAUUAUUCUUGGUAGACCUUUCCUUAGAACGAUUGGUGCAAUUAUUGAUAUGAAGGAAGGAAAUAUUAGAUUCCAAUUUCCAUUAAGGAAAGGCAUGGAACACUUUACUAGAAAGUCAAUUAAAUUACCUUAUGAAUCUAUUAUGAUAGCCACUUAUGGAUUGUUGGGGAACGUAGUAAUUUCAAAAAAUUUCCUACGCACACGCAAGAUCAUGGUGAUGCAUAGCAACGAGAGGGGAGAGUGUUGUCUAUGUACCCUCGUAGACUGAAGCGGAAGCGUUGACGCAACGUAGAGGAAGUAGUCGUACGUCUUCCUGAUCCGACCGAUCCAAGCACCGUUACUCAGGCACCUCCGAGGUCUUGGCACACGUUCAGCUCGAUGACGAUCCCCAGGCUCCGAUCCAGCAAAGCGUCGGGGAGGAGUUCCGUCAGCACGACUGCGUGGUGACGAUCUUGAUGUUCUACCGUCGCAGGGCUUCGCCUAAGCACCGCUAAAAUAUGACCGAGGUGUAAUAUCAUGGAGAGGGGCACCGCACAAGGCUAAGGAACAAUCACGAAGAUCAACUUGUGUGUCCAUGGGGUGCCCCCUGCCCCCGUAUAUAAAGGAGUGGAGGACGGGAGGGCGACCCUCUCUAUGGCGCGCCCUAGGGGAGUCCUACUCCCAUAGGGAGUAGGAUUCCCCCUUUUCCUAGUCCAACUAGGAGUCCUUCCAUGUAGUAGCACUAGUGCAGAACCGGGCAAUAGCACCGGUUCGUAAGGCCCUUUAGUGCCGGUUAGGUAACCGGCACUAAAAUUUCAGCACUAAAGGCCCCCCCUUUAGUACCGGUUCAGCACGAACCGGUGCUAAAGGGCAACCACAUGGCACGAGCGAGCUCCGGGGGCCGGGAGCCCUUUAGUACCGGUUGGUAACACCAACCGGUACUAAAAUGUUUGGGGGGUUUUUGGUUUUAUGAUUUCUUUUUCAUUAAAUUUUGUGUUUUCCAUUUUAAUUCUUUUUCGUUUGCUGGUAUUUUACGGUACUACACGUUGUACACGUUAUAUAUAUAUAUAUAUAUAAAUAGAAUUUCUAGUAGAACCAAUCAUAUAUAUAUCAUCAAUCAUGUCUCACAAAACACCAUAUUAAUUCACACAUACACACAUGUAUAGCUAUAUACAAUUUCUCCUACAUAUGCAUGUUGCCUUCGGAGCCAGUGGCAUUAGCCUGAUUGGUGCCUUCGGAGCACGAUGACAAUUGGAAGUGGUUCAUGACCUGGUCGAUGGGGGCGGUAGCGGGUAAUAGUAUUCUCCCUUCGGAUUUAUGACCUGGUCGAGCAAAAAUCCUGCUAUUUCCUAUUGAAGUGCUUCUACGCGCUCCGUUUCUAGGAGCUUGUCCCGCACCUCUUUGAACUAUUAAGAAGGAGAUCAAUAUGCAUGUGUAUUAGUUGUGUGACUAGAUAUUGAUAAUGGUGUAAAAAUUGUGAAUAGUGUUCUGACAAGCGUACCCAUUCCUGUCUUUGAGAUCUGCUCCUUCCGGACGCCAUCAUGCGAAUGUUCUCGCAAACGCAGAAUGCACACAGUUCAGUCCCCUGCGCCUGCUUCAGGGCCUUUAUUACGAGAAUGGAAUUUAAUUUGAUCAGAUAAUAAUUAAUCAAGCAUGAUAAUUAAAGAGAUGGCAGCUAGCUAGCUAGCUAGUACUACUUAAUUACUUACCUUGGCUCGAGACCAUUUCAGCUGUGGUUUCCAUUCGCCUUCCGUGUCGCUGAUGAACCUUGCCCAAGCCCUGCCCGCCGACAAAGAAAAUGAAUAAAGGGGUUAUUAAAUAGUUCAUAUCAUGAAAUGAAGAACUAAAUAGGCCGAGAUAUAUAGUUAAUAAUGAUUGAAAUUACCUGUUGACUAUCCCAAACAAGAUGUUAUAGUCACUAUUUCCUUUGAGUAGCGAGUCCAGUAUUUCAACUAUUCCGGCAUCAACUUUAAUGAUACACAAGAUCCAGUGAAAUCUGCAUGCACACACGUUUGCAAGUCUUAAUUAAGCGGGCAUAUGUAAGCAAAAACAUGUAGCUAGCUAGUAGGCAAAAAUAGAGAAUUUGUAGUACAAGAAAGUGUGACUCACUGGCAGUUGUAAGGAAGUAGUAUAUCUUCAUUGUAUUUGAGGAGCUUCAAGAACUCUAGCAUGCUGUCCUCUACCUCUUUUUCAUGAUGCUUGUUUAUUUUCCAUGUGUAUUCAUUAACGGUGUUUGGGUCAAUGAACCCAAUGCCAUAGCGUCCACCUUUUCUCAUUCCAUACAUCUUCAUCCUGCAUAAUACCACAGAAAAGAAUAUAGUAAGGAUAAUUACACGUAAUGAUUGAUCAAAAGGAUCACUACAGCUAGCUUGAGACUUAAAUUACAGAAAGAAAUCACUUACAGACAAUAGCAACUGACGAUAGAUUUGUCGAGUGUGUCUUGAUUGUAUAACUGAAACAGUUCAGAAUACUCAACGGCCACAACUUUCUCAUGGUAGUAAUCAUCCUUCUUGACAUACACCAUGAGGGACUCUCGAUCGGAUCUCUUGGUAAUGUCCAUGUACCAUUGAUGCAAUUCAUACAUUCUCGUUGGGAGCUUCUUGACAUCUUCUGGCUCGACCAAAGGUUGGCCCCGAACAUAUUUCCGUUUUAUUUCCUCCUCUGUAAUCAGAGGCAUGUCCUCGAUCUCGAGGAGUUGUCCAACAGUGAUCUUGAGUUCUUCAGCCUGCAUUAUAUGCUCCUCGGUUAUUACCACAUCGCCCACCUCGGGAAUGUAAACUGUUUGGCCACAAUAAUAUUGGGCGCGCGUACUGUCACGUGUUGUUGGCGGCACAACAAGCGGNNNNNNNNNNNNNNNNNNNNNNNNNNNNNNNNNNNNNNNNNNNNNNNNNNNNNNNNNNNNNNNNNNNNNNNNNNNNNNNNNNNNNNNNNNNNNNNNNNNNNNNNNNNNNNNNNNNNNNNNNNNNNNNNNNNNNNNNNNNNNNNNNNNNNNNNNNNNNNNNNNNNNNNNNNNNNNNNNNNNNNNNNNNNNNNNNNNNNNNNNNNNNNNNNNNNNNNNNNNNNNNNNNNNNNNNNNNNNNNNNNNNNNNNNNNNNNNNNNNNNNNNUUCCCAGCUGGGCAACGGUUUUCCUGCAUUUUUUGACAGCUGCUUGUUGUUUGCUCGAGCUCGAGCUCGCCUCCUUCUGUAGACGUUGUCGAUGUAACUUCCUGAUGUGGCGCUCAUAGUCUGUUUCAACAGGCUUAGGAGCUAGUGGUUGAGCCAUACGAAUGAAGUGGUCAACUACUUCCACAGGCACUUUCUCCCUUGGCGGCGGUGGCGGUUUCGGUCCAAAAUGGGCGUCGACUUCUGCCCGCACUAUGGCAUUGGUUUGCUCCUCAGUCCUGUCGUAAGCCCUCACAGGAAGAGGAGUACUGAGGUUUGGACCAUAUUUAUAUCGCUUGCCUCCACCUGUACUUCCUGUACUAUCACCUCGACUCGUACCGCUACGCACCAUAGCUGCGGGGUGUCUCUUCUGCGAUUGCUGAGGCGGCGGAGACGGCAGACGGGGCUGAGUUAGACGAGGAGGAGUGGCCUGAAGCUGUGCCGGACUUGGAGGAGGAGUGGCCUGAGGUUGUGCCGGACUUGGAGGAGGAGUGGACGUCUGACGCUGUGUCGGACUUGGAGGAGGAGUGGCCUCACACAUUGCCGGACUUGGAGGAGGAGGAGUGGCCUCACGCGUUGAUGGACUUGGAGCGGGAGUCUGCUGACUCGGUGGUGGACUUCGACGAGGAGUCGGGUGACGCGGUGUCGGUGGCCUUCGAAAGAUGAUGCAAUCCUUUCUCCAUAGGAUGACAUGAUGUAUGGCCUCUCCCAAUGUGUGCUCGUCGUCACCUCUAGGAAUGUCAAGUUGUAGCUCCGAAUAUGGGUCCACCACCUCAUCAACCAAGACACGAGCAUAGCCUGCUGGAAUCGGGUUGCAAUGGAAGGUUGCCUCGGGGGAAUUUGAAAAAGCAACGGCGUCCGCCACCUUCAUGGAUAUGUUCUUCAUUUUGAAGUGUACCUCGCAGUUAGUGUUCUCCGUGAUGUCAUCCAUGGGGUAUCUAUCCAGCACUGCGUCGCCCGGGGCGGAACCCACGCUGCUUCUCGGCAUGGAUGGGGUGGUGGUAUCCAAUGCUGGAUCAUCCGCUAGGUGCUGCAGCUGCUGAGACCCCAUUUGCUGGCUAAGUGAGUCGAUCUGCUCCUGCUGCCGCUGGAAUUUAGCUGCCAAUUCCGCUUGACUUGCUUCUAGGCCUUGAAGGCGUUCAUAGUCCCGCUUCCUUUGCUCCUCCUCCAUCUUCCUCUUCUUCUCCUCCGCAAUCUUCUUUCUCGCACGGGUUCUGUAGUCGGCGUUCCAGUCCGAAAACCCCUCAUACCACGGAAUAGCGCCCUUGCCUCGUGGUCUUCCCGGGUGUUCAGGAUUUCCCUGGGCACGCGUAAGCUCGUCCUUCUCUCUGUUGGGCUGAAACACCCCCGAUCGAGCCUCUUCUAUUGCAACAAGUAGCGCAUCGUCGGCUCCAUUCAGACAUGCCUUCGUCAAAACAUUGCCUGUCUUCGGGUCCAACUCCCCCCCAUGCGCAUAGAACCAAGUCCUGCACCUAGGGGGCCAACUCUUAGUAAACGGAGUGGCACCUGCAUCCUCCAUCUCUUUCUCAGACUUAUCCCACUUAGGCAUUGCCACCGUGUAGCCAGCUGGCCCCAGCUUAUGGAACUUAUCCUUUUUUCGGCAUUCUUCUUGUUUAUUCUCGACCGUUCCUUAGCUAAUUCGGAAUCCUUGAAUUUCAUGAAAUCGUCCCAAUGAGAACUUUGAUUCUCUAGUAUCCCCUCGAAUACUGGAGUCUUCCUUCCUCCCUUGACGUACUUCUCCCACGUCGUUCUCUUGUGGUUCUUGAAUGCAACCGCCAUCUUCCUAAAAGCAGCGUCCUUGACUUUCUGCACAUCUGCUUCCGUGAAAUGAUCUGGUAGGGUGAAAUGUUCCAUGAGAGUAUCCCAAAGCAGUUUUUUAUAUUCUCGUCUACAAAAGUAUCAUUUGGACGUGGCUUUGCUGGCUUUCUCCAUUCUUGAAGGGAGAUCGGGAGUUGGUCCUUCACAAGAACUCCACACUAACGAACGAACUUGUCCGCAAUCUUCUUAGGCGCUAAUGGUUCGCCAUUAGGUUUGAAUGCCUCGAUAUUGUACUUUACGCCCUCCUUCAACUUUUUGUUCGGGCCUCGUUUUGUCCUUUUGCCUGAAGAUUUGCUCGAUCCGGAUGGCUGAAAGAAGAAAGAUCGAUUCGUUAAUAUAUCUUCAACUCAUUUAAAACAUGCGAUGAUCACCAGAUUCCUGCUUAUAUAAAUAUAUAUACCUCGCCGGUACAUGUUGUUUCAGGGUCAACAUGUUCUUCGUCGUAGUUCAGGACUUCAUCUUCUCGGUCAUCGCGAUCAAAUAUCAUAUCACCCUCUCCGGUGUUGUUUAGAAAUUCAGAGCCGUCAAAAUCUUCUUCAUUCUGAUCAUCAUCUGGCCCGCGUAUGAUACCGAACAUGGUAUGUUCUCUCUCUCUGUCGGUAUUGUCCGCCAUAGCUUUUAUUUAACUAUGCCAAAAGAAAUAUAAAAUAAUUUAGUAUAAUCUCGAAUAAUAGAUAUAAUCUCGAAUACAUCGUCUCGAAUAAUAGAUAUAAUCUCGAAUACAUCGUCUCGAAUAAUAGAUUUAAUCUCGAAUACAUCGUCUCGAAUAAUAGAUAUAAUCUCGAAUACAUCGUCUCGAAUAAUAGAUUUAAUCUCGAAUACAUCGUCUAGAAUAAUAGAUUUAAUCUCGAAUACAUCGUCUCGAAUAAUAUAUAAUAUUGAAUAGUACAUCAUUGGCUAGGCGGUGGACACCCAAAGAGAAGGAACCCUCACAGGAUCAUAGCUGAAGUGAGAGCCCCGAAGAAACUGCCAGGUUUUGGAGAACCUUCCGCCCUCUAACGCAACCAUGUAGCGAUGGAUGUAAUCGUCCUCCUCCCUGACACGACGACGUACCACCUCCGGCGGGGCCGGCUCCCUCCGCACCGAAACUGGCCCACGCGAACGCCACCAAACGAGAUCAGGGUCGAUCACAGGACCCGGGGCCGGGUUCCUCAUCAAGCGGCGCGCCCCUCCAGGCAGCACCUCCCAGUGCCAGCCCGGCGGAGCCCAGUCCCGGACAUGGGUCAGCUGGACGUCGUCGCGGACGUGUCGACGGUGAGGAUGUGGGCCGGGCAUCGUCGACAACAAAUACUAGCUAUAUGCCCGCAAAAAGUAACAUUUUUUUAAUGAUUGGAAUUUGAUAACUAAAAUUUCUAACAUUUCUAUAUAACACUAAUUAUGCUAUCAUUGCAUAUGUCAAAAUUCUAUAUGCUAUUUCAUACUAAUUAAGCAUCUAACACUAAAAACAGAAAACACAACUUCUAUACAUCCAUUAAAAAAACUGAAAAACAACAUUAUAUAAACAAAUUUCAAUACUAAUUAAACACUAAUUAUAUCCAUCUAACAUGCAUUCAUACAUAUAUGCUAGUGAAAAAAUAAUAAUCUAAAAAAUCUAAACUAAUUAAACAUACAAAAUACGUAUAUACUAAUAUAUACAUGCAUUAAUUCAUACAUAUGUACGUGUGUGUGUGUGUGUGCUCGGGGAGGGGUGGUGCCCAUGGUGGCCGCCGGGGGCGAGGGAGAGGGGUUAGAGGGGGAGAGCUCACAGCAGGGUGACGGCGACGGCCAGGGGCGGCGACGGGCCGGGGUGUGACGCGGGGGCGGCGACGCGGGGACGGUGCGACGGGGACGGGCCUGGGGCGGCGACGGGGACGGGCCCGAUGACGGGGACGGGGGCGGCGACGGCGACAUCGUCGAUUGAUCGGGGUGCGCGGGCGGUGCUUCAAUGGGGAAACAGAGGAAGAAACAAAGGGAGAAUGAAAUUUUCGUAAGUGUUCUAUAUAUAGAAGGCACCUUCAGUACCGGUUGGAGCCACCAACCGGUACUAAAGGCCUGUUUUGGCCAGGCCAAGCCGCGGGAAGCACCCCCCUUUAGUACCGGUUCCUGGCUCCAACCGGUACUAAAGGCCCCCCCUUUAGUACCGGUUGGUGCCACCAACCGGUACUAAAGGGGGGUACGCUGCCAGGCGAGGGGCACAAAACUUUAGUCCCACCUCGCUAGCCGAGGGGCACUCACACCUUCUUAUAAGCCCCGCCGUCGCUGCUGUCUCGAGCUCCACUCUUAAGCACGCCUUCUGGGCCUACCUCUUCUGCGAUGCCCUGUUGGGCCUACUGGGCUAGUGGGCCUGCAUCCUGGCCCAACUUGAAUAUGGGUUUCUAGUCGUAUGCAGGCCGCUGUGGCCCAGUAGGUGGGCUUUUUUUUCUUAUUUUUUUGCUUUAUUUAUUUUUGUGAAUAACUUAACUUUGAAAAUAGAUUUUUCAGUGAUUCUUUUUUCUUAUGUUUAAUAUUAGUGUGUUUUAUCAUUAUAUUCAAUUUGGUAAUGCUUAGGUUAUUUAAAAAAUGAAAUGCCUUUGUAACGGAUGAGUUUUCGUCCGAAACCCUGAUACUUCGAAACAGAUUGUCCAUUUUGUACACGAAGUGCAUCCAGUUUUUGCGGUAACCCUCUCUACUUUUUUGCACAUGCUAUGUGGGUGAAAUUAUGAUACCAUGCCAACUUUCAUCCUUUUCUGAGUUCAUUUGAAAUUCUUUUCAAUUUUAGGGUCAUUUAGGUGAAAAAAAUCAGUAAAUGCAUGAAAGAAUUUGCUUGCACAUAAAAUUUCUUCGCGUUUCAAAUGCCAAAACACAUAACUAGCUACCCUAACUAUUACAGAGAUUCCCUCCUGGGUGUGAAACACAGAAGAAAGUGAUGAUAGUUACGCCGAUCAUAUCCCAGAUCUUUGGGUGUGAAACUUUUUCUUCGCGUGUGUCCCUUUGCGUCGUAGCCAUGGAAAAUCUUCAUCAUUUAACGGGAUGCUCGGGUCAAUAUUCACUGUGAAUGGAGCAAUUUCAUCAAACUUUUCAUAAUCAUCUGACUUGUCUGUUUUGUCAUCCACUCCCAUGAUGUUUCUCUUCCCAGAAAGAACUAUGUGCCGCUUUGGCUCAUCGUACGAUGCAUUCACUUCCUUAUCUUUUCUUUUUCUUGGCUUGUUAGACAUGUCCUUCACACAGAAAACCUAUGCCACAUCAUUGGCUAGGACGAACGGUUCGUCUGCAUACGCAAGAUUGUUGAGAUCCACUGUUGUCAUUCCGUACUGCGGGUCUUCCAUUACCCAGCCUCGUGUCAUAUUAACCCAUUUGCACCGAAACAAAGGGACCUUCAAACCACGUCGAUAGUCAAGUUCCCAUAUGUCCUGUAUAUAACCAUAAUAUGUUUCCUUUCCCGUCUUGGUUUCUGCAUCAAAGCGGACACCACUGUUUUGGUUGGUGCUCUUAUUAUCUUGGGCGAUCGUGUAAAAUGUAUUACCAUUUAUCUCGUACCCUUUGAAAGUCAUUAUAUUCGAAGAUGGUAAUUGGGAUAGCAAGUACAUGUCAUCUUCAAUAGAGGUGUCAUGCAUGGUACGUGGUUGCAACCAGCUGGCGAAACUCCUGGUUUGUUCACGUGUAAUCCAGUCAUCAGACCGCUCCGGGUGUUUGGAGCGUAGCAAAUUCUUGUGUUCAUCCAUAUACGGAGCCACCGAGGCAGAAUUCUGUAGAACUAUGUAGUGUGCUUCAGUGAGAGAAUGUCCAGCCAUAUAUACAUAUUAUUUGUUCCCCUCCUAGCGUGCCUUUUCCAUCCAGUCUGCCCUUAUGCCGCGAUUCAGGAACACCAAUCGGCUUAAGGUCAGGAAUAAAGUCAAUACAAAACUCACUGACCUCCUCAUUUUGACGGCCCUUGGAGAUGCUUCCUUCUGGCCUAGCACGGUUAUGAACAUAUUUCUUUAAGUCUCCCACGAACCUCUCAAAGGGGAACAUAUUGUGUAGAAAUACAGGACCCAAAACGUUAAUCUCUUCGCAUAGGUGAACUAGGACGUGCGUCAUGAUGUUGAAGAAGGAUGGUGGGAACACCAACUCGAAACUGACAAGACAUUGCACCAAAUCAUUCUGUAACCUUGGUAUGAUUUCUGGAUCGAUUACCUUCUGAGAGAUUGCAUUGAGAAAUGCACAUAGCUUCACAAUGGCUAAUCGAACGUUUUCCGGUAGAAGCCCCCUCAAUGCAACCGGAAGUACUUGCGUCAUAAUCACGUGGCAGUCAUGAGACUUUAGGUUCUGGAACUUUUUCUCUGCCAUGUUUAUUAUUCCCUUUAUAUUCGACGAGAAGCCAGAUGGUACCUUAAUAAUGAGUAGGCAUUCAAAGAACAUUUCCUUCUCUUCUUUGGUAAGAGCGUAGCUUGCAUGACCCUGAUGUAUGCCGUCUUUUCCGUGCAUACGUUGCUGGUCCUCCUGUGCCUUAGGUGUAUCUUUUGUCAUCCCAUACACGCCCAAGAAGCCAAGCAGGGUCACACAAAGAUUCUUCGUCACGUGCAUCACGUCGAUUGCGGAGCGGACCUCGAGGUCUUUCCAAUAGUGCAGGUCCCAAAAUAUAGAUUUCUUCUUCCACAUGGGUGCGCGUCCGUCAGCGUCAUUCGGAACAGGUUGUCCACCAGGACCCUUUCUAAAGACCACCUUCAAAUCCUUGACCAUAUCAUGUACAUCAGCACCAGUACGGUGGCGAGGCUUCGUCCGGUGAUCCGCCUCACCUUUGAAAUGCUUGCAUUUCUUUCUUACGGGAUGCCUGCUCGUAAGAAAUCGACGAUGUCCUAGGUACACAUUCUUAUUAGCCAAAUAUAUACUGUCGGUAUCGUCCAAACAGUGCGUGCAUGCGCGGUAUCCCUUGUUUGUCUGUCCUGAAAGGUUACUGAGAGCAGGCCAAUCAUUGAUGGUCACGAACAGCAACGCCUUUAGGUCAAAUUCUUCCCCCAUGUGCUCAUCCCACACACGUACACCUGUUCCAUUCCAUAGUUGUAAGAGUUCUUCAACUAAUGGCCUUAGGUACACAUCAAUGUCGUUGCCGGGUUGCUUAGGGCCUUGGAUGAGCACUGGCAUCAUAAUGAACUUCCGCUUCAUGCACAACCAAGGAGGAAGGUUAUACAAACAUAGAGUCACAGGCCAAGUGCUAUGGUUGCUGCUCUGCUCCCCAAAAGGAUUAAUGCCAUCUGCGCUUAGACCAAACCAUACGCUCCUUGCGUCAUUUGCAAACUCCUUCCCGUACUUUCUUUCGAUUUUUCUCCACUGUGAACCGUCAGCGGUUAGUGUCAACUUUCCAUCUUUCUUACGGUCUUCGCUGUGCCAUCGCAUCGCCUUGGCAUGCUCUUUGUUUUGGAACAAACGUUUCAACCGUGGUAUUAUAGGAGCAUACCACAUCACCUUGGCAGGAAUCUUCUUCCUGGGGCGCCGGCCCUCGACAUCACCAGGGUCAUCGCGGCUGAUCUUAUAGCGCAAUACACCACAUACCGGGCAAGCGUUCAAAUCCUCGUACUCACCACGGUAGAGGAUGCAAUCAUUAGGGCAUGCAUGUAUCUUCUCCACCUCUAACCCUAGAGGGCAGAGAACCUUCUUUGCUUCGUACAUACUCUCGGGCAAUUCGUUGUCCUUUGGAAGGAUAUCCUUUAUCAUUACCAGCAACUUUCCAAAUCCCUUGUCAGAUACACCAUUCUCUGCCUUCCAUUGCAGCAAUUCCAGUGUGGUGCCCAGUUUUUUCUUGUCAGCUACGCAAUUCGGGUACAACAAUUUUUUGUGAUCCCCUAACAUGCACUGCAACUUCUUCUCCAAAUCACUUGCGCAGUUUCUCUUUGCAUCGGCAAUGGCCCGACCUAGAUCAUCAACGGGCUCAUCUGAUGCCUCUUCUUCAGCUUCUUCCCGCAUUGCCGGCUCAGCUUCUUCCCGCAUUACCGGCUCAGCUUCUUCCACCAUUGUUGUAUCAUCGUAUUCAGGGAACCCAUGGCCAGGAUAGCUGUCGUCGUCCUCUUCUUCUUCAUUGUCUUCCAUCAUAACCCCUCUUUAUCCGUGCUUGGUCCAAACAUUAUAAUGGGGCAUGAAACCAGACUUAAACAGGUGGACGUGAAUGGUUCUUGACGUACAGUAAUUGUGACCAUUCUUACAGCGAGCACAUGGACAAGGCAUAAAACCAUCCGCCCCCUUGUUUGCCUCAGCCGCAAGCAGAAAAGUAUGCACGCCCUCAACGAACUGGGGAGAGCAUCGGUCAUCGUACAUCCAUUGCCGGCUCAUCUUCAUUACACAACAACGAAUAGAACAAAUUAAUACAAGUUCAUACAUAAAGUUCAUACAACACUUAAAUGCAACAAACAAAUAACUCUCUAGCUAAAGCAUUUAAAUGCAACAACAAAUACGAUCAAGAUCGCAACUAAGGUAACAAUGGAUCCAACAGCAUAAUGAAACCAAGCCUCACUAUCGAUGGCAUAUUUUCUAAUCUUUCUAAUCUUCAAGCGCAUUUUCUCCAUCUUGAUCUUGUGAUCAUCGACGAUACCGGCAACAUGCAACUCCAAUUCCAUCUUCUCCCCCUCAAUUCUUUUCAAUUUUUCUUUCAAGUACUCGUUUUCUCUUUCAACUAAAUUUAACCUCUCGGCAAUAGGGUAGGUUGGAAUUUCCGGUUGAUGGGCAUAAUUUGUAAUAAACACGAAAUGCAACUAGUUUUAAAAGAGAAUAUACAUACCACAUCCGAAUCAUAACAAGGACUAGGGCCGACGGGGACGGAUAUCAAAACCAUGGCACUAUAUGUAUAACAAACAACGUACAGGUAAGAUAAUUAUACGAGUAACUAUAUAUCCAAAUCACACAAACAUCAAUUUUUAUAUAAAAUUUCAUGAACAAGAGGCUCACCACAAGGUGGUGCCGGCGACGGGACGGUGCGGGCGAUCCACGGUGGCUACGAUGGAGAUUUAGAAGGCACUAAGUAAACCACACCUACAUAUGCAAACUAAAUGUUAUUUUUGACCUCAAAUUGCAUAUAAAUCAAAUACUAGCACAUAUAUAUAUAUCAUCCCAAAUUACUAAACUCACAAAUUAAUCACUAUAUAAAGCAUUGCAAGAGCUAAUCUAGCAACGAGAGAUGAAAGGACAAAGUUGCUAACCUUUGUGAUCAUUUGAAUGGAUGGGGGCCUUCAAAUCUUGACAAAUUUUGGGCAAAAUGUGUGAUGAGCUCGAGAGGAAGAGGGGAAGAACAGAGAGGAGAGGGGAAAGGGGAAGAAUAGAGCGAGCUCGGGUGGACGAAGGGUUUAUGUAGGACGACCUUUAGUACCGGUUUGUGCCAAGAACCGGUACUAAAGGGGCUGGAGGGGCCCCAUACUGACAACAUCCUGCCACCACUCUCAUUAGUACCGGUUCGUGGCACGAACCGGUGCUAAAGGUUCGCCAUGAACCGGUACUAAUGAAAGCAGCCUGGUUAGCCGUUGGAACCGGCACUAAUGUAUACAUUAGUGCCGGCUCAAAUACAAACCGGCACUAAUGUGCUUCAUGUUUGACCCUUUUUCCACUAGUGUAGGAGUAGGAGACAAGGAAGGGGAAGGGAGAAGGGAAAGAAGGAGGGGGCGCGGCCCCUCCCCCUAGUCCAAUUCGGACUAGGCCUUGGGGGGGCGCGCGGCCUGCCCUAGGCAGCCCCUCUCUCUUUCCCGUAUGGCCCAAUAAGGCCCAAUACUUCUCCCGGCGAAUUCCCGUAACUCUCCGGUACUCCGAAAAAUACCCGAACCACUCGAAACCUUUCCGAUGUCCGAAUAUAGUCGUCCAAUAUAUCGAUCUUUACAUCUCGACCAUUUCGAGACUCCUCCUCAUGUCCCCGAUCCCAUCCGGGACUCCGAACUCCUUCGGUACAUCAAAACUCAUAAACUCAAAAUAUAACUGUCAUCGAAACCUUAAGCGUGCGGACCCUACAGUUCGAGAACAAUGUAGACAUGAUCGAGACACAUGUCCGGUCAAUGACUAAUAGCGGGACCUGGAUGCCCAUAAUGGCUCCUACAUAUUCUACGAAGAUCUUUAUCGGUCAGACCGCAUAACAACAUACGUUGUUCCCUUUGUCAUCGGUAUGUUACUUGCCUGAGAUUUGAUCGUCGGUAUCUCAAUACCUAGUUCAAUCUUGUUACCGGCAAGUCUCUUUACUCGUUCCGUAAUACAUCAUCUCGCAACUAACUCAUUAGUUGCAAUGCUUGCAAGGCUUAUGUGAUGUGCAUUACCGAGAGGGCCUAGAGAUACCUCUCCGACAAUCGGAGUGACAAAUCCUAAUCUCGAAAUACGCCAGCCCAACAUGUACCUUUGGAGACACCUGUAGAGCUCCUUUAUAAUCACCCAGUUAUGUUGUGACGUUUGGUAGAACACAAAGUGUUCCUCCGGCAAAUGGGAGUUGCAUAAUCUCAUAGUCAUAUGAACAUGUAUAAGUCAUGAAGAAAGCAAUAGCAACAUACUAAACGAUUGGGUGCUAAGCUAAUGGAAUGGGUCAUGUCAAUCAGAUCAUUCAACUAAUGAUCUGAUCCCGUUAAUCAAAUAACAACUCUUUGUCCAUGGUUAGGAAACAUAACCAUCUUUGAUUAACGAGCUAGUCAAGUAGAGGCAUACUAGUGACACUCUGUUUUCUAUGUAUUCACACAUGUAUUAUGUUUCCGGUUAAUACAAUUCUAGCAUGAAUAAUAAACAUUUAUCAUGAUAUAAGUAAAUAAAUAAUAACUUUAUUAUUGCCUCUAGGGUAUAUUUCCAUCAGUCUCCCACUUGCACUAGAGUCAAUAAUCUAGAUCACAUCGCCAUGUGAUUUAACAUCAAUAGUUCACAUCUUUAUGUUAUUGGUUCACAUCUCCAUGUGACUAACACCCAAAGGGUUUACUAGAUUCAAUAAUCUAGUUCACAUCGCUAUGUGAUUAAGACCCAAAAAGUGAUCAUGUUUUGCUUGUGAGAGAAGUUUAGUCAAUAGGUCUUCCACAUUCAGAUCCGCAUGUAUUUUGCAAAUUUCUAUGUCAACAAUGCUCUGCAUGGAGCUACUCUAGCUAAUUGCUCCCACUUUCAAUAUGUAUCCAGAUUGAGACUUAGAGUCAUCUGGAUCAGUGUCAAAACUUGCAUCGACGUAACCCUUUACGACGAACCUUUUGUCACCUCCGUAAUCGAGAAACAUAUCCUUAUUCUACUAAGGAUAAUUUUGACCGCUGUCAAUAGAUCUACUCCUAGAUCACUAUUGUACUCCCUCUCUUAACACAGUGUAUGGUAUACAAUAGAUCUGGUACACAACAUGGCAUACUUUAUAGAACCUAUGACUGAGGCAUAGGGAAUGACUUUCAUUCUCUUUCUAUCUUCUGCCGUGGUCGGGCUUUGAGUCUUACUCAACUUCACGCCUUGUAACACAAGCAAGAAACUUUUUCUUUGACUGUUCCAUUUUGAACUACUUCAAAAUCUUGUCAAGGUAUGUACUCAUCGAAAAAACUUAUCAAGCGUCUUGAUCUAUCUCUAUAGAUCUUGAUACUCAAUAUGUAAGCAGCUUCACCGAGGUCUUUCUUUGAAAAAACUCCUUUCAAACAUUCCUUUAUGCUUUGCAGAAUAAUUCUACAUUAUCUCCGAUCAACAAUAUGUCUUUCACAUAUACUUAUCAGAAAUGAUGUAGUGCUCCCACUCACUUUCUUGUAAAUACAGGCUUCACUGCAAGUCUGUAUAAAACUAUAUGCUUUGAUCAACUCAUGAAAGCGUAUAUUCCAACUCUGAGAUGCUUGCACCAGUCCAUAGAUGGAUCGCUGGAGCUUGCAUAUUUUGUUAGUACCUUUAGGAUUGACAAAACCUUCUGGUUGCAUCAUAAACAACUCUUCUUUAAUAAAUCCAUUAAGGAAUGCAGUUUUGUUUAUCCAUUUGCCAGAUUUCAUAAAAUGCGGCAAUUGCUAACAUGAUUCGGACAGACUUAAGCGUAGAUACGAGUGAGAAACUCUCAUCGUAGUCAACACCUUGAACUUGUCGAAAACCUUUUUGCGACAAUUCUAGUUUUGUAGAUAGUAACACUACUAUCAGCGUCCGUCUUCCUCUUGAAGAUCCAUUUAAUCUCAAUGGCUUGCCGAACAUCGGGCAAGUCAACCAAAGUCCACACUUUGUUCUCAUACAUGGAUCCUAUCUCAGAUUUCAUGGCCUCAAGCCAUUUAUCGGAAUCUGGGCUCAUCAUCGCUUCCUCAUAGGUCGCAAGUUUGUCAUGGUCAAGUAACAUGACCUCCAGAACAGGAUUACCAUACCACUUUGGUGCGGAUCUCAAUCUGGUUUACCUACGAGGUUUGGUAGUAACUUGAUCUGAAGUUACAUGAUCAUCAUCAUUAGCUUCCUCACUAAUUGGUGUAGGAGUCACAGGAACAAAUUUCUGUGAUGAACUACUUUCCAAUAAAGGAGAAGGUACAAUUACCUUAUCAAGUUUUCUACUUUCCUCCCACUCACUUCUUUCAAGAGAAACUCCUUCUCUGGAAAGGAUCCAUUCUCAGUCAACGAAUAUCUUGCCUUCGGAUCUGUGAUAGAAGGUGUACCCAACAUUUUCUUUAGGGUAUCCUAUGAAGAUGCACUUUUCCGAUUUGGGUUUGAGCUUAUCAGGAUGAAACUUUUUCACAUAAGCAUCACAACCCCAAACUUUAAGAAACGACAACUUUGGUUUCUUGCCAAACCACAGUUCAUAAGGCGUCGUCUCAACGGAUUUUGAUGGUGCCCUAUUCAACGUGAAUGCAGCUGUCUCUAAUGCAUAACCCCAAAACGAUAGUGGUAGAUCGGUAAGAGAUAUCAUAGAUCGCACCAUAUCUAAUAAAGUACGGUUAUGAUGUUCGGACACACCAUUACAUUGUGGUGUUCCAGGUGGCAUGAGUAGUGAAACUAUUUCACAUUGUUUUUAACUGAAGGCCAAACUCAUAACUCAAAUACUCUUCUCUACGAUCAGGUCGUAGAAACUUUAUUUUCUUGUUACGAUGAUUUUUCACUUCACUCUGAAAUUCUUUGAACUUUUCAAAUGUUUCAGACUUAUGUUUCAUCAAGUAGAUAUACUCAUAUCUGCUCAAAUCAUCUGUGAAGAUCAGAAAAUAAUGAUACCUGUCGCGAGCCUCAAUAUUCAUCGGACCACAUACAUUAGUAUGUAUGAUUUCCAACAAAUCUGUUGCUCGCUCCAUUGUUCUGAAGAACAGAGUCUUAGUCAUCUUGCCCAUUAGGCAUGGUUCGCAAGCAUCAACUGAUUCAUAACCAACUGAUUCCAAAAGCCCAUCAGCAUGGAGUUUCUUCAUGCGCUUUACACCAAUAUGACCUAAACGGCAGUGCUACAAAUAAGUUGCACUAUCAUUAUUAACUUUGCAUCUUUUGGUUUCAAUAUUAUGAUUAUGUGUAUCACUACAAUCGAGAUCCAACGAACUAUUUUCAUUGGGUGUGUAACCAUAUAAGGUUUUAUUCAUGUAAACAGAACAACAAUUUAUUCUCUUACUUAAAUGAAUAACCGUAUUACAAUAAACAUGAUCAAAUCAUAUUCAUGCUCAACGCAAACACCAAAUAACACUUAUUUAGGUUCAACACUAAUCCUGAAAUUAUAGGGAGUGUGCGAUGAUGAUCAUAUCAAUCUUGGAACCACUUCCAACAUACAUCAUCACUUCACCCUUAACUAGUCUCUGUUUAUUUUGCAACUCCCGUUUCGAGUUACUAAUCUUUGCAACUGAACUAGUAUCAAAUACUGAGGGGUUGCUAUAAACACUUGUAAAGUACACAUCAAUAACAUGUAUAUCAAAUAUACUUAUGUUCACUUUGCCAUCCUUCUUAUCCGCCAAUCACUUGGGGUAGUUCCGCUUCUAGUGACCAGUGCCUUUGCAGUAGAAGCACUUAGUCUCAGGCUUAGGACCAGACUUGGGCUUCUUCACUUGAGCAGCAACUUGCUUGCUGUUCUUCUUGAAGUUCCCCUUCUUCCCUCUGCCCUUUUCUUGAAACUAGUGGUCUUGUCAACCAUCAACACCUGAUGUUUUUCUUGAUUUCUACCUUCAUUGAUUUCAGCAUCACGAAGAGCUUGGGAGUUGUUUCCGUUAUCCCUUGCAUAUUAUGGUUCAUCACGAAGUUCUACUAACUUGGUGAUGGUGACUAGAGAAUUCUGUCAAUCACUAUCUUAUCUGGAAGAUUAACUCCCACUUGGUUCAAGCAAUUGUAGUACCCAGACAAUCUGAGCACGUGCUCACUAGUUGAGCGAUUCUCCUCCAUCUUUUAGCUAUAGAACUUGUUGGAGACUUCAUAUCUCUCAAGUCGGGUAUUUGCUUGAAAUAUUAACUUCAACUCCUAGAACAUCUCAUAUGGUCCAUGAUGUUCAAAACGUCUUUGAAGUCCUGAUUCUAAGCCAUUAAGCAUGGUGCACUAAACUAUCAAGUAGUCAUCAUAUUGGGCUAGCCAAACGUUCAUAACGUCGGCAUCUGCUCCUGCAAUAGGUCUGUCACCUAGCGGUGCAUCAAGGACAUAAUUCCUCUAUGCAGCAAUGAGGAUAAAACUCAGAUCACGGAUCCAAUCCGCAUCAUUGCUACUAACAUCUUUCAACACAAUUUUCUCUAGGAACAUAUCAAAAUAAACAUAGGGAAGCAACAACGCGAGCUAUUGAUCUACAACAUAAUUUGCAAAAUACUACCAGGACUAAGUUCAUGAUAAAUUUAAGUUCAAUUUAAUCAUAUUACUGGAGAACUCCCACUUAGAUAGACAUCCCUCUAAUCCUCUAAGUGAUCACGUGAUCCAAAUCAACUAAACCAUGUCCGAUCACCACGUGAGAUGGAGUAGUUUCAUUGGUGAACAUCACUAUGUUGAUCAUAUCUACUAUCUGAUUCACGCUCGACCUUUCGGUCUCCGUGUUCCGAGGCCAUAUCUGUAUAUGCUUGCCUCGUCAAGUAUAACCUGAGUAUUCCGCGUGUGCAACUGUUUUACACCCGUUGUAUUUGAACGUAGAGCCUAUCACACCCGAUCAUCACGUGGUGUCUCAGCACGAAGAAGUUUCGCAACGGUGCAUACUCAGGGAGAACACUUCUUGAUAAUUAGUGAGAGAUCAUCUUAAAAUGCUACCGUCAAACUAAGCAAAAAUAAGAUGUAUAAAAGAUAAACAUCAUAUGCAAUCAAAAUAUGUGACAUGAUAUGGCCAUCAUCAUCUUGCUUCUUUGAUCUCCAUCUCCAAAGUACUGUCAUGAUCUAUAUCGUCAUCGGCAUGACACCAUGAUCUCCAUCAUCUUGAUCUAUAUCAAUGUGUCGUCACGUGGUCGUCUCGCCAACAAUUGCUCUUGCAACUAUUGCUAUCGCAUAGCGAUAAAGUAAAGCAAUUAUUGGACGCUUGCAUCUUAUGUAAUAGAGAGACAACCAUAAGGAUUUUGCCAGUUGUUGAUAACUUCAACAAAACAUGAUCAUCUCAUACAACAACUUAUAUCUCAUCACGUCUUGACCAUAUCACAUCACAACAUGCCCUGCAAAAACAAGUUAGACGUCCUCUACUUUGUUGUUGCAAGUUUUACGUGGCUGCUACGGGCUUAAGCAAGAACCAAUCUUACCUACGCAUCAAAACCACAACGAUAGUUUGUCAAGUUGGUGCUGUUUUAACCUUCGCAAGGACCGGGCGUAGCCACACUCGGUUCAACUAAAGUUGGAGAAACUGUCACCCCCAAGCCACCUAUGUGCAAAGCACGUCGGGAGAACCGGUCUCGCGUAAGCAUACGCGUAAUGUCGGUCUGGGCCGCUUCAUCCAACAAUACCGCCGAACCAAAGUAUGACAUGCUGGUAAGCAGUAUGACUUAUAUCGCCCACAACUCACUUGUGUUCUACUCGUGCAUAUAACAUCAACACAUAAAACCUAGGCUCAAAUGCCACUGUUGGGGAACGUAGUAAUUUCAAAAAAUUUCCUACGCACACGCAAGAUCAUGGUGAUGCAUAGCAACGAGAGGGGAGAGUGUUGUCAACGUAGCCUUGUAGACCGAAGCAGAAGCGUUGACGCAACGUAGAGGAAGUAGUCGUACGUCUUCCCGAUCCGACCGAUCCAAGCACCAUUACUCCGGCACCUCCGAGUUCUUGGCACACGUUCAGCUCGGUAACGAUCCCCAGGCUCCGAUCCAGCAAAGCGUCGGCGAGGAGUUCCAUCAGCACGACGGCGUGGUGACGAUCUUGAUGUUCUACCGUCGCAGGGCUUCGCCUAAGCACCGCUACAAUAUGACCGAGGUGUAAUAUCGUGGAGAGGGGCACCGCACACGGCUAAGGAACGAUCACGAAGAUCAACUUGUGUGUCCAUGGGGUGCCCCCUGCCCCCGUAUAUAAAGGAGUGGAGGAGGGGAGGGCUGGCCCUCUCUAUGGCGCGCCCUAGGGGAGUCCUACUCCCAACGGGAGUAGGAUUCCCCCUUUUCCUAGUCCAACUAGGAGUCCUUCCAUGUAGUAGGAGUAGGAGACAAGGAAGGGGAAGGGAGAAGGGAAAGAAGGAGGGGGCGCGGCCCCUCCCCCUAGUCCAAUUCGGACUAGGCCUUGGGGGGCGCACGGCCUGCCCUAGGCAGCCCCUCUCUCUUUCCCGUAUGGCCCAAUAAGGCCCAAUACUUCUCCCGGCGAAUUCCUGUAACUCUCCGGUACUCCGAAAAAUACCCGAACCACUCGGAACCUUUCCGAUGUCCGAAUAUAGUCGUCCAAUAUAUCGAUCUUUACGUCUCGACCACUUCGAGACUCCUCGUCAUGUCCCCGAUCCCAUCCGGGACUCCGAAAUCCUUCGGUACAUCAAAACUCAUAAACUCAUAAUAUAACUGUCAUCGAAACCUUAAGCGUGCGGACACUACGGUUCGAGAACAAUGUAGACAUGACUGAGACACGUCUCCAGUCAAUAACCAAUAGCGGGACCUGGAUGCCCAUAUUGGCUCCUACAUAUUCUACGAAGAUCUUUAUCGGUCAGACCGCAUAACAACAUACGUUGUUCCCUUUGUCAUCGGUAUGUUACUUGCCCGAGAUUUGAUCGUCGGUAUCUCAAUACCUACUUCAAUCUCGUUACCGGCAAGUCUCUUUACUCGUUCCGUAAUACAUCAUCUCGCAACUAACUCAUUAGUUGCAAUGCUUGCAAGGCUUAUGUGAUGUGCAUUUCCGAGAGGGCCCAGAGAUACCUCUCCGACAAUCGGAGUGACAAAUCCUAAUCUCGAAAUACGCAAACCCAACAUGUACCUUUGGAGACACCUGUAGAGCUCCUUUAUAAUCACCCAGUUACGGUGUGACGUUUGGUAGCACACAAGGUGUUCCUCCGGCAAACGGGAGUUGCAUAAUCUCAUAGUCAUAGGAACAUGUAUAAGUCAUGAAGAAAGCAAUAUCAACAUACUAAACGAUCGGGUGCUAAGCUAAUGGAAUGGGUCAUGUGAAUCAGAUCAUUCAACUAAUGAUGUGAUCUCGUUAAUCAAAUAACAACUCUUUGUCCAUGGUUAGGAAACAUAACCAUCUUUGAUUAACGAGCUAGUCAAGUAGAGGCAUACUAGUCACACUCUGUUUGUCUAUGUAUUCACACAUGUAUUAUGUUUCCGGUUAAUACAAUUCUAGCAUGUAUAAUAAACAUUUAUCAUGAUAUAAGGAAAUAAAUAAUAAUUUUAUUAUAGCCUCUAGGGCAUAUUUACUUCAUGGAUUGCCUACCAAAGAUGGCAAUAGCUAGAUCUAUCCUUGCUUGUUAUGCCUAACUAGGGGCGUUAAACGAUAGCGCUUUUUGGGAGGCAACCCAAUUUUGUUUUUAUUCCUUGAUUUUUGCUCCUGUUUAGUAAUAAAUAAUUUAUCUAGCCUCUGUUUUGGUUGUGUUCUUUGUGUUUAAUUAGUGUUUGUGCCAGGUAGAACCGUUAGGAAGACUUGGGGAAAGUCUUGUUACACUUGCUGUAAAAAACAGAAACUUCAGCGCUCACGAGAACUGCUGCCAUUUUUAUUUGGAAAGUGCUAUUUAGUUAAUUAUUUCCGCAGAUGAUUAAUAGAUAAAUUCCUCACGUCCAGCACUUUAUUUUAGAAUUUUUGGGGUUCCAGCUCUUGAGCUAGCUACAGAUUACUACAGACUGUUCUGUAUUUGAAACAUUCUGUUUUUUCGUGUGUUGUUUGCUUAUUUUGAUGAACCUAUGGCUAGUAAAAUAGUUUAUAAACCACAGAGAAGUUGGAAUACAGUAGUUAUAACACCAAUAUAAAUAAAUAAUGAGUUCAUUAAAGUACCUUGAAGUGGUCUUUUUUAUUUUCUUUCGCUAACGGAGCUCACAAGAUUUUCUACUUCAAGUUUGUGUUGUGAAGUUUUCAAGUUUUGGGUAAAAAUUUGAUGGAUUAUGGAACAAGUAGUGACAAGAGCCGAAGCUUGGGGAUGCCCAUGGCACCCCCAAGAUAAUCUAAUUACACCUAAAAGCCAAAGCUUGGGGAUGCCCGGGAAGUCAUCCCCUCUUUCGUCUACUUCUAUGGGUAACUUUACUUGGAGCUAUAUUUUUAUUCGCCACAAGAUAUGUGUUUUGCUUGGAGCGUCUUGUAUUGUUUGACUCUUUAUUUUUUAGUUUACCACAAUCAUCCUUGCUGUACACACCUUUUGAGAGAGCCAUACAUGAUUUGGAAUUUGUUAGAAUACUCUAUGGGCUUCGCUUAUAUCUUUUGAGUUAUAUAGUUUUGCUCUAGUACUUCACUUAUAUCUUUUAGAGCACGGUGGUGGAUUUGUUUUAUAAAAACUAUUGAUCUCUCAUGCUUCACUUAGAUUAUUUUGAGAUGCUUAAUAGCAUGGUAAUUUGCUUAAAAUCCUAAUAUGCUAGGUAUUCAAAGUUAGUAAAAUUUUCUUACGAGUGUUUUUAAUACUAAGAGAAGUUUGAUGCUUGAUGAUUGUUUUGAGAUAUGGAGGUAAUAAUAUCAAAGUCGUGCUAGUUGAGUAGUUGUGAAAUUGAGAAAUACUUGUGUUGAAAUUUGCAUGUCCCGUAGCAUGCACGUAUUGUAAACGUUGUGUAACAAAUUUGAAACAUGAGGUGUUAUUUGAUUGUCUUCCUUAUGAGUGGCGGUCGGGGACGAGCGAUGGUCUUUUCCUACCAAUCUAUUGUUUGGGAACGUACUAAUUUCAAAAAAAAUCCUACGCACACGCAAGACCAUGGUGAUGCAUAGCAACGAGAGGGGAGAGUGUGAUCUACGUACCCUUGUAGAUCAACAGCGGAAGCGUUGAUGCAACAUAGAGGAAGUAGUCGUACGUCUUCCUGAUCCGACCGAUCGAAGCACCAUUACUCCGGCACCUCCGAGUUCUUAGCACACGUACAGCUCGAUGACGAUCCCGGGCUCCGAUCCAGCAAAGGGUCGGGGAGGAGUUCCGUCAGCACGACGGCGUGGUGACGAUCUUGAUGUUCUACCGUCGCAGGGCUUCGCCUAAGCACUGCUACAAUAUGAUGGAGGUGGAAUAUGGUGGCACGGGGCACCGCACACGGCUAAGGAACGAUCUCAAUGAUCAACUUGUGUGUCUAGAGGUGCCCCCUGCCUCCGUAUAUAAAGGAGCCAAGGGGGAGGGGGCCGCCGGCCAGGAGGAGGGCGCAGGAGGAGUCCUACUCCUACCGGGAGUAGGACUCCCCCCCCCCAAUCCUAGUUGGACUAGGAUUCCCCGAGGGGGAAAGAGAGAGAGGGGGGCCGGCCACCUCUCCUAGUCCUAAUAGGACUACGGGAGGGGGGAGGCGCGCGGCCACCUUGGGCUGCCCCUUUCUCCUUUCCACUAAAGCCCAUCAAGGCCCAUAUGGCUCCCGGGGGGUUCCGGUAACCUCCCGGUACUCCGGUAAAAUCCCGAUUUCACCCGGAACACUUCCGAUGUCCAAAUAUAGGCUUCCAAUAUAUCAAUCUUUAUGUCUCGACCAUUUCGAUACUCCUCGUCAUGUCUGUGAUCACAUCCGGGACUCCGAACUAACUUCGGUACAUCAAAAUGCAUAAACUCAUAAUAACUGUCAUCGUAACGUUAAGCGUGUGGACCCUACGGUUCGAGAAUAAUGCAGACAUGACUGAGACACAUCUCCGGUCAAUAACCAAUAGCAGGACCUGGAUGCCUAUAUUGGCUCCUACAUUUUCUACGAAGAUCUUUAUCAGUCACACCGCAUAACAACAUAUGUUGUUCCCUUUGUCAUCGGUAUGUCAUUUGCCCGAGAUUCGAUCGUCAGUAUCCAAUACCUAGUUCAAUCUCGUUACCGGCAAGUCUCUUUACUCGUUCCGUAAUACAUCAUCUCGCAACUAACUCAUUAGUUGCAAUGCUUGCAAGGCUUAAGUGAUGUGCAUUACCGAGAGGGCCCAGAGAUACCUCUCCGACAAUCGGAGUGACAAAUCCUAAUCUCGAAAUACGCCAACCCAACAUCUACCUUUGGAGACACCUGUAGUACUCCUUUAUGAUCACCCAGUUACGUUGUGAUGUUUGGUAGCACCCAAAGUGUUCCUCCGGUAAACGGGAGUUGCAUAAUCUCAUAGUCAUAGGAACAUGUAUAAGUCAUGAAGAAUAGCAACAGCAACAUACUAAACGAUCGGGUGCUAAGCUAAUGAAAUGGGUCAUGUCAAUCAGAUCAUUCAACUAAUGAUGUGACCUCGUUAAUCAAAUAACAACUCUUUGUUCAUGGUUAGGAAACAUAACCAUCUUUGAUUAACGAGCUAGUCAAGUAGAGGCAUACUAGUGACACUCUGUUUGUCUAUGUAUUCACACAUGUAUUAUGUUUCCGGUUAAUACAAUUCUAGCAUGAAUAAUAAACAUUUAUCAUGAUAUAAGGAAAUAAAUAAUAACUUUAUUAUUGCCUCUAGGGCAUAUUUCCUUCAGUCUCCCACUUGCACUAGAGUCAAUAAUCUAGAUUACACAGUAAUGAUUCUAACACCCAUGGAGCCUUGGUGCUGAUCAUGUUUUGCUCGUGGAAGAGGCUUAGUCAACGGGUCUGCAAUAUUCAGAUCCAUAUGUAUCUUGCAAAUCUCUAUGUCUCCCACCUAGACUAGAUCCCGGAUGGAAUUGAAGCGUCUCUUGAUGUGCUUGGUUCUCUUGUGAAAUCUGGAUUCCUUUGCCAAGACAAUUGCACCAGUAUUGUCACAAAAGAUUUUCAUUGGACCCGAUGCACUAGGUAUGACACCUAGAUCGGAUAUGAACUCCUUCAUCCAGACUCCUUCGUUUGCUGCUUCCGAAGCAGCUAUGUAUUCUGCUUCACAUGUAGAUCCCGCUACGACGCUUUGUUUAGAACUGCACCAACUGACAGCUCCACCGUUUAAUGUAAACACGUAUCCGGUUUGCGAUUUAGAAUCGUCCGGAUCAGUGUCAAAGCUUGCAUCAACGUAACCUCUUACGGUGAGCUCUUUGUCACCUCCAUAUACGAGAAACAUAUCCUUAGUCCUUUUCAGGUAUUUCAGGAUGUUCUUGACCGCUGUCCAGUGAUCCACUCCUGGAUUACUUUGGUACCUCCCUGCUAAACUUAUAGCAAGGCACACAUCAGGUCUGGUACACAGCAUUGCAUACAUGAUAGAGCCUAUGGCUGAAGCAUAGGGAACAUCUUUCAUUUUCUCUCGAUCUUCUGCAGUGGUCGGGCAUUGAGUCUGGCUCAACUUCACACCUUGUAACACAGGCAAGAACCCUUUCUUUGCUUGAUCCAUUUUGAACUUCUUCAAAAUCUUGUCAAGGUAUGUGCUUUGUGAAAGUCCAAUUAAGCGUCUUGAUCUAUCUCUAUAGAUCUUUAUGCCUAAUAUGUAAGCAGCUUAACCGAGGUCUUUCAUUGAAAAACUCUUAUUCAAGUAUACCUUUAUGCUAUCCAGAAAUUCUAUAUCAUUUCCAAUCAGCAAUAUGUCAUCCACAUAUAAUAUCAGAAAUGCUACAGAGUUCCCACUCACUUUCUUGUAAAUACAGGCUUCACCGAAAGUCUGUAUAAAACCAAAUGCUUUGAUCACACUAUCAAAGCGUUUAUUCCAACUCCGAGAGGCUUCCACCAGUCCAUAAAUGGAUCGCUGGAGCUUGCACACUUUGUUAGCUCCCUUUGGAUCGACAAAACCUUCCGGUUGCAUCAUAUACAACUCUUCUUCCAGAAAUCCAUUCAAGAAUGCAGUUUUGACAUCCAUCUGCCAAAUUUCAUAAUCAUAAAAUGCGGCAAUUGCUAACAUGAUUCGGACAGACUUAAGCAUCGCUACGGGUGAGAAGGUCUCAUCGUAGUCAACCCCUUCAACUUGUCGAAGACCUUUUGCGAGAAGUCGAGCUUCGUAGACAGUAACAUUACCAUCACCGUCAGUCUUCUUCUUGAAGAUCCAUUUAUUCUCAAUUGCUUGCCGAUCAUCGGGCAAGUCAACCAAAUCCAUACUUUGUUCUCAUACAUGGAUCCCAUCUCAGAUUUCAUGGCUUCAAGCCACUUUGCGGAAUAUGGGCUCACCAUCGCUUCUUCAUAGUUCGUAGGUUCAUCAUGAUCUAGCAGCAUGAUUUCCAGAACAGGAUUACCGUACCACUCUGGUGCAGAUCUCGCUCUGGUUGAUCUACGAGGUUCAGUAGUAUCUUGUCCUGAAGUUUCAUGAUCUUUAUCAUUAGCUUCCUCACUAAUUGGUAUAGGUGUCGCAGAAACAGUUUUUCUGUGAUGUACUACUUUCCAAUAAGGGAGCAGGUAUAGUUACCUCGUCAAGUUCUACUUUCCUCCCACUCACUUCUUUCGAGAGAAACUCCUUCUCUAGAAAUGAUCCAUUCUUAGCAAUGAAUGUCUUACCUUCGGAUUUGUGAUAGAAGGUGUACCCAACAGUCUCCUUUGCGUAUCCUAUGAAGACACAUUUCUCCGAUUUGGGCUCGAGCUUAUGAGGUUGAAGCUUUUUCACAUAAGUAUCGCAGCCCCAAACUUUAAGAAACGACAACUUUGGUUUCUUGCCAAACCACAGUUCAUAAGGCGUCGUCUCAGCAGAUUUUGAUGGUGCCGUAUUUAGCGUGAAUGUGAGCGUCUCUAAAGCAUAACCCCAAAACGAUAGCGGUAAAUCAGUAAGAGACAUCAUAGAUCGCACCAUAUCUAGUAAAGUACGAUUCCGAUGUUCGGACACACCAUUACACUGUGGUGUUCCAGGUGGCGUGAGUUGCGAAACUAUUCCACAAUUUUUCAAAUGUACACCAGACUCGUAACUCAAAUAUUCUCCUCCACGAUCAGAUCGUAGAAACUUUAUUUUCUUGUUAUGAUGAUUUUCAACUUCACUCUGAAAUUCUUUGAACUUUUCAAAUGUUUCAGACUUAUGUUUCAUUAAGUAGAUAUACCCAUAUCUGCUUAAGUCAUCUGUGAAGGUGAGAAAAUAACGAUAUCCACCACGAGCCUCAAUAUUCAUCGGACCACAUACAUCAGUAUGCAUGAUUUCCAACAAAUCUGUUGCUCUCUCCAUAGUACCGGAGAACGGUGUUUUAGACAUCUUGCCCAUGGGGCACGGUUCGCAAGUACCAAGUGAUUCAUAAUCAAGUGGUUCCAAAAGUCCAUCGGUAUGGAGUUUCUUCAUGCGCUUUAUACCGAUAUGACCUAAACGGCAGUGCCACAAAUUAGUUGCACUAUCAUUAUCAACUCUGCAUCUUUUCGCCUCAACAUUAUGAAUAUAUGUGUUACUACUAUCGAGAUUCAUCGAAAAUAGACCACUCCUCAAAGGUGCAUGACCAUAAAAGAUAUUACUCAUAUAAAUAGAACAACCAUUAUUCUCUGAUUUAAAUGAAUAACCGUCUCGCAUCAAACAAGUUCCAGAUAUAAUGUUCAUGCUCAACGCUGGAACCAAAUAACAAUUAUUUAGGUCUAAUAUUAAUCCCGAAGGUAGAUGUAGAGGUAGCGUGCUGACCGCGAUCACAUCGACUUUGGAACCGUUUCCCACGCGCAUCGUCACCUCGUCCUUCGCCAGUGUUCGCUUAAUCCGUAGUCCCUGUUUCGAGUUGCAAAUAUUAGCAACAGAACCAGUAUCACAUACCCAGGUGCUACUGCGAGCUCUAGUAAGGUACACAUCAAUAACAUGUAUAUCACAUAUACCUUUGUUCACCUUGCCAUCCUUCUUAUCCGCCAAUACUUGGGGCAGUUCCGCUUCCAGUGACCAGUCUGCUUGCAGUAGAAGCACUCAGUUUCAGGCUUAGGUCCAGACUUGGGUUUCUUCUCUUGAGCAGCAACUUGCUUGCCGUUCUUCUUGAAGUUCCCCUUCUUCUUCCCUUUGCCCUUUUUCUUGAAACUAGUUGUCUUACUGACCAUCAACACUUGAUGCUCCUUUUUGAUUUCUACCUCCGCAGCUUUCAGCAUUGCGAAGAGCUCGGGAAUAGUCUUGUUCAUCCCUUGCAUAUUAUAGUUCAUCACAAAGCUCUUGUAGCUUGGUGGCAGUGAUUGGAGAAUUCUGUCAAUGACGCAAUCAUCUAGAAGAUUAACUCCCAUCUGAAUCAAGUGAUUAUUAUACCCAGACAUUCUGAGUAUAUGCUCACUGACAGAACUGUUCUCCUCCAUCUUGCAGCUAUAGAACUUAUUGGAGACUUCAUAUCUCUCAAUCCGGGCAUUUUCUUGAAAUAUUAACUUCAACUCCUGGAACAUCUCAUAUGCUCCAUGACGUUCAAAACGUCGUUGAAGUCCCGAUUCUAAGCCGUAAAGCAUGGCACACUGAACUAUCAAGUAGUCAUCAGCUUUGCUCUGCCAGACGUUCAUAACAUCUAGUGUUGCUCCAGCAGCAGGCCUGGCACCUAGCGGUGCUUCCAAGACGUAAUUCUUCUGAGCAACAAUGAGGAUAAUCCUCAAGUUACGGACCCAGUCCGUGUAAUUGCUACCAUCAUCUUUCAACUUUGCUUUCUCAAGGAACGUAUUAAAAUUCAACGAAACAACAACACGAGCCAUCUAUCUACAAUCAACAUAAACAAGCAAGAUACUAUCAGGUACUAAGUUCAUGAUAAGUUUAAGUUCAAUUUAAUCAAAUUACUUAAGAACUCCCACUUAGAUAGACAUCCCUCUAAUCGUCUAAGUGAUCACGUGAUCCAAAUCAACUAAACCAUAACCGAUCAUCACGUGAGAUGGAGUAGUUUUCAAUGGUGAACAUCGUUAUGUUGAUCAUAUCUACUAUAUGAUUCAUGCUCGACCUUUCGUUCUCCGUGUUCCGAGGCCAUAUCUGCAUACGCUAGGCUCGUCAAGUUUAACCUGAGUAUUCUGCGUGUGCAAAAACUGGCUUGCACCCGUUGUAGAUGGACGUAGAGCUUAUCACACCCGAUCAUCACGUGGUGUCUGGGCACGACGAACUUUGGCAGCAGUGCAUACUCAGGGAGAACACUUCUUGAUAAUUUAGUGAGAUAUCAUCUUAUAAUGCUACCGUCAAUCAAAGCAAGAUAAGAUGCAUAAAAAGAUAAACAUCACAUGCAAUCAAUAUAAGUGAUAUGAUAUGGCCAUCAUCAUCUUGUGCUUGUGAUCUUCAUCUCCGAAGCACCGUCAUGAUCACCAUCGUCACCGGUGCGACACCUUGAUCUCCAUCGUAGCAUCGUUGUCGUCUCGCCAAUCUUAUGCUUCCACGACUAUCGCUACCGCUUAGUGAUAAAGUAAAGCAUUACAUCGCGAUUGCAUUGCAUACAAUAAAGCGACAACCAUAUGGCUCCUGCCAGUUGCCGAUAACUCGGUUACAAAACAUGAUCAUCUCAUACAAUAAAAUUUAGCAUCAUGUCUUGACCAUAUCACAUCACAACAUGCCCUGCAAAAACAAGUUAGACGUCCUCUACUUUGUUGUUGCAAGUUUUACGUGGCUGCUACGGGCUUAAGCAAGAACCAAUCUCACCCACGCAUCAAAACCACAACGAUAGUUUGUCAAAUAGACUCCGUUUUAUCCUUCGGAAGGACCGGGCGUAGCCACACUCGGUUCAACUAAAGUUGGAGAAACAGUCGCCCGCAAGGCACCUGUGUGCAAAGCACGUCGGGGGAACCGGUCUCACGUAAGCGUACGCGUAAUGUUGGUCCGGGUCGUCUCGUCCAACAAUACCGCCGAACCAAAGUAUGACAUGCUAGUAGGCAGUAUGACUUGUAUCACCCACAACUCACUUGUGUUCUACUCGUGCAUAUAACAUCAAACCAUAAAACCUAGGCUCGGAUGCCACUGUUUGGGAACGUAGUAAUUUCAAAAAAAUUCCUACGCACACGCAAGAUCAUGGUGAUGCAUAUCAACGAGAGGGGAGAGUGUGAUCUACGUACCCUUGUAGAUCAAUAGCGGAAGCAUUGACGCAAUGUAGAGGAAGUAGUCGUACGUCUUCCUUAUCCGAUCGAUCCAAGCACCAUUACUCCGGCACCUCUGAGUUCUUAGCACACGUACAGCUCGAUGACGAUCCCCGGGCUCCGAUCCAGCAAAGCGUCGGGGGGGAGUUCCGUCAACACGACGGCGUGGUGAUGAUCUUGAUGUUCUACCAUCGCAGGGCUUCGCCUAAGCACUGCUCCAAUAUGAUCGAGGUGGAAUAUGGUGGCAGGGGGCACCGCACACGGCUAAGGAACGAUCUCAAUGAUCAACUUGUGUGUCUAGAGGUGCCCCCUGCCUCCGUAUAUAAAGGAGCCAAGGGGGAGGGGGCCGCCGGCCAGGAGGAGGGCGCAGGAGGAGUCCUACUCCUACCAGGAGUAGGACUCCCCCCCCCCAAUCCUAGUUGGACUAGGAUUCCCCGAGGGGGAAAGAGAGAGGGGGGGCCGGCCACCUCUCCUAGUCCUAAUAGGACUAGGGGAGGGGGGAGGCGCGCGGCCACCUUGGGCUGCCCCUUUCUCCUUUCCACUAAAGCCCAUCAAGGCCCAUAUGGCUCCCGGGGGGUUCCGGUAACCUCCCGGUACUCCGGUAAAAUCCCGAUUUCACCCGGAACACUUCCGAUGUCCAAAUGUAGGCUUCCAAUAUAUCAAUCUUUAUGUCUCGACCAUUUCGAGACUCCUCGUCAUGUCCGUGAUCACAUCCGGGACUCCGAACUAACUUUGGUACAUCAAAAUGCAUAAACUCAUAAUAACUGUCAUCGUAACGUUAAGCGUGUGGACCCUACGGUUCGAGAAUAAUGCAGACAUGACUGAGACACAUCUCCGGUCAAUAACCAAUAGCGGGACCUGGAUGCCCAUAUUGGCUCCUACAUUUUCUCCGAAGAUCUUUAUCGGUCAGACCGCAUAACAAAAUACGUUGUUCCCUUUUCAUCGGUAUGUUACUUGCCCGAGAUUUGAUCGUUGGUAUCUCAAUACCUAGUUCAAUCUCGUUACCGGCAAGUCUCUUUACUCGUUCCGUAAUACAUCAUCUCGCAACUAACUCAUUAGUUGCAAUGCUUGCAAGGCUUAUGUGAUGUGCAUUACCGAGAGGGCCCAGAGAUACCUCUCCGACAAUCGGAGUGACAAAUCCUAAUCUCGAAAUACGCCAACCCAACAUCUACCUUUGGAGACACCUGUAGAGCUCCUUUAUAAUCACCCAGUUACAUUGUGACGUUUGUUAGCACACAAAGUGUUCCUCCGGGAAACGGGAGUUGCAUAAUCACAUAGUCAUAGGAACAUGUAUAAGUCAUGAAGAAAGCAGUAGCAACAUACUAAACGAUCGGGUGCUAAGCUAAUGAAAUGGGUCAUGUCAAUCAGAUCAUUCAACCAAUGAUGUGACCUCGUUAAUCAAAUAACAACACCUUGUUCAUGGUUAGGAAACAUAACCAUCUUUGAUUAACGAGCUAGUCAUGUAGAGGCAUACUAGUGACACUAAGUUUGUCUAUGUAUUCACACAUGUAUUAUGUUUCCGGUUAAUACAAUUCUAGUAUGAAUAAUAAACAUUUAUCAUGAUAUAAGGAAAUAAAUAAUAACUUUAUUAUUGCCUCUAAGGCAUAUUUCCUUCAUCUAUCCCCCUAGGAGCAUGCGCGUAGUACCGAGGUUUUUGAUGACUUGUAGAUUUUUGCAAUGAGUAUGUGAGUUCUUUAUGACUAAUGUUGAGUCCAUGAAUUAUACGCACUCUCACCCUUCCAUCCUUGCUAGCCUCUUCGGUACCGUGCAUUGCCCUUUCCCACAUUGAGUGUUGGAGCAAACUUCGCCAAUGCAUCCAAACCCUGUGAUAUGAUACGCUCUUUCACACAUAAACCUCCUUAUAUCUUCCUCAAAACAGCCACCAUACCUACCUAUUAUGGCAUUUCCAUAGCCAUUCCGACUUAUAUUGCCAUGCAACUUUCCACCAUUCCGUUCAUCAUGACACAUUUAGCAUUGUCAUAUUGCUUAGCAUAAUCAUGUAGUUGACAUAGUAUUUGUGGCAAAGCCACCGUUCAUAAUUCUUUCCUACAUGUCACUAUUGGUCCACUGCAUAUCCGGUACACCGCCGGAGGCAUUUAUAUAGAGUCAUACUUUGUUCUAGUAUCGAGUAGUAAUUAUUGAGUUGUAAAUAAAUAGAAGUGUGAUGAUCAUCAUUAAUAGAGCAUGGUCCCAAAAAGAGAAAAAAGGAAGGGCCAAAAAAAGGCCAAAUAAAAAAAUAUAAAAAAGGGGGGCAAUGCUACUAUCCUUUUUUUCCACACUUGUGAUUCAAAGUAGCACCGUAAUCUUCAUGAUAGAGAGUAUCUUGAUUUGUCACUUUCAUAUACUAGUGGGAAUUUUGCAUUGUAGAACAAUGGGCCUCCUCAAGUGCCCUAGCUCUUCGUGAGCAAGCAAGUUGGAUGCACACCCACUUAGUUUCUUUUGUUGAGCUUUCAUACAUUUAUAGCUCUAGUGCAUCCGUUGCAUGGCAAUCCUUACUCCUUGCAUUAACAUCAAUCGAUGGGCAUCUCCAUAGCCCAUUGAUUAGCCUCAUUGAUGUGAGACUUUCUCCUUUUUGUCUUCUCCACAUAACCCCAGUGAUUAUAUUCUAUUCCACCCAUAGUUUUAUGUCCAUGGCUUGCAAUCAUAUAUUGCGUGAAAGUUUAUAGGUUUGAGAUCACUAAAGUAUGAAACAAUUGCUUGGCUUGUCAUCGGGGUUGUGCAUGAUGAGAGCAUUCUUGUGUGAAGAAAAUGAAGCAUGAUUAAACUAUAUGAUUUUGUAGGGAUGAACUUUCUUUGGCCAUGUUAUUUUGAGAAGACAUAAUUGCUCAGUUAGUAUGCUUGACUCUUUUGGAUCUGAAUAUUCAUACCACAAGUAAGAAGAAUUACAUUAAAAUCAUGCCAAGUAGCACUCCGCAUCAAAAAUUCUGUUUUUAUCAUUUACCUACUCUAGGACGAGCAGGAAUUAAGCUUGGGGAUGCUUGAUACGUCUCCAACGUAACUAUAAUUUUUGAUUGCUCCAUGCUAUAUUAUCUACUGUUUUGGACAAUAUUGGGCUUUAUUAUCCACUUUUAUAUUAUUUUGUAACUAACCUAUUAUCUACUGUUUUGGACAAUAUUGCCUAGAUUUGCUGUUUUUUUGCCUGUUUUAGGGUUUCGAAGAAAAGGAAUAUCAAACGGAGUCCAAACGGAAUGAAACCUUCGGGAACGUGAUUUUCUCAACGAACAAGACCCAGGAGACUUGGACCCUCCGUCAAGACACAAAAGAGGAGGCCACGAGGUAGAGGGCGUGCCUACCCCCCCCCCCCUGCGCGCCCACCACCCUCGUGGGCCCCCUGUUGCUCCACCGACGUACUCCUUCCUCCUAUAUAUACCUACGUACCCCCAAACGAUCAUAUACGGAGCCAAAACCCUAAUUCCACCGCCGCAACUUUCUGUAUCCACGAGAUCCCAUCUUGGGGCCUGUUCCGGAGCUCCGCCAGAGGGGGCAUCGAUCACGGAGUGCUUCUACAUCAACACCAUAACCUCUCCGAUGAAGUGUGAGUAGUUCACCUCAGACCUACUGUUCCAUAGUUAUUAGCUAGAUGGCUUCUUCUCUCUUUUUGGAUCUAAAUACAAUGUUCUCCCCCUCUCUUGUGGAGAAUUAUUCGAUGUAAUCUUCUUUUUGCGGUGUGUUUGUUGAGACCGAUGAAUUGUGGGUUUAUGAUCAAGUCUAUCUAUGAAUAAUAUUUCAAUCUUCUCUGAAUUAUUUUAUGUAUGAUUGGUUAUCUUUGCAAGUCUCUUCGAAUUAUCAGUUUGGUUUGGCCUACUAGAUUGAUCUUUCCUGCAAUGGGAGAAGUGCUUAGCUUUGGGUUCAAUCUUGCGGUGUCCUUUCCCAGUGACAGUAGGGGCAGCAAGGCACGUAUUGUAUUGUUGCCAUCGAGGACAACAAGAUGGGGUUUUCAUCAUAUUGCAUGUGUCUAUCCCUCUACAUCAUGUUAUCUUGCUUAAGGCGUUAAUCUGUUUUUAACAUAAUACUCUAGAUGCAUGCUGGAUAGCUGUCGAUGAGUGGAGUAAUAGUAGUAGAUGUAGGCAGGAGCGGUCUACUUGUCUCGGACGUGAUGCCUAUAUACAUGAUGAUACCUAGAUAUUAUCAUAACUAUGCUCAAUUCUGUCAAUUGCUCAACAGUAAUUUGUUCACCCACCGUAGAAUACUUAUGCUCUCGAGGGAAGCCACUAGUGAAACCUAUGGCCCCGGGUCUAUCUUUAUCAUAUUAAUCUCCUACUACUUAGUUAUUUCCUUUGCUUUUUUACUUUGCCUUUAUUUUACUUUGCAUCUUUAUCACAAAAAUACCAAUAAAAUUAUCUUUAUCAUAUCUAUCAAAUCUCACUCUUGUAAGUGGCCGUGUAGGGAUUGACAACCCCUAUUCGCGUUGGUUGCGAGGAUUUAUUUGUUUUGUGCAGGUACGAGGGACUCGUGCGUAGCCUCCUACUGGAUUGAUACCUUGGUUCUCAAAACCUAAGGGAAAUACUUACGCUACUUUGCUGCAUCAUCCCUUCCUCUUCGGGGAAAACCAACGCAGUGCUCAAGAGGUAGCAAGGGUUCCUUUUUGUCGACGAUCCUAUGUUUCAACCUUGUUUUCCAGGCGGCCAAUGCGUCGCUAAACUUGGGCAUGGCGUGUUUGUUUAUCUUCUUCAUUGCCAGGUCCUUAUCUGGAUCUUUAUUAUCCUUUUCAUUGCGGUUAAUGAACAAGAAUAUCUGGUGCCGCUUCUUUAAAAGGGAGGGCCUCAUAUUAUCUAUCUUCUGUAGUUUCCCAUCGUUGAUCGUGGCAGUUGUCCGUACGAUGCAACCUAUUUGAUUGCCAUAGCACGAUUGCGCUUCCUCGGGCGCUAUUGUCUCAAAAAUACCGUUGUCCAUCUCCGUGACCACCAGUCUAGUACUCGUGAGCUGGUUUCGGCGCCGUGGCCUCUUUGCUUUCGGUUCUAGACCAGCUCCGCUAGUCUCGGCGCCGGUCUCAGUCUCAUCGCCGGUCUGCAUGUCGGUAUCAGUCCCCGAUGCGACAGCACAGUCGCUGCAACAUGGGUAAGGGAGACCACAUCAGUGCUGGGGGGGUCUGAAAAUUGGGACACACUUUCGCGCAUCGCGGGCCGCCUCUCAGACAGCUACUGGGGAGGCGGCGGAGUACCUGGGUGCGCGGUAAAUCCCCGGGAACUCGGUGACCAACUUCCUUCCCGUGUGGUGCAUGGAGACGACGACGACCCCGGCAAAGAGCAGCUUAGCCGUGAGCUGCACAGCCUCGUCCACCUCCUAAGUUGGGUCCUCCGCGCGAGCGUUGCGGGGCCGCCGCUCGGAUGGCUUCUGGAAGGCGCUUGUACAUGGGCAUAGGGUGAAUCCCGGCGAGAGCUAGCCAUUGGCGCGCGCAAGUAGACGACGACGUCCCCGACGAAGAGCAGCCCGGCCAGCUCGCCUCACUCUCCUUUGAUUAGAAUUGAAAGAUUGGGAAGAAGCAGACUUGAGCCUGCAGGGAAAGGAUAAGGUGACGAUGCAGUCUCCACUCGUUCGGGGCGACACGCGAAUUGAAUGUAUGAGAAACGUGACGUGGCAGGGACCCCAAGAUACUCCCUCCAUUUAUUUUUAGUCUGCAUAUAAAGUUUGGUCAAAGUCAAGAUUUGUAAAUUUUAACUAACUUUAUAAUAAAAAAAUAUCAACAUUCACAAUAUGAAAUAAUUAUUACCAGAUGCGUGAAGAAAUGUAUUUCCAUACUAUAUAGUUUUGGUAUUGGAGAUGUUCAUAUUUUUUUAUAUAAAUGGGAAGUAGAGGCACUCUUCCAUAUAAUGAAGUUUAUAAUAUAUGUGCUUAUAUUGUACUAUAAUUGUUUGAAUAACUUAGCAUAUGUUCAGAUGUAUGAUAUCUGUAAUUUAAGCGCUUGAAUUUUACAUAUAAAUAUUUAUUAAUAAAUAUGUACCCCUAUAAUAGCUAGGCCGUGCAGUUGCACGGGUAGAUGACUAGUGAUUACAGUCUUGUUUGUGUGCAAGUCAAGCUUAUCUAGUUUACACGUAACAACUCGUAGAACAUGUUUAUGCUUGCUAAUAACUUCUAGAACACUACAACACUUUACAUGUAAAAGGAAUUUCACGAGUCAUGGCCUACUAAAGCAAGUUACAUUACUAGUCUUAUAUCUAUCUUAACAGACCACACAAGACUACAAACUAAGUACCAUGACAGCCAUGCUUAUCUAGUUUAUGCGUAACAAUUUGCAGAAAAUUACAAACUUAGUUUUAGAAAAAUGGGCAAUCCAGAUUAGUGUUUGAGCUGUAAAGUGAAUAAGAUGAGUCAUGUGUGUUAUCACACCUUUUUGGUGGUGGAAUGAUAGUGCAACAACAAGGAACUUUAAUGAACAGUGCAAGAAUACACUUGUAAGUAGUGCCACCAAACAGAACAUACCAAAUGAUGAUUUUGAGAAGCAUCCAAGCACUUUCCACACAAACAAAUGCCAAUUGUGAAAGAGAUCAUUCCAUGGCAGCUAUAAAUAGCCCCGUAGCAUGACGAUCAUCCUUCCUCAUCCAUCAUUCUCAUAAGUAGAACGCAUCAUUUAAGCCAAGCAAGGUGUGGUCAAUACAAAUCCACCAUGAAGACAUUUCUCAUCCUUGCCCUCCUUGCUAUCGUGGCGACCACCGCCACAACUGCAGUUAGAGUUCCAGUGCCACAAUUGCAGCCACAAAAUCCAUCUCAGCAACAGCCACAAGAGCAAGUUCCAUUGGUACAACAACAACAAUUUCUAGGGCAGCAACAACCAUUUCCACCACAACAACCAUAUCCACAGCCGCAACCAUUUCCAUCACAACAACCAUAUCUGCAGCUGCAACCAUUUCCGCAGCCGCAACUACCAUAUUCGCAGCCACAACCAUUUCGACCACAACAACCAUAUCCACAACCGCAACCACAGUAUUCGCAACUACAACAACCAAUUUCACAGCAGCAGCAGCAGCAGCAACAACAACAACAACAACAACAACAACAACAACAACAACAACAACAACAACAACAACAACAACAACAACAACAACAACAACAAGAACAACAAAUCCUUCAACAAAUUUUGCAACAACAACUAAUUCCAUGCAUGGAUGUUGUAUUACAGCAACACAACAUAGCGCAUGGAAGAUCACAAGUUUUGCAACAAAGUACUUACCAGCUGUUGCAAGAAUUGUGUUGUCAGCACCUAUGGCAGAUCCCUGAGCAGUCGCAGUGCCAGGCCAUCCACAAUGUUGUUCAUGCUAUUAUUCUGCAUCAACAACAAAAACAACAACAACAACAACCAUCGAGCCAGGUCUCCUUCCAACAGCCUCAACAACAAUAUCCAUUAGGCCAGGGCUCCUUCCGGCCAUCUCAGCAAAACCCACAGGCCCAGGGCUCUGUCCAGCCUCAACAACUGCCCCAGUUCGAGGAAAUAAGGAACCUAGCGCUACAGACGCUACCUGCAAUGUGCAAUGUCUACAUCCCUCCAUAUUGCACCAUCGUGCCAUUUGGCAUCUUCGGUACUAACUGAGAAGAAAAUAACUCUAGUACUAGAUAUAUGAAACACCGUUUUCUCAGUCCAUGGUUUGGUCAUUGUAGCGGUG